rnacentral:lncRNA from 1 species
CCACCACCAAGCUUCACUCCCGACCCCACCACCGCCCCGCCCUUGUGUCCCAAUGACGACGCCUAUGUCCAAGGCUUCUUCCAAGUUCUCUCGGUCCUUCUCCAAGAUUCUCCGCUCUCUUUUCCGACCUAAACCUAAUUCCAAUACCCCGAUUUUUCGUGCUCAAGAUCAACCUAGAGAUGGAUUUUAUGUUUUUUAUGAAGUUGGGUCUCUCUCAACCAUUCCCGAAGUCCCUGAGGCCGACCUUGGAGCCGGUCUUUCGCCGGAGAUUAGCUCUUUGGUGAAGAAGACAGCUUCUGGGAGGUUCACGCCCAACUCCAUUGGCAUCUCAUGUGUUCUUUGAAUAUUUUGAAUAUGUUGUUUCUUUUUUCAUAUCUACGUUAAUUAAACCCUAUAUAUUUAUCAAUCAUAUAUAUAUACACAUAUAGUUAGGUUUAUUAGAGAUUAAUAUGGUUUUAAUAUGUGUAUAAUUAUUGUGUUCAUAUGUACUCCUAAGCUUUUUUGUUUUCUUGUAAUCUUUUCCUUUUUAAUGUUUAGGGAUUAUAUAACUUUUGCAGCUUAAGCUUUGCUGAAGUUUAAUUUAAAUUCUCAUCUACUUUUUUUAAGAAAAAAUAAUUUUGCUAUCCUUUUUGUUCCAAAAUAAUCUCUUUUCAAUUAUAUACAUAUGUGCACAAUCUGUCUCUCUGUUUAUUGACGUAUAAAUAAUUAAGUAAGGUUUAAUUUUUGAGAAAUAUAUAUUUGAAGUUAAUCUAGCUCCCAUUUUAUAUUAUUAAUUAUUUCCUUUGAGUGACAUUUAUUUCAGUAAUAUAUGAUUUCUACUUAGACUAUUUGAAUCCUUGUAAGUAUAAUUAAUUAGUUAACCAAUUAAUUUUCUUUUAUUUGAAUUGUUAUUAUAUUCACAUUCAAAUGGAGAGUUCGGUAAGGUGAUUUCAUGAAGAAUCAAGUUGAAAUUAAGAAAUAUUAAUAAUCUACAUCAAGUUUAAUUUACUUGCAUUCUCAAUUUGAUUAGCCAAAUUAGAGAUUAAAUUAAUUGAGAUCAAUUUGAACUUAAUUAAUUCAAUUUUAAUACCACUGCUUACUUUCAAUUACAUCAUCUGGUGUUCUACUUUAAUCUAUAAACUUUUCAUUUUUCUUGGUCGUAUUCUCUACUAUGCCACCAAAAUUUAAAAAGACUCUUUCAACUUGUAAUUAUACUUAACUAAUGUUAAAAAUAAACAAUUGAAAUGAUGUCCGUCCGAUACACAAUGCACACUACACGUCAUAAUUAGGAAGAAGCUAUUACGAACGUUAUAUAAUAUAGUUUAGAUAUUUUUAUUGUUUUACAAGGUUGUAAUAUAUGUUAAACCGCUUGACGCGUUAAGACAUACUGAUAGUCUUGAAGUUCAAAAGUUCAACCACCUCUCCGACUCCUCCCUUAUUGUCAAAAAGAAAAAGAGUUAAACGAUAUGAUCGUCAUCUUUAUGUUUUUGUUUCUUUUAACUAAACAAACAAAAAGAAAAAUAUAAACCUAGAAGGUAUACUAAAGUUAUCUAUUCUCGAUAUACAACAAUUGAAGUAGCGAUUACACGUAGAAAUGUUUAUCAUUUUUUUACAGAGUUAAUUUCACGUAGACAAUUUAUUAGUACGACGAAGUGGUUAUCAAUCAAAUUAUUUAUUAUUUAUAUGUACCUUUUUUGACCGAUCAAAUUAUUCAUUAGGAAGGAAAACCCACGCGUCCUAUCUCAUAGAGAUCAAUACAAAUAUCUCUAAUUAUUUCACAUCUUGUUGUAUUGAUUGUUUAUUUACCUAUCUAUCUUCAACUAAUAAAAUAGGUUUCAUAUGUUAAGAUUUAGUAAAAUUUAUAUUGCCUUACAAUAAUGCUUAAUUUGACAAACAAAAUAGAGAUGUUAAGAUCAAAAUACAUUGUUAAAAGUAAAUAUAUACUUCCACUAGUUGUGUUCAUGCAUGUGUAUUAGUGACUAAGACUAAAAAAAUAUGUGUUCAAGUCUCUUCCUUUGGUACUUAAAAAUUGGUCAAAAUACGAUUAUAAAAAACCUAGUUCAUCACUAAUUAAUUGACAUUAAAAAUAUUUUACGCUAAAUCUAUAUUUAUAGUAAAAUAUAGAAUAUUUGAUAAAAUAUUUAUUUAUUUAUAAAUGGUAAAUUAUUUAAACUUUUUCGAUUUAUAACCUGAAUAAAUAUUUGGUUGUUUGUUAUAGUUAGGAGAAUUAAUGUGCAGAGACUAAAACAUAAAUUUAUUUUAUAAAUAUUUUAGUUGAUUUUGAUUGAAGAAUAGAGCAAAGGGAUUUUAGGAUGUUUGAAAAUUCUCCAAAAGUUUUAUGGAAAAGAUAAUUUUUUUUUUUGUUGAUUUGGAUUUAUUAAAUAUAGUAAAGUAUGAGACAGAUAUAUUAAAAAUAUGUGUAUUUUCGUAAUUUAAAAUAAUUUUAGUGAAAAAGAAGAAUGCGGCACAAAACCCUGAAGUAAGAAGGAGAAGUGCGAUUUUUGUAGCAGGUGAAGGCGCGAACAAAGAAUUGAGAGUUUCCACAAUGGAGAAGGCUAUGGCGACCUUUCACAAAGGCACCCUCUGUUCAGCUUGGAACUACUCCUCCACCAGAUUAGCCACCGCUUCUUCCGACGGAACCCUCGUCAUCUUUGAUUCUCCCCACCCUUCUUCUUCCUCCACCUCCUUUACUCCCACCUCAAACUUCAAGGUUCUUUUACUUCCAUUUCUCUCAAUUUAACUUCAUCAUCUUACCUCAACUUUACUGUUGCUUACACAUAAUCUCACCUUUCUAAAUGCCAUGUGUUCUUGAGUCAAGAGAGAGGGGAUAUUAAAUCAUGUCUUUUAAGAGGACAUGUUUCGUGUCCAGUGAUAUAUUAUGGGCUUUUUUUUCUUCUUCUUCUUCUGAAUUUUCUUAAAUUAAUACGAAGAUCAUUCAAUGAAUUUAUAACCUUGAAAUCUUAUCUAUUUUCUUUCUUUUAUUUUCCCCCCUGAGGGGGUGAUCCAUCUUUGUAGGCGCACGAGGUUGCAAUUACCAAGAUUGUUUGGGUACCUCCGGAGUAUGGUGAUUCUGUUGCGUGCAUAUGUUCAGAUGGAACUUCAUCAUUGUGGGAGGAGGUUGUUGAAGGUGGUAACCGUUUGGUUUUUGAGGACCCUGGGUCCUCUCAAAUUUUAUUGUUGCAUUAGUUUUGCCUAUUUCUUUCAUCCUAUCUUCCCCUUCUCUUGGCCAAUGAGUAUGGUACAUAGACCUUUAUUUUACUGAAAUUCUUCAAGUGUUCUAAUCACCUCUGUAAAUUCAUUACCUUUUUCUGCUUUGUAGAUGCCCAGCCCCUACAGUGGAAGCUAUGCAAACUCUUCAAAAGUAAUUCAUCUCAAAUCCUAGACUUGCAAUUUGGAAAUUCCUCCUCUGGUCUGAAAAUGGUAAAUUCUGUUGCUUCUUCUCAUUCCCUUUCUGGAUGUAUAUCCCAGAGUGCUGUUACAGAUGAAUGAUGCCUGUGCUUUCUAUUUGGCAAGCCCUAUUGAUUUUUAAUGCAUACAAUUACUUCAUUCUUGUUGACGUCAAAACAUAACAUAUCAUCAUUUCUCCCUCCAUGAUUACAAGGAUUUAUUUGAAUAUAAAUAUGAUAGUAGAAUUAACAGUGAUACACUUAUGAUGGUUCAAAUAUUUUCUUGUUGUUUCAUUCUCUUUACAUUUUUAUUUUGCGUUCAUGAUAGCUUAUUUAUCAUUAAAAAUACCCUUUACAUUUUCCCCUUUCAGAUUGCUGCAUUUUCAGAUGGUUAUAUAAAAGUUUAUGAGCUUAUGGAUCCUUUGAAUUUGAAGAACUGGCAACUUCAGGUGAUCAGUCUUCUAAUAUUUUUUCAAAUUGUCUAAUUUUAUUUGGCUGCCAAAGUUAUUGUUAGAAUAAAUUAUUCCUGUGUGAUUGGCCCUUGAGGACAUCCAAUAAAAAUGGAACUUGUUCCUGUAUGAUCUUACAAUCUGAAGAAAUAUAUCUAGUAAUCCUUUUUGUCAGACUUCAAUCAAUAGAUUUCUUCUUUAAUAAUAAAGGAAACUGAAUUUUUGAUUUCCUUUAAUUAAAAACUAUCUAUGUUUUUAACCUACUGAUGAAUCGAAUCACUUCACAGCUAUAUUCCAAUGUUCUAAUGUAUCUCCCUUCUGUAAAUUCCACAAUGUAUUACUGCAUAAUUAGAUAUGGAUAUUUGUGCACUUUUUUUGGUGAAUUGUCCAUUAUUUGCUGUACUACUGUUAUGUCAGAACCCUCAUCAGUCAACAGUAUUACCAACUAUUCUUGGGGAAUCACCUGAAUUUUUAUGUGAAAAACUUUUCAGUUUUCAUUUUGUUGUUUUGAAGAUUGUGUUUAGAGAAUUUGGAGGUUUGGAAUAUUUUGUAAAGUCAAACUUGUCCUCGUUCUUCAUCUUCCCUCCCUCGUCACUUUAUGUCUCUUUAUAAAAAGGAAAAAGAAGUGAGAGAAAAGUGUGGUGUGCAUGUGCCCAUGAACUCUUCUGAAGGAAGUAUUUAUUUUUGGUCCUUUACCUUCUCUGUGGCCUUUUUAUUGACAUUUGAAGUGUCUAAAAGAGAAACGGUCAUGAAUGGUUGGGAACUUUUAUGGCAUUCAUCUAGAAGCCCAGAUGGGCAAACAUCUGCAGGGCGCUGAGUUUUAGGCUGAAUUUCAUUCCAAGUAAACAAUGAGCUAUUAAAUAUUUUGACUCCUAUUCUCUACUUUGGUUCAGGCUGAAUUUCAGAAUGUUAUUGAUUCCAUUUCUACAGUCAGGAAAUCUUCUUGUUCAUCUGCAAGUAUAUCAUGGAAUCCUCAUCGAGGGGAGCAGCAAUCAAGCUUUGUUAUUGCUUUUAGUUCCAAUACACCGCAGCUUAAUUCGGCCAAGGUAUUCCUAGUUUUUCAUAUCUUAUCACUGCAAUCAAAAUUGUGAUGCAUCUAGGUGUUCGCAGCUUGCUGGAAGUCUUCCAUGAUUGCAUUAACCAUAAAAAUUGCACACUACAGUUAAAUGUCAUUUUUCCUGCACAGGUUUGGGAAUUUGAUCAGGCUCAUCACAGAUGGCUUCCUGUGGCAGAGUUGGCUUUGACUGCUGAGAAAGGUGAUGAGGUUUAUGCUGUCGCGUGGGCACAAAAUAUUGGAAGGUAAUGAACUAAUUUCUAAAGGAACUACCUAUGCUAGGUGUAUGUGUGGCGUGUUUAUAACUUUUAGAACACACAAAAUUCAGCAAAUAAUUAUAUCCCCAUAUAACUUUACACUUUCUUUUAACAAAUCUAAUAAACUAUUUUGUUAAGUGCUAACUAAUACUAGAACACUAGACAGAAAAUUGCCUGGGGAAUUUAAACGAGUUCCUUUAAUUGGCAAUAUCAAGAAAAUGAACUUCAUUCAACGUCACAACUUUUUCUAAGAAAGCUUGAAAGGGAGACUUCAAAAUGCAAUUCUUUCCAAAUUUCUUUUUUAAUUCUUGAUGAUAUACCCUGAAGAUUUUGAUUUUCUCCAUUUGAAGCUCCUGGGAAAUUCCUUUGAUAGCAUUUCUCCAUAGGAUGGAUAUGUGCUCAAAAGCCAAGGUGCUAACCAGGGGAAAUGAUAUAUUAUGUUGAACUCUUGCUAUAAAAUGGCUAAGAUUUAUAGGAGCAGUGGAGGAAUAGGUUGUUUGACUUACCCCAUUUUCUUUUCACAAAGACAAUCCAUACUUGGAAAAAGGUGAUGUUUGGGAAGCAUUCUAUGCUUAUACGAGUACAUCAGACGACUUUUUCAACCAGCAGCAAUUUCCAAAAGGAAUAUAUGAUCUUCAGAGAUACAAAGAGCCAAAUACAUUUGACAAUGUACUGACUUAUACUAUGCAUUCUAUUUCUUACAGUUAGGAAAAAUAGAACAGACAAAUCUCCAAAUUCUUUAUCAUAUAAAGGUCCCAUUUGACCCGAGUUCAGAUGUAGGUCUCAACAUCCAUGGUAUUGACAUUACCCUUUCUUUCAAGAACUAAAAGAGUAUCUGAACAGUAAAUUUAGAGGCUUUUCCUCCGAGCCAACUCAUAGUCUAGAGAGUGUUCCCUUGCAGUCCUUUAAUUUCUUUACACGUCACAAACUUCCUGGUGCUAUUCCUGAUAACUGUUUGUAAGGAUCACCAUGACAAGUUUUGAUAUAAACACAUUUCUUUUACGUGCUAAAAUCCUUCAAACAUGUUGAAUAAGUUUUAAUAAUAGUGAUAUUGUGUUGAAGUACCUUUUAGGCCAUAUGAGGUAAUAGCUGUUGCAACCCAGAGAGGAAUUGCAAUAUGGCAUCUUGGAUUAAGCCCCGACAUGGAUGGAAGGCUCUCAAGAGAAAGAGUUGCUCUGCUUUCUGGGCAUAAUGGCGAGGUAUCUCUUAAAAUUCUCUGUUCUCUUCUUCCUGUUUCCUUAUAUAUAUUUCUUGAAAAUCUGAAGGCAGAUGAAAUCGAAACAUCCAUUGUUUAAGAGAAACACCUGGUGUAGAGAAGAGUUCAUUUGAAUCCAUGUCAUUGAAACCUUAUAGAAUAAAUUCAAAACAUUCGCAGUCAUAGAAAGUUGGCUGCAAAUGUUUCUAGAAUUUUGUUGGUAUGAUUCCAUGAACUGCUUUUUGAAGAUUUUGUCUGUUUUGAUUAUCCUUAGACAAUGAGGAAGAGGUGGUACGUAAUUGAUAAUCAUGUUUUCACUUGCACUUUCAGGUGUGGGAGAUGGAGUGGGACAUGGGUGGUAUGACAUUAGCAUCAACAGGAAAGGACGGGAUGGUACGGUUGUGGCAAUCCAACCUCAAUGGUGUUUGGCACCAACAUGCUGCAUUUGAGCCGACUUCUUAAAAUUGAGAAUGUUUUGUUUCUUUUUGAUGUAACCACUUCCUGUAUUCAAUUUAAGGAAGAACUUCGAAAUAAUAUUAUUUGUCUUGUUGAGUGGGGGGCUAAUGUCAGGGAUACCUUAUUGGAGACCCUUGGGGAAAAUCAACUGUCAUUGAUGCUUUUAUUUCUCCAAAUUGCUUUUGCUGAGUUGAGACUUGUGUUGCUAAAGUAUGUAUUUCACGCUGACAAGAAGAAAGAAUAAAACUGCACUUGAAUUAGAGUUUGAGAAUCCGAAGGAAAAUGAGUAUGAGUUUAAAACUAAGGACAAUAUAGUAUUUCUAUCGACUUUGAUCAUAGUUCUUAAGAAACAUUUAAAUGUAAAUUUUAGAAAUUUAACGUUGAAAGUGGUUUAAUAGCAGCUGACAGCCCAAAAAAAACUUCCACUUUAAAUUAUUUGGCCUUUGCAGAAUUUCACUUUGAUUUAUUGAAAUGAGCUUUUUGUUCCGAGUGGAUAGCUGCAGGUCGCCUUAUUAAGAACCUCCCAGUUUCUCUGGGGUUUUCUUAUUUCCAGCGGUGUUUUUUUCCUCCAGAAACUGUCUGCAAAUUUGAUGAUUGUCUGAAGAGAAUAGAGACUGGUACGCUUAAACUUCGAGAGAUCUGCUUCCAAGGCUUCUUCUUCGAUAAUUUUAUUUCACAGCAGCUUCUACUUCAUUCGCUGAUUGGUAUGGGUCACACUCAACGCUGCUUCUUUGUCCCCAAAGCCUGUGAGUCUCUCAGAUACUAUUUAGCUUUUAACUACUAUUAUGAAAUUCUAUUUGAAAACUGUGAAUAGAAUUUUGUAUAAACUAUGUAUUGGGCGAUUAGUUUCCAUUAGUCGUAUUGUCGUUUUUCUACCUCUGAGCUGCUUGUUUAUGAAAAUCUUCUCUUUGACAAUUCUAUGUUUUUACUUGAUUAGUUUGGUGGCCCUAUGAUAUGAAUACCUAGUUCUAGCUGGAAUUGGUUUUUUUGUGCCAUAGUCUUACAUGUGAGCCAUAGUUUGCUUGGGCCAGCAUAGUUGUUUUUGGCUUUGUUUUCGUUUUUUUUUAAAAAAAAAAACAUUUCCCCUAGUAUGUUACUCUCUCUUUUUUUUCCCCUUUUUUUCCAUUCGCCUUCUUCGGUUAUCACAAUUAUGAAAAUUAUUGUAAGACUUGAUGAGAUUUCGACUUCUACCUUGGGUAGAUCCUAUGCUAAUUGGUAAUCCAGUAGCUUUAUAAGCUAACAAAAUCUACCUCAGAUAAAAACUGACUUUUAAUUUUGAUGAAUUUUUUUAUAGCAAGAAUUAAAUUGCUAUAACUUUGAAAGUAUAUAGACUGACCUACUAAAUUUCAAGGACUAAAUUGUUAUUUUCAUAAAAGUUGUGUUUUUCUAAUCAACCUCUGAUCAUAACGAGAGGGUAGCUCAAAUUUUACUUGGUAACAUACUUCUCCAGCUAUAGUCCGUCCAAGUAAUUAAUUCUAUUAUUAUUAUUAUUAUUUCAAUUCGUGGUUUCUUAAUGUUGUUCUUGCAUGGGGUACUGGUAGCCUCUCUCCAUCGAGUAGAAAUAUUGAAAUUUCUAGUCUGUUCUAACUGGAAGUGUUUUUAUUUAAUCUUGAUCUUGGGUUAAGUUUCCUGACGCUCGUCAUUCUUAUGUUUCCUUAUACUUGUGUAGUAGUUUCUUUUCCUGUAAAGAACAACAUCCUUAUCAGUCACAUUUUUUCAAUGCAUUAUUUCUCGACUCUGUUUCUGUAGUUGAAUUAUGUUCUUGAUCGAAGUAGGCUCUUACCUUUCUUGAUUAAAGGAGCUUAAGAAGUGGCCUUCAGUUUAAUACGGAACCAAUAAAUUUACUUCCAUUGUCUACUUGGCUUUCCUUUCAUUUUUGUUUGAUGAUCUUGCGCUGCUCAGCCAUAAUCAUUCCCUCCUCCUGACAACGAGAAUUGUUGGUUAGUAAUUCAUAGGAAAUUGAAGCAUGUUUUCCUUUAUUUCUUUCUUUUUUUUCCUAAUCAAUCGAUUAUCUGUUAAAGGUAUCAGGGACUUGGAAGAGGUUACGAUUUUCAAAAAGUGAAAAAAAUGCGUAUGCUUUAUAUGUUACUACUUAAACUGAUAUUUGGUGGCAGUGUCCAGAUAUUCUUCUUUUGUUAUUGCUUGGCCUACUUUGUUUUCCAAGUCGAUUGGAGAAGAAAAUUUUGCAAUCUUAUAACUUAUUCAGCUAAGAUUCUCAUAUUAGCCAAGUAUGGUGAAGAACAAUUACAUCAAAAUGUAUCGUUGUGGUUUAGUGGAUUUAGAUUAUAGAUACACUUCUUGUUGCGUGAAAAUGAUUGUUGACAUACAGUCAUACACGGUUUGUGUCAUUAGCAAAACAUAUCUCUCCUUUUCUUUUUUCAAUCUCAACAAUUAACAUGAUGAUAUUUGAAAUAAUAUUUACGUUCAUUUCAUCUCGCUCAAAUCUAGUAGUAUAAAUAAUUGCUUAGAUUAUAGAAAUGCACAAUAAACUACAAGGAUAUAUUUUUCAAUUACUACUAUUGCUAUGAAGUUCCCUAAUUUUAAACAAGUGCAGUUGCUUAGUCUCAUGUUGAUGCAAUUAAUUUGGAUGAAAAUUAAUAAAAGAACCAAAAAUGAACCUGCUAAUUAUAUUUCUAAUCACCAUGCUUUGCUAACAUUUUAGAAAAUGAAAUCUGGGUAAGAGAAAAACUUCCUUCUGUCUUGGUGCAUGAUUGAAGCUAUAUUUUAGAGGAUUUGUUAUUAGCCAGGAUGAAAUUUUAUUCUCAUGCCUAAGUGGUUUAGUAGAAAAAUCCUUGGGAAUUAAAUGGAAAAUUUGGAUUGAUGUGAUCUGAAUCAAAUGGAAAAUCCCAAUCCAGGAUAGGGGAAUUGGUAGCUGAAGUGUUGGCCGAGAAAAUCUCAUGGACAUCAGGAUCUAGAUUUUGCACACUAUGAGUCCCUCCUACGUUGCUUCUUUGGCAUGGGGAUGGAGUGAAGUAGUUUUUGUCAGGUGAGGUUGGGGAGGUAAAUGACUGAGGAAAGGUUCCCAAGGCAGAAUGAGUGUCGAUGGCUAAACUUGAAAAGCCAGCAUUUACAAUGUCCUUACAUCCAACAGAAGUUGAGCUUGAGCCAAAGCAGAAGGUAGAUGCCUUAUUUUCGAGCUUUUCGAUGUUCUGAAUGGUUUGAUUACCGAAUAGGUUUUCUUGCAAAGGCUGCAGCUCAUGAUGAUCGCCGUCAGUUUCCUUCUGUUCUUGCUUAUCGGGUGAAUGACAUGUUUGGGCUAAAUAGUUCCCUUGGGAACAUGUGUGCUUUCCUCGGUAUGUAAUCUCAAACACUGAAGGGUCUUCAUCUGAUCUCUGCACUUGCUUUACUGCCCAACAAUUCUGAGUAUUGCGAAAAGUGCAUCUAUAGUAGCUUCUGCAAGUAUGCAACAACCAAGUAUUAGACUAAUUGAUGUGAAACGAGGGACAAAUCUUAUUAUCUUUAAGCAGAUUAUAACUGAAGUCAACUUCUAAAUCAUGUUUGGGUAUGGAAAAUUAGGUCUUUUCCUCCUUAUUCAAACUAAUUCUUGUAUUUUAUUUAGUUUGGUUUAUGAUAUCUUUUUUUUUAAAAUUUUUAUUUUAUUUUAUUACAAAUUAGCUUUUUGGCUUAUUAAAGAAGUGGACUUUGACUUUGAAUUUUGAGUUAGUUGACAUUUCGGCCUCAUUUAUUUUUCUGUCAAUUUCCGUAUACUCAAUUAUCUGUCUAUUUCUCUUUUUGGGUUUCCUUCAUAUUGCCUAUUGCAUUCAUCCAUACACAAACAAUAAAGUUUAAUCUCUCUCCUCCCGUUAUCAUGUUUGUAUUUACACACUGAAGUAAUGAUACUUUUUAAUAUCAUUGUGUGGGUAUUUCAUAUUUGAAUAUAUUUUCAGUAUAUGUCUUGCAUGCUUUUUGAGGACGAAGAGGAAGAAAUCAUCUCACCUCGGAUAUGUUGCACCAAGUAUGUCCUUUUGGCCAUACUUUCUCCAGCUAUAACCAUCCUCAUGGGGUCCUUCGAAUCCCGUCUCAGAGUUCACUUUCACUUGUUCUGUCCAUCUGGGCUGUGUCUUUCUGUAAUCACAGAUAAAGUUGCUUUAAGUUUGUUUUCUUAAAAAAAAUUAAAUUUGUUUAUUAACUAUGUUCUUUUUUGUUCUAAGGUUGACUUAGAAAAGUUGGGAAGAAAACUCUGAUAUUCACCUCUUCUUUGAUUCUUUUCUGGAGUCCUGAGGGUCCUUGAGAACUCUACCAGAGUCAUCACUAGAAGGACUUCCAUUAACCGAAAUUGGAGAGCUUGGCAAACCAGGGGUCGCUUCAACCAUCUGAAGCUGAUUCAUUGGUCCGUUCCAUUUCAGUAUCAAAAGAGCUUUCUCAUAUGAAGAUAAAAUCCCUUGUACUAAUGAUCCUUUGCUUUCUUCUCCAGAUGCUGAACCCAACUCUGCUCUCAAUUGCUUGGUAAGCUCCAUCCCCUGAAUUAGCUCACCAAUGAGUGACUUUUGAUCCCAGCUCCACCCGCUUUCCAUUUUUAAUUCCUUUCAGUUCAUAAAAUUGAACAAACUGAACUACGCUACUAUUGUGCUAGUUCAUGGUUAGGAAGAACAAGAGUAAAGUAAACUUCUGUUUGGAUUUGUAGGUUUGUCAAGAAGCAGAAGCUUUCUAUCUAGGAAGAAGAAGCAAAAGCAAGAGGAAGUGGAAGACCAAAAUGGUAAAGAAUCAGAGAUAACACACAUGGAAAUAGCCAGUUGAGGUAAUUUUGAUGAGCUGAAUAUAUGUGUUUUUAAUUUAAAACUGAAGUGGAUAGGAGGGGAGAGAGAAGAAUAAGAGGAAGAACGAAUGAAGAGCUUUGGGUUUAAGAAGAACAAGUGUUGGGUUUUUAUAAAGGAAGACAAGUUUGUUUCAUUAUUUUAAAAAUGUAAUUGAACAGUUAGAAGUUGGGGAAACUUUGACUGAAACCCCAGUUGCUUUCUGGUCUAUGGUCAUUGGUAGAGUAUUAGUGUGGAAGUCCAAGUUCAAAAGCUGACCAAGUCCACUUCCACAUGGAUUUAACUUCCAAAAGGGUUUCUCUUUCUCGCUCUAGAUCCUACGGCUGUGAAUCGUGGAUAAUGAAAUUCCAUGAUUGAGAUAGAGAGAUAAGUAGAAAGUCAAUGUUCAAGCAUGGAGAGUAGACUAAGAAUUUUCAAACCUUGCAUCCGCGUUGGGGUAUAGUAAACAUGUGCUUUUGUUUAUUAUCAUUAUUUCAUUAAACAAAGAAUUCUAAAGCUUAUGAUUGUGAGUGGACAGCUCUUCUCAUAAGACUGACUGACUUGGAUUUUUUUUGCAUCACUCAUUCUCUAAAUUCCAAUUGUUUUGACACCAUUUUUUCUCAUCCAAUUUAUUAUUUAUUAUUUAUUAUUAUUUUUUACUACUUUUUUACUGAUUUUUCCUUCAUCUUACGUAAAUUAGAUCUUAGAUCUUAGACCUUAGUCUUAAAGAAACUUUGUAGUCAAAAUAAGUGUUUCUCAGUGUGCUUUUAUUUUACUUGAAAAUUUGAAAUUUGGUCACCCUCUUAAUUAUUCUAUUCUGUAUGAUGUCAUAAUAAUAAGGUUAUGUGAUGCAAUUCAAAUUGCUUCAAUAAGUUUAGUUAUAGAUUUUUCAAUGUAUCUUGAUUUAAUUUUUUAGGAAGUAUUGUUUUAGUUAAUUACAUAUUUGGUUUACACCUAAUUCUUUUCUUACCUUCUAAAAAUCCUUUUAAAUUUUUAGAUGACAUUUGGGGCGCCGAUCAAAAUUGGUUAUUAUAAUUAGUGUUUGAAGUACAAACUAUUAUAGUCCUAAUUAUAAUAUUUUUUGUUUGAGAUGUACACUAUUUUUAUUUGGAUAAAAAAUAGCAAACAUGAUAACAAAACAAAAAAAAAAAAAAUAGAAGAUGAAUGAAAAAUAGUAAAUAAAUGUAAAAUAAUAAAUAAAUGUUUGAAAUAGUAUUUACCAUAAGUCAUAAAAAGUUUUGCACACCACCAUUUACCGUAAGUCAUAAAAAGUUUUGCACACCACCACCAUUAUAGUCGGUGCUCCAAAUAUGAAACACGCUAGCUAUAAUAACCAACUUUAUCUACUUCUAGUUGAUGUCCACAUUCACCUUCACAAAAUUGAACCCCUAUGUUACCACUCCUUUUUUUUUCUUUUAUAUGUUGGGUCUUAUUAUUAGUUAAGCAAACUGCAUGAGUGGUUUGUUUCUAUUUAAAUCCUGAAAUUUGACCAUUAGUUACUAAUGGAAAAGUUCUUUUCUAUUUCUUCUCUCUCUCUCCCUUUUUCCUUUCAUUCUCUCUCUAACUGGGUCUUGUUGUGCUUUUAAAAAGGGGGAGUAUUGUAUUAGGGUUCAGAAAGCUGUGAGAAUUAUUGAGCUUUGUUUUCAAUUUAAUAUGUGGUUGUAUUCCCAUCUCUUUUGUAGUACAAUUUCAAUUUAAAUAAGAGAACACACUAGUUUCAUAAUUAAACAUGUUGGAAGAAGAAUGAAGUUAUGUGGUAACAUUCAAAGGCUUUAGUGUUGGUAGCUUGGAUGACCCCAUGGGGAGGGGAAUGGGAGAUGGAAAAAAGUAUAUAUAUUUUUAAAUGUAAAAAAGUGUAAAAUCAACCUAAUUACUUGAAAUUACUAAAAAUGGUUAUCUCGUUUUAAAUUUCUUUUCUCUCUUUAUUUCCUCAUCUUUUUAGAACAUAAAGCAUAGAGUACCCAACAGUAAAUUGUUGAAUGAAGCAUAAAAUAUAAAAUAUAGAGCAUCGAGUAGCAAAUAUAAAGCAUGUAGUAUAGAGAACAUAGAGCAUAAAGAAUCGAGUAUCAGAUAUUAAGUAUUUGAGGAAAAGUGUGAUUGAGUAGCUUGAAAUUUUUGUAUCCCAAGCCUAGUGAUAUCUUUCAAAAGAAGUUUGUUACCAUUCAAAUCUCUACAGAUAGUAAAAGGAAAAUCUUGAUAUACUUGUAAGUGAAUCUAAAAGCAAAGAGCAAGAUUUUAAAAAGGUUCGUUUGAUUUUAAUCAGUCUAUUUGACCAAACACAAAAAGCAGUUUAGAUUCUUCUCUAUUGACUUCUACUUAUCCCAAAAUCAAUUUGAAACGCAACUUUAGUUUUCACAAGUGUUCAUUUUUCACAAAUGUGUGGUUGAUAAUACGUUAGGAAUCCAAAGAUGAUGCUCACUCUACCAUUAUCAGCCUCAUGGCCUCCAAAUGUAACGGGCCGUGUAAUGGACGACCCAUUAACAAUUAAAGAAUUAUGGGCCAUCAAAAACCAACAAAUCAAGUGGGCUUCUAUGAACAACAUAGCCCAUAAUUUUCUUUUUAAGCAUCUGUAAUAAGCCAUGAGCUGCGGCAAGGACAAAAAUGCCCCUUGGGAACAUUCUUGGGUGAGGUAGGGUUGCCCAUUCAAACUACACAAAUCGAACCAAUAACUCAAUCAAACCGAAAAAUAUGAUUUAACUCAGUUUAACAAAAUUUCAAGAAAAUAUUUCAUGACUUCAACGUUAUGACUCAAAGUAGAGAGACAACUUUACAAAUCUCAACACUUUGUACAUAUACUGACCUGAGCAUCAAAAUAUAAAUUAUGCAUAAAAAAAAUUGUCAUAACGUCAAGAGAGUUACUAUAUUUAUGAAUAAUUAGUAUCCACUUGCAACAGUAUUACCAAGAACCCUCGAUAUCCUCAUAUCUCCUAUAUUUAUGUAUAAAAGAACACCAAUCUGUCUAUGUAUCAUUAGGGAGUUAUUUGACUCAUCACUUUUUCUAUCUUUCUUCAACAGCUUUGCACACCUCAACAUGAACUUGAAGAAAAUACUACUAUAGAAUCACACACGAUCACAAAACCGUACCAAACCAAGCAAUUUUAUGGUCCAUUACUUUAUUUGGUUCUAAUCGAUGAAAUGGAAAUUUGAGAUAUAAUAAUUUAGUUUGUUCCGCAUAUAUUUAUAUCUCAGGUAAAUUUCCAACAUAAUAAUUAUGGAAUUUUUUUAGCGAAACAUGUAACUAUAAGUGAGGAAAAUUUACUUUUAGUGAGGAGGAUGAAUCCAAGAUUAAUUCAUGAAACUGUUGAAGAGAAACGUGGAGAUAGAAUGUAUUGGUUAUUGAAUCAAAUCUCUUUUUUCACACUUUUUAUUGGAAUUUUUGUAGAUAUCAUGCCAAUUGGGAAAAUGUUAGGUAAAAGGGAAAGAGAUAAGGUAUAUAAUAUAUAAUGUGGAAUGUCAAAUAGGGAAAUAGGGAAAAUGCCAUUACUUUUCUAUUGACUUUCAUUCCAUAUAUCCUUAUUAAGAAUAAAGGUAUUGAAUUCCUAAGAAUAAAAAAUGUUAAUAUCUUCAAUUAUUCCCUUAUUUAUUUGCCUCAUGGAGUUUCCUAAGAGCCAUUCUUGAGUGAUAAUAAGUCUUUUCAUUUUUAUCAUAUGUUGUUCUUUAUAAAUAUAUAUACAUUAUUCUCAUAAUUAUAUAUAAACUCAAAAGCAAAUUCUUUGUUGCCUUCUCGCCGCCUCUCUCUUCCACAUGUGGGAAAUAUAUAUAUUACAAAAAGUGGUUCCAUUUAGAUUAGAUUCAUAUUUUCAAUCCAUUUGAAAUAUGUUUUUGAAUAAUUGAGUAUCUCUUUACACACUUAUUUUAAUUACUUAUUAAAACAAUUGUGAUACAUAAAGUAUAUAUUUGACAUUUUGUUGUUGGUUAAAGACUCAUCUUUGUUUAAAGAAUGGUAUAAAAAUUGAGAUAUUUACUGUCUUUUUGUAAAUCCCAAGAUUUAGAACUACCUUUUAUUUUUGGAUUUUAGUAUUUAUUUGAAUUAAGAAGGUUGAAAAUUAGCAACUAUGUCUUGAGUAGGUACAAAUGUAUUAUUGCCUUAAGAGCUACUUCUUUGCUAUCAAAUAUAAUCCGUUGUCUUGAACAAGUAGUUAUAGUUGUGCUAGAACAUGUUUAGAAGUCUAAAAUUAAAUAUUAAACUAAUUUUGAGUAAUUUAAGAUGUGUUAAAGGAUAAUUUUGAAUUUGAUGAAGUGGUUUUAACAAUUUCAAAAUCACUUCCGAACAUGCGUUAAAAAAUCAAUAAACUUGAUUUGAAAGAUAAAAUAUCGUUAUCAAACACAUCUUACUAAACAAUAAUACAAGUGAAUUACACUUGCCCAUGGUUUUUGUUUUAAAAAUAAGAAAACAAAAACAAAAGAUUCCUAACUUUUUAGUUUAUUUUUUUUUGGUAUCAUAAAAGACUUUCCUUUUUGGACACUAUAAAAAAGGUAUAACCUAAACCAAUAAUCUCAUUCAAGAAAACCAUAAACAAAAUGCACUUCAAAAGACAUACUCUUUGCUUUCUCUCCCUCAAGGGCUUCGAGGAUGGCGACCAACAUGAUCUCAAGCUUUGCUCGAAGCCCACGAGGAGGGGAUGCUAAAGGUAUGUCUUCUCCAACGAUAAUGCAUGGAAAUGCAACCUCGACAGUUCUUCAAUUUUAUUCCUAUUUUAAUUUUCGAACUAUUACUUAAUUUCAACACUUUUUUUUUAUCAAAAUGCUUUUCUUUUAACCUAAUUUUGAUGUCUUAUUUUAAUUACGACAAUAUAUAUUAGGACAAAUUUUUGAUAUCUUAUUCUUGUUUUGUUGUUAUUCAAAAUUUUAUAGUAAAAUACUAUUUUAGUUUCUAUAUGAACAGAAUAUAUGUGACCAUUGAAAUGAUUAUAACAUACAUCUUCCGUUCUUGAAUAAGGGAGAAAGAUGAAUGAGGGGAAAAUCAUUGGUGAAAAGAUACUCAGAUUAAAGUUAUUAAUUAUGAGGGCAAUAUGGAGGGGCCAAUAAAAAUUGUUUUUGAUGCAUGUGAAGAAGAACAUAGAGGUGGCCAUGACCCACAAAAAUGGCACUUUUUUCAAAAGUUUAUUAUUACUUCUUAUUACAAAAUAUAAUGAUUCUCAUAAUUUUAAUUAACCUUAAACUAGAGGAAAGUUAGGCUGCAAUAUGAGAUUCCCAUGUUCCAUACCAAUCAAUUAGAACGUAAAGUUAUAGCUUUCUACUCUUGUUUUUAUUAAUUGUUUUCUCCUUUUUACUUGUUAAAGACGUUUUUGUGAGUAGUUUUGUAAUGAUUAAAAUGAUUCUUUUCAUUUUUUAAAUCGCUCCAAAAUUAUAUCUUAACAAUCAUAUCAAGAUUGGUUCUAGAAACUAAUUUAGUUGGGUAUAGUUUCACACCUCUAAUUAAGAAGCCUUAAUUUCAAUAUUUUUAGUAUGAUUGAACGAAAAUAUUUUUUUUUGUUUGUUUUUAUAAUUUACUAACAUGUAAAUGAAGAUUAAAACUCAUUUUUAACUUAAACAUAAUAAUGAUCUAUAUUUUAAUUUGAUAAAAUGAACAAAUCUCUUUAACCUUUUCAUUGAAUUUAUAGAAUAACUAAUUAAUUUUACAUGAUCAAUCCAUGAAGGAAACCUAUUUGAUUUUUGUAACGUGUACUAACCAAUUUCUUUUCUUAGUUCAAAUGGACUCGGGGAAUUGCGACCAUCUUACCUUAAAGUUGUUAAUGUAUACAUACGUCAAUUGAGUUACACGUAGCAAAUUAAGAUUUUAUAUAUAGACUAUAAUAAUUAAAUGUAAUUAUUCAACAUAUUCUAAACAAAAGAGUACAGCGACAAUAGAGAUAGAAAGAUUUGAUUUAGAAAAUUAGAAAGAUGGUUAUUAUUUAAUUUAUUUUUUGGCCUUGCUCCUUUAAUUGCUACCUUUAAUCAGUUGUUGUUGGAUUGAUAAUGAGAGGUUGGUCUUGAUUCUUCUCCACCACCCUUACUCCCUCUGCAUAUCUAAGCACAUUUGCCUGUAUUUAAAUCAUCAAAACCAAACUCAUUUUCUUUUCUUCAAAAAUUAAAAAAAAAAAAAUAGAUGGAUGGACAUUUUCAAAUAAAGCAAAGUGAAUAUAUCAAAUAAAAGUUUAUUACUUUUAAUCAUUUUUAAAGGCUUCUUUUUAUAAAUUAAACUCUUUAUGUGGGAAAAGAAAGCUGAAGUUAAUUUUUUUUUCUUUUAAUAACAAACCAGAAAAAGAAGAAAGAAAUACCAAGUAAUUGUUUCUUAAAUUUACCAUUUCUUUUAGUCUCUAAUUUUUUUUUUUCAAAAAGCAUAUACUUCUAAGAACAUAGAAGUCUUGACAAUCUUCUAUGAAUGUUCUCUUAAAACUCAUUAUUUAACGAAACUUGAAAUACCUGAUGUUCGUUAAUCUCGACUGAAAACCCGUCAACGAUGAGAAAGGACGAAAUUUUUCUGUAACUGCCAGGCUCCAACCACCUCCUCAGAACCUCAUCGUGCUUUCUACUCAGGUACCCAUCAAGCUCAUCUGCCCCUUCCCCACAUCUUCAUACCAAAAAGAUCAAAUUAAAAAAGAAAACAUAUUAAAAGAAGAAAAAGAAAAAAAAUGUUUAUAGUGACAACUUUUACUAACCGAUCAGCCCGAAGACGUUCAUAUUCAGGAUCAUACUUCAUGAAAACGAAGUAACAUUCCUCGCCUCUGCCACCCAGUUCAUGUGCACCAUUGUAUCUGUUCUCCUGCAUUGUAGUCUUCUUCUUAGGGAAAAUAUUGAACUCUCUUUAAUAAUGCAUAAACUACACACACACGCACGCAUAUAUAUAUAUGAUGGAAGUAUAAUUUAAUUAGGGUCGGUUAGAUAUAUUUGUUUAAAAAUAUAAAGUUCAAUUUUGGUUACUGAAGAGAAGGGCGUCGAGUUCCCAAAACAUUUAAAUGACUAAAAUAACGUCUUUUUUGUUAGAAAAUAAAAGUCAAAAUUUUGUUUAGGGUUUCUAAUUAUCAUCUUCUGGGGUUUCGUGUGUUCAUGAACUUGAAAUCUCUUUUAAGUUAAGAGCUAAUAGAAAAUUCAUUGGAAAAUAUUAGUUAUGUUCAUGUUUUAAUUUUAAUUUGAAGGGUCAAACAUAAUUAACCAUUGAUUAAUUAAAGUGGAAUAAAAAACUCCACAUUUUCAAAGAUAUAUAUGGAAUAUUUGGAACUCUACGUUAAUUAUUUGUUAUACUACCCUAUGAGUAUAUAUUAAUUUUUAUUUAUCUUAUCUGCUGUUUAACAAUGUUUGCAAUAGUUUGGAAAACAAAACGAUGUAGAUAUUAAAAUUUUGUUUGUUUUCUAUAAUUUGAUUAAAAACCUAAAUGGUAUCUUAAUUAGAAAGAUGAAGACCAUGAUUAAGAAAGAAAGGAAAAAUAAAUACAAUUUUCAAAUAUCAAACGACGGAAAACACCAUUAUUAAGUUUGACAUUUGUGUUUUCUAAUAGAAUCAAAUUUUGUAUUUUACAUGAAUUGUGUAGGAUAAUUAUUCUAUGAUGCUUACCUGAAAAAGCAUAAAAGUAAUUAUUAUUAUGGACUUUUUUUCAAAAAUAGAAAAAUUUACAAACUAUUUAUUUCUAGUAAAUAAAUAAAUAAAAAUUUUGUUACACUUAAUUUUUUAUAAAAAUAUAAAUAUUUUAUCAAUUUUUAUGUUAUUGAAAUAUUUUUUAAAAUAGUAAAAUAAAUUAAAAUAUUUAUAUAGUAUAAUUUUGAAUUACAUCUCUAAUAAAUGUUGUAUGAGUAAUAAAUAUUUUGUAAAAUCUAAAAUUUUUAAAACUUCUCUAUUUUUUCUAUUAUUUAACGUGAAGAUGAUGAAAUUUAACUUUUCUCCUUUUUAAGUUAUUUAUUUCACAAUACGUGGAAAGGAAAAAUGUGCAAAGUGGGCCAUUAAAAUACUAGAAUUAUAAGGAAGGAUAAUGUUUUCAUGAAAUCAAAUUAGUUGGUUAUAAUAAAUAACAAAAAAAGAGUUAUUUUUAAAAAUUAGAAGAAAAUGGACAAAACCAACAAAAUUAUUACAAUUAAUUUUUUAUUAUAAAGUGUUAAUAUUUUAUCAAAUAUAAAAAAACAUAAAAAUAUUCAAAAUCCCUAUUUUGUUUACAAAAUUUUUAAUUAUAUAAUUGGGACCAAACAUUCAUAAUAUAAAUUGAAAUAUUUACACUCCCAAAUCUCCAAGUAGUGAUGAUACUUUGGUUAAUAAUAUUAUAUAUAUUUGAAGCAAUAAUUUGGGAGAAUGUUGUAAAAGAUAUUAAUAUAUUGUUUAUUUUUUAAAUUAAGAAAAUGAUGGGAAAAAAUUUCAAAAGAGAAAAGAAAAGAAAAAUAUAAAGGGAUGUAUGUCAGAGCAGAAAGGAAGGGACGAACAUGUGUCAAUGUGGUAGUGGUGAUCCCAUUAGAAGCAUCCACGUGUGAAGAGGAGAGGGGAGAAAGGCGAGGGGCCCUGGUAAUAAACAUGGGCCUAACCACUCAGAAUCUCUGACCAACACGAGAAUCGAAUGUUUUUCCUUUUGACUACUUUUUUCCCUUAAUUUUCCUACUAACCCACAACUUAUAUCCCUCUCCUCUUCCCCUCCCCUAUACUUUUUCAUCUUCAUCUUCAUUUCUAUAUUUCUUCGUUUUUAUUUUUCAUUUCAUUUUCCUCAACCCUUCUUUUCUUUCUCUACCAAAUUUUCAUCUCUAUUUACUUAACUAAACUAGUAUUGGAUUAACAUUUUGUGUUCUCCCCAAGCCUUUGAGUCAAAUAGGAGCGCGUAAUUGGUUACGUACGUACGUCCACUUAAUUGGUCCUCCAUCUCAUCCUUCUAACCAAGCCAUUUCAAGCUACUCAUUUAAAACACAUAUACAUACUAGAUGGCUAUUACGAUGAAAAACAUAAGUUGCAUGUGUAUAUGAACAACAUUUUCAUUUUCACGUUUCAACUGAAAAUACAUCCAUUUUCGAAAUAAGAGAGUGUGGAUAAGAGUGAAUAGUUUUUUGAGAAAAGGGUUUUAUAAUGGGAAGGAGGUUCUGGUGGGGAGGGCAGAGGAGAGUCAGAAAUGGGUUGAUGUGAAUAUUAUUGGUGGUCCUAAUAUCAAAAACAGAUAUAUAUUACUGCAAGAGAAACACACCUGAAUAAGGUGAAACUAUUUUGAUAGAUAUAUAUAAUUGGUUCAGUCAACAAUGCUGAGUUUCUCAGAAUACACAGCCUCCCUCUGCUUCCUUAUCUGUACCAUAUUUCAUGUUCAAAUUAACUUAAUUUAAAUGUUAGUUCAAUUUUAUAUAUGUGAUACCUUUUGUGAAUAUAUUAUAUCUAUAUCUAUCACUUUCAUAUCUACUUUAAUGUUUACAGUAUGUUAUGUUUUUUUACGAAAAUAUUUCUUUUUCUUUUGUUUCUAUUCUUAAUUUAUUUAAAUAUUUUAACUGGUUGAAAGAUUAUGAGAUAUUCAAUUCUUUUCGUACUCUAGAAAAUUUUGCUGUUUCUCUCGAUUUUGUUCUUGAUUACAACAUGUGGGUGUCACUAUUUAUAUAUGGCUUUUAGUCCGAUUGGAGAUAUAGUACUUUUCGUGAAAAUAUUGGUGCAUCUAAAAGGUUGAUCUUGAUCUAUAACUUGAUCUUGUUAUGCUAGUUGGUGAGUUCUUGAUGUUUUUAUUAUAUGUGUUGCGUGCAGAGUUGGAUACGAGGUUAUUGACUGAAUAGUGAGCAAAAGUGAGAAGAUCAUAAGUGUUAGAGGAGCCUAUCAAAAAGAGUAAAUUCAGAAGUGUCACACUCUCAAGGGAGAGCCUCUAAAUUGUGAUUCGAAAUUGAUUCACAAAGCAAUCAAUUCAAGCAGAAAUUCUUUAGUAAACUUGGAUUUGUUUAGUAGAAGUUUGUUAAAUAUGUUGAGAAUACUCAUUCUAACAAGAACAUUGCACUUAUGAAUCAUUUUGAAUUUCAAUAUAUGAUAUUUUCAGUCGAGUUAAAAACUUUUAUAAUGUAGGAGCAAUUGCGUCAAAUUGGGUUAAUUGGUGUUAAUAUUCUCUUUUUCUAGCGUUGUUACUCUAACUUUGAUGUGAUAUCGAUUCUCUAUAUUGACUUUAUGUUUGUUUUUCAUAGUGAUACAUUUUUUUUCAUCAAAUAAUGAAUAAUAAAUUUUAAUACUUUUUUUUCUAUUAUUUAUUUUUCAUAUGAAACUUUUAUUUUCUUGUUAGACAACAAAAUUUCAUUUCAUUUCCUUUCUAAAAAGAGUAUAAACAAAAACUAACGAAAAGAAAAUUUAACCCUUUCUUAAAAUGAGAUAUGAAAGGGAUUUAAUUAAUGAUAUAUACAUUUUUAUGUAAUUGAACUAUGCUCAUUUUUUAAAUAUAUACAUUAAUUUAGGAGGAACUCCAAAAUUAUAAUGUCUAUACGAUGACUAUUAUUUUGUGUCUCUAUUCAAAGGUUAGAAAAGAAAGAAUUAUAAGGUAAAAUAUAGAUAAUUAGUAUAUUUCCUAGGUGUCUAAAAGUUUUAAAAGAGACAUUUGUAGUCUCUAAAGUUUCUUAAAUCAUUGUAAAUGAUGUUAGAUAACUAGUGGAAAAUAAUAUGGCUAAUUUAAACAAUACCUAUUGAUUCAUAAGAUUUCAUAGUAUUUUGUUUAUGCAAAAUCUAGAGGUAAUUCUAGAAUUCUUGUGAACACUCACAAAUAAGACAACUUACUAAAUGAUUCCAAUCAAGACUUUAGCUAGAAGAGUGACAAAUAACUCUAAGAGAUCGAUUUAUAAUCUUUAAAGGUUAUUCUCAACAUUGUCCUAAAACAACAUACUCCAAAAUCAUUUAGUUAAUUACCAAAUCUAAAGCAUAUUUUAUAAACAAUAAAACUAAUCAUGUUGAAUAAACACAACAUUUUUAAUUAAGUAAUUUGAAGCUCAAGGUGAGUGUUUAGAUUGAUUGUGAGUGUUUAUCAACACAAAAAAGUGUAUAAAAACUUAAGUGAAAAUUUAAACUUAUCAAAAUAGAAUGCUCUAAAUAGUCUUAAAUCACUUAUCCUAGGGGCAACGAUCUUGAUUGCACAUUUAACAAGGUUUUACAUCAUGAAUUUCAACCCGGUAUACACUUGACAACACAAUCUUCACAAUUUCGAUCCUACAUAAACUACCAAACUAGACUAUUUUUUCCUUAGCGUCAUCACUUCAAUCUCUCUUCUAAACUUAUUGACCUACAUUCUAUAUUAUUUUAGGCUUAAAUUUUUUUAUUCCAUCUUGUGCAUUUCUUAAUCUUUGAAGAUGUAACGUGAAAGUAGCAUCUUUAAUCUUCUCAUAAUAUAGCUCACUGAUCAAAUAUGUAUUAGAUCGGUGGUUGAAUUCACAAGCUGCACUUAGGACUAUGCAAAUAAGUUACAUUUAGAUAUUUUCUCUUUGAUAAUUGAAAUAUAACGUAGGCAAAGUGAGAUGCGUUCUUUUGCAUGCAUUAUCUUCCCUUUUCUCUUUCAAGUUUCAUUCCUCUCUCUCCCUUCUCCUCCCAUGAACCUCCACUGUCAUCGUCUUUUCUCCAAAUCUCCCUUCUAUUUAAGUUUUGUUUGUACAACCACAACCUCCAAUCUUUAGAAGCUAAGUUUAUACCAACCUACUAUAUUAAAGUCAAGCUUACGUUGUAUCGGAUAGUCCACAUCAUAAAUGGUUGAAGACAUACAUUCUCCUCUUAUUACCUCUCACCUGCACUAUCCAAUUUUCGGCUUCUUUGGAUGGGCCAAGAAAUAGACUUGGGCCUUUACAGGAGGAAUAUUCCUUGAAUUUACUCUUUUUUUCCUAUUUUUUUUAGAUAAAAUCUUAAUUAAUUUGAAACAUUCACAGUGUAAAAUUUAAUCUUUUUAUUUUAUUAGACAUAAGUUAAAUUUUAUGUUCAAUUAAUUUAUAAAAUUCUCACUAAUACAGGAAAUUUACUAUUCUUUUAAUUAGGACAUGUGAGUAAUAAUGUUAAAAUCACUUUUUCAUGUGAAAAAUCAUUAUCAUACAUACCUUUAAUCACUUACAAUUAACUUAAUAUCUAGUUUAUAUUAUUAAAAUUGAUUUUAAAAAUGAAAGAAAAUAAGUGAUUUAACCGUCUCAAGAUAUGGGACAUGCUAAAAGACAUUUAAAAGCUACAAAGUUUUAAUAAAUGACAGCUGUCCAUAAGAAAAUCUGUUUUAUUAGUUAAUAAUUAAAUUAAGGAUAUAAGUCAAUAGUUUCAUUAAUUAAUGUAAUAAAUUAAUUAGAAUUGCGUCCUCCAUGACGUAUUGCACAUAUCUUUACAAAAUAUUGUUAUUCUUUUAAUAAAUAUAGCAUUGUUUUAAACAAUGGUUGAUUUCCUCAAAAUCAAGAAAAUUAAAUUAAAGAAUGUCAUCACUCUUGUAUUUUAUAAUAGAGUUAAUGCUAAAUUGAUUCAUGGAAACUGUGUACAUAUAACAAAUUCACUAGUUCUUUUCAAAAUUCGAUAUAAAAAAUGAAAUGAAAAUAAGUAUUUUAAUAUAGUAAAAUAUCACAAUAAUAGUUCUAUAUAUUUGAAAAUAGUUGUUUGAAUGUAAAUAUUAAUUUUAUAUUUUAUAAAAAUCAUAAAUUAACUCAAAAUUUUAAAUUAAGUGGAUGGAUUAGGAAAAAGUAAAAACAGAAAGAAGUAGAAAAUUAAAAGGAAUCCACACAACUCCAAAAGUUAAUUGUGGAAAUAAAAAGAAUUAAAUAGACAAGUGAUAAGAAAAUGAAGGUUUGCCCGUUGCCCGUCUUUCAAGUUAAAAUCCAAGUCAAGUCAAGAGUUAAAUCCUACCCUACCUGCCCGAAAUUUUCUCUCCGUCAAACCCUAUAAAUCUCCAUUUCUCAUCUUCCCCUGUUCCUUGCGAUUGCAGCCAUAACCAUGGCCAAACUCACCCUAACCUUCCUUCUCUUCUUCGUCCUUGUCACUUCCUCAUGCGCUCGAGAUCUCAUAAAUUUACCGGACACAUCAGAGUCCCUCACCUUUUCCGUCUCUGCACCCGCCCAGGAUUCCGAUUUCAAGUCCUCGAUCCUCCUCCCGACCCAGAAAUUGUCCGAUGACGAAUCUCCAAGAUCCAUACCAGACACCGAUCAGGUACGCACCGAAUCCAAUCCUACUGAAAUUACUGCUCUUGAUACCAUAGACACCGUUUCAGAUCCGGUAGUUAUGAUCACUUUCCGUCCAAUCAACCGUCAAUUCGGUCGACCAUCGGUGCCGCUGAUGUUCCGGAGAGGCCGCCGCGGCUGUCACCACCUCCGCAGCGUGAAGCCGUGGAGAUCAAUCGAUCGGCUAAAUGAAAUCUCAUACGGAAACGACAUGAUCGUACCUGAGGAGCGAUCGAACCCUAAUUCUGGGUCGAACCGCGAAAUUGCAAUUCCGUCGAAAUUGAGUGAGUUCCGACAUGUCAGACCGUGGGAGGAUUCGUACAGUAGCGAUUGGAAGGAAGAUAAGAAGCAUCUCCAUCAUCAUUAUUUCCAUCACCAACACCAUGAAGAAGAAGAGCAUGAACACAAAGAAAAGAGCAGUUUAUUGAGGAAAUUCCGUAAGUUUUUGAAGCAUUUGGAGUUCUGAAGAUACAAAAUUAAACUACAAAUGAUACGAUUAUCUGUUCUUCAGGUUUAUGUUUUUUCUUUUGCUUUUUCUUGAAUUGCAAUAAGGUAAUUAGCGUUUUACAUAGUUGUGUAUAGGAUUUUGAAUCCUUAAUAUGUGUAAUAUAAUAGCGUUGCUUAUGUGAAUGGGGAGUGUGUAACUUCACUUAAUUAAUUACAAUAAUUAUGCAUAAUGUAUCUAUUUGCCUGUUCAUGUUAUAUGAAUUAUGUUUUUGAAUGCUUUGAUGGAUUAUAUGAUUCUUGCAUAUUCAAUUUUGUGUAUAUAAUCAUGAGAGAAUUAAAAAUUUUAUUUAUAUUAUUUCUCAACAACAAUGUCAUCCGAUAUCAAAACUAUGCUCUUAUCUACAUACUACGCCUAUAAAAACGAUGCUCUAAGCUUUUCUAAUAUGGCAUGAAAUUAUUAGAUAUAAACAAAGCACCUUAGGAAAUCAUUAUGUAAUAUAGUAACUGAUUUUAUAGAAAUCAGAGGAUUUUUUUAAAGAAAUUGGAGGAUUUGGUAACUACCUCAGAAACUAGUUUUUAAAAUAUAUUUGAAAUAAUUUUAUCAAAAGAGUUUGAAUAAAGGUAAGCUCUUUGAAAAACAGAUUUUAUUAAAUCAAUUCAAACUCAUAUAAAUCCUUAUAAACACUCAUUUUGUCUUCAAAUUUAUUGCUUUGUUACCAAUUUUUAGCUAAAAUUUGAAAAUUAAAUAAAAGGUAGGAUAUAGUUUUGAUUUGUGCUAUAGAAUUCAACUACCAGUAAGAAGAUACAAAUCGUGGUAAGUAAUCGAGGAAGGAGCUUUUUAGAUUAUCAAGUACAAAUCAUCAAUGUAAAAAUCAAGUUAAUUCGAAAAACAAUUAGUAAAGUUUCAUAGCAAAAAACUUUAAAAUUUAAGUAAUCUACAAAUUUUAGAUUUUGAAACCUAUAAAUCAAAUUAAAUUAGAUCCCAGAAAAUUUAAAAAAAAAAAUGGUUUUCUCCACAUUAUAAUUGAUGGUUGAGUCAUGAGUGUGUAAAUGCACAAUAAAGUUGAGGAGGUGGGUAUUGAUAGAGUAGUAUGGGUACUUAGAGAAGUUACAUAGGACACUGUGAACAUGUGGCUAAAUAUAUGAAGAGGGCCACCACCUUCAUUUCACAUACCUUUCAUCGUUCUUCAUUGACAUUUACCAAGCUUACACUUCCAGUGGACUCAAUAUAUAUAUAUAUACACCCUUAAGUUUUAAACUCUAAAUUGACUAUAUCAAUUUGAAUCUCUAUAGUCUUAAUUAAUGAUAUAUAUAAGUAACUAAGUUAAUCUAUAUUUAGUUUGGCUGGAGAAGAUAAAGUUAAAUAUAUGAGUAUGAAUUGAGAAGUCAAAAUGUAUGGAUGAAAGAGACGAAGGAAAAUGAGUGACUAAUACACACACAUACACAUAAUAUACCUCAUUUAUGUGUUGUUUCUUUCAUUCACGUUAGAGAUAUGGGUGUGGGUAUGGCAUUUCACCUAAUUUCUUUUUUCUUUUUCUUCUCUUUGUACACAUUAUUCCUUUUCAAAUUUUAUAUUUUCUUCACAAUUCACCACUUUCAUUUCUCUUUCCAUUACAAUCUAUCCCUCUAGUACCUACAUCCAUCCAAAUCAACAUUUAUCCAAACGACUAGAAAGUUGUAUUAUAUUCAAAGUCUCGUUGCUUCUAAUCAAUGAACAAGAUUCAUUUGCAAACUUAAUUAUCUAUGCUUAGUUUGAUGUAUAUUUUAUAUUAUAUAUUUAAAUGUUAUUAAAGUUACACAUUAGUUACAUAAAGAAAUGAAUGAUCGUGCAUAAAUAAAUAUAUAAGUAAAGACAACUAUCUCUCUUGGUAUGAGGUCUUUUGACAUUACAAGAAAAGAGAUCGGAUCUCCCGAUGCACAAAAGUGUUGGGAGAUCCUCUAUUUUUUUAAAAUUCUAAAGCAAAAUAAAGAAAAAGAACAAUAGCUUACCAACGACGAGGGGGACAAAUGAAAGUGAAGACCAGACAAUGGACGGAGAUGGAAUUCUGAAAUCUCUCUUCCUCUCUCUCGUUUUUUGAUUUGGAUAUCUCCCUCUUUCUCUUUUUUGACUAGUUUGAAAAUAAGUUUACACGUCUGAAAAGUGGGUUUUAAAGGGGAAACUCUCGACGUCGGUCGAGGUGUGUCAGGAAUUCCCGCACCAAGCACGAUGUCGUUAUGCAUGGCAUCGGAAGAAGUUUAAUAUAUUAAAAAACAAAUUAAACUUUUCUCGACGUCAUGCAUAACGACGUCGAGAAGUUUAAUUUAUUAAAGAAAAUUUAAACUUUUUCCGACACAAUUCAUAACGGCAUCGGGAGAAGUUUAAAUUUUUUUUAUUACAUUACCUUAUAUCGAUGUCACCUUAUGUUGCGUCGAGAUUGCCAACCUAUCUCGACGGAGCUUCUACAACAUCGGGAGAAGUUUUUCUCCCGACGUUACUUAUUCUGACAUUCGUGUUGUGUGUUGCGAUAUACAUAUUUUCUUCUAGUGUGGGAUGGUACCAAAAACAAAGUCACGAAGGUAUAUAUAUUUUGUUAGGACAACAAACUUCCAAAUAUAUAUAUAUAUAUAUAUAUAUAUAUAUAUAUAUAUAUAUAUGACUUCUUUUCGAUAAGAUAUGUCAAAAUGAGCGUGCAUUUCACCCUAACAUAAAUAGAUGUUUAGAAUUAAAAGAUCUAUGGGUUCAAAUCUUUUCCCACACUUUCUUGUAUUUCUCUUUUCUUGUAAUUUAUAAAUACAUAACCAUAUCAAAUUGACAAAAUUAUGGAAGUAGAAGAUUAACCUAGGUUUGGCCCAAAAAGAAAAUGAGAUUAUUUAUUGAAUUGAAAUAUUUUCUUUAAAGAGGGUCACACACUAUCAAAAUUAAUAGUUUGUUUGCAUCUGACCACCCUCAAUAUCUAUUCUUUUUAAACAUUGAUGACUUGUAAAAAAGAAAUUUUUGCAUAUCAUCUUGUUUGUUACACAUAUUUUGAUACUUAAACCAAAAGGAGCGUAAAAAAUAUUAAGAUUAAGUGAGUAAAAAUGCAUUUUACUUCUCUUUAUUUAUAUUUUAAUGGUGAGUUUGAUAUAAGACUUUAAAUCGAAUCAAGUUGACCUCGAGUCACUAAAGACAAGAGAUGUAAAAUCAUGUCCCAUUCAAGACUCAAAUUCCUCUUUUUCCCAAGCCUCAUUUGGAGCUAGUGGUGAGCUAUUAUUGACAUAUUGGUAAGUCUAGUCCUUUUCUUGUUUAAUUAUCUCCAAACUUGCUUAAUGUCAUUUAUGUUCUCGAGCUCAAAAUAAUUACCAAAGUACUAUGUUUUAACAUCAAGAUUUGUUGCUGUUAUUUUCAAACUCUAAAACACUCAAUAGUCGAUAUAAUUAACUCUUUUAAAAUGGAUCUAUCUAGAAGAUAUGUGUAUCCAUUCUUUACAUUCAAUGUCUUACAAAGUUAAUUAUUUAAAGUGACUGAAUUCCACGUUAUGUUGAAAUAAUAUUGAUGUGCUUCACAAUUGAGAGUAUUAUUUAUAUUUUUGCAUAAAUUAAAAAAAAAAACUUCCAAAAAUUAAUAGUUCAUUUUAAAAUAUUAAAUCUUUUCUUUAACGUCUUCUCAUGCAUGAACUACAUAUUUAAGUUCGACCAUGAAAAUGAAAACCAAUAGAAUCAUGAUUGGAUUAUGAAAGGAUUUAAACUAAUUUGUUGUUUACAAUUUGAUUACUCAUCCCUUAGUUAAUUGAUUAUGUUGAGGGGCAUUAGCCAUUGCUAUUAUCUUAUAGUUUAAUAUCAUUUAUUAAAAAAUCAAAACGAUGAACUCAUUUUCUUUUGUAUUAAACAAACUAAUAUUCUGAUUUAACCAUUUAAAAUGAAUGAUAUAUAGAGUUCCAAGUAAAAAGGGGAAGAAAAUAGGCAUUAAAGAAAAAACAAAGAAAGAAGUUACAAAUUUCUUUACAAAAACUAUAUGAGAAAUUUUAUUACUUAGAUUGAAAGAAAAAAGAAAUUUAAUUUAAUUUAAUUUGCAAGAACUUCCCAGAUCAAAUCUGGAUCGAAAGACGGCAUCUUCGCCAAUGAAGAAUACCCUUCACAAACACCUUCCCCGACCACCGCCUCCGCCGCCACCGCCGCCGAUGACUCCGCCGAACCUGAGGACGACGAUGACGCCGGCGGAGAAUUCUCCGACCUCCAAAACCCAUCUUCUGAAACCACAGACGAGCACCCCAUUUCACCGCUCCGACACCACUCUUCCACUGCCGGCGACGACGACGACAUCGAACAGGAUUCAGAAACGGCUCCGUUUUUGGGAUCCGAUUUCUUGCUAUUCUUUUUAGCCUUUUCCUUCUUCAUCUUCAAACAAAUUGCUUGAAUUUUUGCAUCCACAGAGUUCUUCAGAGCAUUCAAUCGGCCGCAAUCCGCGAAUCCCAAAUUUCUAAAGUCCUUCAAAUUCGGAAAAUUCAGCCUCGCGUAUUCUCCUCUGAGCUUAUACGCCGCCCUGUCAUACGCAUACGCGGCGGCCUCCGCCGUGUCGUAAGUUCCCAACCAAACCCUCAUCCUAUUUUGCGGCAGUCUAAUCUCCGCCACCCAUUUUCCCCAAUGCCUCUGUCUCACUCCCCUGUACAGCUUCUUCUUGACCGCCGUCGGAAAACCACCAUAUCCAGUGGAGAUUCCAAGUGGGUGGAGGUGCAAAUUGGCCGAGGAGCAGGCAUCUCGAUUCUCUAAACAGAAUUGGUGGACAAGAUCUCUCUGGCGGAGAUAAACAGAGGAGCCAAGCGGCGACUCCGUUGGAGGAGCAGCGGAGGAAGGGAGACAGUGGGAGAAAAUGGAAUCGAGAGUGUUGGUUGAAUGGGGAGAGAGGAGGAGAUUGGAGAGGAGAGUUCUAAUGUCGGUGAAGCUUUUGGAAUUGGAAAUGAAUUGGGGAUUGUUUAACUGCUCUUGCAUUUUGUUGUUCAUGAAGGUUUUGAUUUUCUUUCUUUUUUCCAGGAAAAUGGGGAAGAAGAAGAUUAGGAUUUUGGGAGUAUAAGUGAAAAAUGGUGGUAUUUAUAGGUGGGGUGAAGAGAGUUUAGAAAAUGGGUUCUUUUAGUUUCCUUUUUGUUUGUGAUAAAGUUUGAAACUUGAUAACACCCACCGGUCAAUUUGAGGAUUCUCAAUGAUUUUAACUUUCUUUCUUUUUUCUCUUUUUUAAUAAAAAGUAUGGCUCUUGGGAUCCUAUUAGCUAACCCCUUGGGUUUCUUCCCCAUUGAGAGAUAGAGAGGGAUUUUGAACCAUAUAUUUGUUCCAAAUUAUUUUAACUUGGAUUAUUCCAUAUACUUCCUUCUUAUCCAAUUUGAUUUAAGUUUUGAUCCCACCAUGUACCAAGCUAUUAACUACUUCUAUGUGUACCCAUAUCCACUUAACUAAAUAGUUAUUUCAUGUCAACAAUAUAAAGUUUAUGUCAAAUAAAUAUUUCAUAUUUAUGGUCUAGUUACACUCAUGAACGAAAGCAUGCAUUUAAGUACCUCUUCAAUUCGAAUUGUUGUAAAUAAAAAAGUUAUUAAGAAAUGUAAAGAGACACAAUAGCAAUGUAAAUAUGUCUUUGAAGAGCUUCUUCUACACAUAAUAUAGAUACUUGUGUAUUUCAAAUAGAUCUCUUCUUAGAUUAAAUGACAUUAUUUGAGUUUUGUUUAGCACCAUGUCUUUAACUCAACGAGUGAGUAUACAUGUCAAUUGUAAUCAAACUAUGCGCCAUUUAACAAUUAUAACUUAGAAACUAAAUGAUUUUUAUAAAGUUUGAUAGGAAUAACUAAGAAUAGUUCUCAUCUCAUGUGUAAUUGAAUAAUACGUCAAAUAUUUAAUAAAUAUUAUUUCAGUACUAUAUAUCUCAAGACUUACUUUAUUUCAGUUGUCGUUACCAAAUGUUUAAAUUCGUGUUUGUCUUUUUCAUAUUAUGUCCUAAUUUUUACCUAAAUUUUUAUCUCAUGUGUAUCGGGUUUUGAGUGUAGGGUUUGUUUAAACCUUAAUUUUUAUGCGUAGUUAUGAAAAUUUGUUUAUUUUAUUGUUGAGGAUGAUACCAUUAGCGAGUUAGAUUAAGUUGGAUUGCUAUGAGUGUAGUAAAUCACUUGGAAAGUCUAAAUGGGAACUGGUGACAAGUAUUCAAAGUUGUAUCACUGAUAGGAUAUCAUUCAAAACAUGAGAGACAUUUGUGUGUAGAAGUGAAAGAGACGUCAUACAUGCAGGAAAGCUAAAUGUAAAUGUAAAUGUAUUUACAUUAUUAUUAUAAAAAUUGAGUCAUCUUAAAUCUACUAACAUAUUGCUUGUAUUAUCAAUCUCAAAGUCAGAUAUUUGAUUCUCUUGUCUCACAGGUCAAAAACAAAAUACUAGUAAUUAAAUGUAUAUAUUGUAAUACUUCUGUAUAUUAAAGAUAAUAAAAUAAACAAUUAUAUGUAUCACUCGAUUAUAAAAUGCAAAAUAAAUUAUAGGAAGAAUGAUCAUAAAAUCUUUAGGAAAAUAAUAAUAUCCAAAAUGGAAAGAGGAUGAUAUAUUGGAACAUUUUUUAACAUAGAAAAAUAAAUCAAGUUUAUAUAAAUAGUUGGUGGUUAAUUUUGAGUUUUAAUAUAAUUGAAUAAAGAGGAUUUUAGUAAAAAUGAAAAAAGAUUUAUAAAGUAAUUAAUAUAAGUUUAGAAGUAAUAAAAAAGAAAAAAGAAAAAAGGAUGGGUGUGGUCCAAACAGCAUAGAGUAUCCAAUCAGCAUAGCGCUGAAAAGCUACUUUUUUUAUUUAAUGCCCUAAAAAACAAAUACGAAACAAACACAUCAUAAACUACCAAUCCUAUCUCUUCUCUUCUCAUUGCCUUCUUACUUUAAUGUGAUCAAAUUAAAUCUUUUUUAUUUCCACCUAAUUUCAUUCCGGAUUCAAAUCUAUUUUAACCCAUCCAUGUUAUUUUUAAAUUAAUUAUAUUUUCAAAAUUAUUAUUAAUAUUUGGCUUAAUUUCAAUUUAAACACAAUAGUUUCUUAAGUUUUAGGAAUUCAAAUAACAAAAUUGUUGUAAAUAUUUUAAACGAUUUGAUUAGUUAAUCGUCAAAUCUAAAUCAUAUUACAACAAGAAAAGAAAAAACUAUCGCAUGUACACAUUAAUUUAAAAGCAUGGAGAAUAUUUCUUUAAAAAAGAUUGUUGUACAAAAAUUACUAAAAGAACCAAGUCUAUUUGGUAAUUCCAAAAUAAAGAAGCUAUAUACAUAAUUGAGAUUGGGUAAAUUAAUGUCAUUAAAUUCAUUUUCUCUCCACAUGGUUACCUUUCAAAAUCCACUCUAUACCCUUUAACUAUUGUUUUUAUCUAUCAUAAUACAAUUAGACAUAGCUAUAUUUUAUUAAUAUUUUAAUUAUUUUUUGUUAUAUUUAAACAUAGUUCUCAUACACACAAUCACUCAAUAAUAAUUGAUAUUAAUUAAAUUGAUUAAAAUAUGCAAUUCUUAAUUUUAAUUAAGAGGGGGUGCAAGUGCAAAAAAGUUUAUGGAUGUAUUUAUGCUUAUGAGAGAGAUGUGACACACCUACCUCUAAAUUACCAAACAGCCAAAACUUACAUCCAAAUCUUUUUUAUAAAUGCCAUUAUUUAUAAAUAUCUUCUUUUGACAUAACAUAUUGAAAGUUAUAUUAAAUGUUAUAGACUCCACAACUAUUAUUGGAUAUGCACUUAAGUACACACACUAUGCAUCCAAAUCCAUGUGACAUGUUAUAUGCUUUUAAAUUCAUAGAUUAACUUCCAAUCUUGUCUCCUUUAUUUAUUUUUACCCUAAAAUUUAUUAUUUCUAUUUAUUGGACAAAAUUCAUUUUUUAUUUUUAUUUUUAUUUUACUGUUUAGAUUUUUCCAUGCCUUAAUUAAUUUUUGUGAUUUUUUUUUCUAAUAAUGGUGUGUGUUUGUAGCUUUCCAAUUUUACCUAUUCCACGUUAUUUUUCAUUUUAAUUAAUUUGACACGUGAAUUUAUUUGGAGUCGCAUUUAAGAACUGUUUUAUUUUUUUAUUGAACAAAUUUCAAUUCAAUUUUUAGUUUUCACAUGAAUGAAUGUGGUGGAGGUAAUUCAAAUAUUUUUCUUCCCUAUCGCCAUUGUUAAUUAUCCAACGUUUGAAUUAAUAUUAAAGAAAAAAAUGGUUUUUAUUUAAACUCUUUUAAUACAAAAUUUUAAACUAAAAUUUGUUUCAAACCCAUUUAAAAUGGUUUUUAAAUGUUUCGAGUUUCUUCAAAAUAAUUUAUUUUCAACCAUAUUUAAUGAGUUGGAAAAUGAAAACAAAAACAAACACUAUAAAAAAGAUGAUUAAUUUUUUUAAAAAAAAAUUGCUAGCUCUUAAAGAAAGUGAAUAAAAACUUGUUUAACUAAUUAAUCUAUAUAUAUCUUCAAGUUUUCUCUUUUGUUUAAAAAUACCUUGUUCAAAGUUGCAAAAUUACUCGUAAAUGAUUCAAACUUAUUCUUAAAGUAAAUUUCAUAAAAACAUUAGUAAUUAAUCUCUCAAAUAUGGACGAUCUUGUUCUUAAAGUAAAUUUCAUAAAAACAUUAGUAAUUAACCUCUCAAAUAUGGACGAUCUUUAGUGUAUUAUUAAAACUUUAUCAUUUCAAAUGUGUUUGAGAAAGAAAGUGAGAAAUGAUAAUUAUGGUCAAAGAAAGUGUAGGGUUGGAAAGCAAUAAAUAUGAAAAGGUAGGCAAAGGGGCAUGAGAAAAGAGGUUGGGCAAACAUCACAACAAUGCAUAAAGAUCAAAGACUUAUAAUAAUUUAUUUGCCAAAUAUCUUCUUCUUUUUUUCUUUUUUUUUUUUCUUUUCAUGUGCCCCUUCAUCUCGUGAAAAUUACCAUUCCAUAACCCUUCUUCAAUUUUUUUGAGAUAAUAAAAAGUUUUUUCUUUUCUUCCCAUUUCAUUCCAUGUGAAAAAAAGGUUUAAAGGUAGGUACCCCUUUCCAAAGUCAACCUCUCCCCUCCAAGAUCUUCUUCCAUGCAUUCAUGUUUUGCAUGGGAGUGUAUAUCUUCCUAUCACCCUCCCCUUUUUAGACCCUCCCACUUUUUUGGAUUACCCCUAUACUUCUCUAUGUAGUUGAUGAAUUAAUACACUUAAGGUGUACUAAAGUAAUUAAUACUCACUAUUCAAUUCACACGCUAUUGUGUGAUAUGUUUUUAUUAUCAUAUAAAGUAUAUGCAUGUUCUUAAUUGUUUAUGCAAAAAAUUUCUAUUUGUAGAUAUAUGGAAGAGUUUAAUUUAAAGUUAUAAUUGCUAAAAAAAAAAUUCUCUUGAGAGUAAGAAUUUUUAUCAAUAUAAUAUAACGUUAUAUAGGAAAUAAAUGGAAAUUAUCAAACUUUCUUAAAUGAAAUAUAUUUGCAAUGGAGAGUGGUUAAGUAUUGUAUAAAGAGCUAAGUAUGUUAAGGAUAAUAAAAAAGAGGAUAUAUGAGACAUAAUUAAACCUAAUAUGUUGGGCAUGUAAUCAAAACAUAUGCCACAAAUUAGGAAAUAUAAAACUAGCUAUGCUAUCAAGUUGUCUUCGUCCAAUACCGUUUAGCUCAAUUACAUAUAGAAGCGAAAGCGAAAAUGAAGUAUUAACUUUUCAUAUAGCAAAUGAAAGAACAAAGGUUCAAGUGAUAUAUAUGUAUCUUUUAAAUUAAACAAAGUUAGAGCCUUGGUGACAAAUUGAACAUGCGUUGCUUUAAAAUCUUAAAUGAAUGUUUGAGGUUAUGAAUUGGUUAUUAUAAUCUAUAUCAUGAGUUACAACAAUCUAUGUUUAUAAACUAUGGUAGUCUAGAUUAUAAUAAUUUGUAUUUGAGGUACAUAUAUAUUAUUUUAUUAUAAAAAAGAAAAUAGCAAAUACGGUAAUAAAUAGAAAUUUGAAACUCUCUUCGUGGUCAACCAUCCCUAACUCUUUUAAUCUAAAACAAUUCAAGUGGAGAUAAAAUGUUUAUUUUUUUUUAACAUAUAUACUUAUGGCGAAUUUAGAAUAAGUCUAAAGACUCGAGUCCCUGAACUUUAAACUCUUUAUUUAUAUAUAUAUAUAUAUAAAUUUAUGAAUGAAUUCAGGGUUCUUACAAAUUGGUCAUAUUAGAAAAUAAAAAGUAGUAAUAAUGCGGAAGAAAGCAAGGAAAGCAGUGAAGAAAAUAGAGAUUUGGAAGUGUAUGGUUUGGUGGUUGUGGAUGAUUUGUAACAAAAUGAACAUCCGAUAACAAUCAAGGCUGAAAAGAGAAAAAAUUAAUUGUGUUUGACAACAUAAUUCAUAUCCAUAUUUAAGAGGUAGAGAUGAAGAUUAAAAAGAGAGGCCAAUUUUUUUUGUUGACAUCUCAUUAAAAGAUGUCAAACACAGACAGAAUAUAUAAAUAAAUAAAAAUAUUUAUAAAAAAGAAAAAAGAAAAAGAAAAAAAAAUGAUAAGAGUUUGAAAAAAGUGGUAUUUUGGAGGUUAGCGAAGGUGUCUAACUAUUUUGGUUGUCAAGAAAUGCGGCUCGUGCUGGAGCCGACGAUUUAUGUGGUCCAUCGCUUUACAGCCCUCACACCUCACCUAUCAUACUUGUUUAUCACACCAUCUUCGUAUGCCAAUCAAUGUAGAAUUUUUCUCUAUCUCGUGAACGCCCUUUUCAAGGACCUCCCCACGUGAAACCCAACUACAUUACACGGCGUCGUUUUUCUUUUCUUUUCCUUUCUUUUCCUUUCUUUUCCUCUUUUCCUAUUUGUAUCAUAUAUUCUUUUCAAUUUCUAUUUUUUGCAUCCUUGUGACGCCCUCAUGACGUUAGAGACUCCACCACUUUAUUUAAAUUAUUUAUUAGAUUUAAAUGCUAAAACCGCUCUUAGAUAUUUAAAAACACCAAAUUAAAAAUAAAAUAAAAACUCAACCACUCAGAGCCUUUCAUGUUUAUUUAAAUUUUUUUUUAUUAAAAUAAUUUCUCUAAAGAAAUUGUUUUUUAUUUUAUCAUUUUAAACAUUUAUCUCAUGAGUCAUGAUAAACUUAAUUUCUUAAUCAAACCAUUUACCUUCUCACUCAUAUACACUUCUUUUUUUUCUCUAUUAUUACAGUUCUCAACUUCUCAUCCAUCAUUAUUAUGAAUUAUAAUAAAUUUUAAAAAAACUACAAAAUAAAGAAUAUAUAAAACUUGGAAGUAUCUUCUAAUAUAUCUACCGAUAUAAUUGAAAGUGACAAAAAUGUCAUUUUGAGAAUUUUCUAUUUUAACUCGUUGAUAAUGCUAUUGACUUACAAAUUUGAUAGUCAUAAUAUAUGAUUAUCACAAAAGGAGAGACAAAAUUAAAGGUUGAUGAAGUUUUUGGAAUACUUUACCCUUUUUUCAUGUCAACUCUCUCUAAUUAACCCUUGGUAGUAAUUACUAGCUCAACUCUAUGCUUUAAUCACCAACCAAACGUCUCUUUAGGCUUCUAACUUGUGGUGAGUGAGUCGUUGAAAUUCUACUAUAACUCACACUAAAUUUCAAUGAAAAUCUUCAUUAUCUAUUGUGUUCAACAUUGUGUAACCACUAUUUCUCUUCAUUUAUCACCACUCUAAAUACAAUCAAACAAAAACACUCUAAGCCCUAGAUAUAGAAUGUUAGUUCACAUGAAGUAAUUGAAGGACCAAAUAUUAUGCUUAGCAAAAUCUAGUUUUAAGUUGGAGAAAUAUAACAAAAUAGAUAAAAUAGUUAAUAAAUUUAUGAAUUAUAAAUAGUUUGUAUUUUUCAUUAUUAUAAUAGUUUUGAAAAAGGGCUAAAGUUGGUUUUUAGAAAUAUAUUUGUAGGGAUGGAAGGAUUUAAUAAGGAGAGGUGUAUGGUUGAGAAUGGUCUCAAAAUCAAUCAUUCUCUUAUCCUAAUUUAUUUAUUUUUUAGGAAAAGAAAAGAAAAGACAUUAAAGUAAAAAAGAAAGAAAGAAAGUUAAGAAAGUUAUGAGAUGAGAGGGUUUGUUGUUGGUCUUCAUUUGAAUCAACUUUGACUCUUGACUUUUUCUUUGAAUAUAGGGUAGGGGCCACGUAGGUACAUAAAAUAUAAUGCUGCCUUUUAUAUUCAUUCAAUUAUUUUCUCUACCAUAUCUAUCUCUAUUUAUACAUUCUCUAUUCAACUAUCCACUCAAAACUAUCAACUUUACUAAUCUCACAACCCAUACGAAUUUACAUUUUACUUUUUUAUUUCAUCAAAUUUAACUAUAAACUUCACCAACUCUUCUAAUUUGUUCUUUAAAAGUGUCGGCAAAUAACGAAGAAGACAUUAGCCAAACCAUUACUGACGCACUUUGAGACGUUAGCAAUGACGUCGAAGAAAUAUUCGUCGACGUUGUGUAUGGCACACGUCGGCGAAAGGUUAUUGCCGACGAGAGGAGAAUAUCGGUAAAAAGUUAAAGUCGACUGGAACGUCGGAAAAAGACUUCCCCCAACGUCUUGACAAUGCGUCGGUAAAAACUUAAUUUUUAUUUUUUAAAAAAUUAUUUAUUUUAUUAUUUUGUUGUUGGUGUUGAAUAUUGUUCUCGAUUUUAUUAUUAAUAUUGAAAAGUACAUACCCCAAGUGUUCAUGGCCCUCUAUUUUGCCAACUCAUAUCCUCAAUCAUCUUCUCCAUCUGUUUCCAUUUUCCAUGCAUAGUUUUCUUGCAUUCUUCGAAAUGUUUCAUCCAUUUGUCAAUCACAGUCUGCUAUUUGUCUAUCAAGGUUUUUCACUAGUCGAUCCCGCUCAUCCUCUCUUAGUCUUUGUUCUUCAAUCAUGCGAUUAGUGUUUGCAAGGUUGUUCUUAAGUUGGCAAACCUCUGCAAUGUGUGUGUGGUGGUCGUAAGAGGAGGAAGAAGAGAAAGUAGAACUCUUCAUGGACUUGGGUUUGAGGCCCCAACCAAGACCCUUUGAGUAGCCCGAUCAUCUAUCCAAAACAAUCUCGCAUGUCUCGUCCUUAGAGAGUGGUUGCGAACCAUUUGGGACGGGCUGGGACUAAAGUUCUAACAUUUGAAUCUACACAAUAAUACAAGUUGGGGUUAGGAGAGAUCAUCAAAUUUUAAAUAGAAAGUAAUAAAAAGUUUUGGUGAACUUACAUAUGUGUCCUCUACUAUCGGUGAAAUGAACUUGCUAGUAUUAUUAACACGUGUCUCUCUAAACAACUAGAUACGGUCCACUGGGCGACCGUGUUUACAGUGUGCUUGACUUGUCGCUAAAGAAACGACUUAGAAUCGCUCCUGCGUGGUUGUAAGGCUACUUCGCUCUAGCAACCUUACAAGCACUUGAUUGGUCUUACAAUCAAACAAAGUGUCAAAACGUUAUAUAAAAAAAUAUAUAUUACAUGAAUUACUGUUAAUUGGAUUUAAGGUAAACGAUAUAAAUCACAUGGAACUGUCGAGUCAUGUAAUGGUCACAAAGAAAGUGUCGAUCUAGCACUCAAUUGACCAAUCUGGACGGUGGGUUUGCACGUGCUUUUUUAGGGUCACUGUACUUCAGUGGUUGUCUCCCAUUAACUCCUUCCACACGGUGACAUUUGAUACUCAACAAACCGAGAUUAAGUAUUGGAUCUUCGAGAUCCAGAAUGAACCAUUGCUACAAAAGAAAUAGAUUUGAAAAUUAGUCUUGUACAUACGUAGAUUCAACAUAUAUAUAUGUUAAAAGAUUUACAAACUUACCCUUAGACCGCCCUUGACGACCUCGAUGCACUCUCAGAGUACAUCUGCCCAACUCAAUGAUACCAACUCUCAGUCUCACAUCAACACACCGAUCAUGCUGCUGAAACGAAGGACGUGUGGCGAGACAGAUCUAUCCCCUUCAGCAGUGAUUGAAGUGUGAAUCCUCUUAUUUUGCUAAACGUAACAACUCAAUGUUCGUGAGUUGGAGAGGGUUGAGACGGCUCUACAAAAAAAAAAACUAUUAUAUUGGACAAUAAUCAUGACUACAAGUAUCUAAGUGUAACAUGACUAACCUAAAGUAUCGCCCACCUUGGAUGAUCCUCCCGCGUUAUCUAACGCCUUCAAAUUAAGAAAAUAAUUUUUGCAUCAUAAUUACCAAUUAGAAAGCUAGAUAUAAUUCUGGUAGACUCCAUGAAUAAGCCAUAUUGUCCAAUCUCUAAUAUGAAACUAAAAUUAAAUUCAAAUCUAAACUUAAGUUCAAAUCCUAACUAACAUUUUCAAUAUACCUAACAAUUUAUACAUACUUAAUUAAAAGCUACUUAAGAAUCUCAAACCCAGUAAUUAACAGUUUAGAAACUAAUUUUUGACAAAUAAAUAGGCUACCAUCAUGGUAGGAUAGCCAUAAAACACACCUUUGUAAUCAACUUUAAAUUCAAAUUUGUAUUACAAUUGAUAUUAAUCAAAAUUUUAUAUUCAAACUCAAAUUUAAAUUAACUAUCAAAUUCAAUAUCUAAUUCGUAUCCAAAUUUUUAAAAAUUAUACAUUGCACAACGAUUAUAUACUAUGUGUAAUAUCUAUACAUACAUACAUCUCAAACUUUAAAACUUACACACUCUAUACAUCCAUAAUCUAUGUGUAAUAUCUAUACAUAAUUCAAAUCUUUAAAAUUCAAUAUCUAUACAUACAAUCUCAAACUUACAUAUAAAAACUCAUACAUUUUCAUACAAAAACAUGCGUACAUCUUUUGCAUGGAUUACACAUACAAAAUUACAUAAAUAUCAAUAUACACAUUACGUUUACGUUUGUGUGAUACAUACAUAAAAUAAUAUAUAAAUACAUUUUCAUAGUUUCAAAACAAAAAAAAAUAGAAAAAAUCUUAUAUCAAGCAAAUCGACGACGAAGGACGAGAGAGGAGCAUAGACGACAGGGGAGGAUGACGGGCGACGGACGGUGGACGACAAGGGCAAACACUUCUUCUUCUUCCCUCUCUUUCUCUUUUUCUUUACUUUUCUCUUUUGUGUGGUUCUGUGUUUUGUAAUUAUAGAACAAAUAGGGAUAGGAAAGGCCGACACAGCUCCAAAACGUUGCCUUUCCACCCCUUUUCCAACGUUUUACUAACGGCGUCGGGAAAAAUCUAACCGUAAAAUUAAAUGUUAGGCUUUGUCCGACGCCAUUUCAUGUACAUGUCGGUAAAUGAAUACUAAUAUUUUAAUUCCUAGACCUUUGCCAACGUGGUCAACUCCAACGUCGGAAAAAAGUUUAAUAUUUAUAAUAUUGUUUGAGUUUUCACUGACGUGUGUGUAAGUAUGUCAGCCUUUAGAAAAUCAUUUUCCGACGCAUCAUACUAUACGUUGGAGAAAGAUAAAAAUAAAACUUUAAUACCCAACUUUUCCCAGCGUGCUAUGUAGUGGCGUCGGCCUUGCCUCUCUAUAGUGACGUUGAAUCGACAUUUCUUCUAUUUGGCGACGUUCUAUUUUCUGACGUCCUUAACGACAUUGGAAAACCCCCAUUUCUUGUAUUAUCUUUCGUUUCUACUUAUUCAUUCACUAAUUUUAACCUAAAAUAGUGUAAAAAUAUUUAUGAAUUAAUUGACACUUCCAAAGCUACCGUAAACAAAAUUCACAAAUUAUAACAAACAUAUAUUAGCUCUAAUGUCAUUUUUUUCUAAAAUUUUAUUACCAAUUAAUUCCAUGUUUUACCUAUUGUCUUGUAGUUUAUAGAAGGCAUAAGAGAACACAUUUCUUUAUGAUAUUUGGAGUAGGAACUCGGAGGUGCAUUAAAAAUUGCAUUUACUUAGUUAAAGUCUAUAUUGUGACACUUCUCUAUUUAAUCUUGCAAUGCGAAUUUAGUGAAAUCAAAUUUACGUUAACAAUGAUACAACUUGACAAGUUUCAGGUGCACACUCGUAUGCAACAGUAUAAUAGUUAAGACACAACUUGAUAUACAUUAUAUUAAAUUUAGAAUAUAUUUUAUAUUGCUAUGGAAUUGACAGAUAUAUAUAUAUAAAAAAAAAAAAGUAGACAAUGUGAAGCAAUAGAGAAUUGGUAUACAAAAUUAAAUGCAAUCCACUAAUAGUGAAUUAGCUACGUUCACAAGUAAAGAAAAAAACAACUUUAUAAAAAAAAAAUUAAUGAUACAAAUCAAAUUAUGCACGUCUAGGGUUAUAGAUUUUAUAUAGUGCAGUUCUUUAAAUCUUAUAGGUCAAAAACAAAAAUAACGUAAAUACAACAAAUAUAGAUUCAAGGCAUUCCAAUAUAUGUAUAUUUCCAAGUUAAUAAGUCUAACUCCUUAAGAUGUUUGGGACAACGGUUGAGGUUAUGAAAAUUGAAAAGUACAGAUAAAGUUACGGAGUCCACGAUAUAAAAUAUUAAUAAACUAUAAAUUUAAUUUGAUCAUAUUUUUAGUCAGUCACAUUGAAAUUGAAAACCCUACUUCCUUCUUUUUACUCUUCAAACCAAAAGAAAAAAGGUAACAAAGAAGUUAUUGAUUGAACAUUAUUUGUAAUGGACUAGAAUUAAUUAUUUCAUAUCAUAAUAGUUGGAAGUCAAAGUUGAGAUAGAAAACCAUGAUGAAGAAAACUACUGAUACAGUACUAAAUAGGGAAUACACAAAUCUCAGCAUAAAUUAAAUUGAUUGGUAAAGGAAUAUGUUCUAAAUUAGUUAGAGGUUUAGGGUCUACACAUUUUAUUAAACUAAAAAAAUAAAUAAAUGCCAAGACAUAUAGCUAUAAAAUAUUAUUAUUUGAGUAUUUGGAUUAAGAUUUUAGAUGAGCAUUAACAUGAACACGUUAGGCUAUAAAAUAUUAUUCUCGAUCUCUUCUUCUACUUUGAUCUAUAAAUCAAUCAAUUGUUGUCAAUAUUUAUGUUCUAAUGAUAAACGAAAUUCCACACAACCUUUUACCUUUAUGACUAAAGUACAUCUUUUUGGGUUAUGUGUUUAAUAACAUCUUAGAGUAAUUUUUCAAAUGCUUAAAGCAUACACUUCUCUAAAAAAAAAUUAUACAUAGAUGAUGUGUUUUUAUCCACAUUCUUGUUAUUAAUGCUAAACAUUAAAUGUUAUCAUAUCAACCUAACUAAAAAAAGGUAGUUUGAAUGAAUUAAUCAAAUCAAAAUGCAAAUCUCAAAUUUAGGUUGUGUUAAUAGAAAUGUAUUAAAAGGAAUAUUUGUAAGUAAUUGUUUGUAAGAAAGUAGUUUGGAUUGGAUUUGGAUAUUUGGGUGUCGUCUUCAUCGCCAUCAUGCCAUCAUGCCAUCAUGCCCUCAUGCCCUCCUUUAUGGGUAACUUUGACUUUACGACUCAUUUAACCGACGUUUCAUCACCGACGCCAUUUGUACUUACACUUCCACUCUUCUUUCUUCCAAUUUGACUCUCCUUUUCCUUCUAAUCUUUCUUUCUUUUCAAUUCUAUGUUUCUUUCUACCAAUUAUCAUGGGGAGAUUGAGGUUUUCUUAUAAAGAUAAUUUGUCCAUUCAUUUUCUUACAACAUUAAAGAUAACUACAGUUUAUAGCAUUCCUAGCUUCCAUUUUCUUCUUUUUUGAAAAAAAAAACAAUAUUUUUUGUUUCUUUCCUUUUCUUUUUAUCCUCAUUGGUAAUCGAUUUUUAGAAAUUCUUUAUAAAUUUUAUAAGUCAUGAAUGAUAAAAUAAUAUUUUUGUUACGAGUUAAGAGAAAACUCAAAACACAAACAACAACAAUAACAAUAAUAACAAGCGCUUGACUUUGUUGUUUUCGAGUAUUCUACGUGGUUUUUGAAACAAGGGAGAACAACGUUUCUGUUCUCACGAACUAGAACAUUUCGAAAAUGAAAGAAAAAAAAUGAUCUCAAAAGUAUUAAAUUGCAAAAAUAAGAAAUAGAUUUCAAAUUUAUAACCCAUUUAUUAAAUUAGAAGUUGUCGCAUGUACAUAACUGAACUAUCUUAAAUAUAAUCUCCAUUGUUGAAUCAAAUCAAUAGGAAGAAAGGGUGUUUCUUUUCCUUUUCUUUAAAUGCAAAAUACAAAAGCAUACGUACCCUACAUACAAUGGAAAGAAGUUUAAGUAAUAAUAAAGCAAAAUUAUUAUCGUAUCCUUGAUAGAAAAUGUAAAAACUAUUCAACUGAGAAGAGAAUAUAAAUGAGGUUCUGAUGCCAACACAUUCCUGGCCAAUUCAAUAGCUAAAUGUGAGAGAAAAAUUGAGAGAUAAUACUUACAGAAGUUGGAUGCAAAUGCAAUAACAAACAUAUGCUUGUUGGUUUAAAACAACACGGCUGUACUUAAAGAAAAGGGUAAAUGGGUGUACCAAAAUGUACAUUGUGUGAAGAAAUCCUGACCGAAAACCACAGAUAAUCGGAUUCACCCUCUCUACGUGUAUGAAUGUGUGAAGCUAAUACUGGUGACUAAUCUUUCCAGCCAUCCUUAUUCAACCGUCGUGAGGCGAGGCCUUUCGAAGAAAGACUUGGAGUAACGGGCAAGGAAGGUGUGUGUGGUGUCUCAUCAUCCCAAUUGUCAUCCCAACUGUUUUCCCAUCCAUCGUUAUUGUCAGCAACGGCUUUGCCUCCAAGGGAAACAGGGAGCUCCAUGUCCAGCCUUUGAUAUUUAGAAUUGCUACUUACGAAAUUCUUACGACGAAUGCUGAUGAUCACUGAAACAGCUGCAAUGGUCAGAAUUACACCAAAAGCUAAAAUUGCGAUAACGUGUGGUUUUGUGAGGUAGCUGAACCACGAGGACUUGGGGACAUUAUCAGAAUCUUUGGCAUUAUGGUGCGCAACAAGAUCCCUAAAAUCAAGACUACAACGGCCGCCACCUGAAGUCAGAACGAUAGUAUUCCCAUCUCCUCCAUCGCCGAUUGAAACUUUUACCUACAUAAUUUGAUUGUUUGGAUGUGUAUAUUACGAUGAAACUUCAGUACAUGUGUCUUACAAUCAGCAGAUAUUCCAUAUUAUUAAAAGGCUUAGUUUACUACAAUCUAAUUGUCACUGGGAUACUUGGUGAGAUAGUAGUCAAAGAUUAUCAAGGAAAUAGAUGAGAUCUUUUAUUGGAUUUUAACCAUGGGCUAUAGGGGUGUAAGAAUAACCCUAAACCUAACCUUAAACUCAAAUAACUCAAACUACCCGACUCAUAUGAUAAAUGUUGGGUUGGGUCUUUUUUUUUUCCGGGAUGGGUUGGGACUCGGGUUGAGGUUUUUAAAUUUUGGUCGUCCCAAAUUAAUGAUAUUAUAUAUAUUUAUAUUAUAUUAAGUUUUAUAAUAUGAUGUUUGAAAUGUUUUUUUAUUUUAGAACAUUGGUUCAUAUUUGAGUUUCCUUAAGUAAUACCGGAUGUUUUAAAACUUUUUGUUAAGUAUUAUUAUAUUAAUGUUGUACUUUAUCGAUUUUUUGGAUGUGUGGAUUUAUGGAUAUGAUGUCAUCAUGUUUUUUAAAUUUAACAAAAAUUAGAAAUGGGAAAAGAAUCAUACUACCCAAUAACCCAACUCAACCUAUAUUUUAAGGAUUAGGUUGGGUUAGGAAUGCUUCUCGGGUCAUUCAGAUUGCCAACCAAAAAAUUCGGGUUGGUCCCAAAAUACCCCCAACCGAACCUGUCUACACCCCUAGUGGGUUAUAAUUUGUUGACUGUUCCUUCAAUGAGAACUUGUAAGCAGGAUUGUCAGAGAAGCAUAAGACCAGUAUGACCUCAAAAAUGUGUACAAACUGCUGGCUGUUCUGCCGACAGAGUGGUGAUAACUGAUGCUCGAGGCAAACCAAGUUAUCACUCUUAUCUUCUUUAAUGUGUCAGAAUUAAUGGAAGAGCCUUGAGAAAGUUCUGAUUUCAACGUAAGUGCAGAACAAAGAAUUUUCAACUUUGGGCGAUGUCUUCUUCCCUCAAAUUACAAUAUUUCUUACACCAUAAUCCACUCUUAAGCUUGGCUUGAAGUUUAGCCAAUGUUCUAAGGUUAAGUUCCCUAGCCACGAUUGCUGUGCUAUGAUGGGAGAGAAUGCAUGGUAUAUGGAAGUUCAGACACAAGAACGAUUCACUAUACUGAACUGACCAAACUUUUGAACCUUUAAUGGAGUUUUAUUUCCAAAAUUAUUUGUAUAUGUUCCUUUUUUGUUUUUUUUUUUUUUUUUUUUUUUUGUCUUUUUCUAAUUGAAGUCAAUUGUAAAUGAUAUGAAUCAAGAAGUCUCUAUGUUACUUCCAGAUCCAAUCACGUGUUCAAGAGCUAACAAGCUAAAGUUAGCAUUGAAUUCUCCCAUAUAAAUAAAGAUGAACUCAAUUGAGAUGGUUCAAGAGACAACUAACCAAAAGCUCUAUAAAUGUUUCAUGUGAUGUUCCACAAGAUAAAAUUGAUCGAUUUUUGUAAAUUUCAUUAUUGUAAUUUAAUUUGCAAACAAACCUAAUAUUUGGUAAAAAAAAAUUAUUUUUACAUCCAUGUAUGUUUUAUUUGGAUUUAGUAUUUUUGAGUUAGGGGUAGAAUGGACUUUAAAGUCUCUUUGGUUAAAGUAGGAUAGAUUUUAAGGGCGAAAAGGGAAUACAGAAUGUUAGUUUUUUAACUUUUUAAUGAAAAAUCUCUUAUAGAUGAUAGAGACUCAUCACCAUUUUUCCGCAAUUCUUGAGACAAGGUUGUAUACCAAAACCAUUCGUGUAAGUCUAAUCAUUUUGUUGGUGGAGUGUUUGAACUUGGAGUAAGAAACUAGUCCUCCUUAUCCCUUGGUCCUCGAUCAAAAAGCAAUUCAAUUCUAAAUCCCUCCCUUUGAAAUGACAUCAAUUGACUUCGGGGUUUUGGAAUUUAUUGUGAUGGACUCAACAGAGGUUCCUAAUUUAUAAAUUUCAAGAGUUUUCACACCAGGAAAGCUUCAUUGUUGCUCCGUUGGCUCUCUAGGGAGAGCACAUUUUAUCCUCCCAUUUCUGAAUCAGCUCAUAAAGAAAUGCUUCUCUAAUCUCCUCAGAAGAGUGAGAACCUUACUAUUCUUCCCAAUAAAAUUAUUUCUCUCGUAAAAACCCUGGUCUCUCAUAGUCAUAGUAAGUCUGCAGUUCCAUUGAAUCCACAAUAACUACAUAUAUAAACAAGCAUAAUACUGGUAAAACCAAUUCACAACCAAUAAUUACUGAACUGGAAACAUUUCAGAAAGGUGGGUGGAGGGAUGUGUUGUUUUCCUAUGGUCAGAGAGCAAAGAUACGAGUUUUAUAGAGAAUAGACUUAUAUGUAGAGUUGAAAAUCAAAUAGAUGGAGCAUCCGUUGAUACACUUCGAUGGGGAUCUUUAUCUAGGGAAAGUCAAAACUACUCUCCUGCCUCCACAUUCACUACUUAGAUAUCUUUUUUGAGACACUUGGGAGUUUAGGGACGAUGUCUUAUCAUCCAUGUUCUUUGCCUUAAAGGAAAAAACGAUUGGGUGCAGUGCAUGAAAAUUUGGCAUAUAAUGUAACAAGGAGCGAAAGUCCCUGCACCAAGCAUUAAAGGAACAGAUGAUUGGGGAUUGGUUAUUCAUUGAUCUUUUCAUCAAAAUAAUCAAACAUCUAACUUAAACAUCUCACUAUUUAAGGCUACGAUUUCUUAAGCAUCAUAUGAAAUGGUCUAAAUACCUUUUUAUUUUCUCUCUCUUGAAGUUGAACUUCACUCUUCUCCAGAUGAACAAAAUCUGGGGCAGAAAUUUUCGCAGUAAGAGGACCUUUUCCUUUGUUCUGGAUUAGCAACAAAAGUUGAGGAGAAUCUGCAACAUUGUAUACAUACAAGAAUGUAAGAUUUGAAAAUAUAUACAACGCAUUAACUGAAAAAAUAGAAAUGAUUAAUAAUGAGACAACUUUUAUUGUGAUGAAGUGCACACUAAGAAAAGGUAAUAACAGCUGAAAAAUGUUAGGUUCGUGUAUUUGUAACCAUAUGCAACUUUCAAUCUGUAGCAAUCCCAUUUGUUUAAUACAACGUAACCAAUAUUCUUAGCAUACAUUUAAGUCCAAAACAGAACUGCCCUAGCCCUGCAGAGAUCAGAUUUGAUAUUGCAAUAGAUGGUUUGCACAUUUUGUUUAAUAUACGUGAGUGUUCAGGCUAGCUUAUGCGCACCUCAACUAAUUUCACGGAAUAACUUGUCUGAUUCUACAAAACUUGGGUGUCAAGAAAACUCUUAAAAUGUUAAUUCCUAGGUAGGUGUCCAUCAUGGAUUGAACUCAUAACCUCUUAUCAAUUGGUUGCCACAUUCAUAAUGGCACUCAGAUGCCAACUUGUUGAAGGAAAGCACAUCUAAGAUUUGAAAGAUUUUGGUUGGCUAAGUAAAAUUGGUUAUUACUCAAAGAAGUUAGAUUCGAAAACGAUGUCCACAAAGGAAAACAGCAUUGAAAUAGAAAAAGAAAAUCUAUAACUGUCAAUCAUCACCUUAACAAGCCCAACCAUCUGUGCUUUUGACUUAAACUCCAUGGACCUUAAUGUGGAAAAAAAUAAUAAAUAAAUGAAGAUCAAUACAGCAUGUGCCUUUAUAGUGGUUAAAGCCCUAACUCACCUAUGCCUUGAACAUUUAGAAUUUGCUCAAAUCAAAAUUAAGAUGCUGUGGUAAGAGAAAAUCUAAAAUUUUAAAAGAGAAGAUCAAUACAAACAUGUGUCUUUGCAGUGUUUAAAGUCCUAACUCAUCUCGACCCCUGAACCUUUAGAAUUUUACCAGGUGCUUAAGUCAAAAUUAAGAUUAAGUUGUAAAAGGAAAUCUAAAAUUUCUAAAAGCGAAGAUCAAUACAGCAUGAGCCUUUACAGAGUUAAAGUCUUAACUCAUUUCUGCCUUGAACCUUUCGAAUUUUACCGGGUGCUUAAGUCAAAAUCUUUAUUAUGUUGUAAAACCAAUACACAUGCAAACUUAAUACUCAUGAUGCAAUCUGAUUUCAAGUUAUACUAUAUAGUAGCUCCCCCACCCCCCCAAGCACGUCCCACAUUUUAAAUGAAGAAUAUGGAAGCCUAUUAAAAUCAUCAUCACAUAUUAAGAGCAAAAUUUUGUACAGAAUAAAGAACUACCAUUUGCAGAAAUAAAUAGAGCAAAAACAAUUGGAAUCGGUACAGAAAAUAACUUAAACCACCAUGUUUAGUAACAAAUUUAAACUCAAUUGCUGUAAAUGCAUACCAUUUCCUGGAACUCGCAAGCAAGCAACCAACUUCUUUGCCUCAUCAGUGCAUUUAUUUGAUGAAUCACAAUCCUCACCGGAAGAGCCAUCAUUUCUUUUCGAGGCUGAAGAUACUGUACUUUCUCCCUUCCCACUACUCUUAGACCCAUCCUUUGAAACUGAAUUAUCCACCGGCUUCCCCUUUACUUUGUCUCCCUUAUUCCUCCCUUCCUCUCCUAAACCAUCGUCCUUCUUUACUUUAUCGGCACCUUCUUUCGAUACUGUUUCACUUUCAGGAUCCUUCUUAAUUUUAUCCUCACGGUUCUUAACACCCUCCUUUGAGACGCUUACUUGUUGUUCAGACUUCUUUUCCUUACCAGCCGAAACAGAAUUAAGAUCCUUAUUAGGCCCGGGGUCUUUGUUUGCAUCAUUUCCUUUAUUCACUGUUUUCGAAUCUAGACCAUUGUUGGCACUAUCUUCCACCUACAUUCAAAUCCAUCGCGAAGGAUACGCUAAACAGAAAUGAUAAAUUCAAUCCUACAGAAGCGAAAUGAAGCUCUCGUACCUUAGAAUCAACACGAACGCAGUAACAAAUUAGCAGCAGUAAAAAGAAUCCAACCGAAAUGCGAAACUGGGUCUUCAUAACGUCAAAUGUGAAAGAACAAUAAGAUUUUAAUGUCUUUGCAGAAACAUCGAACUUUGUUUGCUAGAAAAAGAAAGUGAAGUGAAAUCAAAGGCCAUGGAUGAGCGAGAAUAAUUAGUAACUAAAAACCAAAAAUAAGAAGAGGAAAUCAGCGGAGCAAACUAAGAGAUAGAUCACCUAAUUGAAGACGCCAAAUGAUUCCAUGGCUUGGUUCGAUGAGGUCACCUAUGCUUCUGAAAGAAGCAAUGAAGAAAGCUGAAGGAGCUCGAUCGUAGGGCUCCACUUCAGCUCCAGUUUUGAAAAGCAUCUGGAAAACGAACGCCAACGCCGUUGACUGACUGGUCAACGAUAAUGUUUGAAGCCCAUUAUCAGCCCAUCUUUCAAGAUGGAACAAACUGGGCUCAAGAUGAAACAAAUUGGGCUUAUGGCUUCAAAGCAUCCAUUAAUGAAUUGUUAAGUCUCUAAUUCUUAAUCCAUUCUAACCUUGACAAGGAGAUGGAGUUUCAAACUAGACUAUCACAUUGUAUGUUCCUUCAGCUAUGCUUGUUUUUCAAAAUUUUGUUUAACAUGAAAUUGGUUUGAUUUUUUAGUAUUAUAUUAUGGUAUAUUAAAUGUGGAAAAACUAGUGGAUCUAACAUAGGAACAAUAUCACUGAUCAUAUAUUCAACAAGAGGGUCGUUACGAAAGCAAGUAGAAAAAGAAUAACAUAGAAAUUGACAAUCCAGUUUGGUACAAAAUCACCUAUGUUUGGGUGACAGUGUGUUCAAUGGAAUGAAACGUCGCUAUUUAAAUAAUUUAGCAAUGACAAUUAAAGUACUUGUCAAACAUACUCCAACCUCUACAUGACUAUCAUAUAACUUGCUCUUUAACAUUUGAACUUAAACUCCUCCUAAGUUUGAGCUUCUCUUACUUCUACGAUAUGCUUCUUUAAGCUUUGUAUGAUAUCCUCUCAAUACAAUAUGCUUAUACUUCCCCUAAGAAUGAGAUCUCAUUGUAUUCACUUAUAUAUUUAGUCUCCCCUUAAAUACUAUAUCAAAAAAGAACAGUCUCUCGAGAUCUAAAAUGGAAACUUGAAAAACAAUCUUAACGAGAAACACAAAGAUAUUCAAUAACAAUGCAUGGAGAGGUUGAGCCUUAGAAAAAUUAUAAGCUCAAAACGUUUCAUGUACACACGAUUCUUUUCAUAAGGUGGCUUACUUUAAUUAAAAAUGGAAAUAGUAAUAUAUAUAUAUAUGUAUGUAUAUAUGACUAGCCUAGAGACUUUUAAUCUAUGAGAGAAUGAAUAUUUCUUGUAUGAGAAAAUGGAAGACAUAAAUAGUUGAAGAAAGAGAUCCACCAAAUAUGCAAAAUAGUCUUUCAUACAUGGAAAGAAUAUUUUGUUGAAGAUGUCAACAAUGUGAAUGCUAUUACCAACAUUUUUGACAUGUUAUCUAACAUAAUGCUCAAAUUAAAAUUAGGCAAUUAAAGUAGUAAUAAAAUGUGUGUACACUUCUUCCACGGGUGGUGAAUAAUGAUGUUCAAAUUGUCAUUGACAAUGAUCAAACAACCAUUUUUCUUGUUCCAAAGAUUGUAAUUAUGUAUUAAAUCAAAUAAUUAUCUAAUAUAAAAGCUACUCUAUUUAUUUUUUUCAUAAAUUAUUUCAAAGAGAAAAAAAAAGAAUAUAUCCACAAUCCAAUUGUUUAUUAAGAGAGUCUUCCAAUCACAAAAUUAUGAAGCAAAAUUAGUUUAAAAGUAACAAAGUCUAAAAGAAUCUAACUAAAUAUUGAUGAUCAAAGAAAAAUUAGGCACACCAUAUAAUUAAAAAUUAUAUAUAUGUAUAUGUAUAUAGCACAUAUAUAAAAUUAAAAAUAAUAAAAAUAAAAACAAAGUGCCAAAUAGAGAGAGCACAAUCUAAUAAGGUCAUCAAGACUUUCACUUGCAUGCCGACCUUAUAAUAUAUAUACAUAAAAUCCAAAAGACAAAUUGCAAAUUAUACAAAUACUUUUUAUUCCAUAAUGUCGCAAAGAUCAAGGGAUUUUUAUUUGAUCUGAUUUCAAAAAUUAUUAGGUUACUUCAAGACAAACUCCAUUACAUCUCUUUAAUAAUGUCCCUUCAUUUCAUUGCUUUUUAUUCUUCUUAUUGUAUGGUGUCAUUUCACACUCUUAUCAUUUGUUUUCUAUUAUGUCAUUUUAAUUAUAAAUAUAAUCACUCAUUUUUAUUCCUAUUUUUAACCCAAUUAAAUUGCUUUUCAUUCACGAAUUUUGCUCCUAACUCAUUCCAUUCAAAUACCAAUAAGUAGUUUUUAUGUUUGUUAUAUUAUAAUGCUUUUGAUCAACUAAUCGGUGACAAUUUAUAAAUUUGUUUUAUUGAAGUAAUAAUUGAAGAAAUUUAAAAGUUAGAAAUAAGAAUAAUAAAUAUAAAUUCAAGAAGAAAAAAUACAUUUGUAUUUGUAAGAAUCAUAAAUGUGGUGGCUGUAUUAAUUGAGAAAAAAGUGUUAUCCUGCGGCUGUGACUGUGAUGAAACGGCGAUUUUAUCUCAGUGACUGCGUGGCGCAGUCUGAAUGGCGGUGAUGCAUGAAGCACGUGCAUUAAACGAUGUCGUUUUUCUUUGUUUUUGUUUAGGGUUUAGGGUUGAGAAGAGAAAGAGAAAGAGAAGGCAGGGAGCAUCACGUGGAGGGCCUGGGAAUUAAUUGUCAGAGAGCACGUGGUUGCACAUGAUCGUAAUUUCAUGGUCCCUUUAAAAUUGGCCACGUGUCCAGACAUCCCCGCGAUGAGCGGCAUUCUAACACUGCCUUUGUGGCUCUCAUGUAAAUUAAUUAACACCAAUCAACUUUUCUUUUUCUUUUUUUAAAUUCUACCAACCAAUUCUACCCAAACCAAACUUAUGCUUUUAAGAUAAGAAGAUAAAAGCAAUUAUUUGUGAUCACUUCUAUGAUAUAACAUUGUCCUACACUUCAUUUUAAUCUAAUGCUUGUGCUUUUUAAACUAACGUCGUCCCGUUUUGUUAAGUCCGUUUCAAGGAGAGUCAUCCUAAAAAUAUCAAAGCAUGGUUAAAAAAAACUUUAAAUAAUUAAACGUUACUACCUAUACCAACAAUAUAUACCUUUAUUUUCAGUGAUUCAAUCAUAAAAAACUCUAAAGUUAGACAUGCAUAGUUUGGAGCAAUUCUAUGUUGAAUGAUCUACGAAAUUUUCUAUGAUGCACGUGAGUAAGACAAAAAAUGCUGAAAGAACUCGUGUUGGUUUCUAGGGCAACUUUCACCCUAAUAGGCCUUUAGGACAAAGUAUAGGUAAUAUUGACAGGUCGUAGGGAACGCAAGUAAAUGUUGAGAUCGUUAGUUGUCGAAUAAGUCUAAAGUAACAAUUCAUCCUUACUACUACUAUUACGUACCUAUAACCCAAUUGAACCAUAUAGAAUUAAAGUUAAGAACCAAAAGUUCACAUGACAUUAAUGCUUAAAAGGGUGAGGCUAAGUUGGUCUUAUUCUCAUUCAACAGUGGAGAAUUAAAUUAAAUUAAAAAUUGAAAUUAUAUGAAAUGAAGUAAAAGUAUAAUCACAGUAACGUAAAGAAAGGGAAAUUAGCUUUCUUCAUUCUAAAACAUAUAUUACCCAAUAACCUUUACAAAGGAAAGUAUAGGUUAAACGUUUUGUUUGCUUUUUAUAUGUUAAUGCAAUGCUGUAUCUUUUUCUUUUCUCUGUAAAGUACCAUGUUUGAUUGGUGAAAAACACUACUAUUUGGAGGUUUAGCUGACUAUAUAUGUUUUUUCCAUAUUUAGCUACGUUAUAUCAACACGGAAAUUUGUUUGAAAGAAAUCUAAAUUUGAUUAAAAUGUGUUAUUUUGAUGCAAUCUGUAAAGGUUUUGUGAGAGUGGGAGUGAGACAAAUGAAUACCAAAACUGAAUUUUGGGACAGAAAAUAAAUUGAGUUGUAUGCAAGCCAUUAUAGUAUAUUUUGACAUACAAACAAGUUACCAUGAAGGUAAAUGUUGUCUAAGAGAUAUUUCAAUGUUAUUUACGUAAAUAAAUGACUUUUUACUUCUUCUUUUUUAACUAAUAUAAAUAAUUUACAGCAGUAUCAAUGUUUUCACCUAACAAUCUAAUAGACACAAACUCCAUUUUACCUUUUUAAAUUUAAUAACAAUAAAAAAAGAAAAAUGUAUAUAAUGGCAUUAAUUAAAAUGGUUAGUUAUAAUGUGGAAGAUUUUAUGACUUUAUCAAAUUGUGCUUUCUCAACUGCUUUACCAUUAAUUUUCGUUGCUUUGUUUACCUUUUUUUAUCAUUAGAUGAAGGACCAAAUAGUAAAAGACAUGCCGUUUUUCAAUAUUCAUUUAAUUCAAAGGCGAAUUUGCAAUAAAUAUUAUUAUAUUUUCUAAAAUUUCUUUUAAUUUAAAGGCAAAUUUGCAAUAAAUAUAAUUAAGUGCGUCGUACUCGUACACACCAAUUAACUGCCCGAAAAUUAGGUUCCCCACUCACUCCGAGUUUUUUUUUUUAAAUGCCCGACCGUGACGUGUAUUAUUUAGGUCUUUUUCUUCUUUCUUCAAUAAAUUAAAAGUUAAUUGCAAAUUAAAAUACCAUUUCCCUUUCUCUUAUUUUAAAAUUUAAGACAAUUCAAAACCGUACAACCCUCCAAAGGUUGUAUCAAUUAAAAUAUUAAAUUAACAGAUAUAAUUUAAAUAAAGGGAUUUUUAUAAAUGUGUCCAAUUCAACCUCCAACUUAUACAAAUAUAUCAUUUGAAAAUUAAGUAUAUCCAAAUAAAAUAUAAUAGAAAGUUUAAAUCGAUACAGUCAUAUAAGUUUACGGUUUAAAUAGACACACUCUUAUAAUUUUAGAGUUUAAAUUAAUACGGCGUUUGAGUUUUAAAUUGAUACAUUCAAGAUUUAAAUUGAUAUAAUUAUUAGUUUAGGGUUUCAAUUGAUACAAUAAAUUAUGAUGAUUGUGUAAGUCAAUACUUUCUCCAAGUUCAAAUUUUAUUUAAUUUAGUUCAUAUACAUGCAAUUAUUUAAUAGUUUAAAAAAAAAAUCAAGAAAACAAAACACGUAUUGGGGACUAAAUUUUAACUUAAUAAAUUCUACAAUUAAAUAUAUAAAGGGAACAAUUGAGCAAACUUUAAAAAUAAGAACCAAAAUCAUAUUUCCAUCUAAAAUAAAUAAUGAGAUCAUAAAUAUAAUUUUUUUUUAAAUAUUCAAAGCGAUUAAUACCUUUGUUAUUCUAUAUAUAUGGUAUAGACAUUUCCAACAUUAGCUCGACCAUACAAGAAAUAUUUUAACAACGAUCUCUACUUAAGAUCAACUGAAGUAUCCCUUAAAUAAACUAAUCGAUCUUUAAAUGUGUUUACAUAUUACACUUGCUCGAUAAUGAAUGAUAAAAUUUAUAAUAAAUUUAUUCACCUCUAUCCAACAAUCUAGUAAGCUAAAAACUCCAAUUUAUAACUUAUUAAGUAUUUUAUCAAUUAAACGUCUUCUUACAAUCUGAUUUGAAAGUUUAUUGUUUAAAUAUCUAACUUCAUUGUCCUAAAGAUUCAUGAAAAAUUUAAAGGAUAUGCUGACAUUUACUCUGAUUUAAAAAUACAUAUAUAUAUAUUUAUUUGUGGUUUAGUUUUAAAAAAUGUAAAGCGUAAAGCGUUAAAAUUGGAAUUAAAAUAUGAGUAGUGAUGGGAGAGGGAAAAGGAAUCAAAUUUCAAAGUUGGAUUUGGAUAUGAAGAACAAAAAUUUUGGGCCCUCCAAAAUCAAUGGCAGUUAAAGUGUGGACAAUCUUGGAAGCUUAAUUCUAGGGAUUUUUCCUUUUUAUAUUUCCCCUUUUUCUUUUUUCUUUUUAUCAACUAUCAGAAUUUAAUCAUAUAUUAAUUCUCUAAUUCACUAGUAAUUUAAAAUUUCUAAAAUAUCAAUUGUCUCAUGUUGAAAAAUUAAGAAGUCCAUAAAGAGUAUAUAUAAGAUCAUUUUAUAGAGAUGUGUAAUAGUAAUUAGAAGGUAGUAGAGUGUCUCUUUCCAUGUGUCAUCUGGUCGAGUGGGCUAAGGCUCGAGCAACCACGUUACUGCAAAGAAAAAAUCAAACAGUUUGUUAUGAUGUUGAUAUUUAAAGACCAAAUUUGGAGGGAAAAAAAUAAGCAAAGCUUUCAGAUUUUUCUUAUUCUCCACUUGAUUAUUAGGUAUUACUUUUUAUUGGUUGAUUAGACACAUUCUCUCACCCACUAUUUAAUUAAAAGAAAUCACUCAUAAUUUAAAUAGUUAAAAUAUCAUUAUUUAUGUAUUUGUUAAGGUUGUAAAUUUGUAAAUUUUCCUUAAAAAUUAAUUUAGAUAAAUUCUCUAAAAACCAUCAAUACUCAUAACACCAAAGACACAAUUCAAUUAAUCUUAAGUAUAGAAUCUGGCAUUGGAAAUAAAAAGUAACUUCACAUGAUAAGAAUGUAGUUAAUUAAUUGAGAUGAAAAUUCAAUACUUAAAAACACCAAACUUGUAAGUUGAGUGAGUAUAGAAAGUUUGCUAAAAAAUUAAUAAGAAAAUUUGAAAGGUUUGUCCUACUAUUAAAUGCAUAAUAAUACAUUUAUGAAAAAGAAGACCAUUGUUAUAAAAGAAGAAUUUAAAAUCUUUAAAAUAAGAACCUAAAGCUUCCCAACUGCUUGCAAUAUAACCUAAAAAUUAAUUAAAUUUGUUCCCUACCUUAAUUUGAUGGCAAAAUAAAAAAGAAAAUAUUUAUAACAUCAUAAUGAAGAAGGGAAAUUAAAUUGUUGUGGGGCUCAAGGCGUGUUCUUUUCAUCAAUUGUGAACCAAUCACAUUCAUUUCCUUUUUCGCUUUUUGCUUUCUUGUUUUUAUCUUCUUAUUUUUUUACUAUUAAACACCUACACACUUCCAUAUUUCCAUCCACCCCCUCACACUCUUCACUAUUUCUAUUAUUUCUUCCAACUUUUAGGUCACUCAUUUAUAAUAAUUAUUAUUAUAUUAUUAUCCUACAUAGUUUUUUUUUUAAAAAAAAAAAACCUUUUGUUAGUUAUUAUUAACCCUUUUUAAAAAAAUAUUGUAAUCUAAUAUUUGAAGACGAAUCCAAGAUCUUUGUUAGAUUUUUAGAGCUAAAUAACUAAUUUUCUUAUUUUUUAAAAAAAUAUAAAAUUGGACCUUCAUGUUAGAUUUUAAAUGUAAUGUUAGAAUCUAGAUAUGAAACUUUUUAAAUUUUGUGUAGCUAACGAGUUUGAAUUGAAAAGAAUAAUACACAAAUCUCACAUAAUUUAUUUAUAUAUACAAACCUUUUAAGUUAGGUAGAUAACAAUAUUCGAAAAUCUAAAUUUAUGUGUAGUGUAAUUUAUGUCUUACUUUUCACGACAAAUCUUCAUGGUGUAGAUCCAUAGUGCGUUAGUUAGUCAGUCAUAAAUUUUGAAUUUUCUUAACCACGAGUAUACAAAUGCUUUGGCCAUAUAAGGAGUACAUUAAAAAAUUCACACAAUCUCUAACACUCUUAUUCCUUAGACAAAAAAUAUUGUUAUUUAUGAAUGUGAACUAAUGACACCAUUCAUAAGUUCAUUAAAUUUCUCGAUAAAAUAUUUUAGUUUGCUUUUUUAUAUACAAAAGGUUGUGUAAAAGUAUUAGAAGGUAAAGGGUGGUAUUUUGAAGAGUCCCUAUGUUGUAAAAUGCAAUAUGUAAGAGGUAGCAUUGGAUUGAGUUAUUGAGCAUUACAUCGUUACUUCCAAGGUAAAGGCCGCAUGAGAUGUAGAAUAAUGACAAAGUGCCUUUCAAUUAUUAGUAAAAUAAUUGUGUGUUUUGUGAAGCAUGCAUUUAAUUUUAUUAUUUAACCCAAAAAAUAUGAUUUGCUUUUUUUGAAUUGAUAUAUUGUGUGGUUGACUCAGUCAACACUUUCUUUAAAAUUACUCUUCUUGAGCCUUCUUGGAGUGAAUGAAAGUGGGAAUUCAAAACAAUUCUCAAAUUCCACAAAUUAAAAGUCAAUCAUUCUCUCUCUCUCUCUUUCAAGAUAAUUUUAAAAAAAUAAAAUUAUUUCUCUUGAUUUCUUACCUUAGGUUCAUCUUUCUCGUCGAUUUUUUUAAUUGAAAUUUCACAAAUAUAUGUAUAUAUAUUGUAUUCACACACAAUAUUUGGUUUUCCCAAGAAAAUAAAAUUAUAGAAUAAUAUUUAUGGUUAGUUAUUCGUUACCAACCUACCUAGAAAAUGAAGUGACGGAUUAGAUUUUGAUAUUUGAAUAUAUAGCAAUAUUAAUGUUAUAUACAUCAUUUUAUUUUUAUUAAGAAAUAAAAUGUCCUUGUAAUCUUUAAAAUGUAUAAUAAUUUAGUUUAAGAACUUGAUGCUUUCAAUCUGUGAAACAAUUAAUAUUAUUAAAAACUACAAACCAAUCAACAUAUGCAAAACUAACAAAUCUCUAAAUGUUUAGUCUUGUGUUGAAUGAAUUAAAAAACGUAUUUGUAUUAUAGAUAUUUAAUAUUUUCAACUCACAAAUUUAUUUUCCAUUUUGUGUGAUUAUUUAUCCAUUAUAAUAUCUUAUAGAUUUUCAAUAAUUCUAAUUAUUUAAGAUUUUCAAAUAUAUAUGUGUGUGUGGGGAAUAUGGAGGGAGUUGAGAGGGAGGGACCGGCAGCAUUAAAGAGCACUCGUGGUCUAUCAUUCCCCAAAAGGUAACAUGCCUUCGUAUCUUUUUCCAAAUCCCCUCCGGGCCCCCUCUCCUCUUAUUUUUCUCUCCCCUUCACGCGCCUCUCCCUCCUAACUCUUCGGAUUUUCUUUUCCCUUUCAACUUCUAACAUUCAAACAACUAUUCUCUGGGGAAAAUUAAGUUAACUCUAUUUCUUUUUUUUUUUAUUUCAUACACCAAUUUCUUACCAAUCUUUAACUUCACUCCCUAAAUUUCAUCCCAUUCUAACUUUUCAACUCAAAUAAAUUCAUUACCAUGUAUCAAUUUAGUUCAUUAAUCUUUAAAUGAUUUUUUAGUUCGUCUAAAAAAACGUGAACAUUUGGUAAGUUGGAAAACGUUUUUUUUUUUUGGCAAGGACUUGGAGGCUUUUAAGGAUGCAACAUGGACACCCAUGCCUCAAACAUUCUUAUGUAUUUUUAUACAUGCAUUUUGCUUCAAACUUUAAAUAAUAUACACUAUUUUCUCAGAUUGGAUUCAAUUAAUUCAAUUGCUUGUUAAAAAUAAUUCAAUUCAUUAUUAUUCAUUAUUAUUCUCUCCUUUUUUUUCCCUUCCUUUAUUUUGUUUCUGAAAGGUGAUUCGGAGAAAAGUGACUUUAUGUUUUUCUAAAAAUUAGUGAUUAGUAAAAAUAUACUUUAGGGGAUAAUAUAUUAUUAGUUAUAUGGUGUGUUAGGUUAUUACAGUUAUCUAUCUUUUUCACAAUCAUUUUGUCCUUUGUCUUUAAUCUAAGAGAACUUACCCCAAAAAAAUGUUACAUAUUGAUUUAAAUAGACUUGCAUAGUUUAUGAGUGUUUAAUUUACACUUUAAAUUAUGGGAUGGUAUGAAAUUAGAUUACGAAGUAGUAAUUAUAUUAGUUUAAAUCACAAACUUUAGGAGUUGUAUAAAUUUAGAUCUCAAACUCACGUUAUUGUAUCAAUUCAAACCAUUCAUUAUGUUUUAUUUAGAUAUACUUAUGAAAUUUGAGAGUUUAGAUGGAUACAUUUAUAAAGAUUCGGAGUUUAGAUUAAUACACUUCUGAAAAUUUAACGUUUAAAUCGAUACAACUAUUAGUUUGAGAUUUAAAUUGAAACAACGCUCAAAGUCUAUAAUUAAAAAUUAACACAAUUAUAAUUAGUUUAAGAAACCUGCGUAUUAAUUUUAGGAAAAAACUCAACUUUAUGCUCUUUAUCUAUAUGUAUAACUGAAAUAUUAUCAAUAUUAAAAGUUAGCGCAGAGGUAAAAUUGUCUCUCUUAACGGAAUCUAAACCAAAAGUAUAAACUAAUAUUUGUUGGAAAGAAAAAGGGAAAAAAGUGUUUGAAAACAUUUGUUAAAGAAAAAACUUUGAACCCAAAAGCAUCUAAAUAUUUGGAGUAUGAGAAUACACAACUUUAUUGGAAGCAUCCUUACUUCGUUGACAUUUAAUUUAGAUUCUUAUCUUUAACUUUUCUUUUAUAUUUCUUUUUUUCAGAUUCCAAAAACAAAUUUCCCUAUUUUUUAAAAAUGAAAUAAAAAGCUUAGCACCACGUAGCAAACUUAACAAUAAUAAAAUAACACAGCCUAAUAUAUUUGGCAUUGGGGUUAGAGCAAUAGGCCCCUCAAGUUCAACAAACUACGAUGAUGCUUCCUUCUUAAACCAAACCCUCACUUUUCUUCCUCGAGACCAUAACAUUAUUCUUCUUAUCACUUCUAACUUCAAAAUCCUUAAUUUACCAUUCUACUCUCCGUAAACCUUUUAAACUUCUUUCAAAAAGUUUUAAUUAAUUAGGGUUUGUUUCAAUUUUCAAUUAUACAUUAAAAUUUUAAAAUCUCCUACCGAGUCCUUAUUCUCAUUCCACUCGACAAUACAUUUUUUUAGUAGGUUUAUGGUUUCUUUAUCUUUUUUAUUUUUGACAAAAUAUCAUAAACGUGUAUUUAUUCCACAUUUAAAAAGUGAUGAAAAUAUAAAAAUAGAGCAUAUACUUUUGAUUUCAAAUCACUCAAAAAUUAAAAUCACUUAAAACUUAGGUGUGUUGAGUACUCCAGUUAAAUUUACUUUUGUAUUUUUUGAGUUGAGAGUCGCUGAAUUAAAGAGUACGAUUCUAAUGUACAAAAAUUUUGAGAGAGCGUUCUUGUAAUUGGCUUGGAAGAUAUAAUCAUUUUGUGUGGUUCUAGUAAGUUUACACUUUUUGCAAUAGUGACUUUCGUAUGAUCUGUAGUAGUUUUCUUUCGGUUUGGAGUUCUUUUCUACGUUAAUUGUUACGCUUUCAAUUUUUAUUGUUCUUGUUUUAUUCCUCGACCUAUCUUACUUUUGGUGAAAUUUUUGUCUCUAACAAAGUCUAUAAGACAACUCCAUUGUCUAGUGGAAAGAAGAUUUCUCAACAUGCCAAUUUGUGGUUUAACGUUCUAAAGUGCAUGGGACCUUUUUUAUUGUCUCUUUAGUAUAAUAAAAAUAAAAUGAUUCGAACCACACGGUGAUCAACAAAACUGAUAUUUUUUAAAAAAAUGAAAGAAAAUAAAAGUCAAAUAAAUAUGAAAGGUAAUAAACAAAAUUCCCUACUAAGAAAUACAAACGUGUGUUUUAAAAAACAAAGAAAUAAAUUAAUAGGAAAAAGAUGUAAAGAGAACAGUGGUAAAUAUAAGAAAAAUUGUUCAUAACACUUUUUGUAAGUAAAUUAAAUAAAUGAAAGAUGGUUAAACAUUUAAUAAAGAGGAAUUAUUAAAUACUAAAGAGAACCUCCGACAAAAGAUAAGAGUAGCAGCAGAGAGCGUCACACAACCGGCGUUAAUCGGUGAUGACGGGAGGUUGCCGGUUUGACCCUAUUUGACGUGUCAGGUGAUGGUGUUUUGAUUUAAUUAGAAGUAAAAUGAAAUUAAAUUAAAUAUACUAAGUUUCACAAACUUCUGCAUAAUUAGAAGACAAAAAAUAGUAAUAAUAAAUCUCCAAAAUUAGCAAAAGAAAAGAAAAUAAAAUAAAAUUUGGUUAACCUCUUUUUUCGUGUAGACCGUUGAUUGCGGUUAGGAAUAAAGCAAUCUGACAAGCACCGAUCUUUUUGACCGUAUCUUCCUUUGUCAUUUUCUUUCUUUUCUUUUCAACAUAAUAUUUUUCUAACCUCUUCGAAUUAUCAUUUUUAUAUUAUGAUGUAAAAAUUAAUAUUUAUUUUUAGAAGGAAAAAUAAUGCUUCUGUCAAAAAGUAUCCUACCAAUAUAUUUUGUAUGGUUUAUUUUAAUUUUAAUCUAACACGUAAUUGACUAUAGUGUUUAAGUCAUAUAACAUUUAAAUUAAUAACAAAGAAUAGUUUAGAGUCUCAUUUUAUUCAUUCAACAAAAUAACGAAAAUACGUUAUCGAAUAGUCAAAUUUUAAGUCGUGUAACAAAAAAAAAAAAAAAAAAAAAAAAAACUUGACUAAGACAUUCCAUUAAUUUUAUUGCACAUAAAAGUUUAAUUUGUCAAGUUACAACCCUUCAAAAUCUUAAAAUAAUACAAAGGGUUGGAAAUACAAAAGUUUAAAAUUAAAGAUGACUUAUCAUUUUAUACAAAUUUUAUAUUUCAUAAAUAUUACAUAAUAUCAAAUGGGUUUUUAUUAAUGCAAAAUUGCUUUUCUAAAAACAAACAAACAAAUAAAAAAAAAUUAGCUAGUUUCUUUCUUGCAAGAAAACUUUGUGGAUGUUUGUCUUCAAUAUAUCAUUUUUGUUGUGUUUUGGUAAACAAAAUUUUCUUUAAAGAUGCUUUUUCCUUUUUAUUUUUUUCAAAAGAAAUUAAAUUACACUAAAAUUAGAAUUUAAUAUUUUGACACCACAUAUUUGUUGAAAAGAAGAAAAAGUAUGUAAAGUAUUAUAAAAUGUAUGUAAAGUAUAAAGAAAAGGAACAAAAUUAGUAUGGAGAUUAUUAAUUAAUAUUUGUGCUGUCGGUGGAGUUGUAUAAUAAUAAUAAAAAUUAGGAAAAAUACAAAUAAAAUGUGAAUAGAAAAACAAAAACAAAAAUAAACGGAGCGAUUGAGAAGUGAUGAUUUGUCGGGUUGUCGGGCUAUUGAAUCCGGAAUACAGGUCACCCUUCCUGUCCGGAACGCAAUCCCCAAAAUCACGCUAAUACCCCUAUUACCAAACAAUAUUACAACAUUGCCACAAAUAAUAUAAACCCCACUUAUUUUUAAUAUUAAACCCAAAUUACAAAUACAUCCUUCCCAUAAAUGUGACAAAUAAUAAAAUAUCAUAAGCUUUGAAAUAAGGUUGAUGCAGAUAAUAGAAAAAUGCAAUUAGUAUUUAUCGUACAAAUAGAUGGUUAUUAUAGUCUUCGAAUAGUUCUUACUGGCAACGCUCUUGAAGUAUAGUAGUAGUUGAAAUUGAAUGGUCAAACUUUUUAUUUGAAAAUCCAAUUUAUAGAUCAUCUUAAGUUUACGAAUUUUUUUUCUUAUGUUUUGUCAGUGGUUCAAUUUUAGUAUUUUAGUAAAUUUUAUAGCUUCAAUUUUAAACAUUUAACAACAGACAUCAGUGUAAUUAUAAUUGUUGAUAAAUUGUUGAGUUGUGAUCUUUUGAGUUGUAAAAAUAGGUUUCACGGUGAUUUCAAAAAUAAGAUUUUGCUAUUUUAUGGGUUUACUUUCAAUUUUUUUUGUAAAAAUUAAUUUUCACGUGUAGGGUGGAUUUUCAAGAAAAUAAAGAAUAUAUGAACUCUUAAUUUGAAAUAAAAAAAAAAAAAAAUUUCAAAACCAAUAUAUAUAUAGGCUAACCUAUUGAGUUGGUUCCUAUUCUCUUACACCAUUCUUUAAAUUUUCAAUUUUGAUUGCAUGAAAAUGGUGUAUUUAAACUAAUAAAGAUAAAUAUGACAAUUAACAAUUAAAGCCAUGGUUACUUUGAUUUGAUGACUAAUUAGAUUUCUUUCGUAUAAACAAUGUUUAUAACACAGUCAGUUUUUCUUCCGUUUAGACAGCAAAAAUGUAGCCUAGGUUCUAAGUUUAGGAACAAUCCCCUCUACCAUUAUUGAAUAUAAAUUCUUAAUUUAGAUUUGUAAUUUAAAGUUAAAGCUUCUGAUAAUUAUUUGUUAUUGACCCAACUUAUUAUUAGGAUUUAGGAUAGUAUUGAACUUUACAUGUUGAUUUUGUUAGUUCAAUAUAUAAAAUUUAUCCAUUUGAGUCUUGACUGUGUCGAGAACUUCAGUAAAUUUAUUUCCCAAACAAUUUAAUUACACAUUAAUUCCACACCGACCUACUUCUUAAGAACUAAGAACACCCACAUGCCUUUCUUUUUCUUUCAACUGUUUCCCAUCUCUUACAAAAAAGAAAGAAAAAAAAACAACUCUUACAAGUUGCAUUUAUUUCUUUUGCUUUUAAAUGUGUAGUUUUUAUAUUUUUAAAAUUAUCCAUCUUAGACCAUAUUUUGACAAAAUCUUCAAACAAAAUGUGCACUGGUAAAAAUAAAAUAGUAAAAGCGAUUUGUUUUGAAAAUGUGUGAUAAGAGAAUUAAAAGGACCAAACUAAUUUUUCUUCAUAUAUAUAUAUACCAAAAGUAAUACAAAGUACAAACAUUAUAUGGAAGUGAACUAAAACUAAAAAUACUUUCACAGUUAAAAUAAUUCAAUUCCAAAAUGUAUAUAAUUCAACCAGUCAAACUUGUAACAUAUUCAUAUAUUUUUUUAUAAAUAAGUAAAAUUUUACUACACAUAUUUUGGUUUUACAAUAUUUUAUCCACACCUAAAUAAUAGUCUAUUACAAUUUAGUACAAAUAUAUCGUAAAUGUUUUUAAUAUAUAUAUUAAUUGAUUAAAAAUUAGGUUCUAUUUUUACCUUGGGGUCCUUCCAAGUUCCCUCCAAGCUUAUAUAGUGCUCCCAUCCUCACUUCCACUCCCCACCCCACACUCUCCUUCUUGUUCAUUCUUCAUUUCUCUCUUCCCCUCUUUAGGGGUUCUUCUCCUCUGUUUCAUAAUCGAUUUAUCACAACUUUUAUCUUGAUAAAUCCCACCGGCAUUGCCAUUUCCUUCUCCCAUUCCUUCAAAAUGGCAAAUCCCAUUUCCCCCAUUGCUCUCUUUAUCCUACUUCUAGCCCCCUCUGCCCUAGCCGGCCAUGAUUACGGCCAAGCUCUCACCAAGAGCCUUCUCUUCUUCGAAGCUCAGAGAUCCGGCUACCUCCCCCACAACCAGCGCGUCAAUUGGCGAGCCAAUUCCGGCCUCCAAGACGGCAAGGCUAGCGGGGUAAACCCUUUAAAACCCUGUUUGGUUACUCAGAAAAUCGAUCGGGAAACUUAAUUUGGGGAUUUUGUAUGUUUGUUGUAGGUGGAUCUGGUCGGAGGAUACUACGACGCCGGUGACAAUGUGAAGUUCGGACUUCCGAUGGCGUUCACGGUGACGAUGAUGAGUUGGAGUAUUAUUGAAUAUGGAAAACAAAUGGCCACUAAUGGCGAACUUAGCCAUGCCCUAGACGCCGUCAAAUGGGGCACCGAUUACUUCAUCAAAGCCCACCCUGAACCCUAUGUUCUCUAUGGAGAGGUAACCUUAAUCUUUUUCGUUCUUUUUAAUUCAACGAUUUCAAAUUAAUCCAACCAUCAAACUUUGAUAUGAUAAGUGGGUCAAUUCAACGCAAUUUUCUUUCAUAACGUUAGAUUUUAUUAGGUAGAGAUGUUUUAAUUUGUACGUUGAUUUGUUAUGAAAUGAUAGUUCUAUUAAUGUUUUACUGACCAUUAUGCUUAACUAGUUAGAAUAAAAUUGGUAAUUAUACUUAAGGGAAGGACUCUAAUAUCUAAUUUUUUUACUGAUAUUUGACUAUUUUAGUAAAUUAAACACCAAUUUGUCGCCUUGUUCAAAUGUCUUAUGUUAGUUGUUAAAUUUAUUAUUAAAAUAUAAGUGUGUGUAUUUUAGGGGUGAUUUGUCAAUUGCAUAAAUGAGAGGGACUUAAUUUGUAAUUAGGCUUGAUUUGUGUGUGUGUGUUUUUUUAGUUAAAAUUAUGAAAAAGGGAUUAACAACAUGGUUAAUGAAAUGGGAUUUUAGGAAAUUUCUGUUAUUAAAAUGAAUAAAUAUUUGAAAUUAACAAGUAUUAUCUUUUGAAAUAAAAAUCUGAGAAUGCCAAAAAGUACGUUAGAUUCCAAAAAAAUGUGAUUGGUUUAAUUUGUUUUUGUAAAAUCAUCUUUGAGUGGAAAAAUUAAAAGCAAAUUGAUGUACGGAAUCAUUAGGUGGGAGAUGGGAACACGGACCAUUACUGCUGGCAGCGGCCGGAGGACAUGACGACGGACCGCCACGCUUACAAGAUCGACCCAAGCAAUCCCGGGUCGGAUCUCGCCGGAGAAACCGCCGCCGCUAUGGCCGCCGCCUCCAUCGUCUUCCGCCACUACAACCCUUCCUAUGCCAAUGAGCUCCUUUCCCAUGCUCGCCAGGUUAGCCAUUUUUAUCAUCUUUUUUAUUUUUAUUUCCACCAAUUAUGUAUUCUUUUUUAUUUUUCUGAAAUGUAUAAAAUCAUCCACAAUAAAAGAAAAUGAAAAUAAUUUUACAAUUUAAAGCGUAGGCUAGCGGUACCCCACAGCACAUGAUACUAUUAACUACCGCAGUUAAUAGGUUUAUUUAUUGUGAUAUUGAAAGCUGUUGUUUUUUUAAUAAGAAACAUUUAUUGUGUAAUAAAAAAAUAUAUUUUUUUUCUCAAUUGAAAAAAAUAUUUUAAAGAGAAUGUUUAAGAAAUGUUUGGGUAAAUUAUAAACUUAGUUUUAGUUGGAGAUGAGUUAUAAUUAUAGUUUAGUCUGUAGAGUUAAUUUAACAAAAAUAUUUAUAGUGAAUAAAAAUAGGAUUUUUAAUAUUUUGUUGGAAAAAAAUAGCAUAAAAAUAGGCAUGUGAUAAAACUGUCGGUGGGAACUGUUUGGGGAUGUGCAUGUAGAUGUGAAGUUACGGGAAUGCCAUUGGAGAGAUUUAAUAAAUUUGUUUAUUAAAAAUGUAUUUUGUUUGUCAGCUGUUUGAAUUUGCGGAUAAAUACAGAGGAAAGUACGACAGCAGCAUCACUGUGGCUCAGAAGUAUUAUCGAUCCGUUAGUGGAUACAAUGUGCGUAAGCGUAUCAUCCUUCCCCUUUUCUUGGGCCCUUCUUCUAUGGAAGCCCGUUGCUUACUGAUUAUUACUCACCUAUCCCUUUGUUAUGGGUUAUUUGCAACGUUACUCCUGGAAAUGAUGACAAUAAUUCUGUAAUUAUAAUUUGCAGGAUGAGUUAUUGUGGGCAGCAGCGUGGCUGUAUGAGGCAACAAACAACCAAUAUUACUUGAAUUACUUGGGAGAAAAUGGUGACUCCAUGGGAGGAACUGGUUGGAGUAUGACUGAAUUUGGUUGGGAUGUCAAAUAUGCUGGUGUCCAAACCCUUGUUGCCAAGGUUGGUUUCCAUUUUAUUUUUUACAUUUCUUUUUAUCAAAAAAAAAAAAUUAUAUACAUUUAGAACUUUAUGGGUGAUUUAGACCCGACUAUAACUGGGUGGAGUGACCACUACUUAUUUGGAGUUUAAACAAUAAUAGUUGGUGUGACCACUGCAAUUUUCUAUUUCAAACUCUCUUUAUUACAAUAUUUAUCGUUUCUUGUUUGUUACAUUGUAAAGUCAUUUAAGUACAAAUUAUUAUAAUUUAUAUACUAUAAUAACUGAUUUAAUUCUCUUAAACCCUUGUUAUAGUUCAAAAGUUGGUAAGGAAGUGUUAUAUACUAUAAUAACUGAUUUAAUGCUCUUAAACCCUUGUUAUAGUUCAAAAGUUGGUAAGGAAGUGCUCUGAAAAAGACACCUAAUAAGUUCAUAACUUUUCAAUUCAACUUUGUGUUAAAAGAAUCAAAAGUUUAAUGAGCUAUUGGCACACAAAUUUAAUUUAUAGUAAAUAAGUAAGUUUUGUUUGAGAGGGUUUGGUUCUUGCAAUUUGUGGAUUGUAGAUUUAUUAAUUCUUAAAAAGUUGAAUGUUGAGUUUGAAGUAAUUUUGAUGUUUGUGAUCGCAGUUUUUAUUGCAAGGAAGAGCGGCUCACCAUGCGCCGGUGUUCGAGAGGUACAAGGAGAAGGCUGAAAAUUUCUUAUGUUCUUGCAUGAAGAAAGGCACUCGCAAUGUUCAGACCACACCGGCCGGUCUCAUCUUCCGUCAGAGAUGGAACAAUAUGCAGUUUGUUACCAGCGCUUCUUUCCUCGCCACCGUCUACUCAGACUACCUUUCUUCCUCUGGUGGAAACUUGAAGUGCGCCGCCGGUUAUGUCCAGCCUUCCGAGCUUCUUCGCUUUGCACAAUCCCAGGUCCCUACAUUUUCUCUUCAAAUGGGAACAACUAGUUUUUGAUCUUCAAGGUCAAUGUUUGUUAACUGUUCGACGAAUUGCCUAAAUGGGGUUUUGAUUUUGAACCAGGUGGAUUACAUUCUUGGGGACAAUCCAAGAGCUACUAGUUACAUGGUGGGAUAUGGAAACAAUUACCCACGACAAGUCCAUCACAGGGGAUCUUCCAUUGUUUCAAUCAAGGUCAAUUCCGCCUUUGUGAGCUGCAGGGGUGGCUAUGCAACAUGGUACACUAGAAAGGCAAGUGACCCAAACCUACUCACUGGUGCUCUUGUGGGUGGACCUGAUGCCUAUGACAACUUUGCUGAUCAAAGGGACAAUUAUGAGCAGACUGAGCCUGCUACUUAUAACAAUGCCCCAAUUCUUGGCAUUUUAGCCAGGCUCAGUGGUGGACAUAGUGGCUACAAUCAGCUCCUUCCAGGUACUUACCUCAUUUUGAUCAUCAGAUUUCUCUUAAAGCAUUUUCAAGUGCAAUCAUGGCAUUGAGCAUCCUUUUGUUUUCUCUCCAGUGCUUCUUCCUCCAGUUAAUCAUCCAGACCCAUCUGCACAAUCCAAGACACUUCCAUCUCCAGGUAUGAUGCCUUUGCAAUUAUUUGGUUGGCUUAGAAUACUUUGAACAGAUCAUUUUCUAUAUCACAUGAACUGUUUGGUACUUAAGAUGUCCAUCACAAAAGGUUCUUCAUGCCAACCAAUCCAAUUGGAUUUUUAAGAAAUAGUUGAUGAAUGACUAAAUUGUGGCAUAAAGCUGGUUUAAUUCAAGAAAUAGAAACUAUUAGGAUGAAUGACUAAAUUGGUCAUGGAAGGCGAAAAUUUGACAGAAAAGCUUGUUUUUGCAGCAUCGUCUUCUACCCCAAUUACCGUAGAGCAAAAGAUGACGACUUCCUGGACUGCUAAAGGAAAUACCUACUAUAGAUACUCUACAAAAGUGACCAACAAGUCACCAAAAACUCUCAAAAACCUGAAACUUUCGAUAUCUCAACUUUAUGGGCCUCUCUGGGGGCUGGAGAAAUCUGGUGAAUCAUAUGUCUUCCCAUCUUGGCUUAACUCAUUAGCUGCAGGAGAAAGCCUUGAAUUUGUUUACAUUCACACUGCUUCUCAAGCCAAAAUCUCGGUUUCCAGCUACACUCUCUCCUAAAUAUGAGGGAAGAAUCUUGGAAACCAAAUCAAGGCAAUACAGCAUACAAGCUUAUGCGGUUCAUGGAGUGGUGUAAGAAUUGUGCAGUUAUAGAUAGCGAGAAAGUCCAUAUUUACGCGUGAUAUGUAUUUGCUUAGGUUUUUUUUAGAUGCAAUUAGGCCAAAUAAUGGUGCUGAAGUUUGGGGGAAGAAAGGAGAGAAGAGAGUUUGAAACGGUGCUCAUCCUCUUUCUCCACCCUCUUCAAUGCUUUAUAGACAGAAUGAACAGCUGAGAGUGUCAGAGAAGGCAAACAAAGAUGGCUUCUCAAAGGAUUUGCAAGAGAGUUCUCAUUUCUUUCCUUGUAUUUUGAAUUAGCUUUAUGUAUCCUUUUAGAUGUGUGAUUUGCAACAUUUUCUUGAUUCACACUCGAAUGUAGUUUGUGAAACAUGGUGUGCUUUUGCUUAUCUUGUUUUUAAGAUAUUGUAAAUUCAUCACUAUACUCAAAACCUUUUGUGUUACUUUUAUGGUAAAGUGAUUUUAAUGGUUUGAAAUGUUCUUAAACCAUUGGGACAUGGCAUUUGUACCUUGAAAACAAUGAAUGUCAAUCAAUACAACUACUUUUGAAGUUUUUUCAUUCAAUGUACAAUAUGUUCAACUUUUAACGUUACUUAAAUGGAAGAAGAUUGAGUCUCCAAUGUUAGAUCAAAUUUAUGAUACUUGAUGUUUUUUUUUUUCUUAAUCUAAGGAUAAAAGAAUAAUUUCACUGCUAAUAAAAAGGAUAUUUGAGGUAAGUAGGUCAUUUUUAAAUAAAACAUUUAGAAAUAUCUAGAGACAAAAUAGUAUCGUUGUGUUAAAAAGAAUACUAGUCCAUUGUUGCUCAAUGGAAGCAACACCUCCUUUUCUCAAAAUUAUAUAACAUUUAAGUCCAAUAUGAACUUAAAAAUAAAGUAAAAUAAAAUAAAAAGUAUAAAAGAAAAGUGCAGUUGAGCUUAUUAUUCAAAUAAUGAAUAGGAAGAGUGAAAUAAUUAUUCAAAAAAUGUAAAAAUAAAAAUAUAAUUGUCAUAUUGUAAAACAAAAGUGAUAAAAAUAAAUUAAAAUAUUUUCAAUUAUAUUAGCGUAGAAAGAGUAUUGACUAUUGAGAUAAUAUUUGUAAAUAUUUUUAGCAUUGGUGUGAUUUGAAAUCAAUUUUCUUUUAAUUAAGCAGUCCCCAAGGCCCAAACAUGGCAGAAACAACUAAGAACAGGUAGUUUCAUGGUUCCUUCCUUGGCUUGGAUGAAGCAAGAAAUAAAUUGACUUUUCAUCUUUGCGGCUGCCAAAUUAAGCGAUUAACAACACACAACACCAACCAUCUCCGAUCAAACGCAACGCUGAGAUCAAUCUAACAAAUGGAGAAUCGUCUGGUUGAACUUUGCAUCAAUUCGGCAUGUCGGAGCAAGGACAGUGUCGAGAAAUGGCGGAGGCAGAAGCGGACCCUCGAGCGCUUGCCCUCUCAUCUCGCCGAUGCUCUCCUUCGCCGUUUACAUGCUCGUCGUCUCCUCUAUCCUUCUCUUCUCGAGUAUGUUUCCUCUUCCUUUUUUCUUUGCUCCAAAAUCUAGAUCGAGAAAUGUCUCCGUUGAAUCGCUGAAAGCGGAUUAGAACUUCUAUAUUGGAUGGUAAUGCUUCAAUUUUGUAUCUUUCUGGUUCCAUUAAGUGGAGUGAUUAAUCUGCCAUUAUUUGCAUCAAAUCGAAUUCUAUCGCUUUUAUCCAUGAGUUUGUGAUGUAUAUGUCGAAGUGAUUCCGUCGCUUGAUACUUUUGCUAGAAUUGUAGAUUACUUAGUUGUCAUCAAGUUCAGCUUAAUUCUUUAUUGAGAUCCUGAUAGUCCACCUCAAUUUGGUAUCGUCUGGCUUUUAAAACGUAGCUAAUAAGGUGAAUACAACUUAUGAUUUUUGGCAUUCCUUUCCUUUUUUCCUCCAUUAUUGCAUAUAGAAAUGCUAUUCUUCUAUUUUUUUUCUCGUGCAAUACCUGUGGCAGUGUCGAUGAAGUUUACGUUCUUUCUUUUUUUGAACUUAGAUGUUUUAAUGCAGAGUUUUCAAAUAUACCAUAGAGGUGGUCGAUCUAAGUGGUGAAAAUGCUGUUGAUUCAGAAUGGAUGGCCUACUUAGGAUCAUUUCGUUACUUGCAAUCAUUAAACGUUUCCAAUUGCCACAGGCUUUCGAGUUCUGGUGUAUGGACUAUUUCGGGUAUGUUAUUAGAGAAUGAUACAAAUGUGGGUUUCAAGGCUGAAUUGUAAGUCACACAAGGUUUUUUGAUGAUGUGAUUCUAGCCUAUCGUAACUUAUCCACUGGACUAAAUGAACCCUGAAAAUUGUGUUUAUUUUUUAUGAAAAUAAUUUGUUAUUAUCUGUCUUACUUUUUCUACUCCGAAUAUUAACUAGUCCAUCUAAGUUUAAUUGGCUGCAAUUUACUUAAGUUUGACAGUUAUGCCAUAUGCUUGUAUAUAGGGAUGACUACUUUAAGGGAAUUGAACGUUUCUAGAUGUUUGAAAGUUACUGAUGCUGGAAUUAGGCAUCUUUUGUCCAUACCAACAUUGGAAAAGCUAUGCAUUGCCGAAACUGGCAUCACUGCACAUGGAGUUACACUUCUUUCUUCGCUAAAAACAUUGGUGUUCUUGGACUUGGGUGGUCUACCUGUCACCGAUCAGGCUCUGAGCUCUCUUCAGGUAUUUCUUGUUUCUUUUUCAAUGAGGCAAUUUGUUAACAAGUCUUACUGUCAAUCCAAAAUCUUUUGUCCGUGGACCUGCAGGUGCAUGGUUCACACCUUAUGUUUCUUGCAGUGCUAACACAGAAACACAUAGACAUUCUCUUCCCUCACUUGCACGCCUGCACCAUCAAUAAUUUUGAAUAUUUUUCUGCCCAUUGGUCCUAUUUGAUUUGGUGUAAGCCUUCACAGACAAUGUAUUGGACCUUUAUUGGAUCUAUGAAUGACAUGGGACAUUCAAGUUUUUUUUCCUUCAUUGACGUUUUCUUCCACUUGAUGUUGACGACUGGAUAGCAUAAUAGCUUCUAUAACAAUCUAGUAUAAAGAUAAUUAAAUUGUUAUUUCUCCACUUAAACUUAAGCUGACUAUUUAGUUUCUGAGUAAAUUCUGUUUAUUUAUUGUUGAAUCUAUAAAAUUUUAUUGCCUUUACUUGCACUGCAUAUUCUUAAAUUAAUAAGUUUUAGUUUUUUCCUCGGCUUCUGUUCCAUUCUCUUUUAGGUGCUCACAAAAUUACAAUACCUUGACCUUUGGGGUAGCAAAAUUUCUAACAGUGGAUCCGAUGUUCUUCAAAUGUUUCCAAAGUUGAGCUUCCUGAAUAUAGCUUGGACUAGUGUCACCAAAUUCCCCAACUUGCCUCAUCUAGAGUGCCUGAACAUGAGCAACUGCAUCAUUGACUCUACACUUAAAGGGCUUGGUGCUAAAGUUCCUCCAAGAAAGCUUAUUGCCUCUGGAGCUACGUUUUCUAAUGAGACUGAAGAUCUGGGAUUUGUUGCAAUGGAUGCCCUAUAUUAUCUGGACUUUUCGAAUGCUUCUCUUCACAGAUUCUGCUUCUUAUCUCGUAUGAAAGCAGUAGAACAUUUAGACCUUAGCUCUACUACCAUAGGAGACAGUUCGGUCGAAUUAAUUGCGUCAGUUGGAGAAAAUUUGAAAUAUCUAAACCUCAGCUGCACAGCAGUCAGCUCUUCUGGAAUUGGAAGUUUAGCUGGAAAAGUAUCCAAUCUGGAAACUUUGUCACUCUCUCAUACUAUGGUUGAUGAUGUUGCUCUAUCAUAUAUGAAUAUGAUGCCUUCCUUGAAGUGUAUUGACCUAAGUGAAACAGACAUCAAAGGUACUCUUUUGUUCUAAAAAAAUGCUCCAAGUGUACCCAGUCAAUUCAUAUAUGCUGCAUUUUCCCCCUGCUUCAUUUCAUGUAUGUUAAAAACACACCAACUCCAUUCGCAUUCUUAUUUUGCAUCUUCUUUCAGUUAUGGUGCUAAAUCCUUUUAUGCUCCUGCGGGGAAAGCUAAUGUUUCAUGGUAAUGACAGCCCACAAUAACCUUGUGUAGGUUUUAUGUGGGUGGCUUCGUUAUCCAAUGCAUUUAUAUCCAAUUUGCAUUAUAUGAACUGAAUACUAGUGGAAAAUAUUUAGCCUUCACUCUGUGCUACUUGAUGAGAGCAGAACAAAAUUUCUCUGGAAACUACCCUCCCGAUAUGGGAAAUGGGAAAAGCAACUGGGAAACUACGACACCUAUUGUUGCUUAUACUUUUCACCAUGGUUCUUUAAACUAUUUGAGAAGUUUGACGUCUUCUAAUCUUUUUUAUUCCGUAAAUUUCAGGUUAUAUACACCUAUCAGCUCCAGAGACUGUGAAAGUUUUCUCGUUGACAGAAUUGCAAAACCUUGAUUGUUUAGAAAUGUUGAAUCUGGAGCAUACUCAUGUUGAUGAUGAAUCUCUACGUCCAUUAUCAAGAUUUCGGAAACUGAGUCACUUGAUGCUUAGAAGUCCCUCAUUUACAGACACGGUCUUGAGCUACUUGUCAAUUUUGCCCAAUCUAAAAACUCUCAGCAUUCGUGAUGCAGUUUUGACCAACCAGGCAUUUGAUACAUUUAAACCUGUGGCAACUUUACAAAAGAUAGACUUGAGAGGUUGUUGGCUUUUAACUGAGGAUGGUCUUUCUGUAUUCCACAGAAGAUUUCCACAAAUUGAUGUUAGACAUGAACUUUUUCACUUCUCAUCCAAUCCAACUUCCACUGAUCAACCUUCAACUCAUUUUAUUCCAAAGAAAAUACAACUGAACCAGACAAGCAGAUCUACCGGCAUGCCAUCAUAUUUUGUAGGUAUGUAACGUGAAAAAUAAUACACGGUAUGGUUUUAUCUCAUCAUAUACAUCAUGUAUUCAUAUAUACUGAUAUAUUUGCUCUAUGAUAUUGACAAAAUAACCGAUAUAAGCACAUGUUCUUUUAUGGUGAAAUUUUCGAUUUUCUGGUGAAUGUUGAUUUGGAACAUUCAAUUUUAGUAUAAAAUUAUGGAAAAUAAUACAAGAGAUUUCAAUUUCUAAUCCUUGAUUCUAAGUAGGCUGGUGUUUACAAGGUUAUUUAAAUUCUUUCUUUCUUUCUUUCUCUUCUUUAUCCAAUAGAUCAAAGGUUGAAGUAUAGCAAAGAAGAGCUACUUGCCCUACAAUUUUCUUCUCUGCCCCACGGUUCCACAUCUGUCCCUGAAAUGGGUCGGAAAUCUGAUACCUGAAGAGCUUGAAGUAUUCUAAGAAUUGAAUUAUUCGGUAAUCCUAUUCUCACUAUUGAUGGCUUAAGUUCAUUACAUUUAGAUCUUUAUGUUGCUGACAUACUAAUCAUGUAUUCUCCAUUGGGAUUGUAGUGAAGUUUUCGUUGCCCCUUGGAACAUGUCAGUUUGAAUCUUAAUUUUGUGGAUGCUGGGGGGGUGAUUAGGGUAGAAACAUUUGAGGUAAGAAAGGAUGGAGAUGGAAUGAAAGGGAGAAAGUUUUCAGUAGAGGAAAUGGUUAUGAGGUUUAAAAAGUAGACUUUUGCAGUGGAGUUUAACUUAUUUGUUUAAAAGAAGAGGAUGAAAUGUUCUUGGGAUUUUCCAUAGCUGGUUAGAUUCUAGGAAGGUUUGAGUCAGUGUUGUAGAAGAUAAAGUCAUAUAUAUAUAGGAAAUAUUAAAGUUAUUCCGUAAUUAUUAUUUUUACUUUUUACAAGUAGGGUUAAAAUGAAGAUUUAAACCUUCGUCCUAAAAGAAAGAGUAUACUAUAUGUCAUUUACUAGCAAGUGCUUUUGUAAUCUACACAUCGAAGAUAAUCUUCUCCCACGCUUUAAUUAUAUGGAAACUUUUCUUUUCUUCUUUCACGAGUUGGUUGAUAUCAAAUAACUACACUUUGUUUUUCCUACUUAAUGUCUAAGGAAAAUAUAUUACUUUAUUUUAUUUAUUACCAAAGUUAUAUAUAUAUUUGUUCAACCAUUUAACUAAAUAGAACACACAUGGGCACACACUAUACGUAUGUAAAAUAUUAAACUGUUUGUAAAUUGAAAAUCAUACGCUGUAUGUGUUCAAAAGAAUGUGGAAUCAUUUUUCUCUCUCUACAAAAGGUAUAACAGUAUGGAUAGAUAUAGAACUGCAAGUAUAUGAUAAUUAACUAUUUAGAAAUUGUUGUCAAAGUGAGAUUAGUUUAACGAUAAUUGAAAUUACCUUUCAUUUUUAGGUGAAAAAUUCAGUUUCUUAUUUUCACUAUUGUUGUAAAAAAAAAGUGAAUCGCUCAAAACCUGUAGAUAUUAGAAUUCCUUUUUAAGAUAAAUGGGGUGUGGCAUUUGAACUAUGUGAAUUAGAUAUAGUCGAAACAAGGUGGAAAAAUGGAAAAAAUAUAAAACAGACCAUUUAAGUAAAACUACAAAGGUUAAAACUGAAAAACAGUAGAAAGCAUACCUAAAUUAUUAUUAUUAUUUUCCAAAUACAUGGUUUAGACUUUAGAAUUGAUAUUCCUUAAAAUUUCACUAUUUUAUAUAAAAUAAAAAUACUUAUUUCACGUGUAUCAGUUCGUUAUAAAAAUUGAUGCAAAUGUAAUAGAAUUUUAUUGACAUAUUUCAUUGACAUAUUAAUUAUAAUGCCUUGAGUGCAAAUAUAAUUAGAAUUCUUUUGAGCAUGUUUACCAAAAGUUUAAGGAUUUGUUAAAUUUACUGUUACUUUUGUCAUUUAGGGUUAAGUUGUAACGGUAAUAGUAAAUAUGUAAUGAUUAAAAGGGAAUUGAGACAUGUGUGGAAGUUUGAUCAAUUAUUUUCCUAAUUGCACUAAGUUAACAUCAUAAACCCUAAAAGAAAAUUAAAUUAGGGUUUAGUAACGGUAUCUUUGUAGCUCCUAAUUUUAUUUUAUUUUAGAGUCUAUCCCAAUUUGUUUGAUUCUUUUCACAAACUAAAACUAAACCAUUAUUAGCGUUGACCUACUAUUCUCUAGAUUUGGAAUCGAAUUGUGGCACUUGAUAGAGAGAGAUGAAAUUUGGAGGUUGGACUUGGAGUUGAGAUUUUGGAAAGGAAAAAAACCUUUUUUUUUUUUACAAAACUAAUUUCAAAGAAAAAAAUACUUAAAAUGUCUUUUUUUCCAUGUGAAAAACAACCCUCUAAAUGGAGUUAUAGUAUUAUAGAGAGAUUUUUGGAUAAAAAUAAAGAUUUAGGCGUUUGUUAGAAGAGAAAAUAAAAUGAGUGUUCCAGAUCUUUUGUUUUUUUAAGAAGUCUAGGUGAAGUAAUGAUUAUGAAGAUCAAACUUUAAGAUGUGAAAGUUGUAAAAAUCUCAAAUGACUGGUUUUAUUUAAUUUUAAAAUAAUACUAAAUGGUAUGGACCUUUACCAAACAAAACCAAUUUUAAUUCUCCACUAACCUCAAUCAUAAUUCUUCACCUAUUUAAUUAGUCUAACUAAUUGAUUUAGUUACUUUAAAAUUACCUACAAAAGUUUAAAAGACAUUUUUUUACUAAUCACAAAAUUAAAAAUAACUAAAUUAGCGAAAAAAACUAAUCUACAAAUUGAAUUAAUUUUAAAUAAGGUCGAACAAAAUUAGAUGGUUACAAUGAAAAGUAUAACUAUAACUAUAAAGUUCUCACUAAAAUUACAUUACUUAAUUAUGGAUUUUCGACUAUGGCCAACCAGUAAAUACAAAUGCAGAAAGCACCAGUAAACAGUAACAAACGUAAUAAUGAAAAGAAAUUUACUAUACAAAUUAUCUUUCAUUUAUUGUAAACAUGAACAUGAACCUUACCGCAUUUUGCUCCACUUAUUGCAAACUAUAAUUGAGUGGGAUGCCAUGAAUUAAACCCAAACAUUACUUCUUUGUAAAUGAAUUUACUAAAUUAUUUUAGGAAAUCGAUGUUUCAUUAUCCAAAGAAAAUAAAUAAAUGUUCUGACUUUCUGACAUAAGAUAUUAUAAUGGUUAUAGGCAUUGGUCAGAAGCCUUCAAUUCUGCGUCGCUAUCGUUUUUGGAUAUCACUUUCAGAAAGAAAUACUCCAUUACCAAUAAAUUAAAGAGAAGGACGUGAAAGUGCAAAUCCAACUAACUGAUUUAUAACUCUUUAUGUCGGUUUCGAUAUUUAUAAGUAUCAAUGUCACAUCAAUUUAUAUUCCUAACCCCACUACUUAUUAAUUCAUGACAAAUUUAAUAACAAAGAAACAAAAAGAAGUUACAAAACAGCACAUGUACAAAUUGAAUGUAACCUUCUUUUUAUUUGAAAUUGAUCCUAACGAGCAAAGAAGAAAAUGAUUUGAAAUUCAUAAUCAUUCAUAAAAGGUUAAAAGAGAUGGAUUGAUUUGUAAAAUUAGUUGGUGUAUACGUAAAUUAGGCUUACUCAUAGAUAUCAGAAGAGAAAAAAAUCAAUUGCUAAUUGUUAACGUGUCUAUAAUGAUACAACUAAUAACUAGAUUUAAUAUAGCAGAAAUGUUUGGUUCAAUAAUGUCCAUGUCCCUCUAAAACAAAAGCUUUCAUCAUUCACAUAAAUGGAUUGAUUAGGUUGAUUAGUAACCCAUAUGUACAGUAAAAGAAAAAGGGGAUCAUUUCAUGAGAAAGAGUGCAAGUUUUGGAAUGGAUUCCAUAAAUGUCAUCUUCAUUCAUUAAGGCUUCUUUGCAUUAUUGUACAUGCUGUCAAUUACACUCUGCCAAAGAAAAAUAAAUCGUUCAUCAGUAUCACGCAGUAAAAUUGAAUGAAAAUCUUUACCAAUGAGAGAAAAAUGAAAACACAAACAAUCAUGUAUUUGGAUUGAGUACCCUUUAGUUUAAUUACAAUUGAGUUCUAAUCCUUUAUUUUUAAGAUUUUGAAGUCAUAAAAUAAGUUUGACGAGUUUGGGAAAUUUGACUAAAUUGAUAGAUGAGAUAGGUUGUUACAUGAACCUGAUAAUAUUUGAGCAAUUGAGGUCUCUUCUUCUUGUACGUUGGAGUUAUUAGGUCACGUUCCAUAUCGAAUGGUAGAGGGUCGAGGUGAAUGGCUUUAAUAAAUUCAAAGCCUUUCAACUGCCAAGAACAAGAAUUGUGAGAGCUUCAUGUUAGUUUUUGACAAUGGAGUAAAAUAUUUGUUUAGUCAAAUCAAAAGAAGUGUGCAGCAAAUUGGGAGAAAUAAAACCUUCUUCUCUUUUGCAAUUUUGUUGAGCUCCCCAAGCAGGUAGUCCUUUGCCCUCUUAUCUCCACAAAGUGAAUCAAAGUCCCCUUCGAUACCGUUUUCGUUUGCCCAACGUUCAAGUGCUAGCUGGUUGGGAUUAGCAACUGCAACUAGAAACGACUCGAAACUGUUCCCGUAGACCCAGAUCUAAAUUGAGCAUCAGAAAAUUAUGUAUAAAUAACUCAAACUUUCUUUUCUAAUGUCAGUAAUGUGCAUAAAAAACAUUGCUAUUAAAAGCUAACAAAAGUUUAGAAAAUACCAUAUCUAUAGAAGAUACAAGCCCAUAAAUAUUCUCCAAAUUUUCCACGGCAACGUAUUCUCCUUGAGAAAGCUUGAAAAUAUUCUUCUUCCGGUCAAUAAUUUUCAAGCUCCCAUCCGAUUGCCACUCACCAAUAUCACCUUAAAGAAAAGAAGAAAAAUAGGAGGUAAACUUAUGAUAACGAACCAUAGAAAAACGAGCAAAUAAAUUUUAUGGCAAAACGGAUUAAGAUUACCUGUAUGGAACCAUCCAUCAAUCAUGACCUCAUUGGUUAAGUCAUCACGCUUGUAGUAUCCAGAAAACAAUGGGUCUCCCCUAACACAUAUUUCACCACGUGGUGUGGUCGAAAGGGCAUCAUAUCCCAUUUCGGGGACAGAUUCUAGGCAGACAUCCACAUUUGGCACUGGAGGGCCAACUGUUCCCAACAUUGAAAGUUCAUUUGGCAAUGAGACAAAAGUCCCAGCACAGGUCUCUGUUAAACCUGCAUUAGCAUGAAAUAAUCAUCAUUGAAGUAUGGGUGAAACAGAAAUGGAAGGAAUGGUCAAAAAUUAUAAGAAACUAUACGAGUCAAUGAAGAGUAGAAAACUGAGAAUGACUGCAGAGAUUACAUACCAUAUCCUUGUAGAACAUGUGCACAUGCCACAACUCUUAAGAAAGCUUCUACGUGGGUAGCUAGAGGUGCGGCUCCAGAUAGAAUAAGUCUCACAUUACCUCCCAACCCUUCCUUUACCUGGUCAAGAACCCCAAAAGGACAAAAUAUAUGGAUUAAAAUUUUAGUAAAUCUGAGGUUCAUGUCAAAUAUAGAAGGUGUGUCGAAGAAAAUGUUUUUCACCUUAUUAAAGACAAAUCUGUCACAAAUUGGAGAUGCCUCGCUAUGUUUAUGCCCCUUUUGCAUGUUACCAUAUUUACUGCAAUAAAGAGUAAGACUAAUGAGAUUAACGAUAAGUGAAAUAAUGGACAAGAACUAAUGAAAGUUCAAAUCCACAAAAAUACCCCAGGAACACCUUGUCUAAUGUCUAUGAUCACUAAGUUGACCGAACUAUUGUCAAGUUCUAAGGCAGUUAGUGAACCAUGACUAACAUAGUUGAGUUUAUGCAUAAAAGUAUCACUCGUCAUGAAAUACAUUCGCUCAUGUUAAGUAGUUUUACUUAGAAAAAUCUUCCUACAAGGAAUAGAACGAGAUUUUAUGAAACUUUCUUUGUUUUAUUUAACAAAAUUCAUCUGCACUAAUACAAUACAUAUUUUAAGAAAAUUAAACCAAAGUGGAACUAACUCACCGUGAGAAUGCAACAUUGAAUAAUGUCCUCUUUAAGAGCCCCCCUUGAUCCAACCUCUGAGUCAAGCCUGAGAAAAUAUAAUAAUUACUAUUUUGAUCAUGGGAGAUAUAAACUUGCUGCACCCAAAUCAAAACAGUAGUAUCCACAGACCAAAGCGAUAAAACCAGAGCAACACGCUGGAUAAUGACAACUUCAAUUCACAUAACUGGUUCUAGCUUUAGAGAUGCUUGUUCUCAAUAAUAAUUAUUAGGAAAAAUAUUAUAUUUCACAUACGAUCAGCUUACCAGCAUAAAUUCUAUCUAAAACUCGGGGAACGGCACAGAAAAUACUGGGUUUGAGCUCCCCAAUAUCUUCAAUGAUUAAUUUAACAUCCUGCAGAAUGUAAAAACAUAUUUUAUAAACCUUAUAAUUGGCACACAAAGAAAAUCAAAUGAGAACUCACCCCACGCCAGAACCCAAUGGAAGCACCAUGUAAGAUGAACAGCUCCUCGAUCACUCGGUCAAAGAUAUGUGCUAGCGGAAGGUAUGACAAAUAUACAUCUUUUGGACUCAACUGUAUGAGGGAGAGAGGGAGGGAGAGAGUGAAGAGACGUAAGAAAUCGAGCAAUUAGACACAAAAGAUACAAUGACUAUCAAUCUAGAUUGACUAUUUCAUAGGGUAUAUUAUUCAAAUUUCCAUUUCAAGGCUUUCGUAAAGAAAACACUGGAUGUACAAAAAACUAAGGAAAACUACCUCUUCAUUUACAUUCUCUAAGAGCCGCUGGACACCAGCUAUAAGUGAAAUUAUGCUUUUGUUCGAUAUCAUGACUCCUUUAGGAUCUCCAGUAGUUCCACUUGUAUACAUAAUAGUGGAAAUAUCACUUUUCUUUUUCACAGGAAGAUCAAAAUGUUGAUUUUCACCCUGUUUUAAGCAGAUACCAAAAAGAUUAGAUACAAUAAAUGACAGCUUAAAAGUUGAUGGGAGCAAUUUGUACUUUCUUCCUCAUGAUGAAAGAUGAAGGGUAAAAAAAAGGCUAUUACCAGGUCUACGACAUAUCUUUACACAUAUCAAUAUUAUCUUAAUAGAAAAGUUUUCAGUUCAUUGUCAAUACUCAGAAGAGGAAACAGCAUAUUCCCAAACAAAAUGUUACUAUGGAUAAUUUCAUUAAGUUGAGAUGAAGAAAAUUUUCAAACUAAAGACUAAAUUACUGAAUAAAAGAGACCUAUCGAGGAUCAAAACUUACCAGAAGCAAAAAUUCGUCCCAAGAAAAUAUUUCAACCCCAUGCUUCUCGAACUCCUCUCUCAGAUUAGGUGUAACCUUGCCAAAACUCACAAUUGCUACAAACAAACAAAUGAAACAUUUUAAUAAAAAUAGAACUAAAUAAAUAAAAAUGUGCUUCUACAGACACAUCAUUGGAAAAAAAAAUCUAAAUAGUAAUAAAAACUCACUUUUCAAGUAUUUGGUUGUGCUUGGAAAUGUUUUCAAGACCUGGAAAAAAAAUAUAAAUUUCAUAUGAUCAGAACUAACCGGGACAGGUACCUUUUACAUAUUGUUCCACCAAAUCACCGUUCUCAGAGAGUAAAGAUCUGUAGUUAAUAACCAUAUAUAUAACUUAAAAAAUAAAGAUUCUAAAUUUCUGGCUUCCACCACAGGUCUGUACCUCAGGAAGCUUCUUCUCUUCUACAAAAGCAACAGAAAUUUCGGAAUGGCAAAUAAUAAAUUCCACAGCACCCGCACCUAAACAUUGAAUCAAUAUGAUAAAAAAGUCAAUCAGCUUACUCUUAAUUUUCUAAUAAAAUAAAUACUAAACCACAUAAUAUGAGAAUAAAUUUAGAGGAACAGUGCAAUUCUGUCUUCCAAUUGAAAACUUGGAGGAAAAGGCAUAUGGACAUACCUAACGUGUCAUACAAAGGAACACAAUAUAGUCCAUGAGCAUUACAUGCCUGCAAGUAUUAUUAAGUGUCAUAUAAUAUUUCUCUAGGAUGAAGUAACAAGAAAUUAGAGAAGAUAGCAGAAAACAAAUGAGUCCUGUGAAAGUCAGCACGUUUCUGAAACUCCAUAGAAGAAAAAACUGGAAGAUAAAAGAUGAAUGAUAUCAAGAAAGAAGUAAGAAGCAAAAGAAAAUGUCUACCUCCAUGCUUAUUAUCCACUCUGAGCAAUUGGCACCAUAAAUACCACAUUUUACUCCCUAUAAAUGGAGAUUAGGAUAAGCUUUAAUCCACAAGAUUUGCAGGAAUGUGCUUGCAUAAAUGAAUUGAAUAUCUUAAUGAGAAUGGAAGCAUACUUGCUCAAAACCACGAGUACGCAAAGAAUUUCCAACUUUUACUACAGUGUCGUACACUUCCUUAUAUGUUAGCCAGACAUAUUUACCAGCCUACAAAAACAUACCAAGCUACAAUUUAUUGCAAGGUCUUAUUGGAUAUUAGAAAAAACAAAAACAUACACUUUGGGGCGUUUGGAUUAUUUGCAAGAUGCAUAUACCUUUCCAUUCACAAUCUCACGGUGCCCGAGCAUUCGAUUUCCAGGGUUUCUUUCCACUGAUAACCUGCAAUAUAACAGUAAUCAAUGGAAAAAUUGGCGCAUUACAUUUAACGAUGAUCAUCAUAUUAACGAUGGAUAUCAAAUAACUCAUAAGCCAACAAGCAAAGGUCUAAUAUAAUCCCAUGCAAAGCUGAGAAAACAAAAGAAUGGUAUUGAUCAAAGCUCAAGAAAAUGGGAAAAUGGAACUGCCAAAAAGGAUGAAGCUCAAAUAUGACGGUAAGAACAGAGCAAGCAGAACACACCCACCCGGCAUGGUACAGUAAUUUAUAUCUAAAGAGAAAAAGAUAUAUAUUGAUCUUAAGCAGUUUGAACUAUAACUGUUCCAAUCAAAAGCGGCAGAGCCAAGUACUAAAAAAAACAAUGAACUAUGAAACUUUUGAUCAAAACUAAUCAUACUCAAAUUUCAAUAUAUUCAUCAGCACAGUAUAUAUAUAAAAAAAAAAAAAAAACAACGAGAAAAUCUAGCGGAAUACACAGAGCAGAACUCAACUUAAGUAACGAUAUAAACAUAACGGGAAAGGACCUUGUACUCGGCUAAAAUAAAAGCUGGAAUAGAAGAAGGCACAAAAUGCAGAAUCUAGUAGCGGUAUCUCUCAGCAAAGAAGAAGAAAGUGAAGAAAUCAAACCGAAAUAUAUCCCAACAACUAUCCAAUCCUUGAAUGGGCAGGGGAAAGCCGUCUUUGGCGAAAAUGCUUCUGUAAACGGGUCCGAUCGAAGGCCUUCCAUCAAUGGCGGACUUGGACUUCUCCACCUCGAUCAAAUACUUCAUCUGAGACAUCCUCCGGACACCGAUAGAUAGUAAAAAUCCGGAAACAGAGAGUGUGGAUUCGUUCAAAAUUCAAAAAAAAUCGAUGAAAUUGAGAGGAAGAAAUUGGUUUAAUAUAUACAAAUCAAAGUACAAAAGUCAUGAAUAUUGGUGGCUAUGGGUGACCUGACCAAGUGGCGUACAUCGUAAAUACACCCUUUUUUUCUUCUUCUUUGAAUCUUUUCCCUUUUCUUUUCCUUCACCAAGUAAAAAAAAUUGCAAAUUUAGUCCCUCACUUUUGUACUUUUUAUGUGUUUAGUCCUUCUCUUUCUCUAAAACUAACCCGUGGAAUGGAAUAUCUAACUUUAAAAAAUUUUAAACGCGAUACUAACUUGUAGUUGGAUGAUCGAAUCUUUGACCUAUUUAAAGAACAUUAUACAAAUUUUCUUUUAGUACUACUAUACUUCUAAUGGUCCCUACUUUGAUUUUAGGGUGAUAUGUUAUAGGGGGGUCCAACAAUAAAUGACAUAUUGUACUUCAUUGUAAUGGCUUUCAUAGCAAUGCCGUAUACUAUAUAGACACAUAAUUUGAUAAUAUGAGAUAUACCACGUUUAGUUGUAUUAUAAUGUCAACAAUAAAGUGAUUGUUUUUAUUUUUUUAUUUUUUCCUUUUAACAAGAGAACAAAUGAUUGAAUUUCUAACAUUUAAGAAAAAAAUCAUAUCAAUUACUAUUAAGCUAAAUUCAUUUUAUUAAAAUUUUUAAUACAACGUAGAGUUAGAGGAAUUGUUCACCUCUAAAAUUAAAAGUCAUGUCAAUAAUCACAAACUAAUUUUAGCUUAUUUUCUCAAAUUAUUAUCUAAUACUUGUAAGUCGAUUUUUUUUUUAAUAAAUGGUCAACUUAUUUGAAGAAUUUUAGAGAGUGAGAAAUAAAAUUAAAAUUUUAUAGAAAAAAAAGAUCAUUUUUGAAAAAUUUAAAAAUAAAUAGAAGGUAAAUUAUAAUUUGAGGUGUAAAUGUUAAAACUUUUAUGGUAAAAUGUAAUAAACGGUAAAGAUGAAAAUGCGUGUAGGAGUUUAUGUUUAUAUGUUUUUAAAACUUCAUUUUUAUCCUUCUCUUUUUAGCAGAAAUUCAUUGAUGGUGUAGGUAGGAAUCUGUCCUUUUUAAGAAUUAUUUUUCCCUCCCUAUUUUAGUUCAAUGCUUAUCUUUAGAAUACCAAGACUUGUUUUGUAUAUUAAAAAUAAAACAAUUGAAUGUUGUUUUCCUUUUAAGACUAAAAAAAUAUAUAGAAAGUAGAGCUUGAAUUAGAAAGAAAAAAAAAGGUCAUCCUCCUUUGAGGUUAAAAAGGUCAAAGGGUCAUUGUUUAAUUAGUUUUUAUUUCACUUAGUUGUAAUAUAUAAUUUUGCAUUCUCAUCUUUUUAAUAUUUGAAAUUUUGAAUUAAUUUUUUAUUAUAAAAAAUAAUGGUGAGUGAUAGAUUCAAACCGUUAAUUAACAUUCACUUUUUCAAUAAAAAUUUUAGUUGAUAAAUAUAAAUAUAAGUAUAAAAUAAAAAAAUUUCAUUGAAAAACCAUAACUUUCGUACUUUUUAUUAUUGUUAGAGAAAUUAUUGUAAUAGACUAAAUAACCGAAUGUGCUUUUCUUUAUGAGUUUUAAAUAUGCACAACAACACGAAAAACCUUUCCUUCCAUUAUUUUUCUUUUCUAUACAACUACUUAGAUGUUGCAGUAUGCAUAUGAAGUACAUCGUUCACGUGUUAGUAAUCAAUUCUAUCCCAAUAAGCUAUUGUUCAAUCAUAAAAGAUUAAGUUUUUUUAAUUAUUUAAAAGAAAAAAUGAAGAAGAUAAUUAUUUAAAAAGUUGAUAAAACUGACCCAUUAUUUAUAUUUUACGUAAAUAAUUUGUAUUUUCUUAUUAUUUCGAAAAAACUAAAAAAAACAACAAAAGUAAUAAAUACAUUUACUAGAAGAAUAAAUACAGAAAAUGAAUGGGGAAAAACAUAUGUAGAAUUUUGGUUAUUUUGUUCCCUUUUUUAAUGUGGGCCCUACGGAGAAGGUAUUUAUAUGUAUUUCGAGAUUCCGAUGAGAAAUAUUGAAUUAUUUAAAUAAUUAUGGGCGUAGGUAUUUUAUUUAAUUUGAAAAAUGAAAGAGAAAAAGAAACCCAAACGAAUAGAAAGGAAUAGAAGAGAGGAUAGAUAGGUUGAGGAAUGGGGACCAUGUUUUGAGUUUUUUGGCAUUGGAUUUUGGAUUUUCCACAUUUAAGAAAACGGUCAAUGUCCCACUUUUAACUUCUUUUUUUUUCUUCUUCUUUUUUCCAAAAACAAAUUAAAUAAGAGAAAAGAAAAUUAAUAGUGCCCACCACACACUUUCAUUUAUUGAUUUAUUGUAUUGUUUCAGUAAUUUUAUUCAAAAUAAAAGAGAAUAACAAAAGGGUGAGAUAUUUUUUCAACACCCUAACAUUAAUAAUAGUUUAGAAUGAGGUGGGCAGAAAGAACCCUCGUGACUCCUCCUAUCAUUUCUUUUAUUUUUCUUAUAAUAUAGUUCAUUCUCUACGUCGGACAAUAAUCACAAAUUGGACCAUUUAACAUUUGAGGAAAAAAUAAUAAUGUCUUCACCUAAACUCAUUUUAAUCACUAAAUAUAUUCAUGCACUUCGCCAUAUUUUAUUUUAUAUCAAUUUCUAUGUGUUAGAUUCCUAGUUUUCUCCCCAUGUUUUCAUUCAAUUUUCUAAAUAGUAUUUUAGUUUAUAAAAUGUUAUAAGGAGAUACUCAUGGAGGUUUAAUUUUUUUUUUUUAAGAUUUAUGAAAAAUAUAUUGAUUAAAAUUAGACAACUACAAGUACGAAGAUUAAAUUGAAAAAAAAAAACGGAAGUACAUGAAUUAGAAUAAUAUUUUAACUAAUAAAAUAUUAUUACAAGAUAAGAUAAGUGGCAUAAUUUGUUUAUUUUAUAGGUGGACAUAUCCUACUUAUCUAUGUAUUUUUUCUAACGACAAAAUGAGUUUAACUUAAUAAUAAUUUCUAUUUAUUUCUUCUCCUAAGUCUAAAUUAUCAUGUCACCUGAUGUUAACGUAUAGUUUAUAAUUUAAAAUUGCUUCAAUAAUGUAUAUUAACUUUAGAUUAUGCUUCUAUUUAUUUUAUUAAUAACAUUGGUAGAAUAUGUGGAUGUGGUGCACAUUCAUUCAAAUUGUUUGUCAUAUCACGUUGUUAACUCAAAUAACAUUAGUUUGAUGAUCGUCAAAUCAACAUUUAGUAGACGCAAAUAAUAGUUGGAAAUUAUAUUUAGGUAGAAGCAGCCAGCAGGAUUCAAAAAGUGUUAGAAAUGUAAUUAAAACUUUUUAUAUUUACUAUCUAUUUAGUUUGUGAAUCUUCAAAACCAACCUUUUGUAUUUUUGUCACGUGGAUUUCAUAUGCAUUUAUUGCCACCACAACUCCCUUGUGGACAUGGCCUCUAAUAUGCUUCUUUCAUCUAGUUAGCCUUACAGUUCUUUAAAUAACAAAUAAAUUUUCAUUUUGGAUCGUUCAAUAAAAUUAUCGUAUUUUCUAUAUCACGAUCUCACGGCUUUUCUUGGGUUUGGAUUGCAUUCGAUUUUAUUUUAGAUAACUUUAACCAACGUAAUUUUUAAUUAGUUUAUAAAGAAAUAACGAUAUGACUGUUAAUACAUAUAUAAUUAUACACUUAAUUUAUUCUCAACGAGAAGGUAUUGUAAAAUCUACUUAUGAUUAUAUGAAAUGACGAUGAUAUACAUAGAUACAAUACAACCAACCCUUAAAUAAAAUAAAACUAAAAUUGAUUAUAAAAAUUAAUGGUCACGCACACAUUUAUUUAUGAACCGUAGAAAUCACAUGAGAAACUUAAAUGGAUAAAAAGUACUUCCCGUUUCCUCUGAAUUUAAAUAUCAAACUCUCCAUCACGAAAAAAAAUGUGCAUGAAAAUAUAAAUACUGAUUAGGUCAGAAAUAUAUUUAUAAAAAAAAAAAAAGUAGAAAAUAGUUAAAUUUAAUGCUAUUACUUAUCCUGGAGAAAAUAUUGCAUAACAAUAAUUAUCCUCAAACCUAAUUUGAGAGCAAAAGUAAAUGGAAAAUGGAAAUUAUCCUUAAUACAAACGUGCAGCAAAAGAACAACAAAAUCAUAAACAAGUUCUCCAAAAUGUUAUAUAAGAAAAGAUUUGGAUUUAUUAACUUCUUUGAAGUGAUAAUAUAUGACAGUUAAUUAAUUAUUUAUAGAGAGGGAGUAGUGAAUCAAAUCAUUCCAAUAAUAAAGCAAAAAUAGUAAUUAGAAAAGAAAUAGAAAAAAGUGGGUGUGAGAUGUGACUAAAAAUGAUGCAACAUCACAAGUAGGUGUAAAUGGAUAGGAAGAAAAUUAAAAUUUGGAAGCCUAAAUUGAAUAAUUGAAUUAAGGAAGAGUCCUAAAGGUUGGGCAAAAUGGUUGGGAAAGUUGAUGGUCCUAAUGGGUUAGUUGGGAAUUGGAGAGCUUUAAUAAUAUGUAUUUUUAGCAUUCUGACUAAUAAGUGUUCUUUAAUCAUUUAGUCACUAACCUUAUAUUUUAAUCCAUACCUAAAAUGUCCAUUUUAAAUCAUGUUUAGUUCUCUAAUUUCUUUUUUUUUUUUUUGUCUAAUAAUAGCAAGAUGGUGAAAAAAAUAUACCAAAAAUUUUUGAAAAAAAAUUGUUUAAAUUUAACUAUUCAAAAUUUAAAUAACUGUGUUAAAUUUUAAUUUAAAUAAAAAAAGUUACGAUUUUGCUCUCGAACAAAUUUAAUUGUCUACCAAAAAUUCAAAUCUAAACAGGUAGCAAUAAUCUUUCAAAUUUAAAUAGGUAAAAAUAGCUAUAAAAAAAAAUCAAAUUUAAAUAAUUGAAUAGCUAAAUUUGAACUAAUUACCAAAUAUAUUAACCUCAAGACAUUUUUUAUAUUUUUUUAUGGAGCUUUUUCUAUUUUCAAAAUUAUUGGUAAAUAUUUUUCCGUAAAUGAAUGAAUUUUAAAAAAUAAUAAAAGUCAAUUUUAAGGACCGACUAAAUUUAUAAUGUAAGGGAACUAAUUUGAUAAAAUUAAAAAGUCUAUAAUUGUGGCGAAAUUUCUGGUGGUUUGCUUCCAAAUUGGAACUUCAACUUCGCAUUUAUGGUACGGAAAGAAAUAAAAGAGACUGUUUUGAACGUCCAAUUUACAUUUUCAUAUAACAAUUAUUCUUCUCUUCUUUUGAAACAAAUAAUUCCCAAGUUUAUUCAUUGAGAAAAUUAUUUCAGAAGAUUUAAUACCGACAAAAAUAAGAUGAAUCUAUAUUUAAGAAAAAAAAUCAAAAUAAAAGAUUGACUUUGGGUUGCACUUCUUAUUAAUAGAAACUUGUGGAUGAAUGCAAAUGCAAUUAAAAUGGGAUAUGAUUAAAAAGAAACAAAAAUGAAUAAAAUAAUUAAGAGAAAUGUUAGAAUAUUGAAGUGGGAAUUAAUGAUCCUACAAACAAUUAUUACAACUCCCAUUGAAUUGGGUCAUUUGUUGUUAGUUGGGUGGUUGGUAAGCUUCUUCAAAUGGUUGUGGUUAAGCUUUGUGGGUUCAUUCAACUUGUAUGAAACUUCAAUUCUAGAGUUUAUGAUUUAAGCCUAACCAACUUCUUCACUUUACAAUUUAUAUUAGGAAAAUGUAUUUGGAAAUCACUUUUUAAACACCCACCUAUUUAUUACAACAGUGUACGAUUUUAUCUUCAAAUUCGUGUAUCUCCUACAGAUUAUUCAUUAUCCCACCUCUCCUUUUUUAAACAAAUAUACAUGUGAGUUUUACCCACUACAUGAAAUUUUAUCUCAAAACAUUCAUAUAUUUCUAACAAAAAGAAAUUGAAGUUUGGAUUUUUCAAUAUGUUAUAAGAAGACUUUUGCAAUGUACUCCUUUCAACGGAAGGAGACUUUUCUAUAUUAUUAAUUAGGAGAGAGAUUGAUUGACUCUCUCUAGUUAAAACAAUACAAGACAAAAGGACAUUGCUCUAAAAAUGUGGGGUUCUUGAUUACUUUUCUAUGAAACAUUUCCAAAAUUGCUUACAAGUUUUGAAACAUUAAUAUAUUACUAUUUACUUAUAAUAACGUAGGAAUGUUAAUGUUUUUUUUAGGGAAAAAAAGCUAUUUACAGCAAAAUUUUACAUAUUUAUACUCAUUUGCCAUUUAAAUUUUUUCAUAAUUCAAUAAAGAUUAAACGAGGAAAGGGAAAAGCCGUUUGAAAACAGUUUUUGACAAAAUAGGUUUAGAACGAAAAUAAAAACUAAAUGAGUAUGGUGUAGGUGUAUGUAUUGUCGCAUACAUCAACAUACAACCCAUUCAAAUUCAGAUACAUAUUCCAAGAGAAAACAAUAAUAAUUAUUAUUAUAAUUAUAAUAAAGCAAUUAAAUCAUGACAAUAAUAAAUAAAUAAAUAAAUAUCAAUACUACAGAUCUCAACUCUAUUUUACAAAAUUUUCUUCUUUUGAAGAAUCCAAAUAUUCAGAUCCAAAUGGAACUUGUAGAAACACUACAAGCGAAAUUUUUAUUUUUCUUUUGGCUGGGCUCUCUCUCUCUUUCUCUUUGGAGUAUCAAAAUUACCAAUUGGAGCAAAAUUAUGACUAAACUUAACUGGGUUAUAAUAAAUCAUAUAAUACUACAGUCUUCCAGGCAGAAAAAGUCUAAAUAAAAUAAUGUAAGUGAUGUCCUCAAUACGCGUCUCACUUUUUCUUGUUCUUCAUCUUUUUCCUUCCCUUCACUUCUUUCUCCAAGAUUCUAAGCCUCUGGCUUAUCAAUGACGAUGAUGAAUUUUUUCGGUCUUGGGACUGUGAUGGUUGUGAUGGUUGUGAUGGUUGAGCGGUUAAUGUGUUCGUGGUGGUGGCUUCAUUGGAUGCUGUUGUUGCUUGUUUCAUAGCGUUAAAAAACGAAAAGGCAGGUGGUGGUGUGGGGUUGUUUCUAUUGGCUUCUGGUAUUUCAGGGACACCCAAGGCCUUCUUAACCCCAGGAACUUUGAGAGCUGAAAAUUAUCAAACGUCUAUUAAUAAAAGAAAAACGGUAAAAGAUUAGGGAUUAGGAUUAGGAUUAGGCAAUUGGAGGACUCACCAGCCCCGUAUGCGAGUGAGAACAAAUUAGAUGUAACCCAGUAACAGAAUAUUGCCUGCAUAUAAUACCAAAAGUAAGUGACCUGAGUAAAGUUGAGUGAGGCACAUUAGGGAAGCUGUGCCUUGUGAAAUGCCAGAAUUCAAUUUCAAGAUGUUAUGAAAGCUUUUGGAUCUUGUAAGAAUGUUUAUGACGCAGAACUUAGAUGACUCUGUGCAAAUUACUUAGGGUCCAAACUUCAUUUCAGUUAGCCCACUCAGUAUUUAUGCUUUCAAUUAUAAUAGUUAGUGAUAGUGCUUCCAACUAUUUUAUAACCCAUAACUAACUAUAGUAACACUAGUUAAAAUCUAUCUUUGUUACCAUAUAUAUUAUUUCCUAUCAACCCUCUCUCCCAUUCUGUUAUAGUGUGUUUAUUAUUUUUCCUAUCCAGCCUAUUAUAACCUAUCAACUAAAAUGGCUACUGACUUCUAUGAUAACCUAACCUACUGCCUCAAUCUCCCCCUUGCUGAUUUUAUUUCCACCUUGUAAUACAAGACUCCUAGUCCAACCAGAUACAUGCAACAAACAUCUAGCAAAUAAACAAUAAUUGAGUAAAUGCUAUUUACACCAUCAACCUCCUGCUUCAUAGAAAUCGUAAAGCUACAGUAAAUAACUUCAGAUAUCAAAAAAUUGAAGAAAAAAACUUUAAAAUGGCAAGCAGAGAACGGAUAACUGCAACUACCCAUCAACCUCGCUUCAGAUAUUGCCAUUAUGUUAAUAUUUAAUAUGAAUACUAAAUAAAACUGCAGACAUUAUUAAGUAGUAACGAAGUUGAGAGCCAACAUGAGGUCAGGACUGCUUUGAUAUCCAGAAAUUGCAUUCAACACAGAAGCAAAACAAGCAACAAUUUUACUGCAACAAAAAAUAAAGUAGCAAAAUACCUUCGGAAAAUGCAUGGUCAAGGGAACCGUAGCAAUAGCAAGACCCCUCAUCACAUUUUUCAUUGUGCCAGCUAUAGGGUUGCCUUCCAUGCCUUCUUGCAUGUUGUACUGAGAAAAUAAAGCACUCAGAAUGUCUACGAUUAGUUGUGUAAUGAUAAUAAUAAUAAUAUAUAAUAAUAAAGACAAAAAAAAUAAAAUUACGAAUGUCUACCUCCACUGUGACCCAGAAUGUCACCGCGGUUAAAACUGGGAAAAUGUACAUUGUAUCUGGAGUCGUGAGAUCAACAAACCAGUAUGCUCCACCAUUUUUAAAUGAAGGCAUUUUCUCUGCCAUGUUUGAAACCUGCCAAAGAAAAUAAUAAUUGAGAAAAGUGAAAGUAAUAAACAGCAUACGUCACUAUACCUAAAUGUUUUAUCAUUAGUCAUUUAUAAGGUAAAAAUAAAUUAAAAAGAAAAAGUCAUUACCGCGAGGAAAAAACUGAUGAAGACAGGACCCUGAAUAAAAAGUCCCUUCAACGGAGUGAAUGGGCUCACACCAAACCUGCAAGGUCAAAACUCAUGAAACCGAAGACAACCAAGAAAAAAACAUCAAAACGUCCAGAGAGGUGAAAGAAAAUAUCAAAAGCACACUGAUUUACCAAAGAAAGGUUGCUCGAUGAAAAAGAUCUUUUGCAAUCACAUUUUAUCAAAUACUAUUACGUUAAUAAACCCCGUGGCCACCACAAAUAAAAAUAGUUCUGUUCAUUUACAAUUUUUAAUUAUUAAAAAAAAUAAUGAUUUCGCAGUUAUAAAACUUCCAGCUUUAUUCUAAAAAACAAGAAUGCUAGUCUAUCGAAUGUAUUAUAAGGACAAAAUGACAUUCUGACAAGUUUGAGAUGAUAUACAUUUAGCACACAAGAUAGCACACAGUAUUACGAGGCAAUAUAUUUUUAUGUAAGGAUACAAGCAUUUUGAUAACCAAAAGACGAAGUUCACAACAAUUACAAUAUCAAGAUCACGAUAAUCAGCAAUUUUGAUUUUUGAGGGUGCUGAUAAUAUCUCCUCACCAUAGAACAACUGUUCCAUCUAAAAUAAACCAUGAAGGCUAAAAUAGGGAUAGGAAAGAAAAAACAAUUGUUCCUCAUCAAUCCAAAUAUGGAUGAUGCCUAGGCAUAGUUAUUUGUUUAUUAUAUUUUUAUACAUUAAAAGGAUAAAUUCAUUUUUUAUAUAAAUAUAUUAAGAUACAUCAUAGUUUUUAGUUAACAUAAAAAAAAAAAGUGUUAAAACUAAUAAAACUUUUUAAGAUAAGUAAACACCGAAUAAAACAUGGAAAAUUAUUUCAAAUGGAAAAUUUGUUGAAAAUUUGAAAACAUUCCUAUUCAUGUUGUUAUAUUUGAAAACAGCCCAUAAAAUAUGCUAAUAUUAAUGAUUUUAUCCAUAAAAAAUAAUAAAAACGAAAAUAAAUUUUAAUAACAUUUAGUUAAAAAAUCUAAAAAACACUUUCUUUCAAUUAUUAAUAUUCAAUGGGCCAACCCAAUCCAGACCCAAAUUCAGCGCCAAAAUUGAUCAACGUGCCAAGCCCAAGGGCUAGACCCGUGGGAUUGACUAUGAAGCUUGAGCCAGCCUAAUCCAAGCCCAAACAAUGUCUUGAGUCUUUGGGCUUGGGUCAAGCUUAGGACUACAAAUUUUAGAGCCAAGCUGAGCCAGGGAUGAGGGGAUAGAGACCAUGGUUUAUGGGCUCUCAAUCCUACCGUACAUGAUCACUGUUUCUUCAUCAUAUAGAUAACUUUUUGAGAAAUUGCAAUUGAUGACUAUUUUAGCAAUAAUAAUUAAGGAUAUAGCAACAUUUUAAAAAAAUUGCAAAUAUAGCAAAACUAUCACUGAUAGACUUGAUAGACUUGUAUCGCUGCUGAUAGACUUCAUAUGGUAUAUCAGUGAUAAAUCAAUAUUUGCAACAUGGUCUGUCAGUGAUAGACUUAUAUCAUCGAUAGAAUUUGACAAAUUUUGCUAUAUUUGCAAAUUUUUUAAAAUUGUGCUAUAUAUUUAAUUAAUUUGAAUUUAAUUGCUAAAUUUGCAACUAUCCCUAACUUUUUACAUAGAGAAUCUCUUGAAUACUACAGACUUACAUUUCUCCCCAAUUUCUCACACACAAACGUGUGCAUGCAUGUGGACAAAAACAUAGACAUGCGGGCACUCACACAGCACGAAUAGGCACAGACACAAAAAAGCAAAGUCACUGCUUUCCUUACUGCUCCUCACAUAAGCCACACAAAAGGGUAUUGCAAUUUAGUCUAUCUCAAGUUUUGAAAAAAGAACUUACUCAUUAAAAAGAUUUUUCAUUUUUCGUUGACCCUCAGCAACCGCCCCUGGAUCCAUACCCUGAGAGGAAAAAAAAAAAGAAAUAAAGAGGGUUUAACUAAAAAAAAUUAUUACAGUUCUUCAAAGAGUGACUAAAGUGGUGCACGAAAUACAAUUGCCUUUACAUCAAACAAAUUGUUUUAUAUUAUAAAUGAACCAAUAGAUGGUUUUUUUAAAAAGGGUAAAUGAACCAAUAGAUGAUAUUGAUCGGCUUUAAAUACAAGAACUGGACAGACAAAAUACCUUUUCUUGCAUCUCCUUCUUCACCUCCUCCAAGUGAGGCCUCAACAACUACACAGCAAAUGAGACUAGAUUCAAUCUUUAAUUAAAGCCACAAUAACCAAUUAGGUUGCAGAUAUUUCACAGCAGAAAAAUAUUAUCAGAUACUAUCACAUUAAAACUGAUAACAUGAUAAAGAUGCAGAAAAAUAGUCAAUGGUGCCCUGGACAGCUUUAUGUUUUAUAUUCGCAUGGAGAUAGGUGCAACAAAAGCCAGAGUAAAGUUCUGUGAGCUACAAAGUUCAAGGUUAAAAAGAGUUAACCACAAUGUCACAAAACUAAUUAUAUCACAGAUGGUGGCAGCUCAUGCCAUAAAAAGAGGGUAAACCAUAAAAGUUUCAAGAAACUCUCCAUUGAUUCGGUGGCAUGAGCAAAUGGCAUCACCCAAAAAAAUUAGGAUGUGCAUGAAUAAGGCCUAUUGGAUUUAAUCACCAGCAAAAAAAAAUUCCUAUGCAGCUACAAAAUGAAUGUGGGACUACAUUAUCAGAAUGUAUCGACAUGCAUGUUUCCCCCUUCCAUCAGAUCGUUGAUAGCAUCAAAUGCAAAUGAGGCAGUAAAAGAAAUAGAAAUAUUACAUCCAUCAUGCCAAUUCAAUGACAAAUGAACAAAUAGUAUAAGAUCGGCAUUCCAAUUCCCAGCCAACUUAACUCCUCUCUGGCUGUAACAAACCAAAUCUCCAGACGUAAGUGGCAGCAUAUAAGAUCAUAAAAGAGGAAAGAUACAAGAUUGUCAAAAAGGAAGUAUCUCAUAGACUUCACUCCUAACAAUUUUGCUCAUAAUUAGGAUAUCAGAGACUUCACUCCUAACAAUUUUGCUCAUAAUCAUGGCACACCCCUUAACCUUCGAGAGGCCUUGCUCACUCAAAGACUUCCAAAAGACAAGGACAACAAGGAUUUCAAAUAAUUAAGUUUCCAACCGGAGGCUACAAUCCAAGACCUUAGAAGCUAUCUCAUAGCAUCCUAACAGCCCUAACCAAGUUACCGCCAAGAUACCAUUUGGUGUUUAAAGGAUGCAUAUGUCUUAGAGUGAGAAAUAAAAUCUCACGGAAAAUACUACCUAAAACAACUAGAUAUUGAGUCAAGUUAGUAUCAAAUCAACUAUUUAUUAAAAAACUGCUCCUUCAAUGAGAAUGAGGACAACGAGUUGAAUUAAAACUCGUUCUAAGGUUUCAGGACCAAGACACUGGGUGGAAAGCUCAAAUUACAAAAACCCAAAAGAACAACAGAUUAUGAGCAAGUGAACGAGGGGAAGAAUUUGCAUCUAGAAGUAGGAGUUGGAGUAACGUGAAAAUAAAGUGCAUAAAAACUGACAUACAGUAAGCUUGGCAGUAGAUUUGAGUUGAUUAAUCAAAAGAGGGAAUGUUGCACCACGAAUCAAUAGGGUUGUUAAUACAAUGCAAGCCCACCUGGUGGAUUCAAAAAGUUAGAUCAUCAGUGAACAGUUAGCUAUAAGAAGUCCAUGGCACAACAUACAAUAACGUAUCCAAGUGUGAAAAAAAUAGGAAUCCUCACCAAUUUAAUCCAGUAUAAGAAUGAAUAGCAUCUAUAAAAUACUGCACACCCUUGACAGGAAGAAAAGAAUCAGCAGCAGCAAGAACUACUUCAUUAGCAGCGGCAGCCUGAGAUGCAGCUGAUUGAACUGUUGUAUCUGUGAGAACUUCUGCAACAUUACUCAUGAACUCAAUGUUUUCAGACCCUUCGCCAAUGGUACUUGACAUGUAGCGACAGAAAAAGGAACCAGCGCUUGGGGAGACGAAAGUGUUUGGAUAUUUUCUACCAAGAUCAAAAAAAUUAGACCUGUACGACUUAUUAAAGCUGGUUCCAAAUGAUCUCCUCUGCAAGAAACUAUUGAUUCUGUCAUGGGAAAUUGAAUCUUCAUCCAAAUGUUGUUUUUUACGGUCAUCGGUUUGACCAAAGACACCAAUCGAUGGAUGAUAUUGUCGAGCUAUAAGAUUUGCUCUUGUGCAAAGGCUGCGCCGGUAAGCCAUUGAUACUGUGUACCAACAAGCAACGAGUAAUCAUAUUAAAAAAUUUAUUGCAGAAUUAACCAGGUAAAAAUGAAGUUAGAAAGCAAGAAAAUUUAUUAUAAAGCCAUACCAUAUUAAAAGACAGCCAAGAGAUUCUAACAUGAUAAGCACAAACUAAAUAGUAAACCCCAUACUUAACCCUGUUUGCUUAAUUAACUGUUUUCUAUAUUACAUUCUUCUUAAGAUAUUCAGCUGAAAAGGUAAGCUCCAUAUUUGUUUCAAAUUAAUGGAAGCACAGAACGGAAUGCUUAAAGAAUUUGUUUUUUUUUUCAUAGAAAAAAAAAAACUCCUUUUUCACUAAAAUAACAUCUGUCGACCUCGACUGUCCACUCAUAGAGCAAACUUCCUCCUGUUUCCCGUACUUCCAGCUAAUUGAACAAACUCUCCUUCCCAAUACUACAUGUUUAUUGCAGCCCCUAUCCCCUCCCUCCAAAAAGAUAAGAAUAAUUUGAUAGUCUUCUUUAUCGUUCCGAUAACAUUUCUCAAGCGUAUCCAAGCGUUAAUCAAAUCUAUAAAUAAAAAUCACAAAUCAACAUCUCGAAUUCCCAAAACUGCAUUAAAGAAAAUUCGAGUGUUGCAAUCGGGAAGGAGAUCAAUGUAUGCGCGCACCUGACAUUUUAUUACCUCCAAAUUGAAUCUUAAGACAAUCUUCUCUACGAAGUAAAUUGAAAUUACCUUGCCUAGGGUGCAGUCAUGCAAUUGAUUAAUUUUUCUCAGAUUGCUAGCUUGCUUUUCAGCUGCAAGUGGUAGAUAGUUUAGUAUGGGUGUUGCUUUAGCUAGAGAAAGGUAAACAAUGAAAGAAAAAACAACGUGUUUAGCGAUUCGAAUUAGGUAAAUCUGCACAAAACACACAUCCGAGAACGAACAGUACUAAAGUUAUAGGGUGAUUAACAAGAUAAGGAACUGAUAAUGGAGGGAAAGAAAUGAACAAAAGUAAAUCACCUGAGGGUGCGCUCGCUGGCGAUCGCAAAGACUUAAGCAGAGAAGGGAGGAGGCCGGUACCGAAGCGUGGCGCGUACGAAGAGAUACCAGUGAGGGUUUUUGGGUUUAGAAGGUGAAAGUUAUUUUAUUAAAAGUUCCCUUUUGCCCUUCCAAAAUUAAUGGUUUUUUCAUAACAUUAAUGUUAUUUUUUCAUAGUUUCCACAUUUCAGUACACUUUAGAAUUUGUUUGAUUGAUUUAGUAAUGGAAUGCUUAAAACCUUAGUUAGUUUCAAAGAAUUUGAUAGUAUUAGAGAUAAUUAUGGUUACUCGUAUACCAUACAUUUUCUCUUCUAUAUACAAGACUUCACUUAUAAAUAUAUUAUCUUCGUAUAUCUGUCUUUAAGAAUUCAAGUAAAUGUCAAACGUUAUUUUAUAUAUAUUCAUCUGGCAUUUUAAUGUGUGAUAGCAAACACAACAAAAGAAUUACGUGUAAAAUUAAAUAAAUAUAUACAUGGAUGUGUGAUGUACUUAUGAUUAAUUUAAUUAUAUUAAUAUUUUAACAUGUUGUAGGAUGAAGAUAGACUCAUGGAUGAUUGUUUUGAUGUUUUAUCUGUUAUUGAAUCAAGUUUAGAUUGUUUUUUAUGUUGUUUUGAAUUGUUUAGGAAUUAUUAUUUAUUGUUUUUUAUAACACAAGUAUGAAUGAAAGAAUUCAACCGUAAUAAAUCCUAUGCUAAAAGCUAGAGUUAUAUUCAUGUUGGUGAUUACUAUCGAUAUCACAAGCAUUCAACUAAAUUAUUUUUAAUAACGAUGAAAACUAAAGUAUAUUUUUUAUCCCAAAUUGAAGGGGUCCACACUACUGCAGAACUUUCCACAACCAAAAUUUAUAAUGGGUGUUUUUAAUAAAACAGCCUUCUUCUCAUUCCAUCCCAUUUUUGAACAAAAAUUAAGAAAAACUGAGUUGUUUAUUUAUUUAUUUUAUUAAAAAAAGCUGCUUUUUAUCCUACAUUUUUUUUUAUUGUCAUUAGUUUUUAAAUAAAAAAGGCACGAAAUAAAAGCUAAAUCUUGUCAAAUACUCAAAAAUCAAAAUUAUCCUAAUACUGAAACCAUAAACAAACAUCGAAUCCCAUAUAUACACAAACUGCAAACCUUGUAGACAACCCUACUUAGACAAACUUCCCUAGUCAUCAUUACGCGACAACGAUCGGGGUGACGUUGGCAACGACACAGACACGGACGUUGAUUGAGAAGGCGUGGAGGUGGCGGAAGAAUCGUCGGGCGAGGUUCGACACACUGGACACGUGGCAUUCAAUUUAAGCCACUCAUCAACACAGUUAGCAUGAAAGAAGUGACCACAAUCUGGUAUAGUUCUAAUUGUCUCCUUUGAUUGGUACUCUGACAAGCAAAUGGCGCAUGUGGUGUCGUUGGACUUUGGAAGUCGUCGACUCUGGCCCAAUGUUGUUUUCGGGAAUGAUUCGAUUGUUGGGCCAUCGAGGCCUGCUUUGGUAGAAGUGGGCUCAUGGCCCAAUGAAAGGGAAAGGUUUGAAGUUGGACGAUUGGGCCGAGCAAAGGCCUUGCACUUGCCGCAGAUGUAAAACACCAGCCCGAUUAGAAAGAGAAGGCCCGGGAUUCCAACGCCGAUGAUCAAGCCGUAUUUUGCACCUCGUGGUAUACCUGGAAAAUUCAUAAGUUAUUGUGUUGUCAUUCAAUCAUUGGUCAAACAUAUUUAUUUAAUAAUCAUUAUUGUGUUUUAUUUAUUUAUUGUUUAUUUAAUUUAGUCAAUGGAAAGAUUAGAAUUUUUUUUCUCAUAUAUAUAAGAAAAAAAAAAAGAUACACUUUUGAUGUUUGACUUCUUAUAUUUAGGUUUGAUUUAUAGACUAUAGAUCUUAUCUUUAAACAUAACACUUAGGCUUCCUUUAAUGACAGUUUAGUUCUCCCUUCCCUUCCCUUCUCUUUCUUAUUCAUGCUCGAUCACCUCCUCCUGAUGCCUCGUUGUUUCAAAUAUUUCUCAUUUUAUAUUAUUGCUUAUUCUUCAAUUUUCUAUUUGUUGUAAUUUAAAAUUCAUUUGUUCAACGUUAUCAUGUUAUAUUAUCUUUAAUAUUCGUUAUUCAUUUAAAAUUAAAAAUGAUUAGUAAUGGCAGAAAGAAAAUUAUAAAGUAUAUUUUCUUAUACUUGAAAAUAUAUAUAAAAAUAAAAAACAAUUGAAUAGGUGUUUUGGUAGAUGUUGUUUUCCAAUUUAAUCCCCAAUUAAAUGGAAGGUUGAGUUUACUUUUCAUGUCCAUGGAUUAUGGUUAAGAGUAUUUCAUACAUCUCAUUCUCAAAUCACAAAAAUCCCAACUGUAUGAACAACUCAAACUAUUCAAAGCAGACGGCAAGUAUUAGGUUGUAGGUUGGAUUUGUUUUUUCCAAAAUUAAAUUGGAUUGAAAAUUCUUUAUUUUAACCGGGUUGGGUUGGAUCUUGAAUUGAAUAAAGUUUUUUUCUUUUUUUUUUGUCGAUCCAACCCAACUCGAAAAACAUAUAUAUUGCAUACACGAUCCAAAAAUUGGUAAAGACUAAAAACUUAUGCAUAACUACUAUUUCAAAUAUUACUUCACGUUUUCUCAAAAUUGAAACAACCAUCACUUAUAGUUGUCAUCAAUGAUAGUUAUCAUCAUUUUAUCGAUUUAAAAAAAAAUUAUUAACAAAAAUGUCAAAUAUUUUAUAAACUUGCAACUACAGCUAAACUUGACAUUUUGCAAAAGUUUUCUAAACCGUAAAAAAAAAUCACCUAAAAAUAUAGUGGUAGUUGCACUUUUACAACUAUUUCUUUCAAGCUUGGAGCAUAGAAAUUAAGUUAGAGGAAUUAUCUGAUUAUUUAGAGGUCGAAUUUUUACUUAUAUAAGUUUGAGAGUGAAUUUUAAUAUUAAAUGAUGAAUUAUUGUAACUAUUGUGUUUAAAAUAUGAUCUAAAAAUGUCAAAAUUAGUGGAGGUGGGCAGUCGAACACAACUUUUCUUGGUCUUAAGAAAUAAUAACUUCCAGCUUUUCCCACUCUUUUUAGUUGACUUCUUCCACUAUUAACUCUCCAAUUUCCGAUUCACUAACCCACCGUCUCCGCCACAGCCUCCUCCGAUCACCGGUUAAAUCAAACAAAACCCUAACACUUCCUCCUCCUAUCUCUCUCGCCUCGCCGAAAUCAAAUUUCUCAAGAGAUACAGAUACAGAUACAGAAAUAACAGAACAAUCAAAUUCACAUACCGCUCUUCGGAAGAUUGAAACACACAACUUCAUCACUCGAAUUGCUUCUGAAUCCACAAUCUCCACCGCGUAACUCGCAAUUUCCACAUUCCGGCUCACUCCACCUCACCACCAUUCCUUCUUCAAGCUCCAUUCCCGUCAACGGAAGCUUCUUCGUCGUAAUCACCUAAUUUUAAAAUUAUCAAUCACCCAUCACAAUCAUAAAUUGCCAAAUUCAAACAAACAAACAAACAAAAAUCAAACACCACGACGUUUUUCCAUUUCUUACUUUACAUGGCGUCGGUAGAAGAUUCGUAACUGCCUUUAGGUCUCUGUCCGGAACAUUGAUUACACUGUAGUUUGCGCCGCUCAUACAUUUGAUCCUCCGUACGCGAUCGAACGGGAGUGUUUCAACGUAAUAGGAACAAUUGAGAACAGUGAAUUUAUCCAGUCGAUAAUUAUAAAUGAACGGAGAGUCCUCUAGGCUGAAAGAAUCCAUUAGUAUCCGUUUCGGAAAGCAUUGAUCCGGAUCGUUGAUCCAUAACCUCUGAAAUUUGUAAUCGACAAUCUCCACCUUGACGUCUCCCGCGUUCGGGAGACUCAGAAUCGUUUGGUUUCGUUUGUUGCAAAACAAGUCGAAAUCUGGCUGGUAUCCACACCGAGAAUCCUGCGAAUUCUUCAGUCGGAACGGGAAUCGAACUUCCGGCGUCAAACGUCCACUGCAGGAGGAGGUUUUACAAAGAAACUGCGAUUCAGCUCCGUUAAAGAAGAUAAGAAGGAUGACUGCGACGGAGAAUUGGGAGAGGGCCAUUUUCAGAGCUCCGAUGGGAUGGAAGAAGAGGAAGAGCCGAUGAAUUUCAAAGUUUAAAGUAAAUAAAUGAAUAUAUUAAAUUAUAAUUAAAAAGGGGUAUAUUUGUAAUUUGGAGAUGACUUAGUCUAACUUUUGAUUUGGCUUAUAUUGUAGUUAACAUUAAUUUCUAUAUUAUAAGUGUUCCAUAUUAUAAGCUGUGUUCUAAAAUAAUAUUAAUCCCAUUUGUUUAUUCUUACUAAAUUAAAAAUUAAUAGAAAAUACAAUAGUCUGAUUGAAUUUUAUUUUUCUUCACAUCAAUGGAAUCUGUUUUUUUAGGGAUAAUAUUUCUUUUUAGUCUUUGGUAGAGGAACACACAUAUAUACAUAUACACAUACACUUUCCAAUUUUUAUUCAAUUUCUUCACCAAUUCCACUUUUGAUUUUUUCUUUUCCCCUUUAAGGUGUGAUUCAACUUCCAAUAAAAAUUUUAAUUUUACAUUUAAUACAAAAUCAAAAGUUUAAACUUUUGUUUAAACCCUUUAAAGUCAGAUUAAAGUUCAACCUCUUUUAAAACAUAAGUUUAAAGUGGUAUAAUUUAAUACCUUUUAAAGUUCAAUAAUUGAUUAAAAGAAAAAAUAUAUAUUAGUCUUCUAACUCAACCUACUAUUUUCCGAAAAAACAUAUCAGCUUUAUGCUCUAAAUUUUGAGGUUUAAUUUAAUCAUAAAUUUUCGUACAAUUAUCAACUCAUUUAUGUUUUAUAGAAAGUAAUACCGUAUAAGAUUUCUAAUUUUAUCAAUCAUUUUGGUCUCUCGGUUAGAGUAUUUCUUUAAAAGUUGACUACAUCAAUUAUAAUAAUCUGGUUUGUUAAUCUUACGUGUGGAGAAGUUAAAUUGAUGAAUUAAUAAAUUUCAAAGACUAUAAAAGUUUAAUGGUAACGGUUAUGAAUCUCACACAAUAGUUUUUAAGCAAAAUAUAAAAAUCUUGUCUAAACCGACAAGAGUACGAAAUAAUAUUAAUUCAAAAUUUUAAUCGAUAAAAAUUUAGAAGUAGAAAUUGAUAUUUUUUUAAAUUUAGAGCAAGUUUAGUUGAAUGUAUUAAUCAACAAAAUGUAUGUUUGGUUUGUAUGUUGACUUUCAAGUUUAUGGGUCAAAUCAACAUAAUAAUCAAAGUCUCAUUUCAUCUGAAAAUGAUAAGAAGAAGAAAGAAUGCAUUAAAUGAUACAAUUCUACAUCAGUUUGGUGUAUGAUCUUUUGCCAACUUUGUUUGAAAAAUUACUUAAACUAGUUUUGUAGUUCAACUAAAAUACUAAAAUCAAAUACUUGACUAAGAGAUGGUAUGUUAAAUUUUAAUGUUAUUAUUUGUUGAACUCAAAUACAUGUUAUAAUUUUAUACAAUUGCAAAUUUAUGCAUCAAAUAUAAAACAAAACAAGAUUUUAACAAAAGUUUGAAGUGAUUUAUUUACAAAAGUUUAGUCUUUCUCUAAUUGCCAUGCAAAUUAAUUUAUUUUUCACGUUUGCAAUGAUUUUUAGAAAAAUGGAUAAUUUUUUUUGUUUGAAUUAUAGUUUAAAAUUUGUAAUUAAAGAAUAAUUCAAUAUAUAAACCAUGUUAAUUAGAUGUUUAAUUAAAUGUCUCACUCCCAUAACUAUUUCUUAGUUUGACAUUCAAAUGAAUUUAUUAUAUACACAAAUAAAGAAAACUAAGAAGAAAAUAAAAUCAAAAUUUUGUAGCAAAGUUUUGAAGUCAAUGUCAAGGCCGCGUUGAAAAUGUGGUGUAGUAACAAUCAUAACAUCAAUUCUAACUAUACACACAAAUUUAAAUAAAUUAGAUUUGAUUAUUAUUUUCUAACCUCCCAUUUCAAACGCCAACAUAUAAUCAAUUGUAUAAAGAUUAAGAGGUUGUCUUAAUAAAAAAAAAUUAUUAAUUUAGAAGUUUGUUAAUAAAUAUGUCAGCCUUAACAAUUACUUGACUGAUUAAGAUAUAUAUAAAUAUAACUCUAUUAAUAUGUUAUCUAUGUUAUCGAGUGUGUAAAAUCUAUUCAUACAUAUAGUAGAAUAGGAAAAUUGUGAUUAAUUAAUAUUAUGUUGACUUAAUAUCAUUAUUAAAAUUAAGUAAAUGUUAACUUGCCAAGUUUUUUUUUUUUUUGGAGUUAAUCCAAUUAGGUUUCUAUUGUAUUACUUACUUUAAGGUAGGGUUAAAUGUUAAAACUGAUCACUACUUACCGUGUGGUAAUUCAUUUUUGUGUCGUUUGUAUUUAUUCUUUACUAGCUUAGCGGGUUAGUUAAUUGUAUUAGCUACUUAGAUAUUGAUAUCAUAUGAGAAAGAUGAAUAAAUAAUUUACGGUGUGAGUGAGUAAAAAUAAAUGAUAAAAUUUAAUUGUUUAGAAUCUUAAUUGACUCAACUUAGAGUUCACUCAUGUUGGUGGAUUGACUCAAUUUAGUGUUCGUAUAGAUAAUUUUCCUAUUUGGUUGUGUCUUUUGAUUAAAGUUGAUAUGGACUCGUUGACUUUGUAGGUGUUGUAUACGUUUAGCUUUUAUGAAGAAUAAAAAACAGUUCUAAUGUUGAUUGGGUUUUGUUCAUGAUAGUUUGAGAACAAUCUUUAAGUUCGUCCUUCGAUAAAAUAUAGGUUUCGUAUGAUUGAUCUGAACUUCUCUCUUGUACUGUUCGUUGAGUUGUUCUCUCUUAGUUGAUUUGUAAAAUUUUUUUUUUUUCUCUUGAGAAAGUUAACUUUCAACUUUGAUUUUUCUUUUUUCAAAUUAAAAAAAAAAAACAUUCAAAAUACUAAAUUUCCCUAAGGUAUUUUCUCAAAUUUGUACCUAUUUUAUUAUUAUUCUAAUGCUUGACCAAGACAAUAAUAGAAUUGUCCUCUUUUCCAAGUAGCUUUCUAGAUUCACUAUUUUUAUGAUAUGCUUAAUCUCAAACAUUUUAUUAAUUAAUUAUAUUUCAAUCUAACAAAAUUUUAAAUUCCUUCUUAAUUGAUGAAUUUGGAGUCGGUUGAGAGACGUUCUCAACCCAAUCGAUAUUUUCAGGUUAGUUCGAUUGCCAAUCAAAUAACCCAGAUUCAUUUUCUAAUUGGGUUGUCGGGUUGUAUUAUUUUUUUAUUUUCAUUUCCAAUCGAACAAUCGUUUAUCCUCUUACGGAAUCAUUUAGUUUUCUCCCUUUAAGUGAUUAUUUACUUAUUACACAAUCAGAUAACUUUCCAUACAAUCGUUUUAACAAAAUACUCAUAACUUUACUUUUAUAUAUAUUAAUUUAGGUUGGUCUGUGUUAAACCUAAUUUUCAACCCUAACCCAAUCUCAAAAAAUCAAAUUUUCAACCUAACCUAAUUCAUAUUUUAAACUAACCUAGUACAACCCAUAUUAUAUAGAUUGUGAGACUAUUUGGAUUGGACUGACACCCCUAAUAUCAAUCGUAUUUUAAUAAUACUAAUCAAUUAUGUAAACAAAUAACUAACACAAAGAUCAUGUCUAAGUUUUAAAAAGUAUCAUGAGGUGUUAGUCAUAUAAUAGACCAAAUUGAUCCAAGUAUAGCAUAAUGAGUAAGUUUGAAUAGACUUUUUUCUUUUUUGGUUUUUUGUGGUGAGCUUAAAUUGAUGUGAAACCAAUAUAUAAAAAAGACAAUUGAAAAUCAAUGUCUAAAUGGACUUUUUUGAAGAGUUGAAAUGAUCAAAAUUAAAACAAAAUUAUGUGACGCCGACAAUAUUCCUUUUUUAAAAAAAAUAAAUUCAAAAUCAGUCUAUCAUUAAUAUGCUUUGAAGGCACCAUUUGUUGAUUUUAUAUGUAACAAAAAUCUAAUUAAACAACAAGCAUUGUUAAAAUUAUUCUUGAUUUGAUGUUAAAAAAAAUUUGUAGGAUGGAGAUUAAAACUUAUUUUAACUUUUUAGUUGGUUGGUAUAUAUUUAUUCAUUACUUUAGCCAACAAUUUAAAUUAUGUACUUCUAUAUAUUUUUUUAAUAAUGAUAGUUUAGGUAAAUGAUAACUAAACAGAUAGCUCUAAUUAGUAAAAUUUAAAUUUAAAUUCUAAAAUUCUUUUAUUUAAAGAAAGAACUACAAAAUUCAAACUAUAAAAAAAGUGAUGAUAAAUGAUAAAACGAAUCAAAAUAUUUACAAAAUAUAAAACUUAAAAAAGCAUAAUAUUCAUAUAUCAAUAAUUACUAAGGUCCCAUUAAUAACGACUAAGUUGACUAUCGAUAAUCUAAAUCAACAUUUAUAAGAAGGUGUGUAAAAAGACUCAUUGUCUAUCCUUAAUUACAUUCGCAAUAAAUGAUUGCUAUUUUUCUUAUAUAUGUCCUAAAAAAGAAAAUCACAUCAAUGUGUGGGCAUGAAAUUUUACAUAUGCUUUCAUGAAACAUGUACUCACAAUUUAAAACUACACUUCUAAGAAAGAAAAUUAGAGGAGAUUUUAACAGUGACCCUUCAUCAUUUCAUUUUCAAAAUCGUUAUUUCACAUGUCAACAUGAGUUGUUCGAUAAUAAUUGGUACUACACAUUAUUUUUUUAAGGUGGAGUUCAAAUCCUCCCACCUAUAUAUUUGUUUUAUUUAUCUCUUAAAAAACCUUUUGCAUAUUAUUUUUAGUCAAUAUUGAAUGAAAAUUUCAAAAUAACAAUAUUGAAAUAGAUAAUUAAUUUUUUAAAACUUGUAUUUAAAGUUUAGUGACUAGAAACUUUAAUACGUGAUUAGAGUAUGCAUUUAAAACCUAGUUGAAAUGUACUAAGGCCGAUAAAAUUAACUAUUAUGGUAGGUUAUACUCUUUUGUGUUAACAUUAUUUGUUGUAAAAACAAGGCAGAACCGGAACACAAAUAUCGAAAAAAUGUAAUAUUAAAAUACUACAAUAUAAUAUAUAAACAAGAAAUUUGAAAAUUAAAAAAGUGACGAGGAAAAUCAAAAUCUCAAAUUUCUUCAUUCUCACCCAGUCAUUUGGAAUUCUCUAUGAUGUUGGUGUAUCUUUACAAAUCCACUUAAGUCCUCUUGUUUAUAAUAAAAGUGACAAGUAGGUGGUGGAUUACUUCACCACCAAAAGUGAAUAUUUGAUAGACACAUCAAAGGUAUGUUAGAUGAUAAAAGACUUGACAUGUGGCUAGUUAUAUGACCCGUAAGCAUGCUUAAUAGACAUCUAGUUAUAUUAAUCAAACAGUUCAAAAUCUAUUUGUCUCUAAAUGAAAAGGGUACAUAUGUACGAUCAAAUUUGAGAAAAAAGAAAGUCAUUAGGCCGCAAAAUGAAAGACAAAUAGGGUUAUCUCAAUAUUUAAUUAGGUACAAUGUAAGCCCAACAAGAAACGCGGCAGAGCCCAUUAAGCAGGAUACGGGCCCUAAGUUGAUUAAGCCCAAUUGAUUGUUGGGUUAAUACAGCCCAAUAUUGUGGAACCUCUUUUAACUCAUCAGGAAAGUUUUCAUUUAUAUAUCUAAAGGAUUUUUUUUUCAAAAACUCCUAUCACAAAACCACUUACAAACAAAAUUUAUUACAUUUAUUUUUCUUCAUAUUUUGUGUUCUAUUUUUUACGAUUUUCCUAUUUAACAAACCCCAAAAUUCUUUUAUGUAAAUAUUAUAGAUUUUGAACUGUUUCGUUAAAUGCAAAUUUCGAUCAAUUGACCUUUUCCAAUUUUCUACAAAUUAUUGAAAUAUUUAAUUAAUUGCGUUGGUUAAUUGUUGUUUUGAUAUUUAGUUGAUGCAAAAUAUUUAAAAUUAAUGUUCCAUUCUUCCUAUAAUUUUUUAAAAAAAUUUUGAUUUUAGAUUAAAAAAACGAACAAACAAACUAUUCACGCAUUCAUGUGAAAAACAUACUUAAUUUUACCAUAAAAUGUUUGUCAUAUAUUUAAUUUUGCUAAGAUAUGUUUACAAGUGAGAUAAUUGUCUCUUCAACGUAGCGGUAUCCCUUUCCCGAAGACGACACUUUGUCAUCUAUGACAAUUCUCAUUUCAUAUUCUUCUUAUUUGAAAAUCAGUCAGUUCUACAUUGAUAUCUCAAGUAUACAUCAAAUAUGCUAGCAACAUAUUAUAUAAUAUAAAUACGUCAUCUAUUCCAUGAUUUAGUUCUUAAUAUCUUUACAAAAAUAAUAUACGCACUUUUAGUGGCAUAUCCAUCAAUUUUAUAUAGGGGCACCAGGUACUACAUAAUAAACACAUUAAAAAAUAUUUUAAAAAAUAUCAUGGCAUUUCACUAAUGCUCUAAUAACAUUCACUACAUUUGUAGCAAUAAAGAAAUACCAACAAUUUUCACAUGAUAUUUUGUAAUGCAAGUAUGUGAAUUUAAAAUUAUCAUAAAAAAAAUAAAUAAAAAAGAUUAAUACCUUUUGCUUGGAAUGUUGUUGAGAGAGUGGAAGUUUGGAUCAACGACUUUGUUCAUUUUUUAAAAAUUUUUGUUAGAUAACAAAUGAAAACUAGGAAAUAAGUUUGAGUUUUAUCUUAUAUGAGUUUUUUUUACCUCUUUUAAAAAAGUUACGUUCCUUUUAGAAAAUCAAGUUAUCUUCCUUUUUUGAAAUGAUUGAAAUUUACAACAAAUUUUGAUAUUUGGGGAAAGAAAAUUAUUAAUAUUUGAGGAAAGAAAAUUAUUGAUGUUUGAAAUAAAAACUAAGUGAUUGUACACGAGUGGCACAACCACUACAACAGAAACAGAAAUUAGUCAAAAUAAAACUAAAUUUAAUAUAUAUUGUAAUCUAAAACUUCAAAAUUAAUAUUAAAAUAUAAAAACCGAUAAUGUAAAGAGGGCACGUGUCCCUGUGGCCCCCUUAAUAGACCCCCCUGCGCACUUUAUCCAUUAUAUCAUUGUUUAUUUCAAGAAAAAUCAAAUAUAAUUUUAACUCUAAGUUGGUGAGAUCUAAUUCAACUAUAAAGACUUUAAAAUACAAUGUAAAAUUGUCUUAAACGGUGACACGUAAUAUAACGAGACAAUUAGAGAAAUAUUUUCGUAGAUUUGUAGGGUUAGACCAUAUAGUUGUCUUGAAAAUGAACGAAGAAAAGAAGAAGAUAAUAGGGUAGAUAUUAAAAUAUAUACAAGUAGAAAAUUAGAGCAAUUCUUAUUGGAUUUGAGUGGAAAGUGUGAACUAAGAAAAAUUUCAAACAUUCUAAAAGUGUAUUAGGUAAGGGUAAUAUGAUCUCCAGGAGAAAUUUUGUCAUUUUCAUGUGUUCCACCAAUAACUUUUACUAUUUUAAUUUUCAUUACACAACAUUCAAAUAUUUAUUUCUUAACCCUUUCUCUUUCCCCAAUUUUCUUGUUGCUCCUAAUUUUUUACUUUAGCUUUAAAACUAUGUCGUUUUCGUACCUAAAUUUAGUUGGCCCUCGGAUAUUGACCAUUAGGAAAGGAAUCCAAUCAACCUCUACAUUAUUGUUUAAAAGAAAAACACUUUCUUCUAAUAAUUGUCCAACAAAUUGUUUUGUUUAGUGGAUAUUACAAAUAUCACUACGCAAAAUGUAACUCUUAAUUUAAAGUCUCUUCCUAUAUUUUUUCAACAGCAUAUAUGCUAUUUGUCUAAGAUCACCGACGAGUAUUUAACAUGUUAAUAUGAUCUAAUUAUUGUUUUUAACUUUUUAUACUCAAAAUCUGACCUACUUCCAACAAAUUAAGAUUUUCUUUUUCAAAUGACGUGUGCAUGUAUUAAAAUAUAUUGUAAAAUCAUAAUUUAAGAGAUUAACGUUAAGAUUGGUCUUGAAAGUUAUGGGUGUAUGAUAUAACAAGGUUUUAAGCUUGUUAUUUGUUCAUUCAUUGUCAUUCUAACAUUAGACACUUUGAUGUUAAAUAAUAAACAUGUUCUUAUAAAUAAUAAACAAAGCUUUUUAAAAAAUAUAACAAACUGAUAAAAUAUUUAUAAUGUGAAAAUACCUCAUUGGUCCACGAUGUGAAAUAUAAAAAAUACCUCAAUUAACACAUAAUUAAUUGGUCACAAGCACACAAAUAAUCUUAUUCUAAAGGAUCGUGUACUACAUUCUAAAAGAUGGUUUAGAUCAUGAUACACAAUUGUGUAAUUCAUUUUAAGCAAUGAAAAAAAACUUCAAAUUUAAAUUAUCGAAUAAUUAACUUUAAGCGAUAGUGAAAAAGCUUCUCACCUAAAAUAUUCACUAGGGAGAAGUACCCAUCUUGCCUUGCAAUAUCAAAACCAACUAACUUUUUUUUUCUUAUUUUGUUAUAUGAAUGGUAAAUAUUUAAAUUUUUUGUUAUAUUUAUUUAAAUUAAUCAUAAUAAAUAUUAAGAAUAAAUAUGAAUGGUGACGAAAACGGAUCUUUAAUAAAUUUAAAUUCUUUAAACUACUUUUCCCGAUAAAUAUGAAUGGUGACGAAAACUUUUCCCAAUGUUUUCUAAUUUUUAUUUUUAAUUAGAUAUAGGAUGAUAACAUUUUGGUUUUAUUCUUGUGGUGUAUAACUUAUAAGGAUGUUUUAACUAUCCUUUUGCUUUUCAUUAUAUUACUUUCCUAUAUGGCCUUCUCAUCAUGUUUGUACAUUGCGAUCAUAUUUUUCCACUCAUUGAUAUUUUUUUCUCUAAUUCCAGUGCAGAAAACAUAAAGAUCUUUAUCUAUGUAUGGCAAAGUGCCCUAGUGGGCCAUCUGUGAAGUUUUUAGUUAAUGCCAGUAAUUUUAACUUGUAUUCAAAUUUUAUUACUGGGUUACUAAAAUUUUAUUUGAUUUCUUUAUUAAAUGAAGUUUUCUUACUUGUCCAUUUUUUUUUUGCUUUCAGUGCAUACAAUGGAAGAAUUGAAGCUUACAGGGAACCAUCUGAAAGGUUCCCGUCCAAUUUUGACAUUUUCAUCAAAUUUUGAUAAAGAUGUCCACUAGAAACUUCUGAAGGAAAUGAUUAUUCAGGUACCAAUGGCAAAGUUUUGUCUUUAACAAUUAAUUUUUGAAUGUUGAAAUGAUUUUUCAUUCUUACUCGUGGAUCAAUGUAUGAGGCAAAUGUCAAUUUCCUUGUCUUUCUUCAUUAAACGCAUUUUUUGCUCAUUUCCUUGCUCCUUCAAUCCAAAGCUAACAUCGUAUUGAAUUGAUAAAAUAGUCUGCAUGACUGUAGUCGAAGUAGCUUCUUUCAGUUUUUUCUUAUGGAAAGAAAAAUAAAAGAUAUUCGUAAUGCACUUCUUUCAUGUAAUAUCAUGGCAUAAGAAUAAGGUUAAUGAAUACUUGUGCCCAUUCUAAAAUGCCAGUGCCUCACCACUAUUAUUCUCUUUUCAUGCUGCCUUUAUUAAUUUCUGAUUUCACAUAUGCAUAUUUACUAUGUUGUGAAAAGUAUGUAGAUCCUUGCUGCUUCUCCAAAUAAUGUCAUUUUUUAAAACGAUUGCUAUUAACUCUUGUUUUACAUGACAUACUUUUAUCUCACCAAUGUGUUUUUCUCUCAGAUUUUUGGAACUCCUAAGGAGCAUCGACAUUCUAAACCGUACCAUGAUCAUGUAUUUGUUUUCUCUAUUGUUGAUGACCAUAUCUGGUUCCGGAAUUACCAGGUAUGCUUUAUUUAUUUCCUACUUGCUACAGAAUUUAAUACUAACCAUGAUCAUGCUUUAUUUAUAACCAUCACUCCGUUAGCAACACCACCUGAGGAACAAUGCGUGUUUUUAGUGAAGUACGUUAAGGUAUAUAUGGAUAAAUGUCAGAAGUGUCGUUCUUAAGAUAUGAGGCAUACAAUCGUCAUUAGGAAAGGAAUUUGGCAUGGCAAAAAAUUAAUUGAUUUGAAGAGUUUGAGAUUAAGCAAAUUUUGGGGAAUAGUUUUUAGGAGUCCUAGUUGGGGAUCUUGCUAUUUUUCUUUCUUAUGUCAAUGAUUUCAUUGUUUUUCUAGUUCACUGUAUACAUUUCCAUAUAAUUGAUUGUUAUCCUUUAAACUUACAUGUUCAAUUUUCCAUCAACUGUUGGUAUGAGAACCCACUUUAUGUAUCGCCAAACCAGGUUAGAUUGAUUGUCCAACUUUUUGAUCAUUUGGGAUUACACUUCUUCACACUAUUAUUUAAUGAUCGUUUGCCUAAUGUAGUCCUCACGUGCUUCUUUUCAUUUCAUGGAAUCAAGUGUUGAAGUUCUUGUUUGUGUUCUGUAUUUUGUUGAGACAUUGAUUUAGUUACUCAUUGACUGUACGUAUGUGUUAUGGAUACUUAUAUUCAUGUUGUCUUUGUAGGUUCAACUGGAGUCGACAACUUCAUGAGUUUUCUUUCAAAGAACAUUUCCAGAGACGAACAUUCUCGGUUGGUCGUUUAUGCUUCUGCAGAAAAUCUUGUUAGAUGUAUUCUAAUGCUAUUUAAAAUAUUUUUUGAUUAAGGGCUAGUAUUUCGUACAUGUGGAUUAUUGAAACUUGUAUUAAGAUGUACAAAUAUUAUAAAUCGUAUUAUAGUGUAUAUAUAUUAAAGUGUUGGCUAUUUUUUUGUACAUUGGUGUGAAACUUGUAUAAUUUCAAAUUUGUCAUUCUCAGCUACAUUAUUGUCAUUCUAAUGGUUCGUGUAAUGGUGGAGUUGCAAUAUAUUUGACUGGAAAAAAAUGUCGUCACUAGCAAAACAAUGACAUUUAAUGUUAUCGAAAAACUGUCACGAUUGCACAAUCGUUGACUAGAAAAAAAUGUCGUCAGUAACUAAACAAUGACAUUUUUACAAAAAAAAAACUGUCGCGAAAAACAUAUUCAUGACAAUUAAUACAUGUCACAAUAAUAGAAUUCGUGACAAUUAUUUAACUGUAGUUAAUAAAGAAAUGAUGAUAGUUAUUGAAUGUCAUAAAAUAGAUUAUGACAGUUAUUGAAUGUCGUUGAAUGUUGAUUAACGACAUUUAUUUCAUGUCAUAAAAUAACCUAUUGCGACAGUUUUCAAAAACUGUCGUCGAAGGCCUUUCCAUGACUCCCGCUUCUAUGACUGAAAAUAACAGUCGCGAAAUCCGUUCACGACAAUAAAUAACUAUCGUCGUAGACCACUUUUGUACUAGUGACUCUUUUUCUAAAAAAGAUCUCUUGAAGAAAAACAAUACCAUAAAUGUAAAAGUUUAGAUUCAUAAAUAGGAAUAUUAUUGAAAUUAAAACAUACGAUAAAAUUACCAUUUAUUUUAAAACACAUCACAAUUUAAUGUGAGCAAUUGAUUUGCUAAAGAGACACAUUCUAAUUUUCUUUUUAAAAAAAUCCAUCCAAAUCAACUUAGGUUGCCUAAUUUUUCAUUAAAAAAUUACUUGAUCUUCUCAUUGAUCAUUGUUGAUGGCAAAAUAAUCCCAAUAAGAAAGAAAACACUAAUACAAUUUCAAACAUAAAUAGGGACAAUAACUUAAAUAACUUACCUUGAUUUUCCUCUACCAUGAUUCAUAGUUACAUAUGGACUUAAGGGUUUGAUAUAUGAGAGAAAUUAGAAUAAUAUCCAUUAUGAAAUUAGAAUAAUAUCCAUUAUGACUAGCUAGUCAAGGGAACUUGGAUUAUGACCUAUAAAAAACAAAUCACCGAAGAUACGUAAAUUAAGCCAAAUGACCAAACUUACUUCAGACAGAUCGAGGUUGGGUAACUUCUCUCGACUCAUUGAUUGGUUUGUUUUCUUGCGCUCCUUUGUUUUCACUUUAUUGUCAUUAUUUCAAUUUUACUCCAACAACUUGUCUUCUAAAUCGGUAAUUCUUAGUUCAAAAGUGGCCUAAUUUAUUUGUAAUCAUAUAUUUAAUGCUAAACUACACAAAAUCAAACAAUGUACAAUGACUUCAAUAUUGUGUCAUGGCUAUCUCAUUAUUAGAGUUUCGGAGAUAAAUAAAUAACUAAAAUCGAGUCCAAAAUCACUUAGGCCAUAGUACGAGUUUGUUUUAAUUAUAUUUGCACAAUAAUAGAAUAAAAAGGGACAAAUUUUCAAUAUAUAAUCUUCGAUAAUUACAUAAAUAUCACUUUCAGUGGACCAAGAGGGGUAGGUACUUCUUUCUUUAUGCCAAUAAUGUGCUGGCUCAUGGGGACGUUAUUGGCACCAUAUGUUUUUUUUUCCUUUAAAGAAAUGUAAUAUUUACAUGCAUUAUAUAUCACUACUUAAGUUACUUAUUAGAGAAAAGCCAAUAAAUUUGUUAGAUUACUCAAUUGACGUAUAAUAUGAUACAUCAAGUAUACAUAGUUCAAUAUUGACACAUAUUUGAGCUAUAAAUCUCGAGGUCAAAUGUUUGAUCCUAUUAAUUUUCUAAUAAAAAUUAAUGUAGGUACUUUAAUGACUAAGAGAUUUGUUUGAAUAUUCUCAAACUCGAUUCAAGGAAAAUACUUACAUAAAACAUUUACGUUAUUUCAUUUAGUUGGUUUCGUGAUUUGAAAAACUUUUACUAUAUUUAUGCCCUCCAUUUAGGAUUGAAAGUCAAUAGUUGCUAGUUGAGGUGGAAGAUUUAGAUUAAUACCAACCCAAAUUUUUUACUUACUAAAACAAUCCACACUUACAUGGUAAUUAAUUGAGUGGUUUUACAUACCUACUGUUAUUUUAGUAAAGUCAAAUGAAAUUGAUUUUUAUUGAGCUAAGUAUUAAUAUAAUGAUCUCAACAGUUUAGUUUAAUGUCUCCGUGACUAAAAUUUAAAAUUAAGUUUAUAAAUAUUUACUUCUACCCUUCAAUUAGUAAUAAUAGUGGUUUAUUUUUAAAAAUUACAAGUUUUGAAUGGAAAAAAGACGUUUUGUAAAAGUAGUUCUUCUAUUAUCAUUUUUACUUUAGUUAUUAAAAUUGAACCUAUGUUUUGUAAUCAUUUAAUUUUAAUUUUUUUUUUAUGAAAUUUGAGUUUUUCUUUUCUUUUUUUAAUGCUCUCACAAAUUUAGUAUAAAAUUCAAUAUAGCUUUUAAAAAUAAUUAGACAUUGCAUAAAAAAAACAACGUUACUAAUAAUUAGACAUUGCAUAAAAAAACAACGUUACGAAAUAGAAAAAAACAAACGGAACUUUUAGAAUAAAAAAAAAACUAAAGUUAAAGGCUUCAUUUCAUUCUUCAAAAUUAAUCUAACAAACACAACUAAUACAUCUAGUAAAAAAAAGAAACACAAUAUUUUUAAAUUUUACUAAGUUCAACAUAUUAACUGAAAUGAAUAGGUCAAAUACUCAAAACAUCAAAAAAUGAGUGAAAGAAGAUUUUAACUAAUUCAACCGGCUAAACUUAUUAACUCUAAAAUCAUGAACUGAUUCAACGCCGGAAACCUGUUGGAAUUGAGUAAGAAAUAUAUUUGUAUUAUAGGGGGAAGUGAAAGUGUUAAUUUAAAUAAUAUCCACAAUACAUCAUAUGAUCAUAUGAUAUGAUAUGAUAUUGAUAUUUGUUUUAUGGUAUGCUUUUCCAUUAAAGGCGCCGUGGUUUACGCGCAUCAAUUGUUAUGUAAUUGUGAUUAUCACAUGACAUGACCACAUGAUUAUAAUCCAAUUCUUUCCUAUUUUUAAUUUUUUUAAAAAAAUACAAAUUUGUUUUUAUUAUAUAUUAAAAGAAAAAAAGCCGAUGCCGACACGUGUAGGUCCAGGAAAUAAAUAAGAACAAAUAAUGGCAUCCAUUUUGAUGUAAGGGACCGAGCAAGUGGUAAAGUGAUGGGAAGAAAAUUACAAGAGAGCACAUGGGCUGUAUAGGCUGUAGCAUUACGUCUCUUCAUUUUAAUUUCUUAAUUACACAAAUUCAGGGGUAGGCUUCCUUUGAAAAUUACGUUACAUAGACUCUUCACUCUAUGAUUUUAAUUUUAUUAAAUCAGAAUAAUUAAAAAUAGAGAGAGAAUAUAAUUAAAUGGGAAAAUAAAGAAAAUGAGGACCAUAUUCAUGUGAGGCGUGAGAAGAGGAAGUGCAAUGUAUGUAUGUGUAUUUCCUCACCCAGCAUGGGAUUAAAUAAAUUUUUUUUGAAAUUGUAAAAAAUUACUUCUAAAAAAGAACUUUGAAGACUAGAAUGGACCAAAUAUAUUUAUUUUUAAAAAUUCCGAAAUUGAAAAGAUAAAAUUUCAAGAAUUAAUAAUCGUUGUUAUUCUCUAAGACUCAUGUAAUAAAAAAUAGUCUUCCUUGUUUUUUGUUAAAGCCAAACAAAGAGUAGUAUUUAAAUAGUUAGAAGCAUAUAUCCUAUAAAUCCCCUCGUUUCCCUUCUCUCUUUCUUUUCUUUUCUCACCUCAGUCACAUUCUCAACUCCAAAUUCUCCGGCCAACAACCGACGACGGGGGUAGCGAUAUCAUAGUGUUCUGCUGGUAUCAAUGGGCAAUUGUGUUGAAGUAUUGUCGAGGCAGCGAGAAGAAGACGGGACGACGACGACGACGUCAACGAGGGAGAUGGAAGAGAGAGAAAAGAAAGGAGGAAUGAGAAUAAAAGUAGUGUUGAGAAAAGAAGAACUGGAAUGGCUAACGGAGCAAAUUAAGGAGAAAGGAGGGAAAUGUUUAGAAGAAUUGUUGGAAGAAAUAGAAAGAGGAAGAAGAGAAAAAACAGUCAUGAAUUGUAGUAUUCAAUACAAUGUUUCUUGGAAACCUUCUUUGGAAAGUAUUAUGGAAUGUCCAGAAAUUCCCGAUCACAUGUUCAGAUAGCUAGAAACAGCAACUCUAGUUGGUAAUUAAAUCAAUUGAAAUACAUAUAUAUUAUUGUUUUGGAGAUGAAGGUGUUUCUUUUUCAUCCACCUCACUCGUCUCUUUCUCUGUUACCUUUCUCUUAUCAAGUAGAUUCUUUUUCUAAGCCAGGUCUGUAAUUAUACACUACGUUCUAAUUGGAGACCUCCUUUUCAGCUUCUUAUGUUUAAGCCUCUCAACUUUUAUGGCAAAUUAUUGUAAAUAUAACUUAAUUAUUGAAAAAUAUUUAGCAAAAUUUUAGUACUAAUAUAUAUAAUUUUAUUCAUUACCUUAUAUUUAAUCAUUGCAUCUAACUUAAAAAUUCUAAAAAAUUAACAAAAUGUACAAAACAUUUAGAAUAAUUAUAACGAGUAGCACUAUUUUUAAAAAAUUGUAAACAUAACAAAAUGUAUCAAUAAUAAACUUCUAUCGAUAAUAAACUUUUAUGGUUUGUUAAUGAUAUACUAAUAUUUAUCUAUCAAGAUGUUACUAAUAAAUUUUUACAGAUUUUACUAUAUUUGUAUUUUUUUAAAUAUUGUUAUAUAAUUAUUUAUUAUUUAAACAUAAUUAUGUAUUUGCAACUAUUCUAACAAAAUUUAAUAUUAGAAUUUUUGGUGGGUCAAAUUUUUUAACUCUAUAAAAUGUAAACACUUUGUUAGUUUUUUUAUUAUUUUUGAAAUAGCUUCAUCUUAAUUUAUUUUCAUUUGUGAACUAGUUGUUUGAAUAUUUAUUAUUAAAAUUUAGGGUAAAUACCCAUUUAUAUACUCUUAAAUUGUAUGGAUGUUAUAUGUGUUAAAAUUUUGUUGUAUUAAAUGCUUGUUGGAAGUUUUUGAUUUAUUAGGCUCGCUGCUAUAGACUUUUCCCCCCUUUAUUUGAGGGUUUACCCCACGAUUAUUGGACUUUCUUUGUGGUUUUUCCCAUCCAUAAAUGCUAUAAAUAUGGUCUAUUUGCACUAAUUAAUGAGCAACUCCUCCACCACCCCAUGACCUACUUACGUAUAUAGUAGGUCAACAAUACUAAAGAUGCACAAUAAAUAUAUUAAUCAAUACCUACUGUUAUAUGUCACACUUCAAUAUAUUUUAUAUAAGCUAUACGUAAAUAAUCUAUCUAGACUUAGAGUAUUCUACUAAUAUAGAGAUAAUAUUAACAUGAACAUUAUAGUGAUUGUGUAGCUCAACAUUCACAUAGACUUUGAUUAUAUUAAUCUUGAGGACUUUUGUUGUUGUUAGAAAAAUAGAGAUGUACAUGAACAAGCUUACUCAUAUGUGAUUAAUGACGAUGUACGUACUCUUGUUCCAUGUAUUUAAUAACUGCGAGUUGAGAGAACAUAUAUUUACAUUUGAGAUGGAAAUUGAUGUGUUUUAUCUAUUGAAAUAUGUUUGAAUUAAACAUAGUUAACAUCGUGAUGAUUAAAAAAUAAAAGAUACCAUGUGUUUGAUAAUAUAUAAGAAUUAAAGGAUAACUAGAUUCCUUUAUAUUCACGGUACAACAAUUGACCUAAAUGUAGGUCGUUAUUGAUGCUUUAAUUUGUUCUAUAAGUAUAAUAUAAUAUGACAUAGUAAAGAUCUAAAAGAGAAAAAAAUAUGGUAUAGAACUUUUUUUCUAGUGUCAAUUUCUUUUCAACUCAAAGUUUAUACAACUCAAAUGUGGAGUACUUCCAAAUUAUUUUGAUUAUUAUCAAAAUAAUUUCUUUACACGUAAUUAUUUAUACGUGUGUAUGUAUAUAUGAGUUGGUGCAUGAACCUUGCACGAAUAUAAAUCUCUCGACUUAAGUGAUCAAACUUAAAACUUAAGUAGAGUUUAACUUUUUCCUUCCCAUAAGGGUAUUUUUUAUUUAGUAACUCUCAAUAUAUUUAUAAUUUUUAUAAUUAACAAAAUUAUAAUUUUGAGAUAAACACAUAUCUAUCUAUUAAAAAAUAGAUUAAACUUUUACUAGUAUCGUGAAAAGUAUAAAUUUAACCCGUGAAUCCACUAAAACAUUUAUUUAUGUUUGCCGAAAACAUAGAUUGUAUUAUGUGUACUAACCAAAGACUAAAUUAAAAAUAAAUAAAUUAGGCACUUUUAAAAAUAUAUUUUGUAAAAACGAAGUUUUUCUUUUCCUUUUUAAAAGAUAAUUUUUUUAUUAAACUGUGUAAACAAUGAAUCAGUUCUCGAAAUUUUCAAUGAUAAAAUAAAAGAUUAUAAUUUGAUUGCUUAGUUAAAUUAGAGAAAAAGGAAACGACAAGAAGAUUUCACGAGAUUGCUUUAUAGACGAAAGCGAUGUGGGAAAUUUUAAUUAAUCAAUUAAUUAAUUUAAUUUAAUUUAUUGUUAAAGACCAAACCAAAUCAAAUAAUUUUUAGAUUAAGAAAUGAAAUAAAAUCUUUGGGUUUCAUUGAUGCAUAUCUUUUCAACUGUUUCUUACCUUUUUGAAAGGCUAUCAGCAGAAUCAUCCCAUUCCCAUCCUUCGCAUUCAUUCAUUUCUUUACUCCCAAAUUAUUUGAUCACAAAUCCAUUUCAUUAGUUAUAACUUUAUAACCACAAAAUAAACAAAUCAUAAUUCAAAGCUGCUUUUCUCUUUAUUCAAUUUCUUUAAAGCAAGAUUAUUAUAUAUACAAUCCAAACAAGUUUUGUAUGCUUCUUGAAAAAAAUAUGUCGAGAAAACCAUAAAAACUUUUCAAAAAUAAAAUUAGGAAGAUAAGAUUUAAUUUGUAAACUCUUUUAAAAAUAAGGAUUGAGAAAGAUUAAUCGUAUGAAUAAUUUUAUUAUGACUAGACGAUUUGAUAAAAUGUAUAAGAGGGAAAGAUGUUGGAAUAGUACGUGUAUAAACCAAACCAAUAAAUGAAAAACAUAUGUAAUAAUUUCACAAAAAUACUGUUGGAAGUUUGAUUAAGUUAGUAAAGGGUUGAUUAAUAAAUGAAUUAAAUUCCUUGGUUUGGAAUUAUUAAAUGAAGAACUCAACUGCCGUUGCCAAAUCCAUGUGUGUUUGACUGCAAAUAAAGCAAAAAUGUUCCUUUUUCUUCUUCUUAAAUUAAAAUAUAAAUAACAUAAAGUUUGAUCCUUUUUACAUCUUGAUUCUACUUUAUUAGACAAUUCAAAGGCUAUCUUUAAUUUCUAGAAUGUUACCUAAUAAUGUUGUCUUCUAAAUUCAAGCAUGUGCUCUCUAAUUUCUUGUAUGGAAUUUUAUAAUAUCAUGGGAUCCAAUAAAUUUAGAAAUUUAUACACAUGAAGAAUUCACGUGUUACAUGUUUUUAUUUGUUAAUAUAUAUUUAAUGUUACAAUGUAAGUUUAGUGUAGUUACUCUUAAUCUAGUGUCAAUAGGUUUUUAAUUUAUACAACAUUUUCAAUAAUUUUAUAGACAUAUCACACACCAAAUUAUUAAGAGUUUAGGUAUAUAUUACUGUAGGUGAAUUUGGUUACGAUGAAAAAUAAAUAAAAGAUCGUAGAAAAAAGUAAGGUAAGAUAAGAUCUUAUCAUAACUUAUUAGGAUAAGAAAAUAUUCAUUUCAUCUUUGUCCUAUAAGAAAAAUAAACGGUAAACUUUAUCUCAUUCUCCUUAUAAGUACAUCGUAUUUAUAACUUCAUAUGUGGCAUCUUAAUAUGAGAGACGAGAUCUUAAAACUUUCCAUUACUCUUUUACUCUAUAAUUAUCUGGUUGAAAUUAGGUAAUUGAGUCUUUUUUUCCUUUGUUUUGUAGCUUCUUUCUUUUUCAAAUUACAAAUUUAUCGUUGAUAGCACGUGGAAGUAAUGUGCAUUUUUUUCUUAUCAAAUAUUGGUAUCAACAACCAUUAAACAUAAAAUUCAAUUUUUUUAAUUUCAUCUAAAACAGUGGGAAUUUUAUUAUUAUUAUUAUUGUAGUGAGAUAUAGAAAUUUAUAUUGUGAAUAUUGACGGAUGGAAGUAGUAAAAUGAAAAUAAAUAAGUUGGCCAUAUUCUAUAAAGUAUUAUAUAUUGGAUAAAAUCCUAAUUGGGCUUUCUCGAAACUCUAUGACCAAGAGGGCUUCCUCAACGCUGCCCUCUUUCGGCUUUUCAUCCCGGCCUAUUAUAAUAAUAUUAUUAUUAUUAUUAUAAAAAGCUAUUGUAAAUAACCAAACUAAUUAAAAUAUUUAUAAAAUAUAAAAAAUAUUUCAAAUUCUUGAUCAAUUUAUCAACAAUAGAAUAUGAAAAUAUGUUGUGAACUUUGGUCUGAUGGAAAAUCCAAUAUGAUUUUAGUACUUUUUUUUAAAAAUUAUUGACUGUAAAUUAUCAGAAAAAUACAAAAAAAAACUUUCGUAGAUUUUAUUUCUCAGAAUUUUAGACCUUCAACAUCUUUUUUUCUUUUCCAGUAGAGAUGUAGAUGUUGAGAUAUAUAUAUAUAUUUCAUUUCUAGUCUGUGCAUUUUAUUUUCUUUACAAAUUUAAUAAUAUCUAUCGAGAAGACGAUAAUCUUUAUCAAUAUAGAUGUGGUCACUUUAAGAGAAUAUUUAACAAAAUUAUAAUGAAUUUGUAAUAAGUUUUUAAAUAAAUACACUCUUUUUAACAAAGUUAAAAAAUUAACAACAGUACAACAGUAAUAAAAUAAAAAAAAUAUAAAAAAUGAUAUCCAACUUAAAUUAAUGUUUCAAUCUUAGUAUUUCCUCUAAUUUACUCAUAAUAUUUUUUUUAAAAAGUAAGUGUAUAGAUAUGUAUAAUUUAUAAACUCAUUUUAAGAAAAUAAAGUUUUACAUAGACAGUGCAAAAAAUAAGUUUUUUGGAUGUUCAAAUUAGUCUUUGCCCAAAAUCUAUUACUAUGAAAAAAAGAAUAGAUAUGUUAUUGUUUUUAUAGUUUAUUGGAAUGCCAUAUAAAGUUAACUUACAAAAUUUAUAAUUCGAAGAUAUAAUUUCUACAAAAUUUGGACAGAGCAAUAUCAUAUAAUUUACAACCCCAUAUUAAAGCAAAAUUCAAAAAAUAAAAAAUAUAAUUCCAGAAAUAUCUGGAACUUCUCUUUAAGAAGUUGAGGAAGGAAGAAGAAGAAAAAGAGGGGAAAAAUUUCAAUUCGCCACCAAAGAUGAACGAACUCUAGUUGGAGGAAUCCUCAUGAGUUCAGAAGCCACAUCUCCGAAUUCAAGAACGCCACCAUUGGAGCACCUCGAAAGCAUUCGAUUCGCUUCUUGUUUCGUCAAUUUCACCGUAAUUCUCACUACUUUCUUCUCUGUUUCAACCUCCAACUCCUCCUCCUCUCUGUCGGUACUAAUGGCGAUUAUCACUGGUUCCGUAUCAGCAAAUCUCACUCUCUUCUUCACUUUCUUGAUCUCCUCCGGCUGGUGCUGUGGUGAGGACGAUGACGAGGGUGGUGAGUGGUUCUUCUUGGUGAGAUUGUCUCUGUAUACGUAAGCCGUCUUCUUCGUUCGUUUGCAGCGGCUACUGAUUUCAACAGCCUGUAGCUUUUUGUUCAAGCUUGAAAUCAAGUUACUGAUCAUGAUUUUUUGUUUUAUCUUUUUCUUCUUCUCAGAUCUAAUAGAGAGAGAGAGAGAGAUAGAGAGGUGAGGUUAUGGAGGGAGAUUGUGUGAGGGAAACAGAGAGCGAAACAGAGAAUUUAUAGAGGAAAGAACGUACUUGAAAAUUCAAACCCAUUUUUUUUAUAUUACCAAAUUCAAAAUUAAAACUAAUAAAUAACUAUUUGAUAUUGCAGUCCCAUUUUGUACUUCACAAAAUUAUUUUAAAACGAUUAAUUUAUUAUGCCCCUUUAUGUUUUUGUUUUAAAUAAUAAAAUCCUUCAAAAUGUUAACCAAAUUUUAGAUUAUAUCAUAAUUUAAUGUAGCAUGAACUAACCAAAUUUUGUUAAUAUAUAUAAAAUUUAAAGAGUAAAAAUAGUGUUAAUCGGCUAAAUUCUCAAAUUUUAAAAUAAAAGAAAAAACUAAACAAUUAUCACACAUAUAAUUUUAUUUUAAUUCUUUUUACACCUUCAAAAUUAUUAUAUAAAAAAGCUUUUUUUUUUAAUUACGAAGUAAAAAAUAUUUAUAAAUAUAACAACCAUUUUUUUUAUAAAUUUUAAUAGACAUACAUAAAUAUCUAUUAACAUUUUUCACUAAAUUAAUAGAUGUUAAUAUGACUGAUAUUUUUUUAAAAAAAUUAAGAUGGAUUCAUUUUGUCAUAUUUAAAAAUAUUAUAUUAUUAUUUGUUUUUCCUUUGUUGGUCAUGUGGAGUUCAAUUAUUAGAUUCCUUUUAUAUAUCUAAUUUUAAUCAUUUCGGCGUUCAAUGGUUUUUAAGUUAUUUACCAUCAACAGAAAAAUUUGACCGCACAAGUGUUCUUCGUUGAAAAUAAACUUUAAUUUGAGGAAUAAAUUCAAAAGGUUUGAUGGAAGCUUAGUUAAUCGUCUGAAUUCAAUUCUCACAAUUUCAUUCAGUUUAAUAAAAGUUUAAUAUUUAUUAAUAAAAUUUAAGUUUUCUAUAUUUUGUGCUGUCUACUAAGUCAACAAAACUUUAAAAAGUUCUAUACAUUAAUACACCAUUAGAUAUAAACUAAAAAUUUCAAAAUUAAAAGUUCAAAUACUGUUUUCUUAUUCAAUGAUAAAAUGACAAUAUAUCAAACCAUUCUUCAUAAGUAAGUAUCUUAUGUGUCCAUAUUAACUUAAUCUUUCAAAUAUUAUUUUUUUUGUGAAAAAAUUGAAGUCAUGUUUGGUAAUCAUCUUAUUUUCUAUUUUUUUUUAUAAUUAUUGGUGAAAAUUUAAAACUAAAAAUAACUUUUUUAAAGCUAUGAUUUUUUUUUGUUUUCAAAUUUUGGUUUAUCUUUUUGAACGUGUGGUAGAAUGUAAAUAACAAAAAAAGUUUGGAAGUGAAAGUAAAAUUUAUAUGCUUUUAACUUUAGAAAAUAAAAUUAAAAUAUUAUAACUAAAAUUAAAGAGAUUAAUUAUAAUUGAAUUGAAUACAAUCUAGAAAAAGCUCAGUUGGUAAAAAUAUGGAUUAUUGUUUUUUCAAAAUUGAGACAUAGAAUGAUUGGUUAAAUAAAAACUAAUAGUGUGAAAGUUAAAAGAUCCAAAACAAAAAAUGAAGACAUGUGAUUAAAAUAUACAACAAAAGAAAAAAUAGUUGAAUAUAAUUUUGAAAUCUAACUUGGAAAAUCAACGUGAUGAAAACAAAACAAUAAUAAUAAUAAUAAUAAUAAUAAUAAUAAUUAAAAGAAAAGGAGUAUUAAUUGGGUCAAGUAAUUUUUGUUUGUAAUGUACAUUGCAAAUUCUUUUGAAAUGACCCCAUGACCAAAACUUCCUAAUGAAAAGGAAAGCCUUUUGGUUUUGAGUUUUGACUCUCUUAGUCUCUAGGUUAAAGUGGGACCCAACUUGGAUGCCAGAAAUACCCUUCUUUGAAUUGGUCCCUACUUCUUUCCUCACAAGGGUAAAUUGGGUAUUUUAUUCUCUAUUAUCCCUACUACUCAGUAUAGCGUAAUUCAUUAACUCCUUAAAAUAUGUCAUUCAUUAAAAAAUAAAGGUAUGAAUAUUUUCAUCAUCUACUUAAACUGAAUACAUAUUUAUUUGUAAGUAUCGAUAUGUAUCAAUAUUGUGUUAAACAUGCACAAAAUAUGUGAGAUAGAUUAUACUAAAGAUUCAUAUAAUUGAUUAGAAACAAAAACUCCAUCAGUAUAGAACUUUGACACAAUGACACAUCAAAAAUAUUGUCAACAUAAAUAAAUGACUUUGUUUUUUUUUUCUCUUUUUCUUCUAAAAUGGUAGGUUCAUUGUUCAAAUGCCAUUUUAGAAGAAGGGUUGAUUGUUGCUUGUUUUAUGGGAAGAGUUUGUAAUAAGUUAUUACAUGAAUUGAAUCAAAAUGUAAGAAUUGUUGUAAAAGAUUUUUCAGAUUUUUUUUUUAAACUUUAUUCUCUUGUUCAAUAUUAUGAAUGUUAUUUUUCAUAUAUUCAAAAAGUUAUUGUUUUAAACUUUCAGGAUGAGAACUAUGAAUCAAGCGAAUUAUAUAUUACGACUUGCUUUUAUUAAUUAUGAAAAAAUGUUUCCAAAAAAAAGUUAAUGAAUUUUCAUUUAAAGGUUUGAAAGGAAUGAAAUAGUUAAUGGAAAGAAAUUUUUAAAAAAGGAAUGAAAAGACAUUUAUAGGAAAAGAAAUGCUUUAGAACCUUAAUUUUAACUACUAAGAGAAAUCUUUUAUUAAAAUAAUUGAAAAAUGUAGUAUUUUAACAAAAAGAACAUUCAUGGUUGAACACACUUUAAAUUUAGUCAUGUAAAAUAUCAUAAAGUUGAAAAUUGAUGGGAAAUGAAAAAUAUUCAUAUAUUUUUCAAUAAUUUAGCAUGGAGAAAAAAAAAAGCCAUCAAUUUGACCACGUUUAAAACCUCACAAUAAUUCCAAAUUUAGUACAACUUUAUAAGAAAAAAAAUAGUAACUCAUUGGAAAAGAUUACCAAAAUUAGAGGACUAAAAAUAAAGAGAGGAAAUUGUGAGACAACUUUCAAAAUAUUCAGGUAAUGUUCUAUCAUAUUGAACAAAAACGUAAAUAAAAAUAUGUGAUUUAUUCUCAAAAUUAUAUGCGUAUUUAUGUAACUUUCAUCAAGACCACUAUCGAACGAGUUAGAUUCUACAAAGUAUAUUUUAAUUCAGCCAAGUCAUGAAGUGACUUUGUAUAUACGUUGUAAGUUUUUUGAGAAUUUAUAGAAAAAAUAGAUAACCGUGUGAGUAAAGAAAAAACACAUACAAGCUAGAAAGCAUGUGUUGUUAGGAGGAUAAAUGCCUCGGGUUGAGAGACAUUUGCUCAACAACAACCCGAAUAACCGAAUUAAUUUACUCAAUCGAUAAAAUCUGGGUUGGCUAGGUUGGGUUGUUGAGUUAUAUUGUUUUUUUUUCAUACCCAAUGCAACCAUCGAUUACACUCUUACAUGAUUAUUUAGCUUUUUGCCUUCAAACAAUCAUUUACUUCUUUCAUUAUUGGCUAACUUUUCAUACGAUCGUUGAACAAAAUAGUUCUAACUUUACUUUAUAUAUAUAUAUAUAUAUAUAUAUAUAUUAUUAUAUUAUUGAUUCGGAUUGGAUUGAGUUUAACCAAAAUUUUCAAUCCCAAUUCGAGACCUGACUCAACUCGAAAAAAACUAAAAUUUUUAAUCCAAUCCAUAUAUUAUGGAUUGAAUAGUUUGGAUUAUUGAGUUAUUUGAGUUGAACUUACACUCCUAUAUGUUGUUAUGUGUGGACAGUCCUCAAUGACUUAUUAAUUUUACAAUGAAGUAUAUAAAUUAGCAUCUAUUAUAAUAAAAAGAAAUAGAUCAAAAUAGUACGUAGGAUCCUCCUUAUAGUCCUUAGACAACUUUUUUCUUGACCAAAUCAAUUAAUCAAAAUCUACCUAUGCAGUCUCAAAUUACACAUUUUUUUCUCUACAAGUAACCUAUUAAAAAAUUAAAGUAACUUUAAAAUUAGUAACCUAAAUCAUUGAAUUUAAAAAAAUUAUUAUAAUAAAAAUAUUUACAAAAUAUAAUAAAAUCAUAUAUUUUGUAAACGACAGAUACUAAAAUUGGUAUCCUUUCGGUUGAUAGAAUUUAGAAUACUAUUAUAGUCCAUAAAUAUUUUAGGUUAUUUUAGUGUAAAAAUGCACAUUUUGUAUAAAUAUUUUUUUUAAAAAAUAAAAAUAUUUGAAAAUAAAUUGAAACUACUCCGUAUAUAUAACAAAGAAUUCUUAAAUUGAUUAAAAAAAUAUUUGCAAAAAAUAGGCCAUUUUCUUUUGUCUUUCUUUACAAAAAGAAGUUUAAAACUUCUUAGACAUUGUCACGUACACAACUCUCAUCCCACUAAAUGUGUUUUUUUUUUUUUUUUACCAAUUUGAGCAUUUUUGGGUCAUUGAUUUUUUCAAUCCGAUUAAAAUCAUUUUAGCAAUUUUCUUUUUUACUUUUCUAUGAAAUAUUAAUUCUAAAAAAAUAUUAUAUCUUUUUUUAUCAUUCCUAAAAGAAUAUCCAGUCACAAACUGAAAUAUCCAAUUUUUUUAUAAAAAAAACAAGUAAACUUAUAAAAGAAAAUAGAUAUUUGAAGUAAUUAAUUUUGAUUUAUUAUUAAGAUCAUAUUUAGAAUUAUUUAUCUAUUAGUUUUUAUAUUGGUAAACCUUUAUAAAUAUCAGAUCAAUAUACUAAACUAUUAAAUUUUCUAAAGUUUAAAACUCAUACAUGUAGCAAAAUUGCAGGAUCGCAGUGUUAACUUUGACAAAAUUUAGUUAUAAGUAAAUUAACUCUUUUAGAAAGUUGACUAAAAACAAGCCUUAAUGAAAUCUUACGUGCAAAAUGUUAUGUAAAACAUUGUAUGAGCCCUAAAUCUCUAGUAAUUAUAUGAAUUUUAAAAUUAUCAAUUACAUUUCAUUACAUAAAAUCUUAUCAUAAUGAUUUCUAAAUGUUUAAUUCAUAAAAAUUAUUUAUUAAAUACAUACGAAUAGUUAGAGAUGGUAAAACAAUAAUUUUAAUCUAAUUAGAGUUGCAUAGAAAGUUAUUCAUUUAAGAUUUGAGAGUGAGAGAGAGAAAAAAAAAGUGUUGAAACUCUUCAAAAAGGUUAAAACAAAUUUAGUGGAUUGAGAGUUAUUUACGUGUGGAAUGUUCAAUCUUCACAAAAGAAAAAGACUUAAACUAACAAUAACAAAAUAAUCGCUUUAUUUUUGCAAAUAUUUUUUAAUCUACUUAUUUUGUUUUAAAAUAUUAUUACAAACUACCAUUUUCAUACUUAAUCCUUUAAUCAUCUUCCAUGUCUUAUUAAAUUGGAAAAAGAUACUUUUGGAGAAAAGAAUCAAAAGAAAAGUCAAUAGUAAUAAAUUGGCAGUUGAUGGCUAUUUUAUUUUGAAAAUGGUUUGAAGUUGUAAGAUAGAUAUAUAAUUCCACAAUUACACGGUUUUGUUUUGGAAAUUUAGUGUUUAGUCUAAAUCAAAUCAUCAGUCAUGAUGGGAGAGACUAAGUCAAUUUGGAAUUUAGACUGAGUUUUGUUCUAUAAGAUAUCAAUUCGACAUGUCGUUCGAGAUGUUGAAUGCAUGUGGAUAUUCUUUCUAAUCUCUCUCUAUCAAGUUUCUUUGUCAAAUUCUUGUUCAAUAAAUCGAUAUUUUUAAUUUUUAUUUCAAAUUAUUAAUAUGAAUGAAAUAAUUGAAUGAUGUUAUUGUCUGAGUUUUAUGUUAUUUGAUCAUGUUCUAUAUUACAAGAUGAAAGAGGGUGCAUGAUAUAGAAAUAAAAAGAGAAAAGAUAAAUAUCAUCAACAUUACUCGACAUUCUUUUAACUGUCAACAUCUUAAUUAUAAAAUUCUUAAAAUAAUAUUUUAAGGUAAGAAUACAUUUUUAAUAUUAAGAUUUUGAGUUUAGUAGGGUGCGAGAGAUUUUGAAAUGUUACUACGUACUUAAAUUUUUUAAAUGCUAUAUUUGCAACUAUCAUUAGAAGAAAAAAGAUUCAAAAGUUUCACUACAAACACAAUCUUUUGAUACCAAAAUGCCUAGGUCUCAUGCAAUCGUUUUACUUGUGAAAAUUAAACUCAUAGACUAACUUUCUUUAUUUAUUAUUUACAUUCUAUCGAUGGUUUAAUAAACUAAGUUAAAUUUUGAAAGAAAAGAAAUUAUUGCUUUAAAACAGUUAUUUUGUUUUUUAAAUUUAACUAAGUAUUAUAUUCAAUCGUGCAAGACAGAAAAAACAAAACACAUAUAUUUAAUUUUUAAAAAUUAAAAACAAAAAACAAAACUCUUAAUCUUUUUCUUGAAUUUAAAACACGACCAAGUAAAAUAUAACAUUUGAAAGUUUAGAGAUGUAACAAAAAGUGAUAUAAAAACUUACGAAACAAAAAUAUGACUUAAAAGCAUUUUUGAUAGGCAAAUGAGUAAAAGGUUUUGUGUAUGGUUGUUUCUUGUAAGUUUUCCCCCAAUGACUUUUCUUCUUUUCUUUGAUUGAAUAUAUAGGUUUUUUUCUCUUCCAAAUCACGAGAUAUUUGAAAAAAUAUGUUUGAAAUGCAUAACUUCAAAGAAGGAAAAAUAUUUGACCAAAGUAUGAGAGUCGUUGUGUGUAUGUAUACAUUACAUGUGUGAACAUUCAUAAAUUCGUAAAUUAGAUUAGAGAGCUAACCGUAGUUUUUUUAGCUCUUUCUUCACAAUUAAUUGAUUCAAUAUGACUUUUUCUUUUUUCUUCUUAAAAAAAAAGGUUAUAAACAAUUCAUCUACUCCAAAUUUAUUUAUUUGUUAUUUUAAAACUAAACUAAAUUUUGAAGAAAAAAUAGUUUUGUUUUUAUCUCAUUUUUGUGUUUUAAAAUUUGUUUAAGAAUUCAAUUAUUGUAUUCAAUAAAUACGUAUUUAUUGGAAAAACCAAUAAAAAACAAAAGAUUAAAUAUUAACAUAAUUUCUUUGGAAAACAAAAAAUGAGUCAAAUGGAACCUAAAUUGAAUACAUUAAACUUUCAAUUUCAUCCCAUUGAAGUAAGUUAUUUCUCGUAUGGUUAAGUAUUCUAUUAAAAAUAUUUUUUAACCAUAUAUGUAGUUAAGUAAUUAAGUCUAUAACUUUUAAAAUUGAUAAUGUUAGCUGUAUUUUAAAUGAAUAAUGCACAUUUCUUUGUCAUAAAAAAAUGCUUACAUGUAUUAUCAAGUGGUAAAACAAUUACACAGUAAUGGAUGAGAGUUCAAUGAAAAAAACAUCUAUAAUUUUUUUAUUAAAAAAAUGUGAGUAUUUGAUAAUAAUUAAAUUGUUUCUUUUUUCUUUUUUGAGUGAAGUUAUUCAAUUGUUAAUAUAACCAACUUGAAUUUUAUACAAAAACGUGAUUUGAAUUGUCAAGUGCUUCCACCCCUUCACUUUUCAAGCCUACUUUUAGUUUUAAAAGUUGAGUGAUGGUAAUUUCGUGCCUCUAAAUCCUCCAUACAUUCUAAUAUUUUUUUCGAAAUGGAAAAGAAAUUUAAGUUAAAGUUUAAUCCUUACUUUUCAAAAUUUGUAUUUAUGUUCUCUAAACUUUAACGGGAUAUUUUUGAUGUGUAGAUUCGAAAUCAAAUGUCUGUAAAUUAAAUGAUUGUUGGUAUUUUUACGACAAUAAUAUAAAAACAAAAAAGUUGUAACAUUUUAUAACAAUAAUUUUGAUUAUAGUUGCAUUAACAUGGAUGUAAUGAAGUUUACAAAAGUUUCAGUUGAGCAAAAUAUUAAAAAAUGUCUAAUAGCUAGGUUUCAAAAAAUAAUGCAAAAGAGUCCUGCAAAAACAAAAGUUAAAUAGAGUUACAUUUAGUGAUAGUUAUGGUUGUCAUUCUAUAAUGUACCUCCAAUGUAAUAUUUAAACUGCUUUUAUAAAAAACGUUUAAAUAAAAAUGAUUUUUUUUUCUAAAAAAUACUUUUUUCUUAAAUUAAUCCAAAUAAGUUAUAAGUUUUCGAACGAGAGUGACCAAAGGGAAAAAAACGUAUAUUUAAAUUCUAUUUUGUACGCUACUAUAAUAUACUCUUAAGUUUUAAAAAAUUUAAUUAUUUAUUAAAUAUAUUUAAAAUUUAAAACUUUUGUUAUUUAUUUUUAUUAAGAUGAGAAUUAGAUUUAUAUUUUCUCCAAAAAUGUACAAUUUUCUACGUAACAAAAAAAAUUCUUUUUAUUUUACAUAAACAAAAAAUAAAGAAAUUAUAUAUUUAUUCUCUCAAACCAAUAAAAAAUUAUACCAACUAUUUUGACUAAAAAAAUCUUAUUUAACACAUAAAAUUAUAAACAAAAUUUUAAUAUUUUUGAGUUAAGCUAACUCAAAUUAUAAUAUUUAAUUUAUUUAAUAAUUUUAAAAUGAGUGAAAUUACUCGUUAUAACUAAAAUUUAAAUUUAAAAAAUAAAAAAUAAAUUUACACCACGUCCACCUGAUUCCAAUUCACUUAUUGCUCAGUCUAUUAAAAAAAAAAUUCUUUAUGAAGUUACAAAUUUAGUCUUGGAGCUUCUAAAUUUGUGUUGAAUAGUUUGUGUUUUUUUUUUUUAAAUUUAAAAUUAUUAGAAAUUAAUUAAUCUAUAGACACAAAAUUUAAAGAGUAUAAUAAAACCAUAAACGUUCAAUUUCAUGGCAAUAGAGUUGUCAAUUUAACAAAAAACGAUAGAGACAUAUUUGAGUGGAAAAUUUUGCAGCCCAUACCCAACGUUUAGCUGAAAAGGAAAUUUCUUCAAUAUUAAUCUUGAGGUAUGAUAAAGAUGCACGUUUCAAACUUUCAUUUUUGUGUGAAAAGUAAAACUCAAUUAAAAGAAAGAAAAUGGGACCUUACGCCCUUUUCAGAAGUAAUUUGAUGUUUUUCAAGUAAACAAAUGAUUUCUAAGCUUAAGUACUACAUUAGGGGGAAAAAAAACCCCUAUUUCUUUUCUUUUUCUUUUCAAUUUUUAUUUAUAAAUUGGACUUAAUCUUUAAUUUAUAUAUAUAACAAAAUGUAAAUAAAGAUAUCAGUAAAUAACUAAUGAAGUAACAUUUGGGCUAAUUUCCAAAACCAAAAGAAAACCAAACUAAAAUUUAAAAUUUCAGGGCCAAAAAACUAAAAACUAAAAAAUGUGUAAUUAGAUGUUUAGUCAUAAAAUUAGGAGUAAAUAUGUAAUUAGCCGUAAAAAAAUCUCUAAUAACAACUAGAAAAUCGCGUUUCUUGGAUUGGAAGAUUGGAAAUAUUCACAAAUUUUUCCAAGUAGGAAUUCGAGAUGAACAAACAGAUGAGAUAACUACAAAGAAGAGGAUAAAGAAGGAAUCACCAUCACCGAUCUGUUCAUCAUCAUUGAGAAUCCUUUUGAAGAAGCGGUUCAAGAACAGCCGAUUUAGGGUUCUUCAUCGGCGGUCCUUUUUCUCUUCGUUCCAGCUCCUCCAAUCUAAACGUUAUCAAUCGAUCCCAAUUUCCUCCUUCAAAAAGAACCCCAGCUUUUCCAUCUGUGAUUCUUUGAACGAUUCCACAAUACAUGUAGUACGGAUUGUUAGGAUUCUUCACAAUCGCAAUCAUUCCCGGUAGCAACAGUGGAAGAUCCGGCGGCUUUGGUUUCUGUGUAUUUAUAAUCGAGCCGAUUUCGCCGGAUUUUGAAGCGGAGGGUUUCCGAGGAGGAGGAUUCUCCGAUAUGAAUUUUUUUAAUCCUUUCUCUCCGCCGGGAAACCCACCGGUUAAGCCCAUUAAUUCCUUCUCGAACCCAUCUUCUGGAACACUAUCAACCGGUAAUUUAUCGGAGGUUCCUGGAAUUUCGCUUCCAUCUGCGAGGACUGGAUUGUCGUCGACGUUUCUCUUGAGUUCCUCUUUUAGACCUUGCUCGCCAUUGCAGAGGCCUCUUCCGCCGAGAAGCUGGGCUAAAUCGAAGGCGGCGGAGGGCCGGAAAGCGUGUUGGGUUGAUGAGGCGUGACGGCCGGGCAGGGGAAAUGGUCGGUGGAGAAGGAGGCGGCGGCGGUUUUGUGGGAGAAAGGAGGAUUUAAGAAGCGGAGUUUGAGGAGAUGGAAGGGAGAUUGAGGAAGCCAUGGACAUGAGUCUACUGAUUAUAGAGAUGAGUGCGAUACUGUGAACGUAAAUUGGCGAACCCGAGAAGUGGGUUUGGGUUUAUCCAUUUAUUUUUAAUAAAAUUUAAUUAAGUUGGGUAAUCUUUAUUCAAAUUAAGUAAUAAUCAUAGUUAUGAAAAAAUUAAAGAAAUUAUGUUAAUAGUUUUUUGAGUACAACAACAUAAAUAAUGGAGACGAAGGCCAGUAAAUUCUGGCCAUAGAAGAUGGUUUUAAAAUCAAAACUUCUAGCUUUAGAAGUACAACAAAACUGUCUACAUUACAGCCAAAUCAUAGGAACACUUUUAAUUAUAAUCUAAUAAAUCAAAAUAUUAAUAAAACAUAAUAACAUUUUAAAUUCUAUCAAUUACGAAUAUUAUAAUACCGUCUAUCAAAAUUAUAAUUUGAAAUUUAGCUAUACUUUAUAAAUAUUUUAAGCAUUUUUGUUCCUGAUAUUAAUUUUUUAAAGUAUUUUUGUUAUGAUAUUAAUUUUUUAUUUUUUUUAUUUUUAAUUGAAAAAUAGAUUAGGAUUAUUAUUUUAAGUUUAACUCUAGUUUCUUUUAAAUAAUGUAUGACUCUUGACUAGUUAGUUGAGUUAAAACGCCAAAAAAGCAUCUUUCUUUUUUUUUUUUUUUUAGUUUAGAGGUAUAAAAUAGUACUUACAUGAGCAAUGAAAUCCCAUUUAGGUGCUUGUAACAUUUAAGAUUCUAUCUUUACACUUCAUUACUAGAUCGUGGGAAUUGGUGCAAGGUUGUUUUGGAAAUCAAACUUAUGGCUCAAUCAUUUUGUUUUAUGUUACAGCCAAAAGGCUUGUGCAGUACAAGUCUCCUCCCAAAUAAUCUUCUACAAUGAAGAAGCUCUAUUUAGAUCAUGUCAUGGGUUACACUCUUCAUCUUUAGUGGUCUCUACUUUCUAGUCAAUAUAUAAUUUUAGCAUGUUUCUAAAAGGUAGGUGUUUAAGGCUCUCAUGACUAAAAAAAUGAACUCUAUAUCUUAUUAUUAUUUUUAUAUGUUAUGAUUUCACUAUUUUUCAAACUUUAUAACGAGUAACAAACUUUGAAAUUAUAAUUAAGUGUACAAUUAUAAAUAUAACAAACUUUGUUAACACUAUAAUAUUAUAUCACACAUUUAUUGUUCAUAAGUGCUUAUAAUUAUUUUUUAAUUUUUUAAAUCAACACUUUCUGUAACGUUAAUGUUGGUUUUCAAAAUUUCAUUUUCUACCUGGUUUCAAACUAGUUGAUUUUAGCUUUUUUUUUUUUUUCUCUCAUAAAAAUUAAAACAUAAAACAUUUCAAAUGAACUUAAAACACCCACACUCUUUUUCACUACUUUGCACAUUUAAAGAUUUAAAAUCAUUUGUGAGGAUUUUUUUUCUUUUAUUUAUUUUCACGAGAACCAUAUUUAUAUAUUAUGAUAAGAUAGUUACUGUGUGGUUUAUAUUUCAUUGGAAUUUGAUAUGAUAUCUAUCAAGAGAAGAAAGUUAGUGGAUAUGUUUUGUGCAAAAGGGUGAAUGUGGGCCUAAAAUACAUCCCUCGCCCCAUAUUCUCUUGGCCAACAAAAUGCCCUUUUUUCUUCUUUAUUUUUAUUCUUGAAGAGUUACAAUAACCAAACAUGUGAUAUAUAUAAUAAUAUGAUCAAACAACCUGUCACUUGUCAAUUUAUAAAGUAAAAUAAGUGGUUUAUUAUAAUUUGUGUUUAGAGUAUAGGUAAUUUUAUUUUAAGUUAUAUUAGUGUGUGUUUUGAGAUGUAAAUUAUUUUAGUUUGAGAAUAAAACAGUAACUCAAAUAAUAAAAAAAAAAAGACAAUGAAUGUAAAAUAGUAUAAAUAGUAAAUAACUAUAAAAUAUUGGACUGUUUUGAAACAAUGUAUAUUAUAGCUAAUUGGAAGCUUUUAAAUAAUAUUUAUUUUAACUAUGUAAUUAGUAUAAUCUUAUAUGCAAUCAUUGUUCCAAACGCCACUUAAGUCAGUGGCGGAUCUAGAAAUUAUGUAUAGGGAGUAUUGGGCACUAUAUAAUAAACAUACUAAAAAAUGUUUUAAAAAAAUUUCGACGUUUCAUUGAUGCUUCAAUAACAUUCCCUACCUUUGUAGCAAUAAAGAAAAAUUGACAAUUUUCACUAAAUUUUUUGUAAAGCAAAUAUGUAAAUUUAAAAAUUGUAUCAAAAAAGAAAAGAAUAAAAAAAUAAUAAUAUAUUUUUCAUAAAAUAUUGUUGAGAGUGAAAAUUUGGACCGCUAGGAAAUAAGGUAGAAUAUUAUCUUAAAUUUAUUUUAAAUAAGCCUUUUUUACUGUUUUAAAAAAUUGUAUUAUUUUAAGAAAUUAAAUUAUAUUCCUUUUAUAAAAUUAUUGAAAUUUAGGAACUAUUUUUAAAAGUUAUACUUCUUCUAGGAAAUCAUUCAAAUUUAUGAAGAAAAUUAUUAAUACUUAAAAAUAUUGUCAUAAACAAUAAUCAAACUCAAAACCUUGUUAAUUUAACAAAUGACACAACCACUUCACGAGAACUAUAAUUUAGCUAAAAUAAAGUAUUAUUUAAUAUAUAUUGUAAUCUCACACUUCAAAAUUAAUAUUGAAAUACAAAAAGUGAGAAUGUUAGAGACACGUGCCCUCCAAUCCCCUUGAUGAAUUAGUCAUUGUGCUAACCAAUGAAUUUAUUACUCGAAACGUCUCCCGAGCGAUCAAAUUGACUUAAAAGGGUGAGAAAUCAGACAUUUCAUUCAAAUUUGACUAGUUAUAUAAUUUUUAACUAAGCAAAAUAAACUUUAUCAAAACAAAUCUUAAUAUUUAAACAUGUGUCUAAGAUUUUACGUGUACUAAUUUUUAAGUCACUGGCAAACAAUAUCAAGAUCACUUUCACCAUGGUUAAUGAAUCUAAUGGGAUACAAUUAGUAUUUUAUUCAAGUAUAUAUAAUAUAGAACUUAGAUUUGUAAUCAAAAUUUCCAACAUUUAUAAAUAUAAUAAUAAUAAAUAUAUAUCGAUAAAAAAAAUUAUUUGUGGUAAAUUUAGGAAUAUAUAACUCAAAAUUUCAAACUACUAAUUAUGUCAAUAGAAGUUCUAAAGUUAUACGGAUGAAUGAAUUUAAAUAAUACAACAUAGUUUUGUUAUAAUCAUUGGUAUGAUACUUUUUUAAAACAUUAUACUUUAUUAUGAUGUAUAAAAAAAUACUAAAUAAAUAGAUAAGCAUCAAAUUAAUUUAUUCCUUUUUUUUUUCUAAGCUAUGCAAUAAAAAAAGCUAAAAUAAUAAAUAUUGAAGAAUCUUAGGAAACAAAUAAAGUGGGCACAGAAAAGUUAUAGAAAAGUGAUUCUUAGCUUAACUUUGUAUCUUUUGCUUCUUAAGACAACACAUUGGAAAUCUUUUCAUAUUCACUUUGAAUUUAAAAAAGUUUUUUACUUUAUGCUAUUGUUUGUUCUAGAAAAUAAAAGGUAGAAUAAAGGAGGGAAAAACUUUGCUAUAAAUAAAAAAGGAGGAAAAUAAUAUUAAAAAACAAAUACUAUUUAGGUGAAAAAAGCGGAGAUAGAGAACUUUUCAACAGAAAAGUGCAUGGUAACAUUUUUUUUACCAAACACACAUAUAUAUAAAUGGUAGCAAGUAAAAUGUCUUUAGCAUAUAGUUGAAUAUUUAUUAUAAUAGAUGCAAUCCAAUGAAAUUAGAUUAGUUUGUAGGAAGCUUGUUCAAAUAUGACUUUACUAGUUGGAUUGUACAAUCAAAUAAUGUAUUUUGAAGUAAAAUACUUGAACAAACUCAUCAUUCAUACUUUGUAUGCACGUGAGAGUAUGAUAAAAUUAUCAUGAAACUAUUGUAAUUGUUUUUUUUUGUCUUAUAAAGUUUGAGAUCAUGUUAUAGUAUUUAACUUUCGUUAAAAUGUAUAUUUUUAUUAUCAUUUACAUGUUUUCAUAUAUUUGAAAUCCAUCCGUAGAGUGAAUAAAUAUUUUCCCCAUAUCCAACAAAAUGUUACUAACAUAUAGUAUAAAUUGUAGAUGUCUUAACUAAUUUAAAAAUUAUAAAUGGUUUAUUUACUAAUUUAAAUUAAUUAAUUUAUUUGUUUUUACCAUCUCGUCCAAUAUAUUCAUUGCUAUUCAUAUUUUAUCAAUAUUUUUACCAAAAUUUUGGUAAACUUAAGACUUUUAUGCUUUCAUUCGACGUCUAAUACUAAGCUAACAAAAAUGAUAUUUUAAUUUUUAACAUAAGAUUAAAUAUUAUUAUUUUGUAAACAAGAUUGAGCGUUUUCUUUAAAUAAUAAAACAGAUAAACGAGCGGAUUAGCGGAAGUUUAAAGACCCAAACGGCAGUCAGAGUUAGAGACGGUGAUGGAAACGCAUCGCAUUGGGAUUCGCACUUUUCCCAAACGGUUUUUCUAUUACCUUUUUAACCUAACCAUAAAAAUCAACAACCAACCUCUCGUUUCCAUAUAAACACCUUUUUCUCUCUCUCUCUCUCUCCCUUCACUUCAGCUCUCUCAACUCAACUCAACUCAACGCAACCAACUCUUCUUCUCUUCCCUUCUCAAUUUUCCAUCCACGGUUCUUCGAUAUGAGUUCCAAGAUCUGCAGAUCUAUUUCCGGAGCCGCCAGGUCCAUCCUCGCUGCUUCCCGCACCUCUCGCGCUUAUUCCACUGGUAAUUUUACGUUUUCUUUGGGUGCAUUUUUUUGAAAAUUUUGGAGUUCGAUUCCUUUAGACGCGGUGUUUUUGUGAUCAUCAGGCAAGUACUUGACCUGAAAUGGAAUGGAUCUUUGUUUUAUAAGGUGUUAUUUGCUUUUUAUUUCAAUCUCCGAUUUGUUUGUGUUAGAUUAUUGAUGUAUAGGUAAUGACUGUGAAUGACUGAACUCCGGAGAAUUGGAAUGAGAAAUUAAAUUGCAGUUCCGUAUUUCAAUGUCGUUCUGGUUUAUGUUUAAAAUGUUUGAGCUAGGUUGAUCUGACGCCAGAUCUAUUUGUUUGUUUAAGCAAGUAUGUGAGAUGAAAUGGUCGAAUCUCUGUUUAAUGACUGUUUUAUCGGUUUCUCUGAGUUAAUUUCGGUUUUCUGAUAAGCUUGGUUUCUUUCGCGUUGUAAUGUCGGUUUUCGUUUAUGUCUCUGUGCAAUAGACAGUUAUUGUGAACAAAUAGUUUGGAGAGAGAUUGUAGCAUCGCACUUCAGUAUUGUUUUGGUUUAUGUCUAUACUUUGAUCUAGGUUGCUAUGACGCCUGAUCUAUUUGUUUGUCUAAGCAAGUAUUCGAGAAGAAAUUGCGGAAUCUCUGUUUAGGAAUGCUUUAUCGGUUUUCCUUCACUAAUUUUCGUUUUCUGAGAAGCUCAAUUAUCUUUACAUUUCAGCGUCAGUUUUCGUUUAUGUCUCUGUGCGAUAGACAGUUAUUGUGAACGAAUUGCUGUGAGACAGAUUGUAGCUUCGUAUUUCAAUGUUUAACUAACCGAAUAUGAUUUCUACACCUUAUGAAGUGAAUACUUCCUUUACCGGUUUUUUCAAUGGCAGGAGGCAGAGCCGCGGCUUCCGCAGCAGCAGUAUCGCUACGAGAAAGGUUGCCUUCUCUUGCUUCAAUCUAUAAGAAUGCUGGAUCUGGAUACGCAUCUAGAGAAUGGAUUUCAGGACUGCUUGCUCUUCCUGCUGGAGGUUUGUCGACAUUACAAAACUCUAAUAAAACAAAUGUUAUUAAUUCUGGGGAAAAUGCUUGAAAUUUCUUCCAUUCGCUGGGUGUAGAAUUUGAUUUUAUGGAUCCAGUAGGGAUGGAGCCAAAAUAAGAUGGGAUGGGCAUAGGCCUCCAUCUUAGGUUGUGAAAAUUUACAAUGUCGUGGCCUCUGGCAUUUUCAUUUUCUUUUUUUUAUUUCUAAAACUUUAGAACCUAAACUUUAUAUAGUUUUCUUACUCUGGCCCGGCUUGUUGCAAAAUUAUUAGUUUAUACAAUUUAUUAUCCAUAUCUAAUAUAUCCUCUUUUACAAUAGGAAUUAAAAUUAGCAUGAGGUCUCUACAGUUAGGAGAGUUAUAAUCGAGCGUCUUAAAAACUUUAUCAGAAUAAAAAUGGCUAAAUGUUGGUGUAUAUCAUGAUAGAACGAUGUAUUGGAUUAGGAGGGUGAUCCACUUUCUCCCAUUAUUUGUGUCCCGUGUCCACCGUCCUAACUGACACAAUCUUUUUCUUUGAAUGUAGUUUUCAUGCUCCAGGAGCAGGAAGCACAUGCCGCAGAGGUAAUAUAAUAAACUUGAAUUCUUUGUUCUCGUUUUCCUUGCCCUUAAUGAGUAGUUAGUGAUCACCAUUAGUUAUUCUAACUUACUUUCUCGUAACUUCUCUCAGUUCGAGCGCACGUUUAUAGCCAUCAAGCCUGAUGGUGUACAAAGAGGGCUGGUAAGACUAAACAUGCCCAUGCGAUGUUUUUCUUCAUGCCAAUUCUCAUUUGACAUUUAGUAGCUCUGUUUUAUUAUCUUGAACUUGGUAUUUGUUUUCAAGAUUGUGAGUUCUCUUGAUUUUUUCAAUUUUCGAUCUUCAACAUAAACGAUACUUCUUUAGGUUCCCUAAUUUUGAAUCCAAUCAUAUGUUUUGUAUUUAGGUUGACUGCCUAUUUAGAUUUCACAAGCUUGAUAUUAUAAUACAUAUGAUGGAAUUUCAUCUUAACAUCAACUGAUAACGAGAGGCAUAGUUCAUGUGUGUUGUAAAAGAUGAGGUUCUUGACUUUUUUUAUGGUAGGUUCUCGAUAUGAUUCACAAGAUUUCUAUUAUUGCUCGAUGAUCUAUCUCAACCCCACAUUAGAAUAAAAGAUAAAAAUAAAAAGAAGGAAAAAGCAAAGAUGUUUGUACUAAUCUAUACUGAUUGUUAUUUUCUCCUGAUUGGGAAGGGUGUCCAAAUAUUUAUCUGAUCCAAAUCUCAUCAUGUGCAACAGAUAUCAGAAAUCAUAUCCCGUUUCGAGAGGAAAGGGUUUAAACUCGUAGGCAUUAAAGUUAUUGUCCCAUCAAAGGAAUUUGCUCAGAAGCAUUAUCACGAUCUGAAGGAAAGACCCUUCUUUAAUGGCCUCUGCGAAUUUCUUAGCUCUGGCCCCGUCAUUGCAAUGGUUAGUCGGAAUAAAAAUUAUUGUAUGUUGUUUGCAACUGCUUUUGAGCUUGGUUAGAUUAUACCUUUUUAUAAUUCUACAGGUUUGGGAAGGCGAGGGAGUGAUCAGAUAUGGACGAAAACUUAUUGGAGCAACAGAUCCACAGAAAUCUGAGCCUGGUACCAUUCGAGGAGAUCUAGCUGUUGUAGUUAGCAGGUAAUGUUUAUUACUUCAAUUAAUACGUAGCCUUUUGGUUACAAUUGUUAGACCAAUUAUUCUAAGGAAGACGACACACAACACAACAUGAGAAUCACCUCUAGAUUCUAACACUAAGGCUCAGCCAACUUCCCCAGUUACUUAUAGUUGGUAUAGUUAGUUAACUCAUUUAUUCAUUAUGAAUGUCUCACCCCAAAAUGAUCCUCAAAAGUUCAAAACUCCAAAAUAAAUAAAAGUAUGCAAACUAGAAAUAGUAUUAAAUCAUUUAAAUACGGAGGAACAUUAUACAUAGAUAACAUUAAUUUGCAGGAGGGUGUUAAAAGAUCAUACAUUUUUUACAAAACAUCUAUUAUAAUUUAACAAAUCGGUCUUGUGUUUGAUCUAAAUAACACAGGAACAUCAUCCAUGGAAGCGAUGGGCCAGAGACUGCAAAGGAUGAGAUCAACUUGUGGUUCAAGCCAGAGGAAUUGGUUAGCUACACAAGCAAUGCAGAGAAAUGGGUCUAUGGAGAUAACUGAUGAGUUUUCCUAUCCCUUUUUUCUUUUUUCUUUCUUCUUGUCAUUCUUCCUUUGGGUUUGGGUUUGGGUUUUAAUUUACUCGAGCUUUGGCAACAGUACCCGUGAAGAGAAGAGCGUCGGGUAUUUUCAUAAUUGUGCCGAUAAAAUAAUGCGCUGAGCCCAAGCUAUAUGAAUGGCUCAUUGAUAUAUAUGCUUACCAAAGCAUAACAAUUUUCUUAGAGAGUUUUACCACAAUAAACAAACAGUUGAAUAGUAUAAUAACUUACUUAGUUGCUGAUAUAUAUAUAAAUAUAUUAUCCCAUAAUUUUGAUUCUUCAUUAGAUGACAAAUUUCCCUUUCCAUUUCCUUUUUGGUUCAACUUUUGUUUUAUAUUUAAAAUUUUGAUGUAUUUUCCGCUCUUUCUUUUAUUUUAGUCUCUCUAUAUAGAUGGAAGGAAAAAUGGACAAACCACUCAAACUGACCAAAACUGCUAUUAAUUAAAUUGUUGGGUUUGGGUUUUGACAGCGUUUGAAUUGUAGUAUAUCAAAAUUUAUGGUUUGCAUGGUUUCUUUUUAUUGUUGUUUGAUUACUUAAUUUAAUUUUAAACAAAAAAAUAUAUAUUAUAUUUAAAUGUUGAAAUAUCUUAAAUAUGUUAUCUGAUACUUCAAAAAGUGUUGAAAUGUUAUUUUAUGAAGUGUUGAAAUGUUAUUUUACGCUAUUUAUGUUUUCGAACCUAUGGUUUAGAGAAAUAUGCUAAGUAAAUUCUCUAAUCCUAUAAAAAAAUCUUGCCUAUUUCAAGUUAUCUCCCUACUCCUAGAUUCUAAUUCAUACUAAUGAAUCAUGUAAAGUAAAAAACUUUUCUUUGUACGGCUUGUCACAACAUACUUGUGAAGGGGUCAUAUUCUUGGAAGUUAUGAUCAUAUUUUGUUCAUUCAUACUGACACUAAUUAUUUUGAUAUCAUGAAGCCUUUGUCGUCAUCAUGGCACCAUUGAACAAUUUCUUUUAUUUUUUGUUAAGCGUUUAUUUUGUGACUUGCAAGCUUGUUUUUCUCACUCGUAGUUGGAGUCAUUGUUAAUUGGUGAUGAUUUCUUGCCUUAGUUUUUGUUUGCGUUAGUGUUGAAAAGAAAUAAAAUAAUAAAAAAGAAAGAGAAGUAAGAUGAAAAUAAUCAAAUUACUUACAACUCACAAGUGACAGGUAGUAGUUAAUUUUGACACAACUCAAUUGAUAAAUUACCGGUUACCAAACUCAAUUAAUAAAAUAUCAAUUACUAUUUGUGAUAUUACUAUUUGAUAACCGGUAGAUGAAUCAAAUAAUAAAUUGCAAGAGCAUAUAAAUAUGACAUGAAACCAGUUUCUAAGAACUUUAACCUUCUUACUUUAUAAAAAUUAUCUUUUGCUUCAUAAAAUUUUUCAUUAUAAUAUAUCUCAUUACCAAGUAGGAUACCAAUCAAGCGAUUCAAAUUCCAAUUUCACUCUAAUAAUAAUAAAAGUUGAACAAAAACAUACAUAGACUCUAAGGGUGGGAGUGGAACUUACAAUGAAUUUGUAAUGAGAUUCUUACAAACAUAAUUGUGAACUUUCGUCUUAUUUUGCUUAAGUUUAGAAACUUCGUUCGAUUUUUUUAAAGAUGGGUAAGUUAAUGGGACAAUAUAAGAAAUUUUUGGAGGUGAUAAAUCUAAAGUCUAUUAACUUACCUUUUUCUUUCCUUUUUUUUUUUUAAGAAAACCAAAAUACUCAUCAAACAAAACUCUAAAAACUUUGUGACCACUAAAAUUUAGUGAUUAAAUUACAAAUUAAUUCUGAUGAGUUAACAUAAGUGUAAUCGUCAUCAAGGUUUAAAUCUUAUAUUGAUUCUAAACUUUAUAUGUUAUUUUAUUUUAGUCCCUAAACAUUUAAAAAUAACAUAUUUUGGUCAUGUCUUUUGGUACUUGUGAAAAAAUCAACUUACGACGCCAAAGACUUUAGUUAACUUCAUUCGAACUUAGGGAAUAGUAUUGUUGCUUAUGUUGGUGUUUAAUUCUAUGAUGAGUCAUUGAUUAAGAUCAUUGCAUGCAAAAUGCUUACUAUGUAUCUCUUCAUCAUGUGACUGCUAAGACCUUGCUGUGUACAAGUUUUCUUAUUGCUUGCCUGAGUGUUAGCAGAACAAUAUGUUUUCCAAGAUGAUACAAGUUCGAACAUAGAAAAUUGAUAUCAAAGCUUAGUUAUUGGGUAUUGCUAUUCAAUUGAGCAAUAUAAAAGAAUAAACUAUACAGUGUAAAAGAGUGUAAGUUUAUUGUAUUAUAUCUACUUAUGUACGCUAGAGAAAUUUGUAAUGGUGGAAUAAUGAAGGUGGUUGCAAGAAUGAAAUGCAAGCCUGAAUUAACUUGUAUGGAAGAAGGGGAUGAAUGAAAAUUCAUGCAUUACUAGGUGGCUAAGCUAUGAAAGUCUUGAUUCGAUAUAACUUAUUUAACUAGCUUAUGAUUAAAGUGAACACUUCUCAAUGUCUUUUAAAGGCCUCACUUGCUCACCUCUUAGCAUCCAAAUGACUAAGUCUAGUUAAACAAGAUAUAUAUGGAAGAAUUCACUUACAAGACUUUACUUCUUGUUUAAGGGCAACAUCCUCUUGGUGCCUAAUGUUCACACUUGUUCUCAUUUCAAGAUACAAAUGAUAGAAGUUAUCUCGCCAAAACAUAUUCUUGCUACUUGCCCCUCUCGGGUAGUUACUGAUAUAUAUUGGCCAAGUAAUAAUUAUAGCUCAGCUAACGAGAUAAUAAUUAUAAGUUAGUCUUCUUAUCAAUAAUCUAUCGUAUAUCCUAAAUUACAAAUAACACAAUGACAGAUGGAUAGUAAAGGAAUGAUGAAUUGAAAAGUUAUAAAUAUACAUUGUAUUUAAAGAAUACAGGUAUUCAGUCACUAUACAGUAUGAACAAAUACAAUGUAAAGAAAUAUAAAAAUAGAAAGAACAUAAAUGACAUUACAAGGUAGGAAAGAUGAGGAAUGUGAUCUUUUUCACUCAUACCUCAAGCUUUCACUCAUUGACUGACCGUAGAAGAGAAAGAAAUACUUUACAGGCAGUAGAAAAGUUGUUAUUCCUUUCCACCAACUUUCUAAGGUUUGGCCCGUUACGACACUAUUUUGGCUCAUGCAAGAAUGUUUUGGCUCAUUGUGUGGCGGUCCAUUUAGACAUGGCUCUUUUUUCUUGAUGAAGAUGGAGUCAUUUUUAUAGGCAAAUUUAGGUGGAAAAUCUAAUAUUCUGAACCUGUCAACGUCGAAAGCUGUCUGUUAUCAAGUCAUGCCACUUUUAUUUUCUAGCGAACCUCUUCUUGUCUAUUGAUAGAUUUUUCUCGCGUAGUCUCCUGGCGAGUUUCGCUACAAUUUGUUAACUUCUCAUUUUGUUCAUAACAUGCGUCAAAACACUCAAAACAAGGCAAAACAUGCAUGAAUGCUUAUGUAAAUUGUAUUUUCUAAAUAUUUAUGCAUUUACAAUAUAAGCUACACAUUUUGACACACUUCUUAUGCAUUUUGGUCUCAUUAUUCUAUCUAAAAGGCUAUAAUAACUUGUAUUUCUACAAGUUAUCACCUUUAAGAUUCCAUUAACUCUCCAACGAAAUGAUGAGGUGAAUUGCUUUAUAUAUUUAGAUGAGUAGGAUACCAAAUAAGAUAUUCACUACUGAUAAUCUAGAGUUUUAAUUUUUAAAAGACUAUAUGAUAACUUUUAGUCAUUAUUCUCCACUUUCUCAACUCGCGUGCUUGAUGCAAUUCAUUCACAUAUAAAGUCUUUAGUAACUCAAGUUUGAGAUAUUAUGAAAUUGAUUGAUGUAAUUUGAUUUUUCUCCCUCUCAAUUAUUUAUUUUUCCUUUUUUAGGAUCUUAGAGUUCAUUAGGGAAAUAUUUGUUUACAAUUUUGUAGAGUUUAUUUUAAACAAGUCUUGAACUUAUUUUGUUUUUUUGGUUUAUUUUACCUUGUCAUGGAUGUCAAUCACACUAUGUUAAUUCUUUUUUUUUUUUUUUUUUUUUUACUUAAUGUCAGUUCAUGUUGAAUUGCUUUAAGAUGAUUUCAAUUUGAAAUAAAUAAAUAAAGGGUGAGAGUAAGAACAACAUGUGAGAGAUUUAAAUUCUGUAGAGAAAAAAAUAGUUUUAAAAGUUUGAGAUUAGUUAAUUCAAGUUUGUUAAUUAUAUUUAUACGUUGGUGUAGAAAGAUUUUCUUUUAUGUAUCAAUUUAAUUAACUAGUUUUUCAACAAUAAUAAAGUAAUACAAACUAUUUAUAGUUUAGUGCAAAAAAAAACUAAAAAACUAAAUCACAUUACAAUUGAUUUUAAAAUUGCAAUAAAACUAACGUGAAAUCGUAAAAAUAGUAAAAUAAAUCAAAAUAUUUAUAACCUAUAACAAAAUUUUGGAUUGAUCAAUCAUAUAAACGGAUAUUUCUAUCACUAACUGUCAAUGCCACUUAUAGAAUCUGAAAAUUUUUCUAUAUGCCAUAAAUGUUUGGUUAAAUUUGCUACUUUUGACAAUUUUCUUUUUAUUAAAUCACAAAUUUAAUUUUCAUGUAAUUAAUUUUAAUAAUAUAAAAAAAUAAUAAAAGAAUGUAUUAAAGGAGAAAGUGAAGAAGAAAAAAACUCUGUCAUUUUGAAUGAGUAUAAUUAAUGAACAUAAAUAAUGCAUAAAAGUAGUUUAUGUCAUACUCAUUCCAUCCAAAUUUACAAGUUUGAAGAUGAAAACAAAGACUUCCAAUUGUUGAGGAACCCAACCAAAAUAGAAGAAGAUAACCAAAAUAGAAGAAGAUAUAAAGUUGAAGAAGAAGAUAAGAUUUUAAGCUUAAAUUAAAAUAGUGAAAUUUAAAAUUUAUUUAUAGCAAAAUUUCAAAUAUAUACUUUUUACAACUUUAGAAAGAAAUAUGAAAUGACUAAAACGCCCCCCAAUCCUAUAACCUGUCACAAUGUAAGUGGUUGAAUUGAAAAUGGCGAGCUGUCAUCUUUACCCCCACAACAAAUUCAGGCUGCCCAUCGAUAAGCUAAUAUCUUUCGGUUUUUCCAGCUAUCACGGACUCCAAAUCCCUAUCGAACAUCCUUUAAUAUUAUUUCUACACCAAGUUUCCUCUCAAACGACGUCGUUAUCUUCUUCUAUAUAUUACCCCUCCCUUGCCCUAUUUUUCCACCCAAGUCUACUCUUCCUUCGGCGGCAAGGAAUUUGACUCUCCCGCGUACCUCUUACAACUUUUAAUCUUUCCUUUGGGAUCUCCCAAAUUUCUUUGCCCUAAUUCUUCCCGGUAUUUCUCCGAUCAGUUUUCCACCCGGCGAAUUAUCUCCUCUUCAAGAGGUGUGUUCUUUCUUCUCCGUUUCGGUCCUACGAUGUUUACUUUACGAUGGAAACCCUAGGUGUUUUUUUGUCUCCGAUUUCGUGGUUCUUUUGAAUUGAUAUUGUUUGUUGGUUGUUGGUGGUGGAGUAGAUGUUUCCCCCCCUGAAUUAUGGUUUUUUAUUUGUUAUAUAAUGAGGUUGAGUGCGAGCGGAAGAUUUCUUGGUUCUGUUAGGGUUUUAUUGUUCGGAUGCCUUUAAUUUUUCCGUAAUUUGGUGCGAACUAUAUCGUAGUUUCCUUUCUAUCGGUCUUUCUUUGAUUCAUGAUGAGGCAACGGCAGUAUGUUGUAUCUACUGACAACUUUUAUUCCUCCUACUUAUACAAGGGCAUGUAUGGUUUCUUUUCAGUUUUCUGUGGCUAUCUGCCUAAUGUAUGCAGUAGAGUUCUAUUUCUUGAUUCUUUGAACGAAACCUGGCGAGGAAUUGUUUGAUUUUGUGCACUUUAAAUCAUUUCUCAGCCAUUUUGCCUUGUCUAUUGUUUGCUUGUCUACUUGCGAAUUUCUUUAAAAUCUUACUUUACAAGUUAAACAACAACUCUAUUUUUCUAAUCUUGUGUUAGAUGGCCGCUAAACCACUUACAACUGAGGCAAUUGCCAUAACUGAGAAGAAGAUGGACAUGGCUUUAGGUUGGGCUUCUGAAUUUCUUGCAUCAGUACCUCUGUGUUCUUGUGCCUCUUGUGAAUUAACUGAUUAUUCCGUUUCUACGUUUUUUUUUAAUUAGACGACAUCAUUAAAAUGUCCAAGAAUACGGGAAAUAAAGGCAGGAAACAGAGAAGGUUACCGGUAAGAAUCUGUUUUUUUUUAAUGCUUCUAACCUGAGUAAUUUACAUGUGAAAUUGAAGUUUUCUUUUUAUUCUAAUAAUUUAGUCAUUUAUCUUUUCAUAUGCAGAACAAAAUGCAGAAGUUUCCAAAUAAUGCUACUCAAGAUAGACCUAGGAAGUUGCAGCGAUUCAUGGACUCUAGAUCUUCUCUGAGACAGGUUUGUGCAAUUAUUUAACGUAAUUAUCUUUCAUUUUGCUUGUUUUGUGUGAUUAGUUCUGAUUAUUCAAUUUUUUAGGGGGCUUUGGCCAACAGAAGGUCAAACUUUCAAGGGAAUCAGUUUCCUUUGGCAACGGAGGUUGCAAGAAAGGCUGCAGUUGCUCCUAUUCGUCCUAGAGCUUUUACUCGUAGGGCACCCAAUUGGAAUAAAACAAGGUAUUGACUGUAUUUUUUAACCAACAGGAAGCUCUUAUUUUGAAUUAUGAUAUGUUGUAGUUGAGCAACCGACUAAAACUGUAUGAUAUAUAAAAGAAGACAUUAUGUGAGAGAAACAAUUGAAAUCGUUUCUAGUUGGUUUAAUUUGCUAUUUGAUGCUGUGACAGGUAAACCACGUAUAUACACAAUUGAUGACUUCUACAAUGUCCAUCAAGUUUUACUAUAUGAAGUUAGCAACAUAAUAUGUUGAUUGGAAAAACUGGAUGAUACGUUUUUGCUUCAACCAGUAAUAUUGGAGUGGGACUAUUUCCAAUAAUUUCAUAUCUUCCGUGCUGCUUGGGAUUUGUUUCUGCUUUAUCUUCUUAAGUUGGUUUUGGAAUUCAUCAAGUUAUCUUUUGGUUUUUUUGAUGAGUAAAGGGAUUGGUGGGAGUCUGCUGAAGGUGGGAUGGAGAUAAUUUGGAAAUUGUGAAUGAAUUUGAUUGCUUCAGUCAUCUGGAAAAAUGUGGUCGUAAAAAGGCUUUUGUGUGCAUUAGAUAUUUGUGUACGUUUGAGUUUUUGCUCCCUGUUAAAUGUGUUAACUGUUUUGGAUUUCUGAAGAAUUCAUAGACAACCAUAUCAUUAGAGCAGCUUCGACCAGAUAUCCUUUUGUUGCAAGGAAGUGGAAGCUGCGUUUGAAGAUGUGAUGUUAGUUACGCCAGAUGGUUUAAGAUUGUGGUGUCUCCCUUUUUUGAGUAAUACACAGUAUUCUUGUUUGUCAUGCUCAAACUCAGCUGUUGUUAACUUCCAUUCCUUAUAGAUGACAAUUGACAUUGUCUUCAUUGGCUUGGAUUUGAGCCUGGGGUGAUGUGAGGUUUUGGUCAUUUUUGCACCUAUUUUAGUGCUAGUUUCCUUUAUUCCACUUGGUGUUGUUCCCUUUUCAUUCGCAGUUAUCCUGGGGACAUUACUAAUCCUUCCAACUACCAUGUUGUGAUCAGUCUACAAGCACUUGUGGACUAGCCAUAGGUCUUCAAGUGAGGAAACCAUUGACUACUGAAAGUUUUCCAAUUGUGAAAUAUUGUUCUUUAAACUCCUGUAGUCAGCCUGGCUCGUGGAAGAUGAUUCUUCAUUUUCUAUUGUAAAUUUUUGGGGUGGAAUAUAGAUCUUAAUUGUUGCAAGUAAUCGAGGAACUUGGUUUUUGGUAAUUUGUCGUUGCAUAAUCGUAUGAUAACAAAAGUGCUGAUGAAACUAUGAAUGGUUAGUUAAAGCACGUCGAACAUUGACUUUAUGGCUGCUUCUGUGAGGCAUCAUCUGUGUAGAAUCUUGGGUCUAGUCACCGUGGAAUACACUAGUACUGCAGAAGUUUUUCUGGUUGAAGCCUUCUUUUUCUGGUUCAAGUUCAUUGAUUUGAGGUUUUCUGUUCAUUGUGGUCGAUUCUUCCUGGAGUAGAUUUUCGUUAUUUGAUAAAUACUAGAUUGGAGCUUUUCAUUGUCCAUUAAAAGCAAGCAAAGCAUGUGGGGUGAUUGAUUUGAGGUUUGGAUCAUACUAUAUUACUGGAAAGUGCUUUUCUGGAUCCUAUCAAGCGUAACACAUUUUGAGCUGAUUCACAUUUUUUGAUGACUGCAUUCACCUGAUCUGGUUUGUGUUUUAUUUCUGUUAAUGGGUAACCGUUUGAAUUUGAUCAAUUAUGGAGGUAAGAUUCUCUGAUCUAUCUACAGUUAGCCACUCGAGAACAUGUUGAAGAAAAUCACUAGUGUCUGAAAUUCUAAUUUGGAUACUACACUACAUGUUUUACCUAGUUUCUUUCUUUUGUUCAUCAAUGAUUUCAACAAUUUUUGGUACAGGGUUGAGGCUCAUCCACCGGUUCCGAGGAAGCCUUUCACCAAUGGAAACUUUGUUCCCAAGGUAUUUCGUUUGUUUCUUACUAAGGUGUUCAGAGACUCAGAAGUGUAGAGGUUCUUUAAUGGAUAGUUGCAAAUGUUUUAUCUUGUUCAUUUAUUCCUUCCACCCACCUUCCUUCUGCAGGUAUCUGCACCGGCCCAGCCACAAACAAAUACCACGCCAAGACAGAGGCCACAGACUCUGGACUCACUGUUUGCCAACAUGAAGGAACAGAGGCUAAGAGUGUUGUCCCAGCGACAAAAUGGGGGUGGGGCACAACAACGGAAUGGUGGUCGCCAGCAACAAAGACCUCCUUGGGGGAAGAGGCCGUUUUGGUAACUGAUGAUUACACAACUCAAACCUGGUGGUGCUAUGAAUAAGCAUAUUCGUGUGGGGAAUGUAGAUGAUGCUUGCUUGUCCAUGGCACCCGAUAGCUGAUAGGGGAUCAAAAGGAUGUGAUUGUUUCUCGUCUUUGUUUUUUUUUUCCUUAAAAAAUUCGAACUUUGCUGGCUUGCUAUUUUUAGCGUUUUCUAGCUUCGCUUUGAACCGAUUAUUAUAGAAAUUUGUUGCAAUGUAUGUAAAGUGUUUUUUCUUUUGUUCUUGUGGCCUAUUUCCUCUGGCUUGUUCUGUUUAAAUCAAUCUCAUUAGACCUCCGCUCCCUUCAUCUUAUUUCUAACACUACCCUGUAUUGUUGCGAAGAUUGUUAUUAAUUAAAUUAGUCAGCUGCUGAAGGCCAAACAGAUUUAAUGUCAACUUAACUAGAUUUAAUUACUCUAUUACUCUUAAUCAAUUUAAAAUGAUUAAUCCCAGUCAACAGAUACCAGAAAACCCAAAGAUCCGUAGACGAUUAAAUUAAAAAUCAAGAGACAAAAUGAGUUUCCCCCCCCUAAAAACUAAUAAUCUUUCGCUAAUUCAAACGAUGCUUUUGUUUUGAAUUUAUAACAAGCAGCACCAUUGUGAUUACUGCAAUUUGUCAAAAUAGUAAUUUUGAACAUGGUAGUAAGAAAACACGUAUUAUUAUUAUCUUUUAUUUCUUUUCAUUAAGUUUUAUUGUUCAUUGAUGGAACACUAUUUUCCAUAUUGGAUAAUUUAUUGAAAUGAUUUUUAAAAUAAUUGAACAACUUACGUAAAUAUAACAAUUAAAUUUAAAAUGUUAUUAUAUGUAGUAAAUAUUAUAAAUAUAGCAAAAUCUAUUACUUUACUAUAUUUGUACCUCUUUCAAAAUACUGCUAUAAUUAUUAUUCUAAAAUCAUUAUCCAUUGUAAUUAUCCAAUAAAUAAACUUCUCGGCUCUAGGCUAUCCAGUAAACUUUACAACAAAUAAAGCUAUGUCUUAUUUAUUUUCAAAUUUCAUCCUAAAAGUUUAGGUUUUGAUAAAUAAAUAAAUAAAUAUAUACAUUGUAUUACAAGACAAAUUACUUUUCAACUAGUUUAUUAAAAGAAUAGAAAUGUAAUAUUUAUUUAGAAAACAAAUUAAUAAAGAAUGGAAUCUUAAUAGAUGAACCUCUAGUCAAGCAAUGGGGGUGUAGCUCAUAUGGUAGAGCGCUCGCUUCGCAUGCGAGAGGCACGGGGUUCGAUUCCCCGCACCUCCAAUUCAUCAUUUGUAUUUUUAUUCAAUUACCAAAUUUGAACGGCUAAGAUCAAAUUUCCGUUUUACCUUCGUGCACGCAUCCGCACACAACCACUCCCGCCUUCGUCUCCUCCUAACGGCCUCUCAUUCUUUAUCCGCCAAAAUCCUUCACUCUAGUGAGAGAAACGAAAGCAUUCGACAAAUUCUAUGCCAUUUCUCUACACAGAUUCUCCUUCGUUUCACUCCAAAUCCCCAUUCACACAAUGAUUCUGAACUUCACUUCACCAUGCCUCACUCUCACUCGUCUCCCUCCUCCUAAACUCCUCGAACCACUCGCCUCUUCAACCAAUGGCGCUACCGUUUUCAUGCCUCUCCUUCUUUGUUCUCACGCUUUCUUUGCUUUCACCUCCUUCUCUAAGUCGUUGCGAGUUAGAACUUCUUUAAGUGGCAGCGACAUCGACGGCUCUGCGGCUUUUGAGAAUCCUGCUUCGGAGUUACUCGACGACGAGCUGAUUGUAGUUGUUUCGGGUGCUAAGGAUGCUGAUGAAGCGCUAGGGAUGAUCGGUGAUAAGUCAGGGAGAAGUGGAGGUACUGUGUCUGUUUCCGACUGUCGUUUGAUUAUUUCGGCUGCACUUAAGCGUAACAAUCCCGAGCUUGCUUUGUCUGUGUUCUACGCAAUGCGUUCCACUUUCUAUCAAGGUGUGCGUUUUUAUGUUUGAUUAUUUGAAGUUCUAUCUAUUUAAUAAUUUAGACUGAUGGUGGAAAAUAUGGAACUCGGUAUCUGAAUUGUUGGAAUUGUUUUCUUUUAGUUUGCGAGUUGUUAAGAAAGACGGUGGUCUUUAGCCAAUACGAUACGUCGUUGAUUUGGUUUCUUUAGCUAUGAAGAAAUAAUGAAUUUUCAAUGGGAAACCGUAAGAUAUCUACUAAUUUGCUUAAUCCAUUGUCAUUGUAAAUGGUUACAGCAUGGGAAGGUGUUAAUGAAAAUGCUUCCAUCGUUGAGAGAUGGAAAUGGUCAAGGCCAGAUGUUCAUGUAUAUACAUUGCUGAUUGAAGGUCUUGCAGCAUCCUUGAGGGUAUCUGAUGCACUUAGAAUGAUCGAAAUUAUUUGCCGUGUUGGUGUAACACCUGCUGAGGAGGUGAUAAACCAUUUUUGUUCAAAUGUGUAUGAGCAUAUUCGUGUGCGGACAUUUACACAGUUGUGAUGAACAUCAAACAAUGUACGACAGACUUCCUGAAUAGCUGUUCUAUGUUUGAAGGUACCAUUUGGAAAAGUGGUGAAGUGUCCCAGUUGUAUGGUAGCAGUUGCAGUUGCACAACCGCAGCAUGGUAUUCAGGUAUAGAAGUACGUGGCUACUUUUGUGGGUCGGAUUCUAUCGGGCAGUGUAUCUAGGAUGAAUGAUUGAUGAACAUUUCUUCAAGUUCCCUGGGAAAACUAGGUUUAGACGUUAGAUGUUCAGAUAGAGUAUGACUAUGCUGCAUUAGCUGUUUCUACGACCAUACUUACUAUACUAAAUAAUAUUAUGGUUGAAUAUCUAUUUAUUGCUGAUUGUGAAGUAUUAUCAUUGAACACAUGUUUGUGCAAUAUUUAUUGUGGUAUAGGGUCUUUAUGACAUGACACUACAGAGUUAUCAUAAGAUAAAAUGUUUCCUAUGUUUGUUUAUGAUUUUGGCAAUUGUUUGCCUUGUUUUGGUACAACAAUUGCUGAGUGGGAAAUUGAACCUCUGUUCUUGAGGGAUGGAUGUUGUGCCAAUACAACUUUGGCAAUUGGUUGCCUCUUUAUUUCAAAUUUCUAUUAAUUUGUUCUUACUUCAUAUUUCUCCCAUCCUUUCAUGCCACUGUGUUUCCCUGACUUCUGAUAUUGUGCGCCUAAUCAAGCAUUUGUUCAAAGCUCCUGGUUUAUUUUUGAACAAAAGCUGAUGCUUUAUCUCUGAGAUAUAUGAUUUGGAGACUCGAACGUUUUAUAUUCGAGAAAUACAAAUAUUUUAUCUGCCAAUUUAUUUUUUUCUUUUACAAACUACAAGUUGACACCUGUUCCCGAGCAAGCUUUUACCCUUUACAAUCUUUUCUUCUUUCAGAUUGUAUCCUGUGCAAAGUGCUGCUACAAGUAUGAACUUAUUUCAGGAAACAUAGUUAAUAUCGAGUCAGAAGAAAUUCGGUAGGUUCACCUGGAUGUUGCUUACUUGAUUUAUUUAGUUGGCUGGUACUUCAAUCUCUCGUCUUAUGUGUUUUUGAUAAUCUAUGGUUCAAGUUCUGUUGUCUUUUAAGUGCAUGAUCGCUUUGCAUUUGUGAGCUCAAUACAUUCUCCCAUUAGUACUAUACGUUCAUUGCCCACUACCCUGAACACUAUGAACCUGUAGUUCAUGCUAAUAUUAAAUCAUUGCAAUCUUAUUUCGUAACUAUAUAUUAAUUAUAAGACAUAUUUGCAUUAGAUGUUGAUCCUCGAAUAUUCACUUUUUCUAAGGAUCUCCUCCUGCCGAACGCAGCAUGGAUACUCCUGCAUGGGAAAAAGCACUUCGGUUCUUGAACAUAAUGAAGCGAAAAAUUCCUGUUGCUGUGCACUCCAUUGUGGUAUGUAUAAUGUAACCUCAGUUUGGCUUUGAACUAUUUGGUUCUUUCAAUUGUUUUAAUCAUCCAAUACCAAACAUCUGCUCAUUUGAUCUAUAUCUGUUUGCUCAUCCGCGGGACGAGUGAUGCAUCAAUUUUUAAGUUUCUAAUGUUAUUGCAAAUUUGCAAUGAUUUCAUAUCUUCCCCAUUUCUCCGUUACCUUUUUGUGAUCUGUUGAGUACUUAUUCAUCCCAUGUAUGUUUCAUGACUAAAUAAUUGUGUGGCCUUAAAUUAUUCAAACGUGCAAAGUUCUGUACUUACCAUGGAAACAUCAUUUUGUUCUCUUUUACAAUUAUCAUAUCUAGCUGGUUAAAUAUCUAAUCUUUCAUCUGGCUCAUGAAAAUUUGGCACAACCUUGUAUUUAUUUGAAUUUAACGAUACUUGCCUACACUUUUCUUACUGAUUUUCUUUAUGGCUUAUUUGUGAGUUUAGUGUAAUCUCAUAUAAUGCAUAAGUAGGUCUCCCGUCUCUUUAAUAUCUUUGAACUACUAACAAUAAACCACAUACCGUAGGAAUUUUUACUAAACGUACAUGUAGGAAAAUAUGCUCUCAUCUCAUGAAUGAGUGUUACUCUCGUCAAUCUCCUAUUUAGUUUGCCAGCUUCCUGGUUCUCAUAAAAGUUUCAAAGUCAUUGACUAUCCUAUGUUUUUUAGACAAUCAACAUGCACAGUUAUGUUCCAUUACAUGUUUUUUAGACAAUCAACAUGCACAGUUAUGUUCCAUUACAUGUUUUACUAUUCUCUCUGUUCUUGUGCUUCUGUUACUAAUUUUUUCCUUCGUCAUUCUUCUUAGGUACAAACUCCUUCUGGAGUGGCACGAACCCAGAAGUUUGCUACUGAAACAGCAGAUCUCCCGGCUCGAGAGGGAGAAAGGGUGACAAUUGCUGCUGCAGCUCCAUCAAAUGUAUUCAGAGAAGUUGGUCCUAUUAAAUUUAGUCCAAAGGAUCCCAAUUUGUACUCUGGAGAGGCUAUGUGCCUGACAAAUCAUUCAGAUGGCCGGGAGUCACUAUUAUUAAGAGUGCCAGGAAAGGAAAACUCAUCCUUACUUAACCCAUCGAUCCUCUUUCCACUCAUAGUUUUGUCUGCCGCUGGAGAUGCUGCCUCUGGAGUAAUUGACCCCAGCUUGCCUCAGUUGCUUAUAGUUGCUGGAUUUGCUUCUCUAGCUGCAGGAGCUACCUUGAAUUCAUUAAUUUUGCCUCAAUUCAAUCGGGUACAGAUUUCUUAGUCACUCUUUCCUGUAUAACUAUAAGUCUAGACCUAUAUUUAAACCCUACUUUAUUUUAUCAAUUUAUUUUUUAAUAUUUUCAAACUGACAUUAUUUUUUGCAUGAGAAUGUUGUCAUUGAUUACAUGUCUUUAUACAUGUGUAUUUUUAAAUUUUGGCUUGUGGUAUCAGUUGGUGCAUUCAAUUAUAAUUUGACUGUUGUCAACUGUUGAAAAUCAUUUGAGAUGAGUUUUAAAAUAUUUAUUCCUGCAACCCACAUUUAGCAAUGCUAAUGUUCUGAUAUUAUUAACUUUUCUCCUUGAAUGCUUGAGUAGAACUAAUUCAUAUGUUUCUUUGUUUGUAUCAGCUUCCUCAACGAUCAGUUGAUAUCAUUGCUAUCAAGCAGCAACUUUUAUCUCAAUAUAAUGUGCUUCAGUCUCGUAUCGGGGAUUUAAAACUAGCUGCUGAAAAGGAGGUAUGCAUUCACAUAGUCUUGACUAUUGGUCAUUGCAUCAUGAAGUAAAUUUAAUUUUUAGUUCACAUUCUUAACAUCAAGAACAUAUUACAUGGUUUCUAACUAAGUUGAAUGCAUGAGGUUUAACAAUUCAUCACACUCUUAAAAUUCUUAUAUUCCUGAAGAAAAACACUGAAGUAGUUACCAUUAUUUUUCUCUAAUCUUCAACCGGGUUUUUUUUUUCAUAUACUCUCUCAUGAGUUGUACUAAGAUAAGUUGUCAUCAAAUAACGUUGUAGAUCUGGUUGGUGAACUUUAAUUUGUUUCACUCUUUAGGUAUGGAUGUUGGCUCGGAUGUGCCAAUUGGAGAACAAAAUUUUUGCCGUAGGAGAACCUUCUUACCGGUGAAUCCUACUAAACACUAUGAAUGAUCCUUUCUUAAUUCAGUGAACUAUUGCCAAUGUUCAUUUUCAAUUGACUUAUUAAGGUUGUAAAAGUAUUUGGAUGUUUCGCUUUUUCUUCUUUCUCGAUGUCUUCCAAACUCAGUCUUUUUUUUUUUUUAUUGUCUCCAGCGCACGUAGAAGUAGGAUAAAAAAGGUGCGAGAAGGCUUGGAAAAUUCCCUUAAGCAACGGAUUGAACUAAUCGAAAGCUAUGCAAGGGUAUGCCAUAGCCUAAGUUAUACCAUUGUCCUAAGAAUUUACUUUCGGAAAGGUAUGGUUACUUAGUGGUAUCUUUUUUGACAGAUUUCCUCGAUGAUUGAGAUCGAAGUUGAAAUGGAGUCUGAUGUUAUUGCAGCUGAAGCAGCUAGCAGUGUGGUGCGUGCAAUUGCUGCCUUAUCAUAAGUUUUAGAAUGUAGAGUUAUUAACCUAUUUGGCCCAUUUUACAGGAAAGAGUGUCUGAACAGAUAGAGCAAAUCAUGGUGCUGGAAAAUCUAGAAGAGGCAUGUCUUUAUCACUGUGAACUAAUUUUUUGUUUGCAUGCCUUACUAUGUUGUGAUGUUGAUGUCUAAUUUUUUGUUCACGUUAAUUGUUGGAUAUCGUGUCUUUCUCUUACCUCAUCCAUACUACCAUCGGUCUCUGAGUAUUUUACUCGUCAACAUUUUGAGAAACUUGCUCUGGUUUACUAUGGUUUAUUCACUAUUACUGCCAGGGCUGUCCCGGUGGCAUACCUAUUGGACUUAUUUUUAGUCAUUUCCAUCCAUAUGGUACUACACGAAGCACUGGACUUACCUUUUUGAUCUCCCAUUCCUCAUGAACUACUGUUUCAUGAAGCAGUGUGAGAAUACUUUGAUAAACUGCUAAAAUAGUUUCUUGUUUUCACCUUGAGAAUUGGUGGAACUUUUGGUGGAGGAAUUGAAAGUUACAUUUUGCAAGUUACACGAGGAGAUGUGGAAACAUUGACAGCUUCUGAGGCGGUUUGAGGGAGGAGGUAUUUCGGUUUUUGGCUGCAUGAAAUGUGGAAAUGUAUCAGAGGGAGGGUGGCACCGAGAAUGUUGGAAAAAUUAUUUAUGUAGGGAGUUAGGAGAGAGUGAAAAUGUUAUAUUGAGAAGCUUUUGUUCAGGAGGGGUUUGAGUUCUCGAAUUAUUUUAUUUAGCUACUUUCUGUUGAGCUUUUUCUGAUUUCAUUCAACAUUUACAUGAUAGAAAUCCAUUCUAAUUCCAUCAAGUCAGUCAAGCUACCAUGGGCCUAGCCUUAAGACCAUAUAGUGGUGCCCUCUGCCACCACCACACUUAGAGCCAGCCUUACAAACAGCCGGGGUUAUAUUUCCCUUCAUCAUAUUCAAGUCCUUGACUAGCAACAAUAAGCUUUUCCAACUCAAUUAAGCUGGAAUAUCAGAAAAUUUUCCGUGAGAGUGCACCGAAGGGUCUUCAAGCUAAGGUCUCAAUCACCUAAUAUACAUUUGAAUGAAACUAUAACCACUACCCAUAUGUUGCCUUCCAGACGAAUUUAGCACAUCAUAAUUAAUAUCAAAGAUUGAGCCUACUAUCAGCUGAUACUGUGUGUGGGUGUGACACAAAGCUAUUUAGAAGUAAGAUUGCAUUGAUUUUCAAUUACAUGAAAAAUAUGACUUCUGUGUUAUCAAAGUAGAGAUGUCUGCUGAGUUUUUAGUUGUUCACAGAGUUAGUUCGGCUACUGUUUUUAAUAUAUGAUUCGCAUUGGUAUUUUUACUGAACAAUAAAAUCAUCAUUCAACACCCUUAAAUUCAGAACGAAACACAUGGCUUUGGUUUCUGUUGUCUUUUAGUUCCUCAUAUUUUCAUCUGGACUAUAAUGGUUUCCUGAUCUUUGGAGCCAAUCAGCAGACACUAUUUCCAUCUUUGGCUAAUUAGUUAUCUUUUUCUUCUAACCUUUUGUGUCAAUACCAAUGCAGAGAUGGAAAUUACAAGCAGAAGCCAACGAUGAAGCGGAAAGACUUCUCAACCAAUCAAUGCCAACAGAAAAGGUUUAGACAAGUGUGUUCUCUCGUGUUCUCAAUCCAGGUAACUGUUAGGCCCCCGAUUCUUCAUGCAUCCAUAUCUCGAUUUCCACAUCACCUUGUACCCGCACUACCUACCCAGAAUUACUAUUUGUCAAACAAAUCUUGGAGCAUCAAUAACAAAACCAAAUACUUCACAAAUAUUCUUACUUCUCAAUGAAAAUGCCAAUCAAUGUCUACUUGGUCCAUGUACAUGAAGUUUUGAAGCAGCAUCAGGUCAGUGCUUUGUGAUCAGAUAUCUUAUUACUGAAUAUCUCAUUUGUUAAAUUGUAUUAUUGUUAUGAAAAAGUAAAUUGAAAUCUAAGUUUCAUUUGGAACUUUUCCCUCCCGAGUACUGAAAUUUGAUUUAUCACGUAUAUAUAACACGUUAAUGAUUCUAUGAAUUAUCCAUCUUUUACAUUUCAGUAAUGUUCUUAGUUGGGUCUGAUAGUUUCUUCUUAUUGUCCACUGGCUAGAGAACUUUGAAUCUAAAUCUACAUAAUUUUAGUUUUGGAUUCUUAUAAACAAAAUGACUUUUACCAAUGGAGAUGUUAGUUCUUACUUAUUUACGAAGGAUUUUUCUCAGGAACACUGAGAAAAGGAGAAGAAUGAGAAAAAGAUUCACGAUUCUCCUGUUGAAAAGAAAGAUCCAUGAUUCUCCCCUUUUUAUCACUAACUAGAGAAUGGAAUUUGGUACACUUCUUGCUUUAUUCACAUUCACCUUGUGAGGUAGAAGGGCCAGUGGAUUUUUAAGGUUCAGCUUUAAAUGGAAUAUUCUAUAACAUACCUUGAGAUUGAGGUUGGAACUCUACCUUUUCUUUUUUUUCUACUCUGUUUAACCAUUUUUGUAAGAGAUUUAUAAAUUAAAUCAUUUCCAAAAAUUUACUUUCUAAUACGUAAACCUCGACUUCUAUAAACCUUGAGAUUAGCUUCUCAUUCUAUUCCUUUAAACAGAUAGUUCAACAUGAAUUAAUAUGUUGGAUACAUCUAGGGAUAGUUGAUAAGAAUGUACAAGAUUUAAUAUAAGAUACUAUUAAUGGUGAUAACUAACAGAAUCUUUUUCGUUAGUUGCAAGGACUUAUUCCAUUAUGUGUUCAGUUCACGUCUUUUUCUUCUCCUUCAGUGUUAUCUUUAUUCUUACUUAAGUUUUCUCUUUGAACUUGUUUUGAUUAUUCCUAUGAAUCUCUUAAUUGAGAAUUGAAGUGUCUGAAGUGUCAAUGUGUUGGUUAUUGAUAAUAGUUGACUAUUGAUAACUAUCAUGGAUUGACCUAUGAGUAAAAAAGAGAUAGUCUUAGUAGCCAACUAAGAGGUCAUAUGGGUUCAACUCAUUGUUGAUCACCUACUAGAAAUUAAUUUUUUAUGAGUUUUCUUAACUCUCAAAUGUUGUAUGAUCAUGCGGUUUGUUUCGUGAGAUUGCUCAGUUUCACGUUAUUUAACAUUUUAUUUUGUCAAACUUCGGACCACUAGGUUUUGUUCUUUGAAAUUGAACCAUCUUUCAUUUUCGUAGCCUCACGUGGUCCUUGGUCAUGUCAAAAAUACUAACCACCUUUAUUUUUUUUACUUUCUUCUUUUACUUCAUUGCCAUUCUAAAUAAAUGUUAUUUAACUAUGUGUUAAAUUAUGAAUGAUGGUAAGUAAUGAGUAGUCUGAUAGUAUUACAAAUUUGUUUGAUUUGAAUUUUAAUCCAUAACUCUAGGAGAUUUGAGCCAAAUUUUGGAGUUGUGUUCUAGUACAAUGAUUGUGUGGAUGGUUAAUUGAAGUUUUAGGAGUCAGAUUUUUGUUUUAAGAAACAUAAUCCGAAAAUCUAUGCCUUGUAUCAAUUUGAUCUAUGAAUUUUCAAACGUGCAUCAAUUUAUACCUUUUAUAAUUGUUUUGUUAGGAUUAUGAGAGUUAUAGUUUUAUAAAUUAAAUUCUUAACUUUCAUGAGUGAAUAAAUUUAAACUCUUAGAUUUGUGUGCAUCAAUUCUUAUAAUUCAUUUUGUUGAGUCACAUUUGAUGAAAUUUACACAGAAGAAUUGAUGUGUUGAUAAUUUUAUAGGUAAGUUUUGUUUACGAACAUUUAGGAGUUUGGCUGAAGUAAUUAUAAGUUUUACACAAAAAAACUUGAAAGGGGUAAAUUGUUACACAUUAUACCAUUUGAGUAUUUCAAUUGAUGUACCUCUCAAAUAUCAAAGUUCAAAGUGUUAUUUUUUCUCAUUUUUAUUUUAAUCUCUUAUACUUUACUUCCCAUCUACCAAAAUUGUAUUAAAUAAAAUAUUUGACAAAAUAUUUAUAUUUCUUAGUUAAGCUUUUUUGUUUUAUCUUAAUUAGUUUUUAAAUUUUUUCUGUUUUUUAAAAAAUAGUCAUUUUUCUUAAUUUUGGUUUUUUAAAAAAGUCUCUUACUAAACUCAUGAUUAGUUAGAUUUUUUUUAUAAAAAGAUAAAAAAAAAAUGAAUAAAAGAAUAAAAGAAGUGGAUAGUUGCAAAUUUAGUCAUUAGAUGCAAAAUAAUUAAGUAUAUAGCAAUAUUUAAAAAAAAUUGUAAAUAUAGCAAAAUUUAUCAAAUUCUUUCACCCAUAGAUUAUGUUGUAGAUCCUGUUGUAAAUAUUGGUCUCUGAUUGGUAUAUCAUACAAAUCUAUCAGUGAUAGUUAUGCUAUAUUUGUAAUUUCUUUUAAAUGUUGUUAUAUCCUUAAUUAUUAUUCCUAAAACGGUCAGAAACGAGUAGAUUUUAGGGUUUUUUUUUAAAAAAAAUAGUAAAAAUUGACAAACUAUUUACCCUUAUUUUGUUCAAAUGUUCUAUUUUUUUUUAUAAUUUGUCUAGAUUUUUAUAUUAUUUUGUUUAUUCUUUUUACUGAAUUUCAUCCAUUAGCGUCCCUGUUGAAAUUGAAUCUUUGAAGCUUCUUAAAUGAAUCAAAUUCCAACCACUUUUGGAUCAAAGGUGCUUUAUAUAUAUAUACAAUUACAAAUUUAUAUAGACUCGAAAUUUCAAUUUAUUUUAUUCUUGAAAAUUAAAAAAAAAAACAUAUACUUAAUUAAAAUAAUAAUAGCAACGUUGAUGGAUGUGUUAUUGUUUUGCCUUUGAAUAUUCAUGAUCUACCGAAUAUCCAAUCUUAGGGAGCAUGCCAUCUAACUUUUAUUAAAUUCCAUUCUACCAUACACACAUGACUCUACCAUAACACAUCAUCCUAACAAAUUGACCAAGUAAUUUUUAAAAAGCUAAAUUUUACUAUUUACAAAAACAGCUAUAUUUUGUAAAUAAUUUUAAUAUAUUUUGUAAAUAAUUUUAAUAUUUUAUUAUUUUUAAAAAUGUCUCUUUUAAAAUUUUAUUUCAAUUUUUUUAUAUAUAUUUAAAAAAAUCAAAUGAUUUCGUAGAAAGAGCUUAGAAUUUCAAUUCUUGGGUGUACAAUUAUAUCACUUUAUAAAAUGGAAAAGAAUGCAUUUACCUUUUUAACUUUUACGCAUCUAAUUCUUUUGAUUGAAAUGCUUUUGACUUCCCUACCAGCUGUUAGAAGACUUGGUAUUACCAUUUCUUUUUGUUUUAUUUUUCUAAUUCUUAACAAAAUAAAAAAUAUAUACCUUUUUUCUAAAAAAAUUUAUAUUUUUUUGAUUUUUAUCCAAACAAAAUAUAUAUUUACAAGUUAACUAAACAAUAUUAUAAACAUUAUUAAUAUUGUCCAUGCAUUUAAGCUUAGUGUCCACCAGGUGCGCCGCUCCCUUAAUCAACAUCAUUGACAGAUGUCUUCAAAAUACUCAUUCUUAGUGGUCAUGAACGACUUAUAAAUAGAAGCAUUUGGUGGAUUUGUAAAAUAUAUGUACAUUCGAGAAAAAUCCAUGAAAUUUGGAGAAAGUAAAGACAUUUAAGAAUUUUUUUUAAUUUCUUAAUUUCUUAUACAUAUUAAAACUUAUUAUUUCAAUAUUAUAUUUUCUCGAUUUCAUAUUUUGACUGUGACUCGUUAUGAAACAUUGUUACUUGAUCUAAUUAAAUUUGUUUGAACCUUGUAUGCACAAAACUAGUUUGUUUAGUAAUUUGAUAUUAACGAUAUAAAUACUCAUAUAUAUAUAUAAAGAAAUUUGCUAAUGGAUAAGUCAAGUUGUAAUUUGAAUAUCCAUCCACUAAAAACCGUGCAAGAAGAAGAAAAGAACAAAUUUUAUAUGUCGUUUUGGCUACAAUUUUCUAAGUUUAUCAUUGGUAUAUUCACAAAUGAAAUUUUAUCGAUGGAUAAUUGUAAUGAUCUUUAAUAGCAAACAAAAUUGGAUUGUUUUCAAUCGUGUUUACUUAAAAACUAUGACUUUGAUUAGACUUAUAGUUACGAUUAUCGUUACUUUUUUUUUUUUUAUCUCUAUCUCUGACUUUGAGGGUUAAAUGAUAACGGUAAAGGUAAUAGUAAUGAUAAUAAUAAAGAUGUCAAAAUUUGUUAUUUUUAAAUGUAACGGUAACAACAAUAAUAGUGAAUUGGACACUUGUGAUUCAUCUAUUAGAUUGUGUUAUUUCAUUACACAUUUGAACGUAUGUCAAAUGUAUAGUACAAAUGCAAAAAAUAAGUAACACCAAAAGUAACUAAAUGAAACCAUCUUUUAUCCUCGAUAAGCGUGAGCUUAAUUUAAAAAAAAAAAGGAACUAAGUAAAGUUUGGUUUGUGAAAUUAUGUAAAGUUUGGUGAGAUUAGGUCAAUGUUCAGUGCAUCUUAUGUAAGAAAGUUCAAAAUUCCAAAAAGUGCUUGGAAGCAUUAAUCAAUAUAAGUUGUUUGUUUGUACCAAACAAUAAAGAGAUGAUAUGUUGUCUUAAUAGUGUAUAGGCAUUUGGAUUGCUUUCUCAUUCUUAUUAUUAUCAUCAUUUCUCUCUUUUCUUAAUCAAUGACAUAAAAUAGAAAAAUAGUAAUUGAAAAGUGAGAUAACAACCAUCAACACUUUUAACCAUAGGGGUAGUAAUUAAGUAUUAUAUUAUGCAGAAACUCAAGAUAUUUACUAUGGAAAAAGUGAAAGAGACAAUUAUAUAUUUGUUUAGUGGAUAAAACAAUAAUGUUCAUUUUAAGUACCAUUCAUACAAUUGAUACCUACCAUACAUAUAUGUAUGAUGCUUAUAACCUAAUUUAAAUUGUAUAUAAAAAAAAGAAGAUACAUACGACAUAUUUCAACUAGUAUAUGUCGACAUCAGUAGUACAACUUAAUUGUCAAAGAUUCAUAAACAACUCAACGCUACUAACAAGUGUGACACAUUUAACAAAUAAGUCUAUAUAUCUUGUUUCUUUCGCUUGCAUUCUUCUAUUUUGAUAACUAAAGAAACAUGAAGUAAAAAGAACACUUAACUUUGUGAUAAUCCAUCACCAAACUUCUCGAGAGCUUUUUAAGUUUUUAAGGACAAUAUUGCAAGCUAUAUCUAUAUAAAUAUGUUUAUUUGGAUGACACUCUCCUAGAUUAAUACUCUUUUACAAUUGUUAUUUACUGAAUCCAUUGGCUCUGUGAAUUAGAUAAUUGAAAACAUCCAAUUAUUAAAUCUCUUAUCUUCAUAUUACUCGAAUCGGUCUUGAACAAAUUAUAUAGUUUUCAUUAAAUAUAUAUUUUGAAGGUAUUUAUACUUUGAAAGAGAAUGAUGAACUUGAAAACAAAAUUAGAGAAAGUAAUGUUGAAGGAUUUUAGGAUUACAAUUAGUGUUUAAAGAUUGAAUUUGAAUAAUGUUGUUGAUUAAGUAAUUAAAGAUGUCAUCUUAAAAAAUGUUAGAAACAACAAAAAUCUCAACGAACUUGGAACAAUAUUUUUAAAAACAAUUCAAUUCUUUAAAAGAAACUAAAUAAAAUUAAGGGUAAAAAUGUAACAAACUCUACGUAUAAAAUACUAACUUACCAAAACGGAAACGUUCUGAGAAGAGCAGCUAAAUACGAUAGUUUUUCUUUUGUUUUUUCUAUUUUAUUUCAAGUGUGGUGACCCAAAAGUAAAUGCCAAUACUACCCUUUACCUUCUUAUUUUUCCCUCUUCCCUUAAUAACAAAAGAGAACCUUUUAGAAAGAAAAGAAAAGGCAGAAAAAAACAUAAAAGAAGAAGAAAUCUUCCUUUUCUACUUAUAUUCUGAUUCAGUUAAGUUAAAAGCUUUAAUUUUGUAUAAAUUUGUUCUUCAUUUCCGAACCUUUCUUCUUCAGCCAUUUCAAUACUCUCUUCUUCUUCUUCAUUCUCUUCGCUUGUAUGCUUAUGGCGAAAUCUAUUCUUGUCACCGGCGGUGCUGGCUACAUUGGAAGCCACACUGUUCUUCAGCUCCUUCUCGGCGGUUACCGGGCCGUCAUCGUUGAUAAUUUGGACAAUUCCUCUGAAAUUGCUGUUCGUCGAGUCAAGGAGCUCGCCGGCGAUCUCGGCAAAAACCUUUCCUUUCAUAAGGUUUCUUUUUCGCUUCUUAUUUUCUUAAUUUUUUCUUCAUCUUUACUCAUCAAACGUAUCUUCCAUCUUCAUCUUCUCGUUACUCUUUCGUGUUUAGUUUCCCUUUUGGAGCUUCUAAUUGAUUUUGGAUUCUAUUCUCUGGUUUUGAAUUUCUGUUUUGCUCUCAUCUUCUUGCUACACUGUUUAAUUAAACAAUAUGAUUGUUUCGCAGACGUUAUCUGUUCAUAGUUUUUUCUUUAAAACUUCUUUUGAGGAUUUCUGAUUUUAUUUCAUCUUUGUUGCUUUAACUUUUUUUCCCUCCCAGCUAUGAAGUAUUUGUAAUGUUUGAAGCGAAUUAAUCAUCUUCUCUGUUACUGAAAUGUUUGUUUGAUCAUUUCUGAAUUCUAUCUAAGUUUGUUUUUUUGUCAUAUUUUUGGACUGUAUAGUGCUGUAAAACAUUUCAUAAUGAUGUACUUGCAUGUGUUUCUGAAUUGGUUUAAUAACAACUGUAAUUUCCUUUUUACUAUAGCUGGACCUCAGGGACAAACGGGCUUUGGAGAAGGUGUUUGCUUCAACACCGUAAGGACUUGCUCUGCUCUUGAACAUUUUUUGUUGGAUGGGAUAAUAGAGAUUCAUUUAGUUAACCUUAAAUAUCACUUCUGCCUGAAAUUUAGAUAUCGAAUCGAUGUUAAAUGCAAGCUUUAUUUUUUUUUUUAUUAAGUAAAUUGGUAAGAAAGAUGCCGAGGGGGCUCCACCCAUGUACAGGUGAGGCACACAAGUAAGCUUCCAUGCUUGUUGCUUAGUGUUCUUACCGUGGAAUUUGUAAGAUUGAGUUGAGAUCCUUAUGUCCUCUCCUAUCACCUUAUAAUUGGAUCAAAUUCAGGACUUUGAUCAUUUAGGCAAUCAUAUUGAUGGACAAGUUGUAAAUAGAACAAUCGUUGAUUUCCAUCUACAGGAAGUAAAUUUCAUGCUUGUAUUUAAUUUUAAUAUUAGUAUUUCAACUGUUUAUAUGUUUUGACAUGGUUAGUGAGCUUUUGUAAUUCUCAAUCGAUUAAUCUUCAUCUCAGAUUCGAGGCUGUUAUUCACUUUGCUGGUCUGAAAGCAGUUGGUGAAAGUGUACAGAAACCAUUACUUUACUAUGACAACAACUUGGUUGGAACAAUUACUUUAUUGGAAGUCAUGGCGGCCCAUGGGUGUAAAAAGGUGUUUUUGCCUAUUUCAUUGCUAGUAAAAGUAUUGUUCUACUGAUGUUAAUUGAAAAGAAAUGUUUUGUGUGUUUAUUGCUGACAUAUGCAGGGCUGACCUUUUCUUUUAUCUUACAAUUAAGUAGCUCAUCUAUAAGGUUAACAACGAUUAAAUCUUUACUACCUUUGGUUCAGGAAUAGUUUCUAGCUCAAUUUAGGGGAAAAGUUUGGGUGUUCCUCCAACUUAUCAUAACAUGCAUAGUCCACAAAAUUUAAAUGGUGUAGCAACUCUGUAGUCUGUACCACAAACAGUGGACAACAUGGCGUUUCUGGAUUAACCAUAUUUCUUUAUUCUAGUUUCUUAUUUUUCAGAUUAAUGUUUGUGUUCUUUUAAGAUCCAAAUUCCUGAAUAAUUAUUUUGAUAUUUCAGCUUGUCUUCUCGUCGUCAGCCACCGUAUAUGGUUGGCCGAAGGAGGUACCAUGUACAGAAGAGUUUCCCCUUUCUGCAGCAAACCCGUAUGGACGAACCAAGGUAUACAACUCCUAUUAUUUAGUGGGCACUAUAGUUGAUCAUUAGUUUUGUCUAAGUUUUAACUGUUGACCAUCACACACAAGAAAUUCCCAUCUAUUCACUUUUGCACCGUUGCUGUUUUCUUCUUUUUCUUGGUAUUGACUGCUAUUACAUGUGGACUUGAUUCUCUUUCAGCUUCUCAUAGAAGAAAUCUGCCGUGACAUAUACCGUUCAGACUCUGAAUGGAAAAUCAUAUUGCUAAGAUAUUUCAAUCCAGUGGGUGCCCACCCCAGUGGCUAUAUUGGUGAGGAUCCCCGUGGAAUCCCAAACAACCUCAUGCCCUUUGUACAGCAAGUUGCUGUUGGCAGGCGUCCUGCCUUGACAGUCUAUGGAACUGACUAUUCAACAAAAGAUGGAACCGGAGUAAGUUCAUCGUAGGAACACUAUAUAACCUUGUUCUUUGCUGGAUUGCUGGUUUUUCUUGCUGUGCUUGAUAUCCGUAGUCUGAGGCUUCCAAUAAUUUUCUCUUCCUAAUGUAUACAAGUGAAUUUUAUGGAGAAAGAUGAUUAUUGAAAGAUCUAUUGUCCUCUGCAGGUACGUGAUUAUAUUCAUGUUGUUGAUUUAGCUGAUGGACACAUUGCUGCAUUGCGCAAGUUAGAUGCGGCUGGUAUAGGUAAUACACUCAAUAUCAGGCUCUUUGCUUGUGCCUUGUGGUGACUGGUAAUGCAUAGUAGAUUUUCCUGAUCCUUUUUAGUUCUUAUUUAUGUUUAAGAACCAUUAUGGAGGAUACUUGGUAUAUUUACCCCAAAUUUAUAUUUUGAGCUUUAAUAACACUCAUAAUGCCACGAGAAUGCCGAGGAUACUAAGGAAAAUUCCUACAUUACAUGAGAGAGUAAUAUUUAGAGCUAGUUUAUAAUAAUGUUUUGGGUUAAACAGAAAAGUCUCAGGUUCAAUACUUUGUGGCCUAAAAUGUUGGCUACUGCCCUGUUAAAUUAAUACAACUUUGGGCACUAAAGCAUUAUUUGCCGGCAAGGAAGCAAUUUAUUUGUGUUCAAAUUUUCUUGCAACUCUCUGAUUUCUUCUUUCAAGAUUUUUCUUCUUUUAAUAACCACAAUAGCUAAUAAUGACAAAUGAAAAUUAUAUCAUCCAAGAGUUUGAACGGUAUAUGUCAUGAAUAUCAUGAUAGGUUGUGAAGUUUACAAUUUGGGAACUGGAAAGGGUACAUCAGUCUUGGAGAUGGUUUCAGCUUUUGAAAAAGCAUCUGGAAAGGUAUUUUUUACUCUACUUCUUUUGCGUUUGUUUCCAAGAAACUUGGUAGAAUUAAGGGUGUUCGUGGUUAUAAGUAAUGUGCUCCUGGUUUCAAUGCCUUCCUCUGACUAUGGUAUACUAGGCUUAAUUUAAAUGAAAAUAAUGGGAUUCAUAUCUAGGAUUUUAGUUUUCAGAUUAGAGAUGCUACCAUGAUUCCAAAUACUAUCCCCCAUCCUCAACAGUCGUCACCUUUCACUGACACUUCCACCACGAGUUCUUGUCCUCUUGAACUCCCUAAAACUUAUCAAGUCUUUGAGUGCUUCUUUAUUCAAUCAUGACUCUACUUCACCUCCCAUCUGAAUUUACUGGUUAAUUUCUCUGUUCCAGAAAAUUCCUCUUGUGACGUCUGCACGCCGACCUGGCGAUGCUGAAAUUGUAUACGCAUCGACAUACAAAGCAGAAAAGGAGUUGAACUGGAAGUAUGUCUCCCUAUUUUUUAAUGAUUUCUUUUAUAGAUUAUAUAUGUUUACGCUCCACUUGCUAUUUCCUAUAUGUCCUUUCAAGCCUGUUUAACUUGCUUUCACAGAAAUAACAAUUUAUUUAUAGAAUGCUGUGUCAAGUUAUUUGUAGAUUGAUGUAUUGGACAUGCUUACUACACGUUUCUCAUAACCGAUUUCUGUUUCCAUAUUAUGUUAAAAUUAAUUGGGCAUUUCUUGAGCCAAAUAACAAAUAUAGAUAGAGACCAGUAUUAUCAAAACUCGAAAGGAUCAUCUUACAAUUUCAUUUGUGAAUGCAGAGCAAAAUAUGGAAUCGACGAUAUGUGUAAGGAUCAGUGGAACUGGGCCAGCAAGAAUCCUUACGGCUAUGAACCCCCAAAAUCUAACUAAUUGGCUUAUACUUAUAUCAACUCUUGGGGCCUUAUCUUAACCCUAUACGCUUUUGCAUUACUCUUACAUUCUCCUCAUAGAUGUAUUUUCUAUUAUGUUGUAUAAACUUCUUGGUUAUGAUCCCAGUUGAUCAUCACGAGAUAUCGUUGUUUCGAGCCUAUUUAAUAAAAAAAGCUUGUGUGCUCCUUUAUUGUUGAUUCUGGCAGUUUAAAACAAAGCCGAAACAUGUUGGGUGCUUUUGAUUAGCUCUUAAGUCCAUCAAUUUGGUUCGGUUUUUGGUCGGUCACAUGGAUGUUUGUUUUUUUAACAACAGGCAGGGAGAUAGUUGUUUUCUAAACCGUCAGCUUUGUGUGAUCUACAAGUAGAAUAUUGAUCACUUUAUGUGCUCUUGAAGAGUUCUAAAUCUAAACCUUUUCCUUAUCGAGCCUUUGCACUAUGUAUAUAAAAGGACGCUUCAGCUCGAGAGUUAUCAGUAAUGACAAGAAGCGCAAGAGUUAUCAAUAAUGAGAGGGCGGUGCCUAUGUUAAUUUGAUAACAAGCCAAUGAUGGCAAUCUAAAAAAUGGUAUGAAGUGGCCGUUGAGAGUGGAAUAGUUAGGAAUUUGAAUUUGAAAUGGAAUAGAUUAGCUGAAUUGGUAAUGAGAAAAAGGCAUUAUGAUGAGUUUCAAUAAAGCCAAACAGAGAUAUUGUGUUUAAAAAUGAACUAAAUCCAAGCGACAAUCUCUAUGGGCUUUUUUAAGUGAGUGGACCCUUUCAACGGUUCAAAAUAUUUGAAUUCUGUCUUUGUCUUGGUUUGAAAUUUGAAAGAGUUUUAAUUUGUUUUCGUCUAACUCAAUUGAUUGAGGAUAUGUUUGGGAUUACCUUCCCCAUUUUCAAAAUUACUUAUAAAAUGCUUUUGAAAUGAAUUUUAACAGUUUUAGUAUUCAUGAAAAAUUCAAACAUCAAGUCUCUUGAUUGAAUUUUUAUUAUAUGUACAACAAUAGCAAGGUCCUUUUAGUAGCUAUAUGGUUUUUAGUAAAUCUUCCUUCCACACUAAACUAGCUACUUUCGUACCUACUUUGAAUCAAUGUUUUAAAAACAAACCCAAGUUUUGAAACUAUAAAAAUACCUUUUUAAAAACUUGUUUUUGUUUUAAAAAAUUGACUAAAAAUUUGUAUCUUUAAAAAUCAUUGUAAACAAUUAAUGAAGUCUAAAAACAAAAGAUCUAAAAAUCACACGGUUUAGUUUUUCAAAAUUUUCAUUGAUUUUAAAAAUAUUGCUAGGAAGGUAAGAACCCAAAUAAACUGAAAGGUAAGAAAGCUAUGCUUUGGGGAUAUAUAUAUAUAUAUUUAAAUUUAAUAAUUAUUAUUACACAUACAAAAUCUUCUGCUCAUUUAUAGAUUUAAAAUAGAUGAAUACAUGUAUGUAUGAGCAAAGGGUAUAAUCUUAGUUAAGAGAGUUUAUAUUGGAAAAGAGGAAAAAAGAAUUUGUUUUAAAAAGCUUAGUUGGGAAGAGAAUGUAAAUUGAACUAAAAGAAAAUUAAUGAAAUAGAAACGAAAUGGUGUGCGUUACAAAUUCUGAAGUAUAAAAGGGGAGCCGUGUGCUUUCCACCGCCACUCCAUUUUUUCCAAUUUCCAUUUCCAAUUUGUUCAAACCCGAUUCUCUCUCUCUCUCUCUCUCAGCCGGAGAUCUCGGGUUUUGAAUUUGUUUCCUACAUCGCCGUUGCUUCGAUUACUCGUCGGAUCAAAUCGAUCUGAUCUGACUUUCUCUUGACGGAUUUCGAUCUUUGAUUGCUAAAAAUGGAGAAUCUCAUCUCUCUUGUUAAUAAAAUUCAGAGGGCUUGUACGGCGCUUGGUGACCAUGGCGAAGCUAGCGCAUUGCCUACACUUUGGGACUCCUUGCCGGCUAUCGCCGUCGUCGGUGGCCAAGUCUGUUUUCGAUCUCUCUCUUCUUCUUUAUUUUCUUUACUGUUUCAUCUAACUGUGCCUGCUUCUAACUCAUCGACAUUAGUUUAGCGAUCUGAGCUGAUACUGGUGUUCAGGGAUUGAGAUCUUCUUGUUCUUUCUUUAUCGUUUAUCUUUUUGUUAAUCGUUUGAAAUGGAUGGAGAUUUUUUACUGCCUGAAUCGUUAGUUCGGAGGUUUUUGUUGCUCAAUCAAAUGUUAAAAAUGGAGGAUUUCGUGAAAAAGAUUGUUUCGUUGUCUGAUUUUGCAAUCGAGUUUGUUCUGUGGAUCCGUGUAAUUAGCCGAAAGUUCUGUUCGGUAGAUAGGCGUUGAGUAAUAUCUAGAAUAUAGUACAACCGCGGUGUCGACGCGAUAUGUUUAUUUGUGUCGGAACUUUCUUGAUGGCAUCAGGCUUCUCCAUUAUCUUAUGUGCUGAUUUAAGUGGAGAGAGCUAUAGCUCAUAGCCAAGCAGAAAUGACCUUUCUCGUUUUUCCUCUCUUGCAGAGUUCGGGCAAAUCUUCAGUGUUAGAAAGCAUUGUCGGCAAGGAUUUCUUACCCCGUGGAUCUGGUAAUUAAUAGAUUACUAAGACUCUUCUACGAGUAAAAUCUGCGUACUGCACUUUUGGCUAAAUAGUGCAAAAUGUGCAAAAUGUUUUACAGGUAUUGUUACUAGGCGUCCUCUUGUCUUGCAACUUCAUAAAGGUGACGAAGGAAGCAGAGAGUACGCAGAGUUUCUCCACCUUCCCAGGAAAAAAUUUUAUGAUUUUGGUAAAUUUCUUUUUGUUAAUAUAAUAUUUCAUUUUUUUGUCUGUUUGUAAGGGUUAUUUUUAAAUAUAGAAAAUGAAUAUAAAUAUUUACAAAUAUGGAAAAUUUUACUUCUAUUACACUACUAUCCCUAUCGGGAUAGACCUAUAAUCUAUAGCAGUCUAUCAACAACGGUUAUAUUUUGCUAUGUUCAUAGAUAUUUUUAGCAGUUUUCUCAUUUAAAAUAAUUUUCCUUUUUUUUGACGUUUUUAAAAUUAUUUUUCUUGUAUGAAACAAAAUUUGACUACUAAGAAAUAAAAAGGGCAGUAUGAAGACUGGGUAUUUAGAGUUAGCUCAAUUUUAAACUUAUUGGGAAAGGUAGAUACAAUCAUUAAUCAAUGACAAAGAAGCUGUCUGCAGCUAAGCUUUAAAUUCUUGGGGAAGUUCGAGUCACCAUAGUCAGGCAUGACGAAUGCAAUGUGAAAAUGGUUGAGUGAUGGAUUCUUAACUUAAAUUGGCGGCUUACCCCAAUGAUGGGUUCAUUCAUUUGCAAAAGAAUCAUGAGUCUACAUUGAUUAUUUAAUGUAUUUGCCAAGAGGAAUUUUUUAUAUUUUUAUGUUUUGAUUUAGCAAAAGGUGUUUAUGAAUGAUUUAGCAAUAUAUUUUGAUUUAGCAGUAGGAGCAACAUGUUUUAAUUUGCUUAUCUUACUUUUUUCUUACUGCACAAACUAUUUUUGUAGUUGCUGUCAGGAAGGAAAUUCAAGAUGAGACAGAUCGAGAGACUGGCCGCUCUAAACAAAUUUCCAGUGUCCCAAUUCAUCUCAGUAUAUAUUCUCCUAAUGGUAGGUCAAGAAUUUGACUUUUGAAUUUUCUAAUUAAUCUUUUGCACAUCUUGUGCGGCAUAGUGUGAAUUUUCUUUCUAAUAUUACUGAUUAACUGACUACCUUAAGUCAAAGACUUGUUCCAAUCUAGGAAAAAUAACUUUUUCCUAGUAGUUCUUCAUGAAGUUGCAUGGUUGAGAUUUGUCCUUGAAAUAUUGUUUGAAAUUUAAGGCAGUUUGAGAAAUUGUUUUGAAACUUCAUUUUGGAAUAUUUAGCAGAUAGUAGUGCUGCUAUGUUUUUUGACUGCAAAUAUUUUGAGCGUGUAGCUUUCAUACACACCAUCCUGGCUUGCAGCAUUUUCUCAUAUAUUCUCUGUAUUUUUCCAAUCUUUGCAGUUGUAAACUUGACACUUAUUGAUCUUCCUGGGCUUACAAAAGUAGCUGUUGGUAAGUCAUUUCAACUUAUUCUGUUUCAUGGUUUAAUUUUUUUAUCUUAGCAAUGACAUGGUGACAUUUAUGUAUUCUCUUGGAAAAUUCAGAGGGCCAACCAGAGAGUAUUGUUCAAGAAAUUGAAAUGAUGGUUCGCUCCUAUAUUGAAAAGGUAAGAUUUGGAAAAUAAUGGGUGCUAUUUUGUUUAAUCAUGUAUUACAAUUUACAACCUCAUGUUAUUCACAUCAAAUUUCGUUUCUUUAUUUGUACUUUCAUUGUUAGAGAGGGAUUGAAUUUCAUCAUGCUUGUUAACUUUUUUGGCAUCCCCUUAUGCAGCCUAAUUGUAUUAUACUUGCUAUUUCACCUGCCAAUCAAGAUUUGGCUACGUCGGACGCAAUUAAAAUCUCUCGUGAAGUUGAUCCAACUGGUAACACCAAUGCUUUCAAGCCAUUUGUUACAAUUUAUUGCUAAAAAAGAAACACAUUGUUACAUUUUGCAUACUCUGUUAAUGUCUUUCUCAUUGUUAUUUUCUCAAGUGUUCUUCGAAGGAGUAAAUUUGUUUUUAAGGUAUUUUUAACCCUUUACUAUAUUUUUUCUCUUAGGGGAGAGAACUCUUGGUGUCUUGACGAAGAUUGAUCUCAUGGAUAAGGGAACAGAUGCUGUUGAUGUAAGUUUCUCUGACUCCCUCUCCAUCAAACAUUGGAAAUGUUCGUUUUUGCCCCUUCAGAGAAAUGAUAUUUGUGUUUUUUUUUGGCCUUGAUUUAGUGGGUGUGUAUGUGCCUAUUAUAUCAUAUAUUCUAAAUCGCAUUCUUUGCGUUGCUAAGAUAUUGGAAGGCAAAGCUUACAGGCUGAAGUUUCCUUGGGUUGGUGUUGUGAAUCGUUCACAAGCAGACAUCAACAAAAAUGUUGACAUGAUUGCAGCUAGGCGUAGGGAGCGUGACUAUUUUGCUAGCACUUCGGAAUACAAGCACCUCGCCCAUAGGAUGGGCUCUGAGCAUCUAGCAAAGGUCCUUUCAAAGGUAUGCUUACCAUUUAUUUUGUCUAAUUCCUUCUAUUUCCGCUGUUGGAAUCAUGUUGAGGCAUAAUGUGGUUAUUGAUAUUUGACUUUUUGUAAUUGCAAUGUUAAUUUCAGCAUCUAGAAACGGUAAUCAAGUCCAAAAUCCCCGGCAUUCAAAACCUUAUUAACAAGACCAUUUCAGAACUUGAAUCCGAACUAAGCCGUCUUGGAAGGCCUGUUGCAAAUGAUGCUGGGGUAUGUUCCUUGAAAUUUCAAUGGCUGCCUCUAGUCUAUUGGUUCUUAACCCAUCUAUAGGGUUCAUUUUUAUUGUUUUAGUUUUUCCUGUUCUGCUUUUGGUUCCGUAAGAUUGUUGGAGGGGUUGUUAAUAGACGUUUCUCCAAUUUCCUUCUCUUAAGUUCAUUUUUAUUUGAUAAAUGCAGGGAAAACUAUACAUGAUUAUGGAGAUUUGUCGGGCUUUUGAUCAGAAUUUUAAAGAGCACCUUGAUGGCGUGUAUGUUUAUAUUCCCCUUGUUUUCUUUUGUAAUAUGCAGUGCUUCCUCCUUGACGACUUUUGUCAUGUUUCCUAAGCAAUUCUAUAUCUUGAUCUUUCUCUGCAGGCGUCCUGGUGGUGAUAAAAUUUACAAUGUCUUCGAUGACCAACUUCCUGCUGCGCUGAAGAGGUUGCAGUUUGACAGGCAACUGUCAAUGGAAAAUGUAAAGAAGCUUAUUACUGAAGCUGAUGGAUAUCAACCUCAUUUAAUAGCUCCUGAACAAGGAUAUCGUCGACUUAUUGAAUCUACUUUAGUUACUAUUAGAGGCCCGGCUGAGGCAUGUGUAGAUGCGGUAUGCACAAAACAACUUGGUAUUACUUUGGUAUACAUGAAAUUUGUGCUUGUGAAAUAUUGGUGCAUGAGGGGAGGGGGAGGUGAACAUUUGUUAUAUAGAGUUUCACUGAUGCGCUAUAAUAUAUUUGUUAGUGUAUUUUCUCAUUAUCGGAUCAGAGAUCAUUGCCACUAUUUAAGAAUCUAUUGGAUGCUCAUCAUUCUUCAUAAAUAUAUAUUUUUCUCUAAUUUCAGGUUCAUGCCAUAUUGAAGGAUCUGGUUCACAAAGCGAUGGGUGAAACUCUAGUAUGCUCUUGAACCUUACAUAUGAUACACUUAAAACAAAACCAUGCUCCAUAUUUUUUUAAGUCUUGAGGUGGUCUACAACUUAAAACAGUUCCGUAUAGAAUUUGAUUCAUUUACAUAAUUUGUCUUCAAAUAUUCGUUCAUGAGAGAGGUGCUUUCUCUUUUCAUCCUUUACUGUUCGCUCAUGGAAGAAACCAUGUUUAAUGAACUUUUAAUAGUAACAUUGAUUAGUUUAGUUAGAUUGACUUUGAAGUUAUACUUGUUCAAAUAUGUUUUGAGCUGCUACCUAAGAAAUGAAGCCUGUCUUCAAUUUUCAUUCCUACCGUAUUUGGCUACUUAAUCAAGACCAAUUAAAAUAUCCCCAGUUUCUGAUUUAUAAGAUUAUGUUUUUCAUUUGAAUCUUGUGCAUAAAUGUUCUUUUGCCGCUUUCAGGAAUUAAAGCAGUAUCCUGGUCUUAGAGUGGAGGUAGGAAACGCAGCUAUUGAAUCCCUGGAAAGAAUGAGGGAGCAAAGCAAAAAGGCGUCUCUUCAGCUUGUGGAUAUGGAGUGUAGCUACCUGACUGUUGAUUUCUUCCGGAAGCUUCCUCAAGAUAUUGAAAAGGGAGGCAACCCUACACAUUCAAUUUUUGACCGAUACAAUGACUCAUAUCUAAGGCGUGUUGGUAGGUCAUCAACUUUAUUAUUGGUCUACCGGCUAUCUUACCAUUCAUUUACAUUUUAUGCUUCUUAUCUAGGACAUGUUCGAUUAAUAGUCCGUUUAGUUUGUCACGUGUCGUUUUUACCUGUCUGGAACUUGUCUUCUUAAAUAUGUUCAAGAGAAUCUGGUUUAAUCUAUCAAUGGCAUGUAUUUUCUUGUGGCAUUUUUCAGGAACAACGGUGCUAUCUUAUGUCCAUAUGGUUUGUGCAAGCUUACGGAACUCGAUUCCCAAGUCCAUUGUUUAUUGUCAAGUACGAGAAGCCAAAAGAAGCCUCCUCGAUCACUUUUUCACUGAUUUGGGAAAACUAGAGGUAAACUCUUUUCCCCUUUUCAUAUGAUCAAACAUGCAAUGUUUGCCUGUCUACUGUAUUACAAAUUUGUUAUUUCCUGUGCAGCAAAAGCGCCUAUCAUCAUUAUUGAACGAGGAUCCAGCGAUCAUGGAACGACGUAGUGCCCUAGCAAAGAGGCUCGAGUUAUACAGAAGUGCACAAGCAGAAAUCGACACAGUUGCUUGGUCAAAGUAAGAUUGUUACAUGUAUAAUAUCUUUUUCAGUAUGUGGAAUCUGGGAGGGAGGGGAAGAUGGCAGCAGCACAAUUCUUUCAUUCAUACAUUGCGGGGAAGAAGGUUAGCUGGAUAAGCUGAUUUUGUUGUAUUCAGUUCCUGACGCUAUAUAAAGAAGUUAUUUUCGCCAUCUUUCUUCGACCCCCUUUUGGGGGGAAUAUGGAAUACCUAUAUCUAGAGGAGUACCAUUACACAAUAUUAUAUGAAGAAAUACCUGAAUUUCUUUUUCUUUGUUUUGAAUUAUUUGGAGUGGAAAAAAGAGAUGAGUCUUCUCUUUUGGAGCGCACAGGUUUGAGAUUUUGGAGAUGGAUCUGAUGACUGAAACACACACUGCUUAAAGGUAAGUAAGCAAAUCAACAAUUAGGGAAGAUUAGGGUGAAUUUAUUUGCAUAGUUUGUUCUGGAGUCACUACGCUUGUUAUUAAAUUUUUAUUAUAUAAAUUCUUACGUCUUAGUAUUAUUAUAUUGUUCGUUUUACUUUUGGGGUGAAAUUUUCAUUAAUUUUAUGAACAUACAACAUGGAUAUAAUGUUGCAGAGGAGUUUUUUUUUUCUUUUUUCUUUGUUAGGUUUUAAAGAAAAUACUUUUAAAUUUGGGUAAUUAUUUUAAAUGGUGAAAAAUAUUUAGAAAUGUAGUAAAGUAUGAGUAUCUAUAAUCCAUCCUUGAUAGACAUAUAUAGUGUUGAUAUCUUACCAGAUAUUUUACAAUAUUAUUUGAAAACAACCUCAUAAAAUAUUGUCAUUUAUUUUUAAAAUACCUGUUCAUAUGAAAAGGUUUCUGUUAUUGGAUUCUAUUUUUGCAGGACUCAUAUUUUUAUUUUAGAAAAAUGUUAAUGUUUUUUAAACAAAAUGCAAUAUUUUUUAUAUUUUAGAAUGCAUUAAAACUAAAGGUUCAUUUGCAUUUCCACAUAACAAGUGAUGUGAUUAAAUGACAUACUGGGUCAGGAUGUGUAAAGAAGUGUAAGGUAAAAUCUAUUAACUUAAAGAUAAAAGUUGAAAAUCUCAUUAAUUUUGGAACGUUCUCUGGGGGAACCAAAUGGAUACAGAUUUUUCCAAAUUUUAGAAAUUAACACACUUAGAUUUGUUUUUCUUCUUCUUUUUUUUCUGAAGCAGUCAGGAAACUUCAUUUACAUUUAUUAACUUUGAAACUCUCCCAUAUUGGUUUCCCACCAGGUGAGAUUCAAUUUUCAAUUGAAAGAUAAGGUAAAAGGUAAAGUAAUGUCGUGGAUGGAAAACAAUAGUUUGAUGGAAUGGAGCACAAAGCACUUAUUUGUACGUUUUAAAAAAUUAAUAAAUAAUAUAUGCAGGAGGAGGUGGUGUCCCACACCCUCCAAUCAAAAUAAAUGUCAAAAAAGCAAACUUCCCGAAUCUCUAUGCUCAUUAUACUCUUCUACUCCCCCACUCACCCUCCCUAUUCCUUCAUUAUUUCUCUACCUUUUCUCUUCCUUCUUUUUUCUCCUUACCCUUAUAACAUUACUUUCUUUACCUUUAAUUAAAACCAAAAUUUGAAACACCUUUCCUCUUUUUGUUUCAACUUGUUACUGAAUUAUUCACAUCUAUUUGAGUUUUUCCAUCCAAAUAUAACAAAAAUUAUUUGAUAUAUUUUCUUAUCAUACUAUACAAAUUCAUUAAACUUAUAAAUUAAACAAAAUACUAGUGAUUUCAUUUUUUAAAUAUAAUAAAAGUAGUAUAUGUACUAUUUUUUUAAAAAAAAUUGAAAUAUAUAUAUAAUUAAUUUGAUUUCUUUGUUUUUCAUUAUUUUUUUUACUAUUUUAGUAAAAGUAAGACUCUAACAGCACUCUGAUUAAGAAGCAUAUUUCUAGUUAUUUAGAGAGUCGGAAUGUAAUGAAGAUUAUUGAAAAUAAAAAAAGUAUAGAUACCGUGAAUAACCGAAUACAAAAUGAAAUUAAGAUAAUAAAGAGGAAAAACAAUGUUAAAAUUGAAAACUCUAGGAAUGAAAUGAGUUCUUUAUUACGAAUUAAAUAUCAAACGUUUAAUCCAACACAUGUUAUGUAAGAUUAAAAACUCAAAUUACAAUACAAACUUAUCUCAUUACAGUUUACUAAACAUAAUACGAAUUAGUGAUGAAAAAUUUGAACCAUUAAUUUUUUAGUUUUUGACACAUUUAAGUGUUCAAUUGAGUUAAAUGUUUAUCGGUCACGUGUAGGUGUAAACACACUAUGAUAAUAGUGUAAAUUUUUUGUAUUCAGAAUUCUGACCAAAUAGUCCCACCUAUUUAAUUUUCUCACUCACCUUUUACAUACAGUGGGUGAAUAUGACUUCAAACAAAAUUGGAAUUUCUGUACUCUUUUGUUCUGGUUUUCUUACCACCUUUAUACUUAAUAAACUAAAUACUUAGAUUUGUGGUGCAUUUUACUGAAUUGUUCGAUCAUAGUAUGUUUAGUGAAUUUUUUCUUAUUUUUAUGAAAUUUUUAAUUAUUUAUUUGAUAUUAAUGCUUGUUCAAUUUUACAUUUAUACCUGUUGUGACGUACAACAAUAUCUAUAUCACUAAACUUUGUGUCUAGUGGGUAAAUAGAGAUAUUGAAAUUCUAAAUACCUAUUGACAUUUGUUGAAGUUAAAUGGAUGGGAAAUUGCAAAAUAAAGUGUAAUAAAUUUUUAUCUUUUUUGUCUUUUGCCAUAAAAUGUAAUUAUUUGUACUCUUUUACCCUUCUUGAAAAAACCCUUAAAAGGAACUUAUUAAUAAUAUAAAAUCCAAAGUAAAAAGUUAUCCAACUUCUAUAAAAAAUUAAAGUCCAGUUUAGUAAUAAUUUGAAUGAUAUAGAUAUUUAUAUUUUAAAUAUCAUAUUUUUAUUUAAUAUAUAUGUAAUAAUUUUAAUCCUCGAGUUUUAAAAAUAGAUAUUGUUAGUCGUAUGUUUAUAAAAGUUUUAAAAAGGUACUAUUUUAAUUUUAGAAUUUUAAAAAUAGAUUUAGAGAUCGAUAGAAGUAUUUUUUUGUUUAUUUUUUAAAAAUAAACUUAUGAUAUUUAGAAUAAGAAGAAAAUAAUUUUUUUACAAAAUAAAUAUAGUAUAUAAAAUUUUAAAAUUAUUAUUUUAAUUUAAAAUAUCUUAUAAUUAAUUUUAAAAAAUUGAUAAAAAAAAUUAAAAGUGUGUUGUUAUAAAUGUAGAGAGUGAAUGUGCAUAUUGUUUGAAAACUAAGAGACCAACAAAUAAUUUUCCGAUUUAACAAAGAGCUAAGAUUAGCAAACAUUAACAUCUCAUCCUUUGUUCUUAAAAAGGAAAAAGAAAGAAAGCAAUCCUUAGCCAAAAGCCGCCUUAAAAUAAUGAAAUUUGGUUAGUGCCCAAUCCGUCAAAACUCAAAACUCCAAAAAGCUGGAAAAAGGGAACAUAUGUGUUAAAAUUUGCAAAAACAACCCUAAAGUGUGAUGCUACUUCCAACUCUAUUCUUUCAUUUUCAAAACACAAUAAUUGCAUCCAAAUUGGAUCCCCUUCAUACUUAUACAAUUAUUACCAUUCAUACACUUAAUCUAAAUUUAAAUUUAAGAAUCUAGUUUUAAGAUUUGGAUAAAGGUUAGGGUUUGAUUUUUAAAUUCUAAAGAGAUCAUUUCUAUAAUUUGAGUCCUUUAAAAUUACAAUUUAAUCCUUAUAAUCUAAGGACCCUCGACAAAUAAUGAAUUACUGAUUCUAACUAUUUUUAAAGUUGUAGGGAUUUAAAUUAUAAUUUUUGUUAGGACUUAACAAAAGGAAGAGGGGGAAAAAAAGUUGGAAGUCCCACUUUGUUCUUUGUUUCAAUUACAAUUAUUCUUUGUUCAUAUCAACUUUCCUUUAUGAUUCAAAGCCAUAGAUUUAUCCCUACAGCUCAAAUCAACCUUCAAAUCCGCAAUAAUGUUGAUGAAAUUCAGUGGACAAAACCAAAACUUAAGAUCAGAAUGAAUCACUCUGUAAUUUAAUUGCACAAAUUACUCAAGAGAGAGCUCAUGAUCUUUUUGAUCUUUUUUUUUUUUUUUUUUUUUUUAACACUUAAAGAGUAUGAGAAUCUCAACACCCAACUGACCAAAUUUUCCAGAAGAAGAAUUAGCAAUGGAAACCUAACACAGAUCCAUCACUUACAGCAAUGGCGACUCUGCAGCUCGACGUGGCUUCCACGUGGUGAGUGAAGAAGUGCAAUACCCUAACCCUACCGGCCAUAUCCAUCUUAGAUUCAAUCUCCAGUAUCGGUCCGACUCUGUACCCGUUCAUUCCCUCCGAGAAGGUAGGUCCAGCUCCAACGGAGGCGACUGGAGCAGCCAACGGGAAUGACUGGACAGAGAAGGUAGCUGCCAUGUACUGCGUCUGACCGGCGUCGAUUUUACCGGCCGGAAUGAACAUAAAUCCAAUUUGAGAACCGGAGUAGAGGAGUUGGAGGGAACUGUCGUAGUGAGAGAAAGAGGCUUUGUUAGGGUUUUUGACGGAGACGUACUGUGAGAAAGUGAAAUUGAUAGUGCCGUUGGCGACGGAGAAGGACGGCAACUGGACGGCGGAAACGGCGAUCUUUGGAUCCUGAGGCUUGAAGACAGUGAAGAAGACGAUAAGGAUGACGAUGAUGAGGAAGAUCAAGAAGACUGUGGCAACUACACAGGACGCCAAGUUGGUGCGGCCAGAUGGCGGGUGAUCGCCGUGGCCGUGGGGAUUGCCCAUGGCGGUGCUUACGGCGGAGAUGGAACGGGAUCUGAAUUUGGAAGAGAGGAAAGAGAAUAGCGGUGUGUUUGGAUACAAAAUAAAAUGAUGGAGGAGAAAAUGAAUAGAGAAAGUAAGUAAGUGUGGAAAUUGUGCAAAUAAAAUUAAUUUUUUUUUUUAGAAAAAAUGAAUAUUAAAUAAAUAAUGAAUAAUUUUAAUAGAUUUUUUUUGGGUUCUAAAUUUGAAAAGUGAGGUUUGUUUGUUGUCUUCUUGGACUUUGGGUUUUAAAUGUUUGAUUCCCUUAGGAGAUAAGUGAAAAAAAUUAUUGGAGUGGUAAAUUUCUACCCACUUUGACCUCACCCUUUCUUCAAUUUUUUACUUUAUAUACAUACAUAUACAUAUACAUAUAUGUGUAUAUUAUAUUGUCAAAAUAAUAAAUUGAUAUUAUUGAUUUCAAAGUUAGUGUUUGUAUGUAGACAUGUAGAUAAAUAGUCUAAGUACGUAACUUAGUCGAUAAGAUAUUUAUUAUCUUUUUUAAUAUCUCUUGAGGUACAAGUCCAUUUCGUUGACUUCCCUUGUUGUUUCAUUGAUUAUAAGUUGUUCGCCUUGCAGGCUUGAUAUAGUUAUGAGUACAAUUAGAUGUGAGAGGAACUUGAUUCUCUAGAAUUAUAAAAAUAUCGUCGUUGUGGUCGCAUUGAGCACUACAUGGCGUGCACUGCUCUUUUAGCCACCAAAUCAUAUAUCCAGUUGAAUCGUUUUUAAGAUGGGUUAAUUUUUAAAUAGAAAUAGAUAAGUUUCUUUUAGGCCUCCUUCCACCGACUAGCGCAAAUAUCAUUUAAAUUUUAUUAAAAGUACAAAGAUUACAAUCAAAAUAGUUAAAUGAUCAUUUUUUUUUCAUUUUCAAAAACACCUUUGAAUAUGUUUUUAAUAAUUGUAAAAAUGAAUUUUGACUACACAACAACUACACUUAUUAAAUGGUAAAUUAAAUAUAAAAUUAAUUUGGAGUAGUUUAUAAUACUUUUAAAUAUAAUAAAAAUGUUCAAAAUCAUUCUUCAACACACACUUAUAUUACAUGAAUGAACGUUAUGUUUACAUGGUUGCAUAGACUAGGCUUAAUUAAUGACAUGUAUUUAGAUUAAGAUGAUUUAUUAUUUUAACUUUUUGUUAAAGAACUAUUUUUGUAGUUGAAGUAGAGAUGGAUACUACAGAUUCUAAUUCCAAAAUUAACCUAUAAAUAAAUAAGAUAAGAGAGACAUAUUCAAGUUCUAAUUCACUUGGAACAAUUUUCCAAAUCUUAUAUUUCCCUUAAUUACAAGCCAUGCUCUUUCUCCAAGAUAAGAAUAUGCUUCAAACUUGAAACUUUGAGGUUUUACUUACGAUCAUAUUUGGUGUUUCUUAAACUUUGGGGAAUAUAAUUUAUUAUUUUAAGAAUAUUAUUAAAUAUAAUGUGAUUUGUCUCUUAGAUUUUUAAUUCUAGUUAGGCUCGUCUACUCAGAUCCCAACCUCUCUUUUUUGUGAUACUUGCAAUUUUCAAAUGGGGUAGUCCAUCGUCUGGUGCGUGCACCGUUGUGUUAGCGUACAUCUUUAAGCAGUGUUUUGUUAAUUUUUCGUUUUAGGGGUGAACGUAGGUCGGGUUAGAAAAAAAUUAUAAACCAACUCAAAAUAUUUUGGUUGACAAAAAAAAUGAAGUUUAAUAUGCAAGGGCCAAUCAAAUGCAACCCAAUUAAACUCAAAAAAUUUGGAUUGGUUCAGGUUGUGUUAAGAAAGAAGUGAAAUCUGAGACAACAACAUUUCAAUCAUCCCUCGCUAGUCAAUGCUUCCUUAUUUAUUUAUUGUGUUAAAAAUUCUAUUUAGUUUUAUUGGUGUCAAACUGACAUGUUAGGCUUAAAUAGGAAAAAAAAUCAAUCUUUUCUUUCUUGAUUUUCUACAAAACUAAAUUGGUUGUCUGACUCGUACAGUUGAGAAUUUUGUUUAUAUCUUUUUCACACAUGCUUAUGUUGGUUUCCAAAAUGAAUUGAAGGAUUUAGAAUCAAAACCAAACAACUAUAAACAUAAGGAUUUAGUACAAGGUUUUUGUUUUCGAGCUUCCAUGGUUUGCUUCAUUGGCUAAUCGUUGUCGAGGUUUUGGACAAAGGUGGGGUUUUCUUAGUAGUAGUUUGAAAAUGAAAGAAUGUCUCAGCUUGCCUGUUAUCAAAUAACUAUGUAUGUAGUUGAACUGCAGAGUUUCACUUGUCCAUUGUUUCUAAAGUUAGACCUCUAUGCUAUAUCUAUAUGCAGGUCAAUUAACUUCAUUGAUGAAAUUGAUGCCUUGGCAACUAGGUAUUGAGAACAUUGAACUUCUUUGGUUUAUUUAAGUUAAUAGAUUACAUUUGAUACAUCACAUGUGACAAUGACAAGUGUUUAUCACAGGGGCUUUUGGUUCACCCCCUCAUGUUGAGAACUUAAUAACUUGGUGAAAUCUCUCUAAAAUUUAGUGAGGUUUCUUCAUCCCAUGUUAUUGGAUAUUAGACGUCAUUAUUAUUGUUAAUCUAUUCUCAUGUCUUUUCUUUCAGUCAGACACGGACGAUGCAGCUCACUGUUGGACCAGGACGAAUUGGCAUAGAGCUAGGCCAUCAGGGACAAUGGCGGAGGGCUACCACAGAUCAAAUGGGUGUUGCUAUUACUUCACAUUUGCUUAGGAGAUAUGUGAGUGUAAAAGUUGAAUGAUGCCAUCACCUUUCAAUCAUCCCUUGUGGUCAGGUAUGUUUAAAUGCUUCCUUAUUUAUUUGUUGUCCUUAGUUUUAUUGGUAUCAAACUGACAUGUUAGGCUUAAAUAGAAAAAAAAUUAAUCUUUUUUUUCUAGAAAACUAAGCUGGUUGAAUGACUCAUACUGUUGAGAAUUUGGUUUAUAUCUUUUCAAAUGCUUAUGGUGGUUUCCGCAUUCAUUUGACUUGAGGGAUUUAGCAUCAAAACUCUACAACUAUAAAAACCGUAAAUCUGAAAAUUCGUGCUAGUUAGUUGGAUUUUUACGACGAAUCCUUACUUCCUUAGAUUGAGUGUUUGAAUGUGAGUUGUUGGAGGUUAUUAGAAGUGGAGUAUGUUUGUAGUUGGUCUUUUGUGAUCAAAUACCAAUUUGACUUGUGGGUGGAUAUCUUUCUCCAGCUAUUUUUUCUAUUACCUUAGGGGUCCGACCUUAGCUUUCAACUUAAAUUGGUUUCUUAUCGAAGAGAAAUGUUUUCUACAGACAUUGUCACAAGUUGUGUUCCACCGGCUCAAUGAUGAAUCAUACAUGUUUGAGCGACGACCAUAAUUACUUCAUCGUCUCCAAGUUUGUUAUCAUGGAACAUAGCAUGCCACUAUAGAUUGUGCCUUUGCGCGCCUUUGAAACUUUUAACACAAAUGUGAAAUCUUAUAUACUUCUUGUCAGAACUAAGAACUUUUAAUCGUUAUAUACUAUAUUUAAUAUAUUGUUUUUCUUAUAUACUUGUUAGUUUCUUGUUAAGAUAUCUUUUUAUAUCAAAUUCAGUUCAUUUGAUGUUUCUUUUUAAGAUAUAAUGUCUCUUAUCUAUGAAAUGUUGAUGGACUAUGAAUAAAGAAAGAAAUGAUAUUUUGAAUUAGAACUUAAAAUCAAACCAAAGUUAUUGUUACUUUGUGUUUAAUUAUAAGUUUAGUUCUAAAUUUAAAAGUCGGUGUAUGUAAGUUUACAAAAUCUAUGUAUGAUAAACUUCUAAAUUGUAAUUUUUUUCUAUAAAUGGUUUACAAUACAUUUAAAAUCUAUUUUGAGUGGCUUCUAAACCCUUUAAUUUUUUUUCAAAAUAACUUAUUUUCAAAAUUAAAGACUUGAAAAUAUAAUCUAAACACAAUAUAAAUUUGAUUUUUUAAAAAGAAAAUUUAAUGAAAAAAUGAUGUACAUAAAAUUUGACUUUGGCUUCUUAGAAUUGUAAUAAAAAUGAAGUGAGCCUAAAAAAUUGUAAAAGAGCUAUCCCUAUGAGCUAUAAAUGUAACAAUGGGUACAUAAUAGUUGAUUUUCUCACUCUCCGAAGCAUUAACAUAAAUACCAUACAAUAUCUUAAUUAUUGUCACUAAUUAAUUAAUUGAAUUAGUAAGAAUAAGUUGAGUAAAUAACAUUUAAGUACAAAUUUUUUUAUAGAAUAUGUAUAACAUACAUAAAAUAAUUACAAAUAUAGUACAAUUUCUUUUAAAGAUAAAAAGCUCAUGCCUAACUACUAUUUUAAAGGUAUUUUUUAGGUUCUCAUAAUUCAAAGCCAUCAAUGAUGUUGAAAGCCAUAGAUAGUACUAAAGGUUAUGAUAAUUGAUAGCUUUCAAUUUGCAAAAUACACUAUCAUUGAUUACUAUUAGCGAUACAUUAUUUUAUCAUUAAUAGUCACUAAAUUGCAUGAACUUUUAUAAAUUUUGCUAUUUUGAAAAAUAUUUUAUGCUAUAUCUUUUGUUUGUUUUUUGGAUUGUGUAAUGGUAUAAUUUUUCAUUUAGUAAAAUACAUCUUUACCAUAAAAACGAGUAUAAAAAUUAGGAGAUUACCCCAAAGAUAAACAAAUUUUCUUUUGCACGUUGGAAAUUUUCCUCCUUUUCGUCAUGGGUUACGGUACCAUUUCACAGGUCACCCAAAGCCUCCACCUCCUAUCCUCCUUCUCCCCUUUCGAGUUUUUAAAUGUAAAGGACUGAAAGAAGCAUAUUUUAUAAAACUUGGGGGAGUAAACGUUGUGUAAUUUUGCAAUUUCUUUUUGGCUCACAAUUUUUGUGUAUAAAUUAAAAUGUUUUAUAGGGACAUUUGAACUUUAUAAUGUUUUCUUGGUAUUCUUUCUUUCUUGAUUCUUUCCGUUCAGCUUCUUUCUGGAUAUGUGUUAUGAUUUCUUUUAACUUUCUUUACGUUUGAUUCCUUGUUUUUGUUUCUGGGUGUUCUUCUCAGCCCUACGUCUUGGACUUCCGUUUGUUCCGAGUUAUCUUGGGCACGUUGGAGCAGUGGAAGAUAUGUUUCAAGGAGUGCUGGAGUUAUCUUCACCAGGGGAUCCCAAUGUUCAAAAUCUUUACCCUGCAUGGGAUUUUAACCAAUUUCUUGCAGUCACAAUCAGACAGGAAGUCAAGGUGAUUUUAUUGUAUAUAGUUCUUGCUAUGCUACAUAAUAGGAAAAAGUAUGUGCAUAUAUUACCCAUUAUGCCAUCUCUUUGCCUUCGGGAUAUUGUUGUUGUGCACAUAUUUUCAUUUUCCAAAGUUUGAGCUUUUGGAUUAUUUUAGAUAUUGGAAACUAACCAUGCAAUAUAUUGCAAGCCCUGCAUAUAAGUUUCGUUUAUUUCCACUGUGUUAAUUUACCAAUUGUUCAAGUACUUCCUAAAAGGCUUUGUGUUGAUGGUCCAGAAUUUGUAUUACAUGAAUGGUAGGAGAAUCGUUGUAAUGGGAUUGACACCUAUUGGCUGUGCUCCUUUCUACCUAUGGCAGUACCUUGGUGAGAAUGCAGCGUGUACUGAGGAGAUAAAUGAUAUGGUUAUCAAGUUCAACUUUUUCAUGAGAUACAUGGUCGAGGAGCUCAGCAUGGAGCUGCCUGAUUCGAAUAUAAUCUUCUCUGAUUUGCUUCGAGGUUUAAUGGAUAUCUUGAAGAAUCAUAUUUGUGCUCUUCAAGGUUCAAUGGAUUUGAAUCGGACAUCUCCAUGUCGAACUCUUCGAUGAUGUAUCUCACAACAAUGUCGAACUCGAUAAUCAUAUUGUUUAUCUCUUCGAUACACGCUCCAUUCUCACUACGGUGCUACCAUAAGUAGAGUGGUGCACAACCAAUAGGUGCCAAUCCUAUUCGGAUGGUUCUCCUAGCAUUCACGUUAGACAAAAUUCUAGAACACUAAUACAAAGUCUCUUGAGAAGUUCUUUGACAGAUUGAUAAAAUUAACAUGGUGGGAAUAAAUGAAAUUUGUAUGCAGGGUUUACACUGUUGGAUUAAUUUUCAAUAUUUAAAAUGAUCCAAAAGUUCAAAGUUUGUCUCUCUCAUUGUGUUAGUCCCUUCUUUUCCAUCUAGGUUUCAACGUAACUUCGAAUGCUUGUUGUGGGUUUGGUUGUUACAAUGGUUGGAUCAUGUGCAUCUCACCAAAUUAUGGCUUGUAAAAAUGCUUCUAAUCAUAUUUGGUGGGAUCAAUUUCAUCCAAUGAAUGCAGUGAAUGCUAUUCUUGUAGCUAACGUGUGGAGUGGCCUCCACACGACAAUGUGCUAUCUAAAGAAUUUGCAGGACGUGAUAAACUCUCGUGGCUGAAGGAUACUUUGGUCUGGCUUGUUCAUUCACAAAGCUUACAACAACAUAUUCCAACACAUUCCAACAUAAUACUUGUUACCACUCCACCAGUCCUCCAACAUAAUAUUUUUUGUCGUUCCGAAUCGUUUAGCAAAUUGUGGAACCAAGAGAGAGAGCUAUAGAGAGUCUGACGUCGAGGAACCACACAUGCCAAAUAUAUGUAAAGGAUUCAACAUAAAAUGAAAGAACAAAGUCCUUAGGAGGAAGAAGAUCCCAAAUAUUCCACACAAGGGACAGAAAGUUCAAUAGAGGUGGUGAUUUCUCUAAACAUGGAACUAUACUUUUUGUUUUUUGCGUUUUGUUUUUUUUGUUUCUGUUUUCAUUGUUUGGUUAUGUAGACAACAAAUAUUUUGAACAUGGAGCUUUUGUAUUGUGUAUAAACUCUUGGCUCUUAAUACAACUGUAUUAGUUUCUCUUUUAGGUGGUAAUAUCAUGUAAUAAAUAUUAUUCUAUAUUUGUGUUCUUUCUGCAUGGUUCUUUCUUUUCUUUUAGAUUUAAUCUCCCUAUAAACGAUUAAGAAGGACAAUUAAGAAGUUGAUCAUUUUAUGUUAGAUUAAGUAUUGAAUUUUAUGUUAAAAUCAGUAACUUUUAGAUUUAUUGCAACACAUGCUUGAAUUUUAUAACGUUUUCUAAUACAUGAAAUUGAGGUGCACGAACAUUAUAUUAUUGGUACAAUAAAUCAUAUGUAUAAAUGUAUUUUAUUUGUAUUUGUGCCUUUUAGAAGUGUUUUUUUUAGUAUUAUAUAUAAAAAGUUCAUUAUUAUAUAACCAAGAAUGUAACAGUUAAAAAAGAGUUUGGAUCUUUUGAAAUUUACAAGAUAUACCAGAUUUUAGAUUAAGAUGUAUAAUUAUAUUCAUUGUUUGAUUCCAUUUUUAUUACUUUAAAAAAGAAAUUGAUUUAUUGACAAGCAUGUGCAAGUUUUUUAUUCUUAAUUGAAGUUUAGCUCUUCGAGUUUAAUCUAAACUCUAGAUUACAUGUCAUUCUUGUGAAAACUUUACAUACAAAAAACUGACUUUGAGAGUGUAUAUACACGACCAAAAUAUAAGCAAUCAUAUUAUUUCAAUCUCUAUCCGUUACCAAAUAGACACCAAUCACCACCAUACUUCUAGAAAGCAAGCAUAGCAUUAGGAAUUCUUCUGCAAGUUUUUUAUGUCACUGUUUCUUAUAUGUGUGUUUAUGUUGGAGAAGUGGUUGAGCAGUAACAAGAAGUUAGAUUCUCAUUCAAUAUAAUGUCUAUGGUUCUUCAGGAUUUCCAUGGAAAUCAAAAAGCAAAUCACAGACCAUUAUACUCGAAUCAGGCAUCUCCAUGUCGAGCUCUAUAACGAUGUAUCGCAUGACAAUAUCAAACUUAAUAAUCAUAUUGUUUAAGGAUAGUUGCAAAUUUAGCCAUUAGUUUCAAAAUAAUUAAGUAUAUAACAAUAUUUUAAAAAAUUUGCAAAUAUUGCAAAAUUUGUCAAAUUCUAUGAAUUAUACAAGUCUAUCACCGAUAGACUAUGUUGUAAAUAUUGGUUUAUCACUGAUAGAUCAUACGGGUCUAUCAAUGAUACAAGUCUAUUUUACAAUCUUUUUAAAUAUUGCUAUAUUCUUAAUUAUUAUUUCAAAUGACCAUCCAUUAUAAUUACUCUAUUGUUUAUCUCUUCAAUACAUGCUCCAUUCUCACUACUGUGCUGCCAUAAGUAGAGUGGUGCACAACUAAUAUGUGACAAUCCUAUUACAAUAGUGCUAAUAGUUCUACUAGCAUUCACGUUAUACAAAAUUUUAUAUCACCAAUACAAAGUCUUUUGAGUAGUUAUUUGCCAGAUUGAUUUAAGUGACAUGGUGCCAAUAAAGAAUAAAUGAAAUUUAUAUACAAGCUUCAGAUUGUUGGGUUAAUUUUGAAUAAUUGAAAUGAUCGAAAGACUUAAAAUUUGAAAAUGAAGAUGUAUGCACAAUAGGUAGUAAUGUCGCUAUAUACAUUUUUUUCUAUUAUAUAAUAAGAAGUAUAUAAUCAAAUCAGAUUGAUUUCUAAUCUUAGAAACUAGUUUUACUAAUAAUUUUCUAAAUUUUUGUUGUUUGUAAAUAUAAUAAAAUUUUUAGAAGAUAUGAUAUUCGUUAUGAAAUUUAGUUAUAUUUAUAAAUAGUUUUGGAUAAUUUUUUCAUUUUAUUUGAAAUAAAUUCACAAUUUAGAAAUUAAAGUUUGUAAUUAUUUUUUUAUUUAAAAAAAAAAGGAUAAAAUUUGGUUUUACAUAAACCCCGUCUCCUUCAACCUCUUCCUAUCUCGGGUUUCCACUUUUCAAGCAGAAGAGAAAUGAAGGUGAUUUCCAUAGCUCUAUUGAGUUCUCUCGUGGUCUUCACUUUAAAAAUCUAUGAUAUUUGAUUCCUCUUUCUUGUUCUUCACAAAUGGCCUCCAUUGAUUCACUGUUAUCUCCAAGGGUCUUCCUUCCACAAUCCUCCUUCAACCCACUCACUCCUCGUCUGAACCAUCUACAAACUCAGCGUUUCAAUUUCACUCGGAAUCCCAGAACGCCAUUUUUGUUUCUUCACCCAAACAGGUUUGCUUUCUGUUUGGCAGUUUCAAAAUCUUCUGAUUCACCGUCACAGUCCUCCGGUGGCGAUAAAGCUGCCCAACAUGAUUUUGUAACCAGGGUUUUGAAGGAAAAUCCCAGCCAAUUGGAACCCAGGUAUUUAAUUGGCGAUAAAUUGUAUACUUUGAAAGAGAAAGAGUAUUUGAGUAGAAAAUUGGAGGUGGGUGUGUUUGAUUUUGUGGUCAAGUGGUUGAAUUCGAGAAAGAAAUCGAAGGAGGAGGGCAUUGAGGGUCGUAAUGAGGGUGGAAAUAAGAGUGAGGAUGUGUAUUUGAAAGACAUCUUGAGAGAGUAUAAAGGGAAGCUUUAUGUGCCUGAGCAGGUUUUCCGUUCAGAGUUAUCGGAGGGAGAAGAAUUUGAUAGAAGUCUUGAGGCGUUGCCGAAAAUGAGCUUUGAGGAUUUUGUGAAAGCUUUGGAGAACGACAAAGUCAAAUUGUUAACUUCAAAGGAGAGUAGAGCUACCUUUUAUGGCAGCAUGUUCAGAGAUUUUAUUGUCGAUUUAAAGGAAAUUCCAGGUGAAAAGAGCUUGCAAAGAACUAGAUGGUAAACUUGACUAGCUUACAUCCUUUCUUCUUGAUUCUUUCUCUAUUUGUUCUAAUAAAUAUGCUUUUACCAGGGCGUUAAGGCUUGAUGAGACUGAAAUCCAAACAGUAUUGGAGCAGUAUACAGGUCCGCAAUACCAAAUUGAGUCGCAUACCUCGGUAGGCAAUCAAUUUCUCAAACUAGUUUUAGUUUUGACAGGUCGAGUUAAGAUUUGUAAGGUUGCAGAAUCUCUUUGCUCUGAAAUUUUUUUCACUUUUAUCAGGAAUUUCCAUUUCACCUACGAUCUUACUUGAACACGAUAUGUUCUAUAGGUUGUACGGUUAUCUUCAUUCAUCCAAAUCCGAUAGUGGGGUUUUUUCUCUUAUACAAAAGAAUAUACAUGUAUUUUUUAAAAUCAGAGUUGAACCUAGCUUGGGAUUGUGUGUUUCAAUUGGAAUGUGUAUCCUAGUUUUUGUAUAGGGUAUUUCAUCAUAUUGGAAUCUCUUCUUCACAUAAAAAUGAUUUUCUAUUUCACAAAAGGAAUAUGAAAAGAGGCUAGAAGAUUUGAUGUUUAUGAAAAGAGGCUAGAAGAUCUUAUGUUUAUCUUCCUUGAUAUCUUGAUUCUUAUGAUACAGUCUUGGGUGGGAAAAUUGCCCAAUUACCCUCAUCCCGUAGCAAGUCAGAUAUCUAGCAGAAUGAUGGUAGAGCUUGGAGUAGCGACUAUUAUGAUAGCUGCUGCAGCGUUUCUUAUUGGAGGGUUCCUAGCUUCUGCUGUAUUUUCUUUUACCGGUUUUGUCUUUUUUACUGUGGUAAAUGUUGUAUGGCCAAUAAUCAGACCAUUUCUUAAGCUUUCUCUUGGUCUGAUCUUUGGCAUUUGUGAGAGGGUUUGGGAUAACGUUGGUGAUUUUUUUGAAUAUGGAGGGGGGUUUUCCAAGCUUCAAGAGGUUUUCAUUUACUGUGGUAUCUCUGACAGUCUUGAGCUUAUUGUACCAAUUUCAACCAUUGUUUUAAUCAUGGUUCUUCUUCUUCGCUUUACACUUUCAAGAAGGCCCAAGAAUUUCCGCAAGUGGGUAUGUCCUUUUCUAUUCAUUUUUCCACCUGUGUUAUUGCUUUCUGUGCAUUUACAUCUUUUUCAAGUGUUGGAGGUAAAAAUAAUAUUGACAUCUUUCUUACUUCUAUGCCACCGUGUCCAAAGAUCAAUGACAAAGAAAGAAUUUCUCAUUUUGAUGGAAAGUGUAUGAACUAUUAUCUUUUCCUUGCUUUCUUUAUCAUGUAGGAUCUUUGGCAAGGGAUUGAUUUUUCACGCUCCAAAGCAGAAGCUCGUGUUGAUGUUAGUACUCAUUUCAAGUUCUUAUAGCCUCUUAGAGUAAAAGAUAUAUAUCCUAAGCACCAUCCUGUUGCUCUCGAAUGAAAAUUUUCAGGGUUCAACUGGAGUCAAGUUCAGUGAUGUAGCAGGAAUUGACGAAGCUGUAGAGGAACUCCAAGAGGUACUUAGCCAUCAGUUGAGGCCUCACCCAUCCUUCCUUUGCUUUAUUAAUUUCAUUUCUAUCGCUCUAUGCUCAAAAUAAACAAUGGGAUCUUUCAUAAUUUUGUCUUACGAAGAGAGGACACAUUUCAACGUAUAUCAUAAUAUUUAUGAUGAAAUUUGAACCAGCAUGUAAAGUUUUCUUUCCUUGCUAGAAAUGUGUGCGCUCAAGCUCUUUGUUAUUAUGUUAAUUUUAUAUAGAUGAAGAUGCAGGGGAAAUGGGAAAAGAUGGGAAUGAUUGGAGGAGUUGAAACUCAUAAGUCAGAUGUCCUGAUACUGACAACUACAUUUUUCUUAACAGAAAUGGAAAUUUAAACUUUUAUUAGGACAUAUGGAAGAGGAGCUGUGCAAAAUAACAAAAAAUAUACAAGUUACAAUAAAAGGUUUCAGUUGUUGAAAAAACUAUAUUCAUUCCUUUAGUAUUGAAGACUUGCAAUCCGAUUUUUACACCUUAUUCAUGUGAAUUCCCUGGGAAUAAGAUUUCACUUUUAUGUCAUUUAUCUUGUCGUUGGCAGUGAUUUUGUAUCUGGUCAAUAGGCUUCUCAUCUCAAUUUACUAUUUCAAUGAUGUACGUUGAUAUAUUUAUUGUUGCUUGAAAGCUGUAAGUUUUAAUCAAGUGGUGGAUUUACCCUUUUAUUACUAUCCUGUUUAGUUGGUGAGAUACUUGAAGAAUCCUGAAUUGUUUGACACAAUAGGCAUAAAGCCUCCUCAUGGAGUUCUUUUGGAAGGACCUCCUGGCUGUGGUAAGGUUAGUUUCACUCCCUCUAGAUCUGGAAAUAUUUGAGCUGUAAUAUUCAUUUACACAAAUUUAACUCCAGCCACAUAUUUCAGACGUUGGUGGCCAAGGCCAUAGCUGGUGAAGCUGGUGUUCCAUUUUACCAAAUGGCUGGAUCCGAGUUUGUUGAAGUUCUAGUUGGUGUUGGUUCUGCUCGUAUUAGAGAUCUAUUUAAGAGAGCGAAGGUGAUACUUCAGUUCUCAGCACCUUGGCACUUUUUUAGUAACAGUUUGAAGUAUCUUCUUAUAUUCAAUAAGUUAUAUGUGUUCAAGCCAUGAUUAAAAGCAACUUUAACUCUUCCAAUAGUAUAUCUUUUUCUUAGGUCAUUCAUUAUCAUUUGGGAACUCCUUAACUGAUAAGCUUGUAGGACCUCAUGUAAGGUUUUUGUUUUUAAGCUUAGAUGGUUUGCCUCAUUGGCUAAUCUUUGUCCAGGUUUUGGUGAAAGUUGGGGUUUUCUCAGUAGUAGUUUGAAAAUGAAAAAUUGACUCAGCGUAGCUGUUUCAAAUAACUAUGUACGUAGUUUAAGUGCAGAGUGUCACUUGUCUGUUGUUUCUAAAGUCGGUUAUCUAUGUUGUCUAUAUGCAGGUAAACAAACCUUCAGUUAUCUUCAUUGAUGAAAUUGAUGCCUUGGCAACUAGGUAUUCAGGACAUUGAACUUCUUUGUUUUAUUUUAGUUAAUAGAUUACAUUUAAUAUAUCACACUAUAUGACAUGUUAUCUUGUGCAAUGGCCAGUGUCUAUCAUUUGGGCUUGGGGUUCACGCCCCCAUGUUGAGAACUUUAUAACUUGGUUGAAAUCUCUCUAAAAGUUAGUGGGGUCUCAACAUCCCAUAUUAUUGGAUAUUAGAUUCCAUUUAUUCUGUUAAUUUAUUUUCAUGUCUUUUCUUUUAAGCAACAACCAAAAGACCAGAAUAACUAUUUUCAUCUAUAUUCAUUCUUAUAAAUACUAUCAUGUCUCAGGCGUCAGGGAAUUUUCAAGGAAUCUACAGAUAAUCUCUACAAUGCCUCUACUCAAGAGAGGGAAACCACAUUGAACCAACUUCUUACAGAGCUUGAUGGAUUUGAUACUGGAAAGGGUGUUAUAUUUUUAGCUGCCACGAAUAGAAGAGAUCUGUUAGAUCCUGCGCUUCUUCGACCGGGUCGUUUUGAUCGAAAGGUUCAAUUUUUUGCUUCAUGAAUGUAAUGGCUUGUUUUUCUGCCUGGGGAAAAUGAAUACAGAAAGAUAUCAAAUGUGCUUUUCAAAUAUUCUUGAAAUCAAGUGUUUCUGAAUGCAUGGCAUCAUUUAAGAAUUUGAAUACAUAUGCAUUCAAAUUAAAGAUUAUUCAUGAUGAUGGAUGACCUGCUAAUCUUUUUAAAUAUGUUUUCCCUGGCAAAUAAACAAAAAUUUCCUGCUAAUAUUAUGUGUUGUGUUUAUGCAUAUAAUAUAUAAAACAUAAAAGGUAUACAGCAUGUGAGCAUACUUGUAUGAUUCUGCUUGUUUGUCUAUACUGCUAAGUACCUUCUUGGGCCAUUCUGUGUAGAUAAAAAUUUGUCCCCCGGGUGCAAAAGGAAGACUCGAUAUCUUGAAAAUUCAUGCAAGCAAAGUGAAGAUGUCACACUCUGUUGAUCUAAGCAUCUAUUCACGAAAUUUACCUGGUUUGUUCUUUUUUUGCUUUUUAUAUCGAUCUGUAACUUUGUUUCUUGAAUUGACAUAUCAAAUAACCAGGUUGGUCGGGAGCAAAGUUGGCUCAACUUGUCCAGGAAGCUGCUCUUGUUGCUGUGAGGAAAGGGCAUGAAUCUAUUUUCCAGUCAGACAUGGACGAUGCAGUUGACAGGCUCACUGUGGGACCAAGACGGAUUGGCGUAAAGCUAGGUCAUCAGGGACAAUGCCGGAGAGCUACCACAGAAAUGGGUGUUGCUAUAACUUCACAUUUGCUUAGGAGAUUUGAGAGUGCAAAAGUUGAAUGCUGCGAUCGCAUUUCAAUCAUCCCUCGUGGUUGGGUCCGUUCAAAUGCUUCCUUAUUUAUUUGUUGUGAUAAAAUUUCUUUAGCUUCAUAGAUGUCAAACUGCCAUGUUAGGCUUAAAUAGGAAAAAAACCAAUCUUUUUUUCACUUUUUUCUAGAAAACUAAACUGGUUGUCUAACUCAUACCGUUGAGAAGUUUGGUUUAUAUCUUUUCACAUGCUUACGGUGGUUUUCACAUUCAUUUGAAUUGAAGGAUUUAGCAUCAGCUGUAAAUCUGAAAUUUUGUGAGUCAGUUGGGUUUUUAUGAGGAUCCUUACUUUCUUAGUUUGAGUAUUUGAAUGUGAGUUCUUGGAGGUUAUUAGAAGAAGUGGGGUAUGUUUGUAGUUGAUCUUUUGUGAUCAAAUGCCAAUGAAGUACUUUGCUGUAAACACUUUUUGACUUGUGGGUGGAUAUCUUUCUCCAACUCUCUUUUCUAUUGGCUUAGUGGUCCGGCCUUAGAUUGUAACUGAAAUUGGUUUCUUAUUGAAGAGAAAUAUUUUCUGCAGACAUUGUCACAAGUUGUGUUCCGCCGACUCGAUGAUGAAUCAUACAUGUUUGAGCGACGACCACAAUUACUUCAUCGUCUUCAGGUUUGCUAACAUGGAACCUAACAUGCCACUUUAGAUUGUUCCUUUGUGUGCGCCUCUUUUUGAUCAUCUGAAACUUUUAAGACGAACGUUUAUCUUUCUGUAGGUUUUCCUUGGAGCCAGGGCAGCGGAGGAGGUCAUAUACGGUCGGGACACAUCAAAGGCAUCUGUUAGCUAUCUUGCUGAUGCCUCUUGGCUUGCUCGUAAAAUCAUAACAAUGUCAGUUACAGUUAACAGACCUUGAUUUUUUAACUGAUUUUAUAUUCUUCGCUUUACAUGGAUGGUUGCUUCUCCUCUGUAGUUGGAAUUUGGAAAAUCCCAUGGUAAUACAUGGGGAACCGCCACCAUGGAGGCGGGAAGCGAAUUUCAUUGGUCCAAGAUUGGAUUUCGAAGGCUCCCUUUACAACGACUACAAUCUAACCGAACCCCCGCUGAAUUUUAAUUUAGACGACGAAGUUGCUCGGAGAACUGAAGCACUCAUACGUGACAUGUAUGAUAGGACAUUGGCUAUGCUCCAGAGGCACCACGCAGCAUUGCUUAAAGCCGUGAAGGUAAAUAAACCAAUCAUGUCUAAAAGCAGUCAAGGUUCGAGUCUUCUGUUUUAUACAAUUCGUCUUCAACCUUGAACCUUUUUCUGGAACGGAAUGGCAGGUUCUCAUCACCCAGGAGGAAAUAAGUGGAGAAGAAAUCGACUUCAUUCUAGACAAUUACCCUCAACAAACACCUAUCAGCGUUGUUUUGCAAGAGGAAAACCCUGGGAGCCUCCCAUUUGUAAAACGAAAACGAGAAAAUGAACAGGAACGAGAACAAGAACGUGAUUUUGAGUACGGUGCCAUUCCUCAGUCUGCGAUCAUCGAAGCUUGAGAAGGAUGCAAAACCUGUAUGUGAAAUUAGCAACUGAUUAUGGGGCACCAUGACCUCUCUUUGCAUAGCAUCAUCAGUUUUUUAGGCUUCAAGAUGGUAGCAGCUAAAUUGAGAUGGCAAGUAUUGCCAUAUUAUUUUCUCAAAAUUCACAUUUUUUAUAAUAAAUUCUCAUAGGUUGAAUUUACAAUUAUGAAGUCAAUAUUACAUACUCUGUAGGUAGAACUUUUGAACUUUAUAUACUAUAUUUAAUAUUUUCUUUAUCUUAUAUGUUCGGUAGUUUCUCAUCAAGAUCUUUGUAUUAAUAAAAUUUCAACUUCUUGGUUCAAAUUCAAUAUCAAAUUUAUUUCAUUUGAUGUUUUUUUUUAAGAUAUAAUGUCUCAUUCUAUGAAAUGUUUAUCAAUUAUGAAUAAAGAAAGGAUGGUUUGACUUAGAACAUAGAGUUAUUAUUAUUUUGGGUUAAAUUAUAAGUUUAGUACUAACUUUGUGUUUUCAAGUUUAUGAAAUUUUGUGAUAAAUUGAAAUUUAUGUCUAAUGAAGUUCUAAGUUGAAAUUUUGUCUAAAAGAUAUUAAUGUUUAAAUAUUAAAAACAAGAUCAAAUCUACAUAAGAUUUUAGAACUAAAUUUUUAGAAUUGUAAUAAAAUGAAUACAAUCAAAAACAUUAACAAACAAAUUACAGAACUUUUAUUUUUGGAAAAAAGUGAAAGUAGUAAAAAGAAGGAUAAUUUUCAGGGAAAAGAAAAAAAGAGAGGAAAAAGCUAUGUCUAAGAGCUAUAAAUGUAAGUGUGUACAUAGUACAUGCUUUUCUCACCCCUCAAGAACUAACAUAAUUAGCAUAUAAUAUCUUAAUUAUUCUCACUAAUUAAUGAAAUUAAUAAGUGCAAAUUAUAUAAAUGAUACUUAAGUAAAAAAAUUAAUAGAAUAUACAGAUAAGAUAAUUAUAUAUGUGAGUUCAAAAAUUGAUAAAAGACUAAAAAGUUUAUGUUCAAUUUUAAAAGGUUUCUUUUUUAUUUCUCAAAAUUGAAAGUUGUGAAUAAGAUUGAUGGCUAAUGACUUUCAAAUUGAAAAAUAUGCUAUCAGUUGCUAUGACUGAUAUCAGCUAUCAAUGAUAGUUUCUAUCAUCGCGAAUCGUUAAAUGGCGGAUUUGAUAUUUUAAAAAUUUUGCUAUUUUUUCAAAUAUUCUAUCGUUGUGCUAUACUUUUGGAAAAAUGAUAAAAACGACACAGUUUAGAUUUUGUAUUUUAAAAGUAACGUACUUUUAAAAAAGUUACAUUUUUGUUUUUCUCAAGCAUUCUUGCCCAUAAUUGACCCCAAGAUAUAAUGUAAUUUUAUGUGCUAAAGAUUUGUUUCGAGUUUUUAUAAACAUAGUAAAAUGCAUCCCGGGAUUAAUUUUUCAGUUGGGACAAAUUUCUUCAUAACCGAAAAUAUUAUCAUUAUUUUUAAAAAAAUGAAAGGGCUUGCUCAAGAAAUUUCACCACCAACUCUCAAGAAUUUUUUUAUAAUUGUUUGAACUCUCUCAUUUCCUUCCUCCUACAUUUCAUAUCUUUCGAAGCCAUAAAAAAAAAAAAAAAGAAAGAAAGGUGAAUAUAGCUUACCGUUGUUUGUAAAUUACAUUUUUAUUGUCAUUUGCAUACUGAUUAGGCUAGCAAUUGUUUCUUUUAGGUAUUUUCGUACGUUAUCUCGAUUCUUAUUUAAAGAUCUCAAUCGAGUUGUUUUAUAUUUGACACGAGAUUGGUAUAGAAUUGUAAAUCUCGGUCGAGUUUUAAUGAUUUCACCUCGAGAUUUUUGUUAUAAUUUUACUUUUUCUUUACAUAUUUGCAACAUGCCUAAUGUAUUUGUUUGUUUAGGUGAAAAAUGAAAAGAGAUUGAUAAAGAAUAUGUUGGAGGUCAAAUGAAAGGGUUGAAUGUCAACAUUGGUAUAAAAUUGAAGGAGUUUUUAGGAGAAAUUUAUAGAAUUAGUGGGAUAAAUUUGGCUAAGUAUGAGUUGAUUAUGAGCUGCUUGUAUAACGUGAAACCUUUUAUAUCUGUUUUAUUAUUAGUAACCAAAAAGAUCUUCAAAUAUUUUUUAACCGGUAAUGAUGUAUCUUAAAUAGCGAUUUUGGUUUCGAAGGUAUUAAUAUCAUCAUGUCAAUGUAGAAGUACUUCAAAGUCAUUUACUAUUCCAAUGGUCCAAAAAAAUUAAAUUAUUGUCACAUGAGUCCAACGUUUAGUUAAUCCUAGAGUACAAUAGUGUCUUGAAUGAGGUCCGAGAUUUGAGUUCAUGGACUACUAACAUGUGUCCUUUAGAGCUACGAGAUGAUACAUAUGGAUUGGUUAGUAUGGUACAUAUAUAGAGUCAUGGGACGAUUAUGAGAUGUUGACAUGGAUGUUGAGACGUUUGAGGAAUCUGAGACAGAUGUUAGUCCUCAUUCUGAAAAUCAUAUGCAACUGAUAAACGAUCAUAUAUCGAUUGCAACAAAUGUUGAAUGUCCGUUUAGUGUAGAAUCAAGUGAAGAAAGAGGACAUGUGGGUGAUAGAAACCCAACUCGGGAUGAUCAGUCGAUGUGUUAGUGGAUAGUGACGACAAACAAUCAAUUAAUGUUAAGAAGCGAAAGUGUAUUGAAAGAUUGAUGGAUUGCACUAUUGUCGUCUCAAUUGAGUCAUACCUUAAAAAAUAUCUAGGUUGGUUAUUUGUUUUUAAGUAAGAAAGACUUAGUGAAGAAACUGUAUGUAUUUUCCAUUGAGAAGAACUCUCAGGGUCGUGUUCAUAAAUCAAAUAAGAAGUUAUAUGUGGUAAGAUGCAUCAAUCCUGUUUUUUUAUUUUUUUAAAAAAACUAAGAGCCAUUAAAAUGAAAGAUUUUGAUAUGUUGAAAGUUUCUAAGUGUGCUAGUACUCACACACGUCAAAAGAUUUUACGAAACCAAGAUUACAAGCAAGCCAAGAGUUGGAUAAUUUCUGAAUUAAUUGAGUCGAAGUAUACCAAGAUGUUAGUCGUAGUCAUAGGCUGAGAGAAAUAAUUCAAGUUUUUUGAAGGAAUACGAGGUAGACAUUACUUAUGUGAGUCCGUGGAGGGCUAAAAGAGAUGCAUUGUCCAUGGUCAGAGAUUCCCCUAAAGAAUCUUACACUUCGUUAGUUCGGUAUGGAAAAGCGUAGAAGAUUUGUAAUCCUGGUACUCACUACAAUUUGGAGACAGAACCCGAUGAUCAUUUCAAGUACAUGUAAAUGGCAGUUGAGGUAUUUGUUAGAGGUCUUUUAAAUUGCAUUAGGCCGGUCAUCAGGGUUGACGCUACACAUUGCAAGGGGAAGUAUAAGGGUAUCAUGCUCGUAGCGAUGUCCAUUGACUCUAAUAAGCAAGUAUAUCCGAUGACUUUUGGGUUGAGUGAUAAGGAAAAUGAUGAGUCAUGGACGUGAUUCAUGAGAAGAUUACAAAUAAAUAUCAAUGUUAUCAAUGAAGUAGUGUUUGUAUCUGACCGCUACAAGAGUAUUGCCAAACCCACAGCGUUAGUCUUUCUAGAUAAUUUCCACCCACUGUGUAUAUCCAUCAUUUGAGUUUGAACUUUAUGACAAAAUUCAACAAGGAUAACAUUUGUUAAUUUUAUGUUAGACGCCAAAGCAUGUCGUGAGUCAGUGUUUCAAUAUUACUAUAACAAGUUGGCUUCAUACAAGGGAGUUCAAAGGCAUCUGACCAAAGUAGGGUUGUCAAGGUGAGCCCGUGUAUACCAAGGUGGGUAUGAGUUAUGAUUAGAUGACUACUUAUAUCGUGGAGUGCAUCAACACAGUUUUAAAGGAUACACAUACACUACCUAUCACCACUUUCUUGAACCACCUGGUGUGCACUAAGAAUGGUUCUCUGAACGUAGAAAAAUAGCGUCACAACGAGAUUCAUUAUUGUCUGACCAUGGGAAAUCUCUGAUUAAGCUAGCUAAUUUAAGUCCAGAGGGCAUAUAGUGUGAUCUAUUUACCAACACAAGUUGGAGAUUAUAGAAUGUCAUCUAAACGUUUGCAUCAAUUUACAUGAAAGAACUUGCAUGUGCAGGAAGUUCGAUUACUAUGAAAUCAUGUGUUCACAUGCACUUGCUGCUUGUAGGGUCAGGAACAUCGACCCAUACACCUUAUGCUCCAAUGCAUACGUCGUCACAUCUUGGUUGGUCAGUUGUUACGUUGAACCUUAUAGAUGUUAUCACUAAAAACAUUUAAUUUGAGAAAUAUGUUAUCAGUUGAUAUAAUUAAUAACGACUAUUAGUGAUAAAUGAAAGGAAGAAUAACUUUAAAUGAGAAAUAUGAUAUGAAUUGUUAUAAUUAGCUACUAUAGAUGAUAAGUGCUAUUGUGAUGACUUCCAAUUUAAGAAAUAUGAUAUUAGUUGCUAUCACUAAUAUCGUCUAUUAGCGAUGUUGCUAUCAAUUGAUAUUUCUAAUAGCUACUAUAAGUAAUUUUUCUAUAUUGCUAUCAACGGAAAAUGAUAUCACUAACAUUAUCUAUCAACGAUUGUAUUAUAAGGAUAUCACUAAUAGCAACUAUAAGCAGUAUCAUUGGAAUGAUGUUUUUUUAUAAGUGAUAUCUCUUUGAUAAACAUAUCAAUUUUGAAUUAAUAAGGUUUAAUUAGACUAUCAAUUGAUAUUUUUGAUAGCAACUAUCAAUGAUAUUCUUCUAUUUAUCAUUUGUAAUAUCUAUCAGGGAUAGCAACAGAAGAACAUUACUGAUAGUAUCUACAAGUAAUAUCCCUAAUAGACUACUACAUAUCAUCGAUAUCAAUGUCAUGCUACUCUAAAGUGAUAUUGUGGUUGUUUUUUUUUUAGCAUAAAUGAACAAAGAAAGAGAUCAAAUUAGCAUGCUAUCAGUAAUAACCUUGAAUCCCAUAUAAUAUACUAUCCAUAUGAUAGCUUCUAUCGUUGAUAGUAUAAAUGAAAUUUAUAUAGUUACAACUUUUGUUGAGAUAGAUGAUUGAUUGAAGUUAUACUAUCAACAUUUAUAUUAUGAAGAAAUUCAAAAUGCAAGUUAUCAGCGAUGUAUAAAUUCAUGAAAAAUAUAGUGACAUAUUAGAUAUGAUGUGAUGGAUAGAUGUCGUCAUUGUUAAUAUAAGAAGAAGGAAACAAAAUCGACAUUUAAAAAAAAUCUACCAUAUGACGGGUAAAAAAUUAAUAUUUUUGCAAAUAUUAUUCUAUUGUGAUAUAGAUAAUAUUUGUUUUACAAUGUGUGCUCUAUGUUGCAAUUUUCCAAUUUCCAAUUAAUAAAAAUGCAUUUUUACAAAAGAAAAAACGAGUUAAAAUUACGAAAUUACCCUCCACGAAAAACAAACUGACUGACAGAGAAGUUUCACACGUUGGGAAUUUUCCUCCUUUUCGUCGUCUGUUACGAUACCAUUUCACGGGUCACCCAAAACCUCCACCUCCUUCUUCCGCCCUUCCGAUACCGAAGAAAUUCCGGCUCCGUCACCAGAGAUCAUUUCCCCCACCGUCAUCUCCCUCGCCUGCCAACGCAUUUCAUCUUCCUAACUCCACAGUUGACCAUAUUUUCCAUACUUCGCCUUCUCUCGGCGACGGCGCGUUUUCACACCUUCCGCUGAAACCCGACGCGACAAAUUUUCUUAGGGUUUCAUGUUUUGUACGGUUGAACGUUAUACAGACGCUUUCAUGUCGUUUGAAUGGAGAUUGUUUCUUCUGCCACCAUUGCCUUGUCGUCCCAACCCUUUCCUAUAGCUGCGAUUGUUACUUUUCUUUGUUUUCUUCUUGCUAUUUUCGUUGCCGUUCGAUUGGUUUCUGUUCCUUACAUUAGAAGGACGAAAACUCUACAAUCGGAGAGCGUGGGUACGAGGAAUUGUAAUUGUACUUGUUCGCUUAACGGUGGUGUGGUUAUUAGGGGUUUGGACCCCAGGGCUGAGAUUACUUCUUCGACUAGUACGAGUAUGCCUUAUUUGAACGGUCGUGCAGUGGAAGUAUUGGAGAAGGCGCCGGUAGUUGUUACGGAGCGGCAGACGGGCGCUUCGAUGAUGGAGCAGUUAGUGCCGGAGAUUACUACGCACGCUCUUAGUUACUUGGAUUAUCCCAGCCUAUGCCGUCUGUCCAUGACUAAUUCUUUGAUGCGCAAAGCCGCAAAUGAUGAUAAUGCCUGGAAGGCGCUUUAUCAUAAGGUACAGAUUAGGUUUGAUCUUCUUUUGUACGGUUUUCGUUGGCUAAUUUAUCUUUCUUCUUGAAUAUGAGUGCCGGGGAAGAAACACGAAAGGGAAGAUAGAAUCUCUGUUCUUGGGAAUAUUGUUAUGAAACUUUCCUGUCCUUAUCUCGUGUACAUUUACUCAACGUCUUUUUGUAAUUCUUGAAGGGAACGAAUUGACUGUAUUAACUUUUAUAUUUCAAGUAAUGGGAUCGUUUCAAUUGAUGGGUUGUGGCCGAAGAUUGCAAGAACUAUCUCUAUGCUUUCCUUGUUGUAUUGUUGUUGAUGUUUAAAUCUAUUUAGGAUUCUCUGGGGCUAAAACAACCUUUCCAUGAAAUCUUUUAGGACUUCACACUGGAACAGGAUACUGUAACUCCAAUUAAUGGGUGGAAGUCUUAUUAUGCUGCAACAAGAACAAUUAUGAAUAUCAAUGCCCAAUUCUAUAACAUCAUCAGAGACAGGUCUCUUCAAGCGAUGAGUCGUUUUUGGUUGAAUGCAGAUUAUGUGAAGUGUAUUCAUGCUUCAGGAGAAUUCUUUUCCGGGUAUUUACCUUAUUGUCUUAUUUUUAGCAUGAUAUCAGAUUGCUGCUUCUUAAGGCUAACUAAAUUAGCAAACAUGGUCAACAUUUGCUUCUAUAGACUUGUGAUUCUGUGAAGUUGCAUAUAUUGCUCUCUUUUCUUUUUUGUCUUCUUAUAUGAUCUUUAAUUUUCUAAGCAUUUUUACUGAGAAGGUGAUAUACAAGGGAUAGUUAGAAAUGACUCUAGGCUUAUGAUUACUGUCAUAUGCGUGUUUUGGAUUACCUGAAUUUCAUGAAUUUAAGUUUUUCUUUAUAUAAGAACAUUUGUCCAGAAUUACUUUUUUACUAUGUUGGACCGGCAAUUGACCUUGACCUUGUCUCUCUACUCUUUAGUAUCACUUGAAUGUGGCUGUAUCCUAAUGUUUCUUGAUGGGGAAGAAUUUUGACCAUGCCUAUGGGCAUGGGUAACUAGAUUAUGUGAUUCAGAUACUGAAGAAUGUUUCUUGUAAUCCACUUCAGCCUUAUCGAGUUCAAUUUCUGAUAAUUUUGCAAAUAACCUUUGCGAUGAACAAUGACACUUUUGAUAGUUCUUGGUUGAACUAUAUUGAAGGGAUUGAAUCUUGAGCUUGUCAAGUUGCCGAUAUCUAGAUGUUUACACUAUUUAUGCAUGUUAUGUGAUGCAACAACUCUUUGAAUUCCUGUUAUAUGUUGAAUUAAGGCUUUCAAAUAAAUUCACAUAUAAUCCGGUACUUACUAUGUUUUGGGAUUUCUUUCUACAGGUAUAAUGCCGUAGUUCAAAGUUGGCAGGUUGCAUUUAAUUGGGAACAAGGGAUUAAUUUUCAGGUCCGUGACGUACGGGCUCGUGUGCUUACCGAUAUGGCUUGGGUUAGCAUGAAAACCUAUGUUGACAUGGAUACAGGGCCAUUCAACGUAACCAACAUUUACGAGUUUCAUAAUGGUCGAUGGUACAUGGUGCAUCAUCACAGCUCUGUAAUGCUUAUUGUUGGGGAGAUGGAACAACAAAUGGUUCAUGGCUAACAGAUUGAAGAUAGAAGAGAAAGUAAAGCAUGGAAAAAAUAUACAAUACUAGGUGGUACAAAGAUAGGGUGGUGUUUGGUAGAAGAAGCAAGAUUUAAAGGAAAAAGAAAAAAAAGUCUUGUCCAUUACUUUUAAUCAACACCAUUUUAACUGUUCCAACCUCAGUUUUGCUUGAUCUGUGUUGAUUGAUCCCUUUUUUUCUUUCGAAGUAUUUUUUUUUUCAUCCAUAGUUUGAUUCCAUGCUGAAGGCUGAAAUGGCUGUGCAUGUGUUUCCAGCAAUGAAGGAGUAGUCAUUAACAAAAAUUACCAAAUGUUUGUACUUCAUUUUUCUUAAAUCUUGCUAUUGAGAUGCUCAAUUAACUCCAUGACAGGUACCCGACUUGUUCAGUAAGUCUGUAUAAAAGGAAGGAUAAGAAAAAAGAACGCUGUAACAAUUUUAAUGUAAAUGUGUAAGCUUUCUUGUUUUGGAACUCCAUUGUUGGAGCAAUUGUAAAUACAUCUUUGUUGGUGAAGGUUUAAUAUCAUAUGAGUUUUUUUUAACUCAAAUGUUCUAGGUUCUGUGUGAAAAGAGCUUGCAAACAAUGUUCAAAUUCUUUUGUUUUGUUAUCUACUUUUUUACGUUUGUUUUUUAAGUACAAAUUGAAGAUGAGAGAUUUGAAUUCGAAUUUAUUGGUAAGUACACCACCAAAAAUUGAUUGCUAAAAAAUAAUUUAAAAUUAACUUUUUAUGGAAAGAUAAUUGCUUUAUCCACCAAACUAAUCAAUUUAACUUUCCUAAUAAAUUAGGAAUCUGAAUUUAUAUCUCUAACUCAGAAAAUUUAGAAGAUAUUCUUUAUAUCAUCCCAAAAGAAAAAAGAAUAAUAAUAAUAAUAAAAUAAUUACAACAGUUGUUUACGGUUUCGUUUCUGCCACAGCUUCUCUCUCAAAGGCAACCAAUUAGAAAAUCAGAAAUUUGAAGUUUUGUAAACAAAAACCACAAAUUCUUUGAGCCGCUCAUUAGGCCGGAAUCAAAUAUCUUGUUGCUCUGUGUGCCGCUCCUCUUCCACUGUCCACCACGCACCCACAAAAUGGGAACUUCUCUUCUCUCAGUUCCUGCCCCAUUCUUCCACUCCUCCCAUCGUUCCCGAUUCACCACUUCAUUCCCAUUUUCAUCAUCUAGACCCAGCCCCUUCCUCUCUUCUUCCUCCUCCUCCUCUUCUUCAUCUUCGGUUGUUGAUGAAGAACUCAAUUCUUCUUCCCCAGAUCAACUCUCUCUUCAAUCUGAAUCUGACCCAGAUGAUUCUUCCUUCAGGUAUUGUUUAUAUUCAUUCUUUUUCUCUAUAUCUUCAACUCACUCUGAUUCUGAUGUUAUAUGGGUUGCGUUGUCGAAUGGAAUGAAAACUUUAUAUUAUGCUGUUUAGAUUUCUGUUUCUACUUGGGAGUAAUAUGUGGGGCAUCGUUUGCGUUGUACUAUGAGAACUCUGUUAGAAGCAAAUUUUUCUUUAAAUUUUUAGCUUGCCCCUUAGCUAUUAUAACCCAUGCCCUUGCUCAUGCUCUAGUUGAUGGGUCAGAUAGAUUUGCCAAUUUUCCAUGCCAUUUCUAGAAAAUGGUUAAACAAACAUGAUGUGGCAGGAACUGUAUGACCUCUAGGCUUCCAUUGGUCGUACUAAAUCAUAUUGGUGUAAUUAGUUGAGAAACAAGCUGACACUGGACAAGACUUGGCUCAACUAUGAAAAUCACUAGUACCCCAUUUUGCUCGUUCCAAUUGAAGGCCAUGUAUUUUGGUGUGUAACUGAUGUGAUUUUAAUGAGCCCUAUAAUGCAUAUUGCAAACUAGUUGAAAGUUUCAAUUCUAAGUGUUCUUCUUACUAUCGAUCUGGAUGUAUGUUUUCAAGUCAUUUUCUCUUCAGAUAUUAUAGUAAUGGGGGUCAAUAUUAUGACUUAGAACGAGUUGUGUUUGUGUUUCAUUUCUUAUAAAUAGAGGAUGUAAGGCUUGUGGAAAGGAAGAAAUUGAGAGGGGAUGCAAUGGUGAGGGAAGGAUGCAAGGUGGAAUUGCAACAGUCCCUGGUUUUGGUUGGUGGCCUAUAAAGGCAUACAGGCCUUGUCCUGGAUUUGUAGCAUCAGGUGGCAGAUACAAGCGGCGUGGACAAAGCAUGGACGAGGUUACAUCUGGAGGAGGGAGGACCGAUGCCUCUGCUAGUGUUGGUAGAAAGGACUCGUCGAGGUACAAUCCUGCGAUCUCUUUUUUGACUUAAAUUCUUAUCUUUAUGUCCCUUUUGGAGUUCAUACUACUGCAGUCUAACAUUCUUCCUGCGUACCGAACUUUCAAAAUAACCAAACCAAAUGCUUGAUUCCAAUUCAGUGUACUUGCUAUAAAUGAUUGUUUGGAAUGACUUUUCAAGAAUUUAUGGUUUCUUGUUAUGACUAGGAACUCUUAGAAAAGUUAUUUGACAAUUGCUACGGUAUAACUAGUCUGUAUACUUUAGGAUAGAUGACUCAAAUUUAUGUCCAUUGUUUAUUAGCAGACAUGCAAAUUUUUAAAUCUAUGUCAAAUGGUUGUAAGUUAUUACGGGACAAUUGUGCGCUUGCUGACCCUCCGUUCUAUUGCUCUUUGUAUAACCUUAAUGUACAUUGAGUUUGUCUCUCUAUUUUUCAAUAUUAAUAAUAGUGAGACUCAUAUCGUUUUCAAAAAAAUAAGAAAAAAGUUAUUACGAGGCAACCACAUUGGAUAGUGUUAGAAUUAGUGGGCUUGUUGUAUGUAGAAAGCCCAAAUGUUUUUUAGUCUUUUAUGUUGCCCUAAUUAUCUUUCAUUAUUUUAAUAGGCUUCUAUUGCCUAUAAAUUAAUUUUAUAAUGCUCCCCUAUAUCAUUAAUUUUAUAAGUAAAAUUAUAAGAAAGAUUUGCACUGUUGUUUUUCUCCCUGAACUUUCCACAUAAAACUUGUGUUUGUUCUUCGUCUCUAUUUUCAAUAUGGUAUCAAAGCAUGGUAUUGACCGAACGCUAGACAUCAAAACUCUUUGGAAACCAAACAGAGGAGACAGCUGCCAGUAUCAGUACCGCUGUCCCCACCGCCACCAUCGUUGAUGCUCGAAUCAGUGCGCCAUGGAUGAGUGGUUUCGAUGCCUUCAGACAACGCCAGCCAACAUGAUAGUCACCCUUUACGUCGUCCACGCCUCCACGCGCCGCCGUCGGGGACCAACCCAUCCAGUUUAGAUCACGUUGGCCAAUCCUUCUCUACCACCCUUAUCUUCAUCUGCGACCUAUAAUGUCCCCCACGUGCCGCUCCAUGUUCUGCCACCUAAUUCCGUCAGGUCCAACCACCACUGCUUAUGUAGUCAAAUCUUCAAAUUUGUAUGCGCCGCCACCCACUCAACAUUCAAGGUUGAUGAAUCUUUGGCACAUUCUGACCAAAAUUCUUUUUAGGUAUAUCUCACCAGCAACUGGAAGAGCUUCGAUAGUAGAUUGCAGCAAUUGAGGCUACCUUAGGGGUGGCAUCCGACACUUUUGGUCAUGGCCUUCAUACACCUUUACCGGUGUAUUAUGAGAAUCCGUUAACCUUGUUCCCCACUUUAUCCUCUUCGUAUACAAAUAAUACAGUAACAAACUCUACAAAAUAUUUUUCAGAGAAAAAAUUAAACGACAAUAAAUAUUUCUCAUGGUCUUAGUCAGUGAAAAUGGUCCUUGAAGGAUGACAUAAAUUUGGUUUUCUGACAAGGUAAGUACCACAUCCUCCACUAGGAGAUCCAUAGGAAUAGUAUUGGAAGGGAGAGAACUCUCUUCUUCGAUCCACAUUGAUCAAAUAGUAUAGAGCCAUAGAUCAGCAAACCCUUACUUUACGCUGCAAUUGCUAAGGACAUUUGGGGCACAACCUAGAAACUAUAUUCCAAAUGUUAGAAUGCCUCUCGCUUAUACACACUACGAAAACAAGUUCAUGAGUGCACGCAAGGAACUAUGGAUGUCACAUCCUUUUUUAACAAGCUCUCUCUUAUUUGGCAGGAAAUGGACCUAUGCAGAGAACUAAUUUGGAGCAAUGGUGUGCAGUCCUUUAGAAUUGAAGAGAUUGACAGGAUUUAUGCCUUUCUUGUUGGUCUUAAGUUUGAUGUAGUUCGUAGGCGUAUACUGGACCAGAGACCGAUUCCCUCCUUGAUGGAGGUUUGUUAUGAAAUCCGCCUUAAGGGGAAUCGUACAAGUGCUAUAAAUAUUUCAGCAACUCCUGUUAUUGACUUAGCUGCUUUUAGUGCGAGGUCCUCUACUAGUGGCAGUGACAAGAACAAUGGAAAUUCAAUUUCUGUCUAUUAGCAAUGCAAGAAACAAUAGCCUACCCAGGUGCAAUGUUGGGAGUUACAUGGUCGUCCCCCAAGAGGUUAGAAAUGCUCUCCUAGUGACAAACAAAGCAUUGGGCAUGCGUAUGUGAGUGAGCCUGCUAGACCUUCUCAACCACCUGAUCCACACAUGGAAACCAAACCAAUCUUAGUCCCACUACUCUAGGCACCAUUGUCCAAUCAGGUAUACCUCAGUCCUUUGGUCUUAUUAGUGUUGAUGAGAAAAACCUUUGAAUUCUGGAUUCCGGUGUCGUAGAUCAUUUUAACUAAUUCUUCUGAACAUUUUGUGUCCUAUAUUCCAUGUGUUGGUAACAAAACAAUCAGAAUUGCAAAUGGCUCCUUAGCUUCCAUUGCUGAAAAGGGAAAGAUUUCUCUCUAUGCAGGGCUCUCCCUACAUAAUGUUUUGCAUGUGCCCAAAAUUUCUUAUAAUUUGCUACCUGUAAGCAAAAUUACUCAUGAGUUAAACUGAGGAGCAUUCUUACCUGAUCCUAUUUCUUUUCAAAACUUGAGCUCGAAGAGGAUGAUUGAGACUGCCGAGCAUAGUAGGGGACUCUACCUUCUUGAUGAUGGCGCCUCUUCUAGUAGCACUUCUAGGACUAGUCUUUUGUCUUCCUAUUUUACUACUUUUGAACAAGAGUGUAUGUUAUGGCAUUUUCAUUUAGGCCACCCUAAUUUUCAAUAUAUGAAACAUUUAUUUUCUCAUCUUUUCUUUAAACUUGAUGUGUCUACCUUAUCUUGUGAUGUAUGUAUUCGGACUAAACAAUGUUGGGUUUCUUUUCCUUCACAACCAUACAAACCAACCUACCAUUUCACACUUGUUCAUAGUGAUGUCUGGGGACCAUCCAAGAUAACUAUCUUAUCUGGGAAAUGGUGGUUUGUAACCUUUAUUGAUGAUCAUACCUGUCUUACCUGGGUCUUUUUCGUCUUCGACAAAUCAUAGGUUACCUCCGUCUUCAAGGACUUCAUCACACCAUAGAAACGCAGUUCAAUGCAGUGAUUGCUAUUCUACAAAGUAACAAUGGUCGUGAGUUCCAAAACCACACCCUCAAUGAGUUUUUGUUCUCCAGAGGGAUUGCCCACCAAAGUUCCUAUGCCUACACGUCCGAACAAAAUGGGGUAGUCGAGCACAAAAGCUGUCACCUUUUGGAGUAGCUCAUUCUCUUAUGUUGUCUAUUUCCCUUCCUAUAUCUGGGGCGAUGUCGUUCUCACUACCACCCAUCUUAUCAAUCGGAUGCCUUUUCAUGUCCUACUUUUUCAGACCCCCUUGCCAUGUCUUAAAGAGUCAUAUCCCUCUACCCACCUCAUUUCUGAUGUUCCUCUUUAGGUUUUUGGGUGCACAAUCUAUGUUCAUAACCAUGGUCCUAACCCAAAUAAGUUUACCCCUCGGACCUCGGGCUCAUGCAUGUGUUUUUGUUGGUUACUCUCUGCACCAAUGAGGCUGUAAAUGCUUUCAUCUAUCUUCUUGUAAGUACUUUGUCUCCAUGGAUGUCACCUUUCUUAAGGAUCGUCCUUUCUUUUCCGUUAGCCUACUUCAGAGUGAGAGUGAGAAUGAGGAGUCUAAUUGGGUAAUUUCCUUAGAGUGAGAAUGAAGAUGGGGGAUGAGUUUGAAAUUAAAGACUUUGGGAAUAUGAAAUACUUUCUUAGAAUGGAAAUUGUCAGAUCUAGAGAGGGCAUCUCUAUAUCCUAGAGGAAAUACACCAUUGAUUGGUCAACUGAGACAAGUAUGUUAGGAUGUUGUCCCGCCAAUACACCUAUUGAAUUCAAUGCCAAACUCAGGGAUACAGGUGACAAAGUUUUGAUUGGCAAAGAGAAACUUAGCGCCUAGUGGGAAAACUUGUUUAUUUAUCUCACACUAGGCUUGACAUCUCACAUACUGUGAGUACUGUUAGUCAGUUCAUGUAGACUACUUGAAUAACACGGAGCCAGUAAACAGAACUUUGAAGUAUUUAAAAGUAACUUUUGGUAAAGGGUUGAGAUUCAGGAAAACUGACACAAGGUGUAUUAAGGCCUAUACAGAUUAUGAUUAGGCAGAGUCUAUUGUUGAUAGAAAAUCUACCUCUGGGUACUGUAUUUUUGUGUGGGACAAUCUCGUUACUUGGAGAAGUAAGAAGGAAGGGGUUGUUGCUAGGAUCAGUGCUAAAGUUGAGUAAAGGGCCAUGAGUUUGGGAAUUUGUAAGGACAUUUGGCUCUAGAAGGUGUUAUAUGAUCUUCAUCAGAACAAUGAGAUGCCUAUGAAACUUUUCUGCGAUAAUAAGGCAGCUAUUGGAAUUACAAAUAGCCUGAUCUAACAUGACAUAACUAAACAUGUGGAGAUUGAUAAACACUUUAUCAAAGAGAAAUUGGAUAGUGGUAGCAUUUACAUUCCUUACACACCUUCAAGCCAACUAAUUGAUGAUAUUCUCACAAAAGAGUUUCUCAGACAGAGCUUUGAGUCUUGUGUUGAGUGGGGUCUUUUUGGCAUUGAUAACCCAACUUGGGGCUUUGUUGUAGGUUGAAAGCUCAAAGAUUUUCUUAGUCUUUUAUGUUUCCCUAUUUAUCUUUCAUACUUUUAAUUAAGCUUCUAUUGCCUAUAAAUUAAUGCUCCCCUAUACCAUUAGUUUUAUAAGAAAAUAAUAAGAAAGAUUUGCACUUGUGGUUUUUUCUCUUUGAACUGGGUUUUCAUGUAAAACUUGUAUUUGUUGUUCGUCUCUACUUUCAAUCAAUAGUUUUUCAAAGCUUUGGGCAAUCAUGUGUAUUAAAGUAGUAUAGGAUAGCCAUGGUCCUUGUGCAAUCAAUUUCUGAGUUAUCAUUUUGUUUCAUUUUGAUCUGUUUAUUCAUACCAGCCUGAUAGUCAGAGAAAGUUUCUGUUAGGAUCAGCCAUUUAAAAAAAGGGUUCGUGAGAAAUGAUGCAGUUUGCAUAAUGUGACUUCUUGUUAUUCAUUGUGGUUUAGGAUUUUCCCAGUUGUUUUUCCAUGAAUUUCCUUCAUAUUUAACUUUGAGUUUCUAAUUUUUCAAUGAUGCUAAUUUAUCCAUUUUGCACAACGCUCUUUCGUCCAGCAAGAAAUAGUCAGUUAAGGGGUAACUUAGACAGGAAGGAAAUGAAGAAUGGGAUGUCAGAAUUGUUUAUAUGGAAAAAAGAUACCAAAGGUGAAAGGGGUGAUUUUUGAAGAACAUGCCAAAAUAUUUUCUCAUGGUGAAUUUGAUUGAAAUUUGGUUAGAUUCUCAUUUCUUUAGGCUUCUGUAAUAAUAUCAACAAGCUUGUAUUGGGAGGUUAUAUUUAAAUGGAAAAUUUUCAAGUUUAAUGCUUUGUUUGAGGCUUAUCAAGAUUCAUUCUUUGCAGAACAUUGUUUCUUUUCCAGUUGCAUCUGAGAUGCUAUGUUUGUUCUUUCAUGAAUGCUUCCAAUCCCAAGAACAUUUAACAAUAGCAAUUUGGUUUCAAAUCAUUGGAAAUUAGAAGUUCCUUUGAAGCUGAUACCCUUUGGAAAAUGAAAUCAAUGUUUAGAAAGCAGAAGGUAACCUAAUAAAUUAUCUUCCUACUAUGGGUCUACACGGUUGGAUGGGGUUGGCUUGGGGUUUUAUUAGACAGAUUGAAAGUGUUGGUUAAGUUGGCUACUCAAAAGACCUCGAACAAUAUUUCCAACCCUUAUAUACAAAUACAACACAUGAUUAAUUUCUCAAAAGUUAAAUACAAAAGGUUCCUAAUAUCUAUUACAAGGUUAGUAAUCCUAAAAGUAAAACAUUGAAAAUUCAAACUUCAAAUUAAACUCUUGCGGUUUGGGGCGAAAACUAUGUAAGACUAUAAUAACUAUUUCUAGUUAUUGUAAAUGCUAAAAUGCUAUUUAAAUAUAUUUAAUUAACUACAAUAGACACUAUUUCAAAAUCUCUCACUUACCACAAUAUUUACUAUUUGAUACAAUUUUGACAAUUAUCAUAUUUUAAAAUAAUUUACACCGAUUGCAUACUAUUAUAAUUCAAAUUAAAUUAAUCUAUACACCCCAAACACAAACUGAACUUAUAGUAUAUGAAUAAACUUGUUAGAUGAUAUGUAAGUAUACAAUAGUAAACCUUUUUAUUUUAUUUUAUGUUAAAAAAGCAUGAGUCGUAACUUUAGUAUGUGAUUGAUGAUUACCACUCUUCAUGUGACAAUUUUUGUUGACCAAAAUUUGAGAGGUUCAAAUUCACAUUAAUCUCAUUAAAAGUAACAAUUUAAUAUUUGAAAAGAUUCGUAACAAUUUAAUUUUUAUACUUUUGAAAUUAAAAUAUAUCGGUCUUUAAACUUGAAUAUAUAACAAUUUAAUUAUUUAAUUUUAAACUUUGAAACAAUUUAAUUCCUAUUAUUAUAAUCUCACAAAACUAAGUGUUAAUUUUACUAUGCAUUACCUUGGAGUUUAUAAACAAGUUGCAUAGUUUUGCUGACGAGAAUUAUCCAAAAAGAACACUAUGAAGAAGGUAAAUGACUAAAAUUGAGAGUUAGAAGGUGUAAGUUUAAGAAUAUAGAUUAAUAAAUUCAUUUAGAGCAACAAAUGGGUGUUAUAUAAGUGAUUUGGCAUAUGAGAUAUGAAUUAUACGUACCAAAAUUAAGCAUUCGUAUAUCAAAUUUAUUCAUCAAUAAUUCCUCAAGCAUUUCUUCAAAAUCAACAACUCAUAAUACUGAUUUUUAUUUAUUUAUUUGACCGAACCGGAAGGCGGAACGUAAAAUAGAAAGAUAGAGGAAAGCAGAGGUGAGCUCAGCCCACAGGGCCAUACUCGAAGUCGAACCAAAGACUUUCCCUAACAUUUCAUUCUCUUUUGAUUUUGCACCUCACUUCACUCUCUUCACUCUCUUCACUACAAAUCCACGCAGAAGUAUUCGAAGAAUUCGGCUAUGGAUUCCCAACUCCAACGCAGAAUUGAG